rnacentral:lncRNA from 1 species
AAUUAUUCAAGGUUACGUGUGUUGAGAAUGUUCGCUACUGGCUUGGGCAUUUUUCAUGAAGCACCAGAAGACAGCGUUUUAUUUGGUGGGGGUGAAGUUUUAGUACAGGAAUUGCUCGGUUUGAAAUAUUUAGAGGUAUUGGAGUUGACCUUGGGAAGUUAUCAUGCUCUCCAAAUUCUUUUGAGCUCAAAUAAGUUAAAAAGUUGUAUUCGAUCUCUUUACCUCGAGUUGACCGGAGAUACAGCGUCAAUUAUUGAUGCUACGGCUUUCGCAGAUCUAAACCACCUCAAUGAAUUAUAUAUUUUUAAAGGUAUUGAGUUGGAAGAAUUGAAGAUUGAUUAUACGGAGAUAGUACGAAAAAGGCGGGAACCUUUUGUUUUCCGCAGCCUUCACUGUGUUAUUAUGGUUUCGUGCCGUAAAUUGAAAGAUGUGACAUUCCUCGUUUUUGCUCCAAACCUCAAGUCUCUUUUGGUAGACGGUUGCGAUGCUAUGGAAGAAAUAAUCAGCGUCGGAAAAUUUGCUGAGACUCCUGAGAUGAUGGGACAUAUAAGCCCUUUUGAAAAUCUCCAAAUGCUUGAUUUAACGGCAUUGCCGGAGUUGAAGAGCAUCUACUGGAAGCCAUUGCCUUUCACUCAUCUGAAAGAAAUGGAGGUACUUAGGUGCGAUCGGCUUGAAAAGCUUCCACUCGAUUCCAACAGUUCAAAGGAGCGUAAAUUUGUUAUUUGUGGAUACACAAAGUGGUGGAACCGACUUCAAUGGGAGGAUGAAGCCACUCAAAUUGCUUUUCGUUCCUGUUUCCAACCAAUGGGAGUACUGAGCGGUGGUCGCAAAAUUUGAUUUCUGGUGAGUGCGUUUUUGUUAACGCUUAUGUUUUUAUUCCAGUGUGUUUUUCUUCUGUCUUCUGCAAAUCAAUGCUUUAUAAAUUUUCCUUUUCCCUUUUUUUUUGGGGGGGGGGGGGGGGGCGUGGGUCGAAUUGAUGCUCUGGUUUUUUACUUUUUGUUGUCAAAUUUGGCCUUUUUUUUUUUUUUUUUUUUUUACAAGUUGAUACUUUAUUUAUAUCUUCUUAGCGAUUUAAUUUCCUGUCAAAAGACGAGCGAGAAGAACAUAUGACUUAAAGCAAUUGAUACUUUAUUUAUGUGCAUUGUAUGUAAUAAAUAUUAAGUAUACUUUAUUUUGCCCUGUUCUCUGUUUUUAUUUCAGUCUCUCUCUCGCUCUCUCUCUUUCCUGUCUUCUGCAAGUCAUAAUUAAAUGUUGAAUUAUAUGGAAUUAAUGCUUUAUAAAUCUGCCUGCGCUGGCUUUUUUUUUUUUUUUUGUGGGGUCGAAUUGAUGCUCUGGUUUUCGACUACUUUUUGUUGUCAAAAUUUUCUCUGUUUUUUCAAAUUUAUAUCUUAUUCGUGAAAAGUGAUUUAAUUUCCUGCCAAAAGACGAACGAGAAGAACAUUAGAGUCAAACUAAUGCUCACAUAAAUUUCCCGUAAGAAUAUAUAAUUAGACUGGAAUGCACACCUCUAGAUUGAACAGAAUUAAAGCUGAGAAAAUAUUGAGUAUAGUAGCCCUCUUUACAGAAAAUGACGCGAAAGUUAAUUUAGAAAGAUAUAUUCUCGAUUAAUCCAUUUUCUGAAUUUUUUUUUUAUUUUGUAUGGUCAAUUUUUUUUUUAAAUUACAACCUCAUAGUCAUGCUAUUCAUUCACUCACAGACCAAAGGCUUUCCGCAGCAAUAUUAUUAUUUAAAUUACAACAAAGGGGGAAUCAAAUACGUCAUACAGAAGCUUAAAGCUGAAUCUACAAGAUCUAGAGCUCUCAAGAUGAAGCUUGUUCAAUAUCUCAUCCAAAGCUUGUAAAGUAACCUUGUAACGAUCUUGAGAUUGCCUGCCUUCCUCGACGACCUGCACGAUGCGUUUGUACAAAUCAUCAUACUUGUGCACUGGAUUUUUAAUAUCAACGCCACUGCAGCUGUGAUCAAGAACAUGAGAGCGUUUAACAUCUUUUCUCCAUCAAGAAAGAACGUAGUGAGAUGGGAUCUCCUGCAUGCCACUCUGGUUUAGAACACAAAGAAUGUGUCUGCAUAAAUAUCCUCUGAAAUUGAACAACCCACAAACACAAAGCAUCUCCAAGUCAGAGGCAUUGUACAAAACAUCGAAAGCCCUUGAAUCUUUCUCGUUGCUACCAACCUCAAAUUCUUCCUUCACUAUGUAUGUUAUAGGUCCAUCAGCACUGACAUGUUUUGUGCUAUAGCAAAGAGUACAUAGCCUCCACCUCCAUCUGAAACUUCCUUAACAUUUCAUUUGUGUACAGUUUUGAGAGUUGAAAUUCAUAGUAACAUAUUGGUUUCUGGAUACAACUUGAAUUUCUUGAAUCCAUAUCUGCCAAGGCUUGCAGUUGAUAAUUGGCCCGCAGUGCUUGAUCAUACUUGUCUAAGAAUUCUUUCAAAGGAGUAUUCUUAUCAAGAUAUCCUUCAAAGUAUGAAGUAGAAACCUCAUUCUGCAGUAACGAAAACACUCCUGAUAAAAAAGCUUCCUUCAAAUAAAUAGGAGCCCACCUUUUACGAUCUUCAUAUAAAGUUUGAAUCCAUCCGUGAUCCUUUAUUCCAUGACGUUGAAUCAUGUCUUCCCAAGCUGCUUCAAAUUUCUCAGGCCUGAGAGAGUGAUAAAUUGCUCUAUGUAAUGCAGCUUUAAUAGCUUCAUAUUCAAACAAUCCUUGGAGUUUCUCUGGAAUUUUUUGCAUGACGCUUUCCUUCAAUGAUAAGACAAUGAACAUAAACGAGACACAAAAAAAAUUAUUUUAAACUGACAGCCCAUGAUAUAAAUCAAACAAAAUCAACUCCUUUUUUUACACAUCACAUCUCAUAUUCAUUUGCAUUGAAGCACAAAAAGGAAGCAGGAGUGGGAAAAAAAAAACAACAGCAGAGGAACUUAUUUCCAUAAGGUUUAGGAAAUAAGGAAUUUAUUAAGACACAAAAUUUGAGGUUACCAAUAAGAAUUUGGUUCUCAUUAUUUUUUUCUUCAUUUUUCACCAAUUGAUGAACUUAAAAUACAAUCAUCAAUGAUAAAACCCCAUCUCCAUCUUUUUGAACUAGAGCUAAAGCAAAGCAUUUUAAGAUGUUUCAUCAUUUUUUUUAAUAAAAAAAAACCUCAAUAGUACAAUGUUUUUCAAUGUUAAAUGCACAACUCAAUCCUCUCCUAAUUUACUCUAAUAAUCUCUUAAUUAAGGAAGAUUAAGCUUCAGUUGUAAGCUAAAACAAAUUUCUUAAAUCAAGCCCCAAUGCUUUAUGCUAUUCAACAAGGGCUCAUAAAUGAUAAAACUACUUCUACAAAGAUACCCAUUUUCUAAAUUAAUUUCAAAAACUGAAAUCAAACUCCUGAAACGUAACGAGCAUUAAUAUAAUCAAACCCGAACAGGAAUUGAAAAAUGACACAUAAACUCGUUUACACAUUUCGACAGACACUUUGCAAUCAAUGAGCAAAAAAUUAAUGGAGAAGAUAAAAUUCAAACGAAACAUGCCUUACAUUGAUAAAUUAGAAGGGCAAAAGAAAUUUUAGUACGAUAUGGGAUCAGGGUCUUGCCACGGUGAUGUUAUUUGUGAUGUUCGAGCGACUCAGCAGCCUUCGAGGUUGAAAAUUUGAUUGACCGAAAGCUUCCCGUUCGUUGAUUCUCUAAUAGCAGAAACGAGACUGGCAGUAUACACAAGAAGUUCGCUGAUUUUAAAUUCCGUUGUUUGAGAUGGAAAUUUUUUUGAAAAAAUUAAUGUGUUCGAUGAAUAUCAAAAUCUCAAAAACUUUUUGUUUCUCAUAGCACCCAUGCAUGAUGUGUUGUUUCUCUAAAAGUUUGAGACACAAAUGUUAUUUCAAAUUGAAACGCCAUGCACUAGUAGUAGACUAGUAGGUAGGAGAAACCAAGGUUGAAGUUACUGUUCAUUUAUUUUUAUUUAUGAUUUUUUGUAAAAUGUAAGAAAUAUGUAGAAAUGUUGCCAGCAAUGAUUUUGGAACUUUGCAUAAAAUUUUUAUCAUUAUUGUUUUUGGUAUUAAGAAAUCCGAGGCGGUGAUUAGACGUAUGUUGCAACAAUUAAGAAAUUUCUUAUUGGAGAUAAUUUGGUAGGUUGCAACAAUUAGAGAAUCAUUUUCCUGUCAGUUAAUCAAUCAAUAAUAAAUUUCAAAUUGCAGAAAAUAAAAUAAUACUGUCACACUUAGAAUCAUCUUUUCUAUCUCUUUCAAUUGUGGCAAUCAUUUGUAACAAAUAAAUCAAUUUGAUGCACAUCAUUUCCCCAAUUCAAAGUUCAAGUCACUGCUCAAUUGCAGAGUAGUUAGUAGACAUGCAUGCAUGUUUAAUUAAGUACUGCAUUGUAGUAUCGAAAAUCAUAAUAUCUCACCAAGCCCGGAAGCAUAGCUCUUUAUCUUGUAAACGUUGAAAUCUUAUGCAAACUAUGGGAAACAUGAUCUCACUCUCAGUGUCACUUGAUUCCAUUUUCUGUUCUUGCCUUGAUUUCGAUGUUGGGAAUGUGACGUCUGAGUCCAAGGUUGAAGAUAAUCUCGAUGCCUUGCGGACUGCAAUGGAAAAAUAAGCGGAAACGAGAAAUGAUGUGAUAAGAAGAGUUACUGUUGCUGAAGGACAACAUCAAAUGCAACGAAUGGAUCGAGUGCAGGGCUGGCUUUCAAGGGUAAAAGCUGUGGAAAAUAAAGCUGAUGAUUUGAUGAGACACAGCUCUCAAGAGAUUGAGAAGUUAUGCCUUGGAGGCUUCUGUUCCAAGAACUGCAAAUGAAGCCACAGCCGUGGGAUAGAAGCUGCUACAAUGCUACGAGUUGUGGAGACUUUAAUGGGUGAAGGAUCAUUUGAAUUGGUGGCUGAGAGGGUGCCAGAAGAUGCAGCAGACUGAGCAGAGGAGAUAAAUUGUGAGUCAACAAUAAUGGGCAUGGUGUCGACUUUUGAGAAAGCCUGGAGAUGCCUUGAAGAAGAAUCAGUUGGAAUUAUUGGCCUAUAUGUCAAUGGGAGAGUUGGAAAUAUUUACUCAAAUCAACAACAAGUUCCUUGAUAGUCCAAAUAAUUUUGAUGUUGCAAUCUGGGUAGUGGUCUGCCAAGAUUUGCAACCCCAGAAGUUUCGGGAAAAGAUUGGGAAAAAGAAAGGCUUGUUCGAUGAGUCAUGGAAGAACUGAAGUUUUGAAGAGAAAGCACUCGAUAUAUUCAAGAAUUUAAGCAAGAUGAAGUUUGUAUUACUGCUGGAUGAUAUAUGGGAGCAGGUUGAUUUAAUUAAAAUUGGUGUCCCUCUUCCAAGCACAAAAAUUACAUUCAAGAUAGUCUUCACAACUCCUUCUAUUACAUUUGUGGCCUCAUGGAAGCUCACAACAAGAUUAAAGUGAAGUGUUUAAAUGACGAAGAAGCAUGGGAAUUAUUCUGCAAGAAGGUUGGAGAAGAUGUGGCGACUCUGUACAAGUGCUAAGGAGCUCAGCCUCAGAAUUUCUAGGUAUGUAAAAACAAGUAUAUCCUCUUUUGAAAUUCAGUUAUGAUAAUUUACCUAGCGAUAAAAUUAGAUCGAGUCUGUUAUACUGUAGUUUGUUCCCAGAAGACUUUCCAAUUAGCAAAAUGGAAUUGAUACUGAGAUACGAAAUCAAGGAUACUACAUUAUUGGUGUUCUUGUUCCUUUAUGUUUAUUGGAAGAAGAGGCUCCACUGUUUGUAAAAGUGCAUGAGGUGAUACGCGAUAUGCUUCUGUGGAUAGCAUGUGAAAUUUUAUUUUUAUUUUUUUAUAGGGAUAUCAUGUGAAGUUGAGAAGGAGAGAGAGAAUUUUUUGGUUCGUGCAGGUGCAAGGAUUAACUGAAGUACUAGACAUUUGGAAAUGGGAAGGGUUGAGAAGGGUGUCUUUGAUGAUCAACAAAACUGAGAAGGUAUCAGAAAUUCCUUCAUCUCACGAUCCACUAACUUUGUUGCUUCAACAUAAUUAUUUAGAGGUGAUCAAUAAUGACUUCUUCCAAUCUAUGCAUUCCCUUAGAGUUUUGAACUUAUCAUGUAAUCAUUCUCUAACUGAUCAUUUCAAAGUUAGUUUCCCUACAUACGAGAGUUGCCGAAUGAGUUAACGUUCGUAGUGAAUCUUAAGUUUUUGAAUGUGGAGUCUGCACGGUUUCUUCAUUCAAUUCCAGGGCAAGUGAUAUCCAGUUUUACGAUGUUACAAGUUUUGAAGAUGUUUGGUUGUGGCAGGUCAUCUUCUGAUCGUGAGCCACACCAGAAGAUAGCGUUUUAUUUGGAGGCAGUGAACUUUUGAUUGCGGAGUUGUUUGGUUUGAGAGACAUUUAGAUGUGUUGACCAUCAUCCUAAGAAGCUCCCAUGCUCUGAAAAGAUUUUUGAGCUCCAACAAACUUCAAAGUUGUACUCAAUCUCUCUAUCCUAAAUGCUUUGAUUCGAAGUCAGUUGAUGUUUUUUGCCUGGCUGAUCUGAAGCAUCUCAAUAGGCUAUAGAUAUUGCGAGUUGUAAGCUUUUGGAAGAAGUGAAGAUUGACUUUGUUGGGAAAGCACAAAUGAACUCAUGGUUUUCACAGCCUUAUGUCACGGAAGUUGUGUAAACACUGCACGGGUUGCUGCGCAAAGUAACCAUCCUAUGACAUUGAGCCAUGUUGAAAUAUCAUUUUGCUGUAAACUGAGGGAUUUGACAUAGCUUGCUUUUGCUCCAGACCUUCUUGUUGUUUCCAGAAAGCAUUGCCAUGAUAUAGAGGAAAUACUCGGUGUUGGAAAAUUAGGUAAAGAGAUGAUGUCAAACCUGGAACCCCCUAUAAAACUCCUAAGGUUAUGUCUGGCAUGUAGGAUUGGAUUGAACUAAAUUAUUAGGACUGGAUUAAAUUGGGUUAUAUUUAUAUUCUUAUGUUUGGUACAGUACUGGAUUGAACUAUAUUAGAUUAUAUUUAAAUAAUAUUAAAUAGUAUUUAAGUUGGUAUUUUAAUAUAAAUAUCAAUUAUCCAUGAAAUUUUAUAAUCAUAAUUAAAAUAAAUUUAAAAAGCAAUUACUAGAAAAAUUAAAUAUAUUACAAAAAGUUAUUGGGUAGUCAUAAUAUAAUAAGCAAAUAAAAUUAAAUAAAACAAAUUAAAUAUUUAAUUAAUUUUUAUCAAAUAUUUAAAAAUAUUAUAUAAAAUCAAUUAAUUAAUGGUUUUAUUAAUUUUCAUGAUUAUUUUUAAUAUUACAUUAGUAAUUAUUAAAUUUAAUACAAUCAAAUAAUGCAAUAAAUAAUUAAACGUUUAAUUUUAUCGAUUAAUUAUUAAAUAUACAAGUAAUGAAAAUUUAAUCUCAGGAGUUGGCAGAAGCAAAAGUACUAAUUUAAUUAGAUCAUAGAUAAUAAAUAAAAAUUAAUUUUAAGUAAAUCAUAAUAAAAAAAUUAAUUAAUUGAUUCAAUCAAUCAAUAUUAGGUGUAAAUAAAAAAAGAGUAAUGAUAUAGCCACAAAUUCUUGUACAAACUUAUUUUGUACAAACUCAUGUGUCAUGAUAAGAUUAGUUGAAUUAAAUAUCACUUGGCCCACAUGAUUUGUUUUUAUUAUUUUAUAUUUUUAUUCAACCAAUGAAUUAACGCCACGUCAGUUUGUACAAGAGUUUGUGGUUGUAUCAUCACUCAUAAAAAAAAAGAUACAAAUAAAAAUCUCAUAAAUGGACAACUUUUAUCUUUAAUCUUAUCCCAACUAAACACAUGUGUGAAUUAAGAUUAUUAAUCCCAUGAUUUUAGGAUUAAAUUCAAAUUAAUUCCCCCUUAAUCCAAUCCAACUAAACUUGUCAAACAUGGGAUAAAAGUUUAAUUCUAAAAUUAGUCCAAUUCCAUACUUAAUCCUAGCAUCCACAUAUAGCCCAAGUUGUUUGCUUAAAGAAGCUACCAAAUUUGAAGAGCGUUUACGGGAAGGCCUUGCGUUUCCCAGAUGUAUGCAGAAUUUUUGUAUCCAAAUGCCCAGAACUUAAGAAGCUGACGCUGGAUUUUGAAAGGGCGGGCCAAGGUAAAAUUCUUAUCAAGUGAAAGGAAAAUCGGUGGAAACAACUUCAAUGGAAGGAUCAAGCAACUCAGGAUGCAUUGCUUCUGUUUUUCAAAUCAACUGACAAGUGAUUGAAGGGGGCAUCAUCAGCCUGGAUGGGGAGAUCCUGGAGCAGAUCAGCAGGGUUUGAAUCUGCAUCAUCAACAUCAUCAGGAUCUCUAUUUCUAUUGCUGGUCGUAAUGCCUGCCUACUGUUACUUGAAAAAGUGAUUAAGUGAGCCAGUUUUUUGUUUAUUAAAUUUUGUCUUGUAGAGACAGUCACAAAGUAUUUUUCUUAGUUGUUCUAUAUGAGAGUGAUGUGAAUCAAUUUUUCAAUUAUAUAUUCUGUGGGAAAUUGCAAGUAUUUUUAAAAUAUGAUCGUUAUUAAAGGAAACAAAGGAAUCAACACAGCAUACUGAACCUCAGCAGUAUGAAGCUAAUGAUUAAACUCCUCACACAAUUCAUAACAUGCAAAACCAUUCACAAAAUCAUCCCCAGCAACCAUAAUUGGCGUCCAAUAGAAAUUUACAAGAAUUACUUUUCUGUUCAUGCAAUCGGCGUCCGAAUGCGGCUGAUCGGUCACCGGUGUUGGCGUUUACUGUGAUUAGACAAAUUGUAGGAAUUCAAAAAUAACUUCUAUAGGGGUAAUUUCGAUUUCACAUAAUUAAUUUUAUUUACAAUAUUUUAUUCCUGCUAGAUCAAUUGAGAUUCUUUCCACCGGGCACACCCUUCAUGUUCUUUUAUUUUCUGUCUUUUAUUAGCCGUAGGAUUUUACUACUCUUAUAUCCAACGGCUUGCCACAACAAGACAAAUGAGGUGGUACCUUCCAACCGCUGAAAGGUCGUUUUGGCCCCAGGUGAAAGAGGGAAAUAGGGAAUUGAUGCUAUAUUUUAUAUUUUCUAUUUUACUACUCUUGUAUCCACCGGCCUUUCUUAUAUUUUAUUGCAAAUUGAUGCUAACAAGAAAAAGCUACAUCAUAUUCCACAAAAAACAAAAGUGACAAAACAACCAGUUGGAUUCUUUUAUUAAACUACAAAUUAAAUGGACUUUUUUUUAAUAAACUAUAUAUGAAAGUAGAAUCUUUUGAAUAUAAGUGGGGUAGACUUCCUUUCCAAAACAAAAAAUGCGGGGUAGGCUCUUUUAUUAAAGACAAGUCACAAGACGAUUAGAGUCUUUUAUUAAACUGCAAAUUGUAUAGUCUUUUUCAAAUUGUACAGACAUUUAUAAAUUGGUGGCCCCUUGGAAAUUUAAUGCCAAGCAGAGAAAAGUCAUCAUGCACAAUCCUCAAUAAUUGUUUCGAUAUUUAUAAAUUGGUGGCCCCAACGAAUAAUUGGGAUCGGUUAUGGUGCAAUUAUAGAACCAUGGCACAGUUGCAUCCAGCCGUUAAAUGCACUUAGAUUGGUGAGGUUUAUUGGCAUCUAAUGGCUGAAUGUAACUAUAAUACGGUACUACAGUUACAACACAAGUUUCCACCAAUAAUUGUUCCGAUAAUUAUAAAUUGGUGGCCCCUUGAUAAUUUAACAGCAGCCUGCAAGUGCCAACCAGUGAAAAGUCAUCAUUCACAAUCUUCCAAGUGAAAUAGGAGAUAUACAAAAUAAUAAAAAAAAAACAUGUCAAUUCUUUUUUUUUUUAUUCAUUCCCUUUCAUGUUCUUGAUAAGGGAGGGAGGACGUGACAUGUAAUGUAACUUACACCCAAAUACAUAAAUAAUAUAAAAUGAAUGGAUAGAUGCCCGAGCAGAUCGGCAGGGUUCGAAUAUGACCUUUGGUGCUUGCUUUUUUUUUUUGUGAUUUUGUUUUUCAUUUUUUCCUUCCUGUCAUUUUAUCAUUUCUUUGGCUUUGUCUCUAUUGCGGGUGUUACUGCAUGCUUACUGUUGCUUGACAAAGUUUGCUAGCUGAAAGAAACUUAGUUCUAUAUUGUUUGGUAGGCUAGAAAAUGAAAGGAAAUAAAAGAAAAGCUUUGCAAAGAAAUCUGUUGGAUCUUUUAUUAUUCCAAACUUACAGUUUAAUGACUACUAAUUGAUAUUUAUAUUGAGCUACAAUCUCUUAACAUACACACGAGAUUGUUGCAACACAUAACCAUUUGCUGUAUAACUAACUUGACACAUCAGCUCAACCAGCUAACUAACUUUGACAGGUCAGCUUAAUGAUUUGAUCUGCUACAACCAGCUACACAACACAUCAUGCUCUGCUCCAGCUACACAGCAACAUCAUGCUCUGCUCCAGCUUCAUCUAAUUCACUAACAUCCCCCUUCAAGCUGAAAUGUUUAGGAUGAACAUUCAGCUUGCUGCGGAAGUAACUAAAUUGUUUGAAAGUAAGAGCUUUAGUCAACACAUCUGCAGUUUGAUCUUGACUAGGCACAUAACAGACUGCAACUUCUUUAGCAGUAACUUUAUCUCGGAUGAAAUGGAUAUCCAAUUCAACAUGCUUAGUUUUAGCAUGAUAGACUGGAUUAUAAGCUAAAGCAAUGGCUCCUUGAUUAUCACACCACAUCAUAGGAGUAGAGCUCAAUUUGAUGCUAAGUUCACCAAGUAAAGACUUGAUCCAGGUAACCUCUGAAGCAGCAUGAGCAAGAGAUCUAUACUCAGCCUCUGUGCUGAAUCUGGAAACAACAGCUUGCUUCUUGGACGACCAAGAGACAAGAUUAGGACCUAGAUAAACAGCAAAGCCAGCUACUGACUUCCUAUCAUCAUGAUCACAAGCCCAAUCAGAGUCUGAAAAACAAUGGAGUUGCAGAGCUCCUUGGUUGUAGAAUUGCAGCCUAAGAUGGAUAGUACCUUUUAAGUACCUCAAUAACCUUUUACAUGCUUCCCAAUGUUGAGUCCUAGGAUUGGAAAGGAACUGACUCAACUUAUUGACAUAAAAAGCAAUGUCAGGUCUGGUAAGAGUAACAUACUGAAGAGCUCCUAUAACACUUCUGUAUUGAGAAACAUUGUCAAUUGGCUCCCAUGAGUCUUUGGUGAGAUAAUAACCUGUAGACAUUGGAGUUGGCACAGGACUGCAAUCAAUCAUGCCAUGUUUGUCCAGAACAUCAGCAAUAUACUUUGCUUGUGUCAAGGAAACCCCUUUUGAAGACUUGCUGACUUCAAUCCCCAAAAAAUAGUGAAGUUCCCCUAAAUCCUUUAAAGCAAAAGUCUGAUGCAUAUUCUGAAUAGCUUGCUGAAUCAAUGAUGGACUGGAACCAGUGAUGAUAAUAUCAUCAACAUAGACUAAAACAAUAGUUAUAUGACCACUGUUCCAGGCAUAAAAAAGAGAGUUAUCAGACCUUGAAUGCUGAAAAUGCCACUGGGAGAUCAUUGCAUCCUUAAAUCUAUCAAACCAGGCUCUAGGAGCCUGUUUUAAACCAUACAAAGCCUUAUUCAGCUUGCAAACAUGAUUAAGUUUAGUUGAAUCAACAAAACCUUGAGGUUGAGCCAUGUACACAUCUUCAAUUAAAAUGCCAUUGAGGAAUGCAUUAUUAACAUCCACCUGCCUAAUAACCCAGUGGUUCAAUAUUGCUAAGCUAAGAAUAACUCUGAUAGUUGAAGAUUUAACCACUGGACUGAAGGUUUCUGUGUAGUCAACCCCAUGUGUCUAAUGAAACCCCUUAGCAACAAGCCUGGCUUUAUACCUUGAAACCGAGCCAUCUGAGUUAUACUUAAUUCGAAACACCCACUUGUUACCAACUAUCUUCACUGGAGUAGCAGGUAAAACCAAAUCCCAGGUGUGAUUAGUUUUAAGUGCUAGAUACUCUUCUUGCAUAGCUUUAUACCACAUAGGAUCAGAGAGUGCUUUGGAAACAGAAGUUGGUUCUGAUUGCUGGGCUAACAAGGCUGACAAAUAAACUUUUGGCUUAAAAAUACCUGCUUUUGAUCUGGUUACCAUUGGAUGACCAGAUGGUGCAUGUUGUGGUAAUGUAUGUGGAGGUGAGGAAUGGGAAGAUGAGAAAGGAGAAACUGAGUUGGAAUUAUCAGAAAAAUAAACUGGAGUAGAGUUUGGGAAUGAAAUAGAAGCAUUAGACUGAUGAUCAGUAGGUUGAGGUGCUGAUGAUGCUGCUAAAGGUGCUUGUAACUGAGUAACAGAAGAAGUAGAAGACUUAAAAGAAGACUCAGAGUGUGAUGUAGACUGACAGCUUAAAGAGGUUGAAGAAAACUCUACCCCAGACUCAUAAGGAAAGGAAUUUUCAUCAAAGGUGACAUAAUUGGAAAUAUACACCCUUCCAGAAGAGUGAAGACACAUAUAUCCCUUGUGUUGUGAACUGUAGCCAAUGAAUAUACAUCUAGCAGUUCUGAAAUCAAACUUAUAUCUAUUGUAUGGUCUGAGUGUUGGAUAACAAGCACAGCCGAAAGUUUUAAGUGUUGAAUAAUCUGGUUGAUAAUGAAACAACUUUUGGAAAGGAGAAAUGUUAUUUAGAACUGGAGUUGGAAGUCUGUUUAUCAAAUAGACAGCUGUGUGGAAUGCAUUCCACCAAAAUUUGAGUGGUAAAUGUGCUUGAGCUAAUAAAGUCAGACCUACAUCAACUAUGUGUCUAUGCUUCCUCUCAAUUCUUCCAUUUUGGUGAUGAAUAUGUGGGCAAGGGUGUCUAAAAUGGAUACCAGAAGUAGUGAGUAAUGAGGAAAAAGAUCUGAACUCCCCUCCCCAGUCAGUUUGGACAGUUUUGAUGGAAAGUUGAAGAUGCUUUUCAAUGAAUGUUUUGAAAUUUUUAAAAACUUCAAGAGCAUCAGAUUUUGCUGAUAAAGGGAAUAUCCAGGUAAACCUACUAUAAUCAUCUAGGAUUCACAGGUAGUAGUUAUAUCCUUGGGUAGAACAAACAUGAGAAGGACCCCACAGAUCUGCAUAUAUUAGUUGUAAAGGUUCUGAAGUUUUUGUUUCAACUGAAUCAAAAUGCAGCAUAUGAUUUUUCCCAUAUUGACAUGCAUAACAAAAUUUCAAACUUUCAACUUUAUUAAGAGCAGUAAAGUUGUUACAAGCUUUGAGUAUGGUUUUGAGAGUAUAAGGAGCUGGGUGUCCUAAUCUUCUAUGUAGAAGAUUUACAUAAGUUAAACCCUUUGCAACAACUGACAGACAUGACUUUUUAUUCAGCUCAUAAGAACUAACAGCAGAAGGCUUAUCAGAAGUAAAAACAGGAGAACAAGCAAAAAGAGACUGAAUUUUUUUUUUACCAACUGAACUGAGAAAAACUGAGUGAGCAGCAGCUUGUGAAGAGACUCUAUACAAGCCACCUUUAGCAACACCUUCAUGUAAAAUUUUCCCUGUGUUCCUGGCCUUUAUAAAACAGAAAUCACCAAGAAAUUCAACAGUAACUGGAUUGUCAGCCAAUAAUUUGGAAAUGCUAAGUAAAUUCUUAGUAAUAAAGGGAAUAUGAAGAACAUGGUUAAGAAAUAAAGAUUGAGAAUUUGAAGUGUUCAGCACAACUGAUCCUAUAUGUGUAACAGCUAAUGCAUUUCCAUCCCCAACAAAUAACUUCUCAGUACCAGUAUAAGCUUGUGAAUCUAGAAGUUUACCUAGAUCAUUAGUAAUGUGAUUUGUGGCUCCACUGUCAAUGUACCAGGAAAGAUCUUCAAUGUGUUCUGGAAGUGAAGAAGACAUAGUUGAGGAAGAUGAAGCACUUGACUGUCCAGGAUUAUUGUUUCCUUGACCAGCAACAAAAUUAGAUGAUCCAGGAGUGAAAGAGUAAUAGGCAGAAGGAUUGUUAUCUGGAUACACUAUAUUUCCUUGAUAACCAAAACCCCUGGGUGCAUGACCAAAACUAGCAUUUUGUCCAAAACCAGCAUUUGAACCAAAACUUCUUCCACUAUUACCAUUAUAGACUCUUCCUCUACCAUAUUGCCCUUGAUUAAAACCUCUGUCACCAUUCAUAUUGCCUCUACCAUGAUUCCUCUGUGGAACAUAAGAUGAGUUGUACCUAUUCCUGCAUCUAUUUGCUGCAUGACCAGGUAUGAAGCAAAUUUGACAAACAACUUCAGAGGAAUUACUACCAGUAUUAAACUGACCAUAUCCAUAUCCAUUAAAACCUCCAUAUCCAGAAUUAUUACCACCUCCAUAGUUAUUUCCAUAAUUUUUCUGAAAAUUUCCAUUAUUCUUUCUAGCAUAUGAGUUCUUCUGAGCAAUAUUUGCUGUCAUGUUAUGCAUCACAUCACCAGCAAUUUUCCCUUUCUUUUGCUCAACUCUAUUUUCAUGAUUCAACAACAAAGAAUAUAGUUCAUCUAAUGUGAUCUUUUCACCUCGAGCUAACACAGCUGUGACUAAAGACUCAUAGUCUGAUGAAUCAAGACCAGUUAAUAUAUGCAUCACAAGAUCAUUUAACUCAAUAGGUUUUCCAGCUAGAGCUAAAGUAUCAGCUAUGCGUUUUACUUUUACAAAAUAAUCAGACAUAUGCAUUGCACCUUUCUUAAUAGUUUGAAUCUGCAUUCUAAGUGUUUGAAUUCUAGCUUGUGAUUGAGAGAUAAACAUACUAGCAAGAGUCUCCCAAAGCUGUUUUGAAGUUGUAGAAUCAAUCACAGUAGCAAGCAGAUUUUGCUGUAUCGAUGACAUCAUCCAACUCAGUAAGAGUUGGUCAGUCUUCAUCCAAGCUACGAAUUCUGGAUUAAUAGAUCUGGAUCCAGAUUCAGUUAAAACUUCAGCUCCAUUGUUGUUUCCAGAAGAAAGAAACUGCUCAGGACAUUCUCGAUCGCCAUUGAUAAAUCCUUCCAAACCGUUUCCUUUGAUUGAAGUUAAAAUUUGUGUGCGCAACAGAAUGAAGUUGUUUUGAUCUAGCUUUACUGGCGUAACAAAACUGAAAGAGUUGUUGUUUUGAACUAUAUUUGCCAUUUAUGGCUCUGAUACCAUGAAAGAAACUUAGUUCUAUAUUGUUUGGUAGGCUAGAAAAUGAAAGGAAAUAAAAGAAAAGCUUUGCAAAGAAAUCUGUUAGAUCUUUUAUUAUUCCAAACUUACAGUUUAAUGACUACUAAUUGAUAUUUAUAUUGAGCUACAAUCUCUUAACAUACACACGAGAUUGUUGUAACACAACCAUUGCUGUAUAACUAACUUGACACAUCAGCUCAACCAGCUAACUAACUUUGACAGGCCAGCUUAAUGAUUUGAUCUGCUACAACCAGCUACACAGCACAUCAUGCUCUGCUCCAGCUACACAGCAACAACAUGCUCUGCUCCAGCUUCAUCUAAUUCACUAACACUAGCUUUUCCUUUUGUUUAUUAAAUUUUUUUAUGGUCACAAAGUAUUACUCGUUCUAUUUGACAAUGAUGUGAAUCAAUUUUUCAAUUUUAUAUUUUGUGGUCAACGUGAAUUCAAUUUCAUUUGUCUCCUGCAAUUAUGAAAAAAUUACAGUCAUAAUAUGGGGAAACCUGUGGUGCAACUGUGGUACCAUGUCACAGUUGCAUCCAGCCGUUGGAUGCCAAUAGAUCCCACCAAUUUAAGUGCAUCCAACAGCUGGAUAUAACUAUAGCACGGUACCACAAUUACACCGUAACUUGAUCCCAUAAUAUGGAAAAGUACACCGGCAGAAACUUUGUAAAAGCUUCGGAGUGAUACGGGGAAUUCACUUACUACUAAAGACAGUUGGUGGCAACCUAAUGUCCAUCCAUCUAUUUAGUUAUUGAAGAUUAGUGGUCCAUUUGUAAAUUUCAGAUUGUCUCUCUCUCUCUCCCUCUUGAAAUAACAAUAUUUAAUAUAUCUAUUAAAUUAUUAUAAAUUUUAAUUUACUCUCGAUUUAAAAUGGAGCAUGUCGAUAAAUUUUUUUUCUUCUUAAUAAAAUUGACGUAAGUUGUGUUUACAGUAGUUUGAAGUUUGAAAUAUUUUAAAGAUUAUUAUUCUAUAAGGGAGUAAUAUGAACUGAAAUUUACUUUUCAUGUGUGAAAUGAAAAACGACGAAGCAAGUGUCCCUGCUUUUAUUUUAUUUCAAGGAGGAGUCAUCUCACAUACUUUAGCUCUUAACAUUACAUUUUUUCUGGUUACAUUUUUAUUUUUUAUUUUUUUUAACACAUGCGUGUGGGAUGCUUUUCUGUAAGCUCCUUAAUAUAUAUUUAAGACAAAUCAUGGAAGAGAUGGGAUUAUAUCAAGAUGAUCAAAGCAUGUAAAAAAAGAAAAAAGAAAAAAAAAUUAAGAAGUAAGACACUGAAAAUGGAGAAGAGAUGGAAGCAAAAGAUAUUCCAAACAAAGCAAUCUAUCCCCUUUCGAGGGCAGACUUAUCAGGUUUAAAAAAGUACAUGCUUUGGAUUGGUAGUUACAAUCAAGGGAAAAUAAAUAGGAUCCAAUGAAAUUUAAAUCUUGGAGAAAAUAAAUAAUCAUGCAGAUUUUCAAGAUUUUAAUAAGGGAUACUAAUAUCUUAUUUUGAUUAAUAACAUUCUUUCACUGUGUUAACUCAAAAAAAAUAUUAUAAUGCUUUACAAUAAAUACAAAUGUCCUAUUAAAUGAAUAUAUAAAAAAUUUAGAAUAUUAUAUAAAAUAAUUUUAAUAUAAUGCGUGAGAUAUAUUUUAUUAAUUUAAAAUGUCAUUUUACCUAAAAAAUAUGAUAAAUUGAUAAUUACAUAUUUGAAGUUAUUUCAAAUAUUAAAAAAAUUUAAUAUUAUUAGUCUUUUAGAUAGAUUAAAUUAUUUUUUAAAGAGAUAGAUUAAAUUAUUUUAAAAUACCUUAAUUGUUUUUACUUUAAACAUUACCGGCCUUUCUUUUAUUUUAUUGCAAAUUAAUGCUAACAAGAAAAAGCUAGAUCAUAUUCCACAAAAGCAAAAGUGACAAACACAGCCAGCUGGAAUCUUUUAUAAAACUACAAAUUAAAAUGGAUUUUUUUUUUUGAUAAAUUACACAUGAAAGUGGAUUCUUUUGAAUAUAAGUGGGGUAGGCUCUUUUAUUUUAUUUUUGAAUAUUGUAUAACGGGACUGUAGACUCUUUUAUUAAACUACAAAUUGUAUAGUCUUUUUAAAAUUGUUAUAAAUUAGUGGCCCCUAAAAUCCUCAACAAUUGUACCGAUAUUCACAAGUUGGUGGCCCCUACAAUUCUGUUCAGUUAAUUUAACUGUGCAAGUGCUCAUUCACAAUCUUCCAGGUCAUGCUCUUAAUAAUUUUUUUUUUUUUUUCUGCAUUCCCUUUCAUGCUCUUAAUAAUUGAAGAGCAUACUUUUCAUUUUCAAAUGUGGAGCCGCAGCUAAUGUCGUUAAUUUAAUUUGGGAUUAAAUUAGGGGACCAUUAUAUUGCAGUGUGCACUAAUUUUUGUGUUUAUCUAAACUCCUUAAAUUUAAGACAUAUUAUGGCAUAAAUAAGAAUAUAACAAUAACAAAAGAGUUAGAAAGUGUAGAGAAGAUCUUGCAGAAAUAUAAAUAAUAUCUAUUUUAAAAUAAUUUUUAAUAUUUUAUGAUCCAUUAGAUAUAUUUUAUUAUAUUAAAGUAAAUUUUAUAAUAAAUGAAAACAUACUAUUAAAAUGAAUAUAUAGAAAAUUUAGAGUAUUUUAAAUAUUAUAUAAAAUAAUUUUAAUAAAAUAUGUGAGAUAUUCAUAUUUUAUUAAUUUAAAAUACCAUUUAACCUAAAGAUUUAUUUAUGAUAAAUUAAUAAUUAUAUUUUUGAAAUUACUUCAAAUAUUAAAAAAAUUAAUAUUACUAAUCUAUUAGAUAGAUUAAAUUAUAUAUAUUAUUUUCUAUUUAUUAAAAAAUUAAAAUUAUUUUUAAUUACUAUUCAAAAAAUAUAAUGAUAAAAAAAAAUCUUAACAUCUUUAUUAAAAAUUUAAAAUUUACAUGAUCAAUUCUCUAAAUAUUUAGGGUAUAUGUGAACAUCGGUGGAGAAGCUUUAUUUAAUAUUAUUGAUUUAAAUAAUAUGUCAAUUAAAAAUGUGCGGAGAAGAAAUUUCGGUGGGUAUUUUAGUCUUUUCAGCAAUUAUCAUGAUCAGAUCAGCCUUUAGCCUUGAAACGUCGGUCAGAAAGUUUUAAAAUUAACGCUAACAAGAAAAAGCUAGGUCAUAUUCCACAAAAGCAAAAGUGACAAAACAACCAGUUGGUUUCUUUUACUAAACUACAAAUUAAAAGUGGAUUCUUUUGAAUACAAGUGGGACAGACGAUUAGGCUCUUUUUAUUAAAGGCAAGUAAAAAGUAGUCGAAUAGUCUUUUUCAAAUUCUUGUUUUAAUAUUUUUCAAAACUAGUUUUUGGUAAUUACAAUCGGGUCAUUCAUUAAUCAUUAUUCAGAGUAAUUAUGAAUUUCCCAAUUAUAAUUACUAACUGUUUUUCCUUAACCACUCGGCUCAGCCCGAGUGGCCAGGGCUGCUGCCCUCCAAGUUCGAACCCCCACAAAAGUAUUGUGGGGGUAUUUUCUUUCUCAAUUAAUUUGAGUGAAGGUAGUCUUUUCCUUUAUCCAUGAGUGAGGAGUAGACAUCCCUCGAAUAUUUGUGAGGGUUAAAAUCUGAGUAGAGCUCUAUUAGCAUUGAUGUAAGUUGAUCCCAGUAAUUGUCUGAUCUGUAAAUAUCAGGUUAAAAUCUGGGCAAAGCUCCAUUAGCAUUGAUGUAAGUUGAUCCCAGUAAUUGUCUGAUCUAUAAAUAUCAGUUAUAGUCUCAUGUAAUAUGAGUUGUAAUCUGAGCAAUAGUCUCGUGUAAUAAAAAAAAAAAAAAACUAUUUUUCCUUCAAAAGUUAGAGACUCGUGUUUGCAACUUGCAAGUGUGAAUGUGCAAUGCUCUUUGUCUAAAGGCUAGUGUUUCUAGUGGGUCCCGACUCGAGCGUGCCUAAAUCAUUUUAAAAUUUUUCCCGUAUAAUGGACAGAGGUCAUUACUAAAAUUUCUCUUCCACAGGCAAUUACAGCAGCUCCAGUUUAUCAAACUCAACCAAUUUUCUUUCUUAACAAAAUUCCAAAGAUGUGUAGCUUUUUUCAGAUCACAUGCGAUGGUGCUCUUUUCAAUCGUUGCUUGGAUUGCUUUCUUGGAAAAGCAGCAUACAUACGUAACCUCCAAGAUAAUCUUGAUGCCUUGGAGACUGAAUUGGGAAAUCUGAUCGCUAAAAAGAACGAUGUGAUGAGGAGGGUUGUCGAUGCUGAACGGCAACAAAUGAGAAGGCUGGACGGAGUGCAAGUGUGGGUUUCGAGGGUGGAUGCUUUUAAAACUGGAGCCGAUGAACUUAUCAUAGACGGCUCUGAAGAAAUUGGCAAAUUAUGUGUUGGAGGCUACUGUUCCAAGAACUGCAGGUCAAGCUACAAAUUCGGAAAACAAGUGGCUAGAAAGCUACGAGAUGUGGAGACUUUAAUCGCCGAGGGAGUUUUUGAGGCGGUGGCUACUGAGGUGGUGCCUGAGAGAGCUCCAGAGCCUGUAGCAGAUAAAAGACCCAUUGAGCCAACAAUAGUAGGCUUGCAAUCACAGCUUGAACAAGUUUGGAGAUGUCUUGUAGAAGAAUCAGUGGGAAUCAUUGGCCUAUAUGGUAUGGGCGGUGUUGGUAAAACCACACUAUUGACCCAUAUCAACAAUAAAUUUCUUGAGAGUCCCACAAACUUUGAUUGUGUGAUUUGGGUCCUAGUUUCAAAAGACCUGCGACUUGAAAAAAUUCAAGAAGAUAUUGGGAAGAAGAUAGGUUUGGUUGAUGAUUCAUGGAAGAAUAAAAGUUUUGAAGAGAAAGCUGUGGACAUCCUGCGGAGAUUAGGAGAGAAGAGAUUUGUAUUGUUGUUAGAUGAUUUAUGGGAGCGGGUUGAUUUAACAGAAGUGGGCGUUCCACUUCCCAGCGCACAAAAUACUACCUCAAAAGUCGUAUUCACAACCCGUUCCAUUGGUGUUUGUGGCAGCAUGAGAGCUAGGCCGGUUAAAGUGGCAUGCCUAUCAGAAAAGCAAGCUUGGGAACUGUUCCGCGAAAAUGUUGGGGAAGAAACUCUUGAGAGUGAUCAUGAGAUCGUUGAGCUAGCCCAAACUGUAGCCAAAGAGUGUGGUGGUUUGCCACUCGCACUUAUUACUAUUGGUCGAGCUAUGGCCAACAGAAAUACAGCUGAGGAGUGGAGACAUGCAAUUGAAGUAUUAAAAAGGUCAGCUUCGGAGUUUGCGGGUUUGGAAAAAGAUGUAUAUCCUCUUUUAAAGUUUAGUUAUGAUAGUUUGCAGAAUGAGACGAUUAGAACUUGUUUCUUAUAUUGCUGUUUGUAUGCGGAAGAUUAUGUCAUUCCUAAAUGGGACUUGAUUGAUUGUUGGAUUGGUGAGGGAUUCUUAGAGGAAUCUCACGGUUUUGGUGCAGAAAACCAAGGAUACUACAUUGUGGGCACUCUUGUUCGUGCAUGUUUAUUAGAAGAGGUGGAAGAUGAUGAAGUAAAAAUGCAUGACGUUAUUCGUGAUAUGGCUAUAUGGAUAACCUGUGAAAUUGAGAAGGAGAAGAGAAACUUUUUGGUUCGUGCAGGUGCUGGAUUAAAAGAGGCACCGGAUGUUAAAAGAUGGGAAAAUGUGAGAAGAUUGUCAUUGAUGCAAAACCAAAUUGAAACUCUGUCAGAGGUUCCCACAUGCCCUCAUCUCCAUACUCUAUUUCUUGCCUCUAAUAAUAGUUUGCAGAGGAUCACCGAUGGCUUCUUCCAACUUAUGCCUUCUCUCAAAGUUUUGAAGAUGUCAAACUGCUGGAAUUUUACUUUGAAAUUACCUUUGGCGAUGUCAGAGUUGGGUUCGUCACUAGAACUUCUUGAUAUUUCAUAUGCCAGCAUAACAGAGUUACCAGAAGAGUUAAAGUUGUUGGUAAAUCUGAAAUGUUUGAAUUUGAGGUGGACAGAUACGUUAAAUAAAAUUCCACGGCAACUAAUAUCAAUUCUUUCAUGGUUACGUGUGUUGAGAAUGUUGGGUACUGGCUGGUUCAAUUUUCUUGAAGCACCAGAAGACAGCGUUUUAUUUGGUGGGGGUGAAGUUUUGAUACAGGAAUUGCUCGGUUUGAAAUAUUUAGAGGUAUUGGAGUUGACCUUGGGAAGUUAUCAUGCUCUCCAAAUUCUUUUGAGCUCAAAUAAGUUAAAAAGUUGUAUUCGAUCUCUUUACCUCCAUUUGACCGGAGAUACAGCGUCAAUUAUUGAUGCUACGGUUUUCGCAGAUCUAAACCAACUCAAUCAAUUAUGGAUUGAUGAAGGUAUUGAGUUGGAAGAAUUGAAGAUUGAUUAUACGGAGAUAGUACGAAAAAGGCGGGAACCUUUUGUUUUCCGCAGCCUUCACUGUGUUCGUAUAGAGCAGUGCCAUAAAUUGAAAGAUGUGACAUUCCUCAUUUUUGCUCCAAACCUCAAGUCUCUUGACCUAUCCUACUGCUCUUCUAUGGAAGAAGUAAUCAGCGUCGGAAAAUUUGCUGAGACUCCUGAGAUGAUGGGACAUAUAAGCCCUUUUGAAAAUCUCCAAAGUCUUCAUUUAUCGCAAUUGCCAGCUUUGAAGAGCAUCUACUGGAAGCCAUUGCCUUUCACUCAUCUCAAAGAAAUAUCUGUGGGUUAUUGCCGUAAUCUUAAAAAGCUUCCACUCGAUUCCAACAGUGCAAAGGAGCGUAAAUUUGUAAUUCGUGGAGAAGAAGACUGGUGGAACCGACUUCAAUGGGAGGAUGAAGCCACUCAAAUUGCUUUUCGUUCCUGUUUCCAACCAAUGGGAGUACUGAGCGGUGGUCGCAAAAUUUGAUUUCUGGUGAGUGCGUUUGUCUUUUAAAAGCAGAAUUUAAAAGAAAUUUAUUCUUGUCGUUUUCUUCUCUGUUUUUAUUUGAUUUCUGGUUAGUUUCUCUCUCGCACUGCCAUUACUGUUUUAAUUUCCUGUCAAAAGACGAGCGAGAAGAACAUAUAUAUGACGUAAACCAAUUGAUAAAUAUUAAUUGCCUGUUCUCUGUUUUUAUUAAGUAUACUUUAUUUUGCCCUGUUCUCUGUUUUUAUUUCAUUCUCUCUCUCUCCCUCUCUUUCCUGUCUUCUGCAAGUCAUAAUUAAAUGUUGAAUUAUAUGGAAUUAAUGCUUUAUAAAUCUGCCUACGCUGGCUUUUUUUUUUUUUUUUGUGGGGUCGAAUUGAUGCUCUGGUUUUCGACUACUUUUUGUUGUCAAAAUUUUCUCUGUUUUUUCAAAUUGAUGCUUUAUUUAUAUCUUCUUCGUGAAAAGUGAUUUAAUUUCCUGCCAAAAGACGAACGAGAAGAACAUUAGAGUCUAACUAAUGCUCACAUAAAUUUCCCGUAAGAAUAUAUAUAUAAUUAGACUGGAAUGCACACCUCUAGAUUGAACAGAAUUAAAGCUGAGAAAAUAUUGAGUAUAGUAGCCCUCUUUACAGAAAAUGACGCGAAAGUUAAUUUAGAAAAAGAUAUAUUCUUGAUUAAUCCAUUUUCUGAAGUUUUUUAUUUUGUAUGGUCAAUUAUACCUUCAUACUAAAAAUUUCUGAAGUUAUGGGGUUGUUGGAUGUGUUUUGGAUAUUUGCAGCUAAGUUUGAGUUUAUAUCUCAACUUAAAAUUUGUAGUUUUCACUUGAAAAAAUUCAGUUAAAAAUUUAUUGGUAGAAUUGUGAAAAAAGUUAAAAUUUUUAGUUCAACCCGAUUGCAUAUUUAAGAACAUCUCAAAUGAAUUGCUUACUGCUAUCAUCAUCAUUAUUGUCCAUAUAAUAAUGGAUCUUUAUUAUAUAUAUAUAUGUUUCCACUAAAAUAUAUUUAAUUAUUCUUUAUUUUUCCAUUGUUGCGUGUAAGAUUUAUUUGAGUUCUAAGUUAUAUCAAUACAAAUGUUAUCUUAUCCAUAAAAAAGUUAGAUCCAACAAUUAUGAAAAUUACCAUAGAGUUGCUUUCAAUUAUUUUUUAAAAAUACCAGGAGUAAAUAAUAAUUAGUUCAAGUGGUGUAGACUAAAAAGUGUUCACCUUUAUUUUUUAUCUGUUAUUUAUUUAUUUCAUUAAUGCACAUGCUAUACAUUUGAGACACUCCAUCCUAUGCAAUGUGAAUAAAUUUCUUUCCUUUUUCCUUUACUCUUUUUAUUUGACAAUAAAGUUUCCAUCUAUCAUCUAUCAUCUAUCAUCUAUGUACGCAAAAUUUCUGCAACAAGUACAAAACAUAAAAAUAUAUAUGAUUGUUAAGGGAAACACGCAGAAGUUCAUCAUUUCAAUGUUCAGUAUUACCAAUUUUGGCAUUAAGCUUGUACGAAUAUAUUCCACUUAGAAAGCAAAAUAUUAGACUCAUGAUUUUAAUUCAUUCAUUAUCUCUCAUUUUAAUCCCAAAAUAUUCAAGAGUAUCCAAGUUACCAUAAGACUUCAGAGGCUCGAGCCUUAGCCAGAGAUGGUUAAUUGAUAGACUAUGUGCCUGGGUCGAGCACUGGAAGCCUGCAAUGCAGACUGAUUGAUUUAUCAGUUUGACGUGUGCCAGGAAUGAAGAACUGGAAUAUCACCGUCAAGCACGCACCCUGUGGAGCAAUACCAAAGAAUGCACAAUCUGGCUUUGCUAGGUGACACUGGAGGCUUUUUGAAAAGUGCUUCACGCUCACUUGCACAGAUUGAGCAUCCCCUCCGGAUAUUGCCCUCUCUGAUCGAGUCCGAGCACUCAAAUUUCAAUCCUCAGAUGGAGCUACAGCUUUCUCUCCAAUAACCAACAAUUUUCUAAACUCAGCUCCUAGUGUGAUGAGAGUUGUUGAUAUUUGUAAAUGGAGAUCCCCAUAUUUGCAAAUGGAGACAUUUAACAAAUCACCAACAUGCUUCAUUCGGUCUACGAAAUUCUGCAGCUGAUUCAAAUCCGGAACCUGAACCAGAGUCGGAGGUAAAUCUUGAGCCAUAUCUAAAGCAGUCUGAAGUUCAAGUACUUGAGCCCUUGACAAUGGUUUUGAAAUAGGAACAUCUUGGAUUACUGCAGACUUGUACCCCUUGGUUUCAAAGGUAAGGAAAGGCAUUGCUUGAGUACAAUUUGGAGGCAGCUUCUUCACCAAUUUUAUUUGGAGGCGAUUGGCAGCGGAUCCAGCUGCACCAAUUUCAGAGCAAAUACUGACACUACUUCGAACAGCACACUGAAGAAGUGAUAUGUCUACGGCAAAGGCAAUGCAGUCCUCAUUUUGGCUUGAGAUGCAGUAAUCAUCGAAGAGAGUUUCCUUGUGAAACUGGGCAACACAUUGAAUCCCUUCGCCACUGAGAAGGUUGUGGAGGAAGUAAGCUUUCUCUCUAGUGAGGAAGAGGUGGCAUACCUUCCCCAUUUUGUCUAGGGCAGGUAGGAAUCAUUUUUCUAAGAGAUUUACUUCAUUCUCUGUGAGAAAUGAAUUGAACUUCAUCCCUCUGUCUCUAUCCUCACUUAUCAGAAAAUAAGUUGAAAGCACUUCGGAGAGAGAGAGAGAGAGAAUUAAGAUAUAUAGACAAGAAAAAUAUUAGACGUUGAUCUUACAAACUAAUACUUCAAGCAGUAUCCUAGAAAGCUAAAAACUGCAAGAUGGCUUGAAAUUUGAAAAGAGCACGUGCUUUUCCUCCUUAACUUGAGAAAAUGUUUAAUAUAGUGCACCUACAGAAGCAUUUAAGCAAUUAGAACUUUGCACAAAAACAUCAAGAAGACUAAACAAAUCAGAUGCAGUGUAUUUGUCCAAGCACAAAUUGCAUUUUGUCCUCAACUUUAAUAUUUAUUGAUGAGAAUCAAUACAGGUCCCUCAUUUGAUAUAGAAAGCUUUCUUUCUUGUAGUCUCACCAGUUAAUUCACAGGUCUAUAAUCAUCUUGCAAAGUUAAGGGCAUUUCUUUCGAUCUAAAGUCUUUGCAUCACCACCUCAUCACACGCCAAGCCAAUAUUCCAUUUACCUCUACAACAAAAAGUUUUAAGUAAACAAUCCUAAUGCACGCAGCCAAAUAAAAUGCAGUAAGAAUAUUCAACUUAAAAAUCUGAAAGCCGACUUGGUGAAUUGCCUCCUUAGGUGAAGUUCCAUGCUUUACUAUAGUUGACAGAACUCAGCAAAAGCUUCCAUACAACAGAUUUUGAAAAUGAUGAUGCCAAUAGAUACUCAUUCAAUCCAUUGAAAAUCCAAAGGUUCAUUGUUAAUAGAAGUUUACAGAGUUUUGGUCAUCAAAUAGCUCAGACCUAAUCCCAAACAAAAAACGAGUGAAAAUUAGAUCACGAGCAGCUGAUUGUAAAUUCUAACUUAACUCUUCAUCUCCUUUGUAAACAAGAAACAAAAUGGAGACACGCAAAAUGAAUAUGGAGAAAAUUUGAACUCAAAUGAAAUGAGGGCACGAAAGCAAACAAAUGGCAUGCACAAAAAAACCAAGCCUCAAUCAAAAACUAAUUAACCAUUAAGAAAAAAAUUGGUCAGAUAAUGAACUACAAAUUCAGGAGUCAAGCAAGAAGCUUUCAUUAUUUCAGAAGCUCCUGUACAAAUUAAUAAGUUAUGCUCUUUGGAAGCAAACCUAAAUUCCAAGAGAAACAGAACCCAAAAAAUUUGCAAUUAUACGCAAAGGGAGUGAAGCACAGGAUUCUAUCACACAUAGGAAUUGUAUAACAAGAGAUCGAUAUAUCGAAUUAGAAAACUCAAUUCGAAUUUGUGUCAAAAAUCAAAAUUAGAAGAUUUCACAUUUCGAGAGGAACAAGCAACAGAUGAAGUUCAAAAUUUCAGCCAUAACAUGCUAAAAAUGCUACACUUAACGGUUCAUUUUCAUGGAUUUUCUCGGGAAACAAACAGAAAAUUACGGUUUAGAGAUUUGACUGACCUUUUGGCUUUUGAAAUUGAGAAGAUCGCACGCCAAAUUGGAAGAGGGAAAGUGAAAGUGCGAGUUUUAAUAUGGGUAUUAGAUAAGGAAAUUUUAUUAGGUUGCGAGGGUAAAAAAGGAAAGAGAUAUCAUUGUUUUAUUAUCGAUAAUUAUUAAAUUUUUUUCCAAAAAAAAAGAACAAGCAAGGAUAUUUUAUUGUCAUUUGCAACCUUUAAUUUUUUAAAUGCUAUUAGAAACACAAGACAAUAAAGAAAUACUUAUUUUUUUCUAAAACUAAAAUCAAUUGUUUAAAAAAAAUUGUUUCAAAAUUACUUGAGUCAUAUCCAAUGGACCAACAAAGUAAUCGUUUUUAUUUUUAUUGAUUUUUGCAGGAAAUUAAUAACUUAAAAAUACUGAAAGCUAUUGUAAAAAUUUUUAUUAUCAACCUCAUAGUUUUUUUUUUUUUUUUUGGGAAGAGAAUUCAAACUUUUUUUUUUAUGAAUAUCGCUGUUUCGUUUGAGUUGGAUGUGAAUUCAAAUACAAAUAUUCUUUGUUUUUCAAUUCUGAACUCAAUUUCUUUUUUUCAAGAAUGUUAUGCAGAAAUGAUUUUUACUGAACGGCAACAAAUGAAAAGGCUGGGCCAAGUGGAAUGGUGGGUUUCGAGGGUGGAUGCUGUUAAAAUUGAAGCUGAUGAACUUAUCAGAGACGGCUCUCAAGAAAUUGACAAAUUGUGUGUUGGAGGCUACUGUUCUAAGAACUGCACGUCAAGCUACAAGUUCGGGAAACAAGUGGCUAAAAAGCUACGAGAUGUGGAGACUUUAAUCGCUGAAGGAGUUUUUGAGGCGGUGGCUACCGAGGUGGUGCCUGAGAGAGCAGAGCCUGUAGCAGAUGAAAGACCUACCGAGCGAACAGUAGUAGGCUUGCAAUCACAACUUGAACAAGUCUGGAGAUGUCUUGCAGAAGAAUCAGAGGGAAUCAUUGGCCUAUAUGGUAUGGGCGGUGUUGGUAAAACUACAUUACUGACCCAUAUCAACAAUAAAUUUCUCGAGAGUCCAACCAACUUUGAUUGUGUGAUUUGGGUAGUAGUUUCAAAAGACCUGCGACUUGAAAAAAUUCAAGAAGAUAUUGGGAAAAAGAUAGGUUUGGUUGGUGAUUCAUGGAAGAGUAAAAGUGUAGAGGAGAAAGCUGUCGACAUCUUCCGGAGUUUAAGAGAGAAGAGAUUUGUAUUGUUGUUAGAUGAUAUAUGGGAGCGGGUUGAUUUAACAAAGGUGGGCGUUCCACUUCCCGGACCCCAAAAUACUACCUCAAAAGUCGUAUUCACAACCCGUUUCAUCGAUGUUUGUGGUAGCAUGGAAGCUGACAGGAAGUUCCAAGUGGCGUGCUUAUCAGAAAAGGAUGCUUGGGAACUGUUUCGAGAAAAAGUUGGGGAAGAAACUCUUCAGAGUCAUCAUGAUAUCGUUGAGCUAGCCCAAAUUGUGGCCAAAGAGUGUGGUGGUUUGCCACUCGCACUUAUUACUAUUGGUCGAGCUAUGGCCUGCAAAAGGACAGCCGAGGAGUGGAGACACGCAGUUGAAGUGCUAAGAAGAUCAGCUUUUGAGUUUGCAGGUUUGGGAAAAGAGGUAUAUCCUCUAUUAAAGUUUAGCUAUGAUAGUUUGCAGAAUGAGACGAUUAGAUCUUGUUUCUUAUAUUGUUGUUUAUAUCCCGAAGAUUAUGGAAUUCUUAAAUGGGACUUGAUUGAUUGUUGGAUUGGUGAGGGAUUCUUAGAGGAAUCUGACAGGUUUAGUGCAGAAAACCAAGGAUACUACAUUGUGGGCACUCUUGUUCAUGCAUGUUUAUUAGAAGAGUUAGAAGAUGAUAAAGUAAAAAUGCAUGACGUUAUUCGUGAUAUGGCUCUAUGGAUAACCAAUGAAAUUGAGAAGGAGAAGAGAAACUUUUUGGUUCGUGCAGGUGCUGGAUUAAAAGAGGCACCGGAUAUUAAAGGAUGGGAAAAUGUGAGAAGAUUGUCAUUGAUGCAAAACCAAAUUAAAACUCUGUCAGAGGUUCCUUCAUGCCCUCAUCUCCAUACUCUAUUUCUUGCCUCUAAUGAUAAUUUGAGGAUGAUCACAGAUGGCUUCUUUCAAUUUAUGCCUUCUCUCAAAGUUUUGAAGAUGUCAAACUGUGUGGAUUGGCCAGUUUCGAAAUUACCUUUGGCGAUGUCAAAGUUGGGUUCACUACAACUUCUUGAUAUUUCACAUACCGGCAUAGAAGAGUUACCAGAAGAGUUGAAGUUGUUGGUAAAUCUGAAAUGUUUGAAUUUGAGGUGGACAUUUGAGUUAAAUAAAAUUCCAUGGCAACUAAUAUCAAAAUUUUCAAGGUUACGUGUGUUGAGAAUGUUCGCUACUGGCUUUGCCCGUUUUGAUGAAGCAUCAGAAGACAGCGUUUUAUUUGGUGGGGGUGAAGUUUUAGUACAGGAAUUGGUCGGUCUGAAAUAUUUAGAGGUAUUGGAGUUGACCUUGGGAUGUCAUCAUGCUCUCCAAAUUUUUUUGAGAUCAAAUAAGUUAAAAAGUUGUAUUCGAUCUCUUCUCCUCCACUUGGCCGGAGAUACAACGUCGAUUAUCGAUGCUACGGCUUUCGCAGAUCUAAACCACCUCAAUGAAUUAUGGAUUGAUAGGGCUAAGGAGUUGGAAGAAUUGAAGAUUGAUUAUACAGAGAUAGUUCGAAAAAGGCGGGAACCUUUUGUUUUCCGCAGCCUUCACCGUGUUACUAUACAUAGCUGCCAGAAGUUGAAAGAUACGACAUUCCUCGUUUUUGCUCCAAACCUCAAGUCUCUCGAUCUAGACCGUUGCGAUGCUAUGGAAGAAAUAAUCAGCGUCGGAAAAUUUGCUGAGACUCCUGAGAUGAUGGGACAGAUAAGCCCUUUUGAAAAUCUCCAAAUGCUUGAUUUAGAAGAUUUGCCACAUUUGAAGAGCAUCUUCUGGAAGCCAUUGACUUUCACUCAUCUGAAAGAAAUAUCUGUGGGUUAUUGCCGUAAUCUUAAAAAGCUUCCACUCGAUUCCAACAGUGCAAAGGAGCGUAAAUUUGUUAUUCGUGGAGAAGAAGACUGGUGGAACCGACUUCAAUGGGAGAAUGAAGCCACUCAAAUUGCUUUUCGUUCCUGUUUCCAAUCUCUUUUUGAUUAACUCUUAUACAUUUUCUCGUCGUUUGCUUCGUGCAAAAAAGACUACGUCUUUUGUUCUCUGUUUUUAUUUCAGUUUCGUUUGUUGUCUCCUGCAAAUCACAAUUAAAUGUUGAAUUAUAUGGAAGUAACGCUUUAUAAAUUUUCCGGCACUGCCAUUUCUUUUUCCUCUUUUUUUUUUUGGGUCGAAUUGAUGCUCUGGCUUUUUUACUUUUUGUCAUCGAAUUUUGCUCUGUUUUUCAAAUUGAUGCUUGAAUAUGUGAAUUCAAUUAAUGCUCACAUAAUUUUGUUUAGUUGCCGUAAAAAGAAUAUAAUUAGACUGCAAUUCGCACUCCCAGAAUGAAUAGAAUCACAACAGAGAAAAUAUUAAGUAUGCUAGCCCUCUUUACAGAAAAUCAAAUGAAAAUAAAAUUUUUUGGAUAUUUGAUUUUCUAUGGUCUACUAUAUACAGUUUAUAAAUUCUUCUGUUCUAAGGAUAACCAAAUCCUUUGUUCAAGGAUUUUUAUUUGGGGUAUUGAUAAUAGUCCACCAAAAUAGUGAAUGCUUGGAUGCUGCUUAAGGAUCUGUAAUCAAUAAGCUGGAAGCAAACGAGAAGGCGGUCGCUACUCUGUACAAAGCCAUGCAGCAAUUGCUAUUCAUCUUAAAUUCUUAAUAAUUACGAAGCUUUGGUAAAAUUUCCGAACAAAGUUGACAUGUUAUUUUGAGAUUUGGUUCCUGAUUUUGUAUGAAUAUCGCUGUUUCGUUUGAGUUGGAUGUGAAUUCAAAUCCAAAUAUUCUUUGUUUUUCAAUUCUGAAAUCAAUUUCUUUUUCUCAAGAAUGUUAUUCAGAAAUGAUUUUUACUAAAUCAUUUUUGAUGAAUUGUUUAAAUUAAACAAUUGGAAUAAGAAUUGUAACGAUUUAUCAUAAGCGUGCUAAUAUGAUAACUUAUUUUACGAACGAUUAAUUAAUUAAUCAAUUAAUGUUAAAUUAUAUAUUAAUCAAUUAGCUAUGUGUUGCAUUUAUCAUGUUUUGUAGGUGAUUCUACAUAAUUUCUAAAAGAAUAUAGUAAAAACACGUUAAAAAUUAUUUAAUGAAGAAAAUUUUAUUAAAUAGGUGACACAAUAAUAAAUGGAUUUCUGUAAGAAUUGAGAUUCUUGAGAUAAUUAUUACAUAAGGAGAAGUUUAGUUGGUUCAAUUUUGACAUGAUAAGAAGACAACACAGCACAGAAAACCCAAAUUGCCACUUCCACUAAUAAAAGAUACCUGUUUGAAAAGUAAUUAUAAACUAUCUUCUUUGUGUUAUUUCUCAAAACUUUUGUGGCACAAAUGUUAUUUCCAUUGACAACAGUACGAAAUACCACCCCUUUCACUUGAGCAGGAGCAAAGCAAAGGUAUGAUGAGCUAUCUCUGUAUAAUUGAAACGCCAUUACUAAACGAUUCUUGAUGAUGGGAGCCACCGUGCCAGCUUUGUCGCUGAUUUGCAUGAUUUAUUAGUUGUCCAGAUGGCGGAUUUUGUACUGUUACCUUCGUUUCAUUCUUCAGAGCCAUGUACAGUUCUAGGAUACCAGAGAAACCAAGGUGGCAUUGAAGUUGCCCCAGUGGUUAGUUUUCCGAUCAUUUUUUUUAUUCAAUUAUUUAUGUUUGUAGAAAAAUGUAGGAAAUAUGUAGAAAUGUUGACAGCUAUGAUUUUGAAACUUUUGCCUAAAAUUGUUAUCAUUACUUCUUGUUUCUUAUUUAAAGAGAAAUUCUAGAAACAUGAAAUGAUUAUUCUACGCUUGUUUUAAUAUUAUGCUAUGAAGAUUAUGAAGGUUUGAUUAUAUGUCACUAUCAAUUGCCUUAAUCGUUUGUCGUAAAUCAAUUAAGCAUUUUGAUGCAAAUGAUUCCCUAUUAAAAAAUUCAAGUCAGAGCUGAAUUGCAAAUUAGUUAGUCGUGCUUGCCAUUCAAAUUAAGUAUUGUAUUUUCUCCCUGAUUUGGUUGAUUCAACUAUGUGCAUUUGCUUAUGAACGUUGUAGUACAGAAAUUGAAACAUCUUGUCUUUUGCUAAGCCCAGAAGCAAAUUCUUUGUAUUCUACUCAUCAGUUUUCUUCAUUCUCUUCGUUGAAAUUUUAUCCAAACAGCGGUUUCGAAAUUGUUUUCACCACAAUACCUUAGUCUUUCAGAUGCUCCCGUCACUGAGUUGCCAGAAGAGCUAAAAGCCUUGGUAAAUCUUAAGUGUUUGAACCGGAGUACACAAAUUAUCUCUCUACAAUUCCAAAACAACUGAUUUGUUACUUUUCGAUGCUACAUGUUCUGCGAAUAUUCAGUUGUGAUUAUCUUGUUCAAAUACCAGAAAAUAGCGUUCUAUUUAGUGGUAAUGAAUUCUUGGUUUGGGAGUUGCUUAGUUUAAAACGUUUAAAUGUAUUAAGCAUCAUCUUGAAAAGUUUUUCUGCCGUCCAAAAACUUAUGAGCUCCCAAAAGUUUCAAAGCUGUACACAAUGCUUGGAGCAUAUAGGCUGUGAUGAUCCAAAGUCAUUUGCCUUGGCAGAGUUGAAACAUCUUGAAAAACUAGGUUUUUCGAGUUGUGGAAAUUUGGAAGAGUUAAAGUUCUGCUGUGUCGAAGUUGCAAAGGCUCGAGAAUGUUUUCGUUUGAACGGCCCUUGCUGAGUUAAGAUGAAGGCUUGUCAUAAAUUGUGGGAAGCGACAGGUUAUUCAAAUAGAAAAAUGUAUGGAGAUGGAUGUUAAUCUUAAGGUUAUUCAAGCAGACAAAUUCGAAUAAAACUUAUGGUAAGUGCUUUUCCAUUUAUUGCAUAUUUAUAUCUAAUUUUUAUUUUCCUUUAUUGUUAAAUUUUGCUCUAUAUUUGUUGUUGUAUGGUGGCAUUCUUGUACAAUUAUUAGCUUUUCAUUUCUCUUCUCACAUUAACUGCCCUUCUGAUCAUGUAGGAUUUGCUGAUGCAAAGAGUCAUAAUUUGGGAUACAAAUGUAAGAAUUAGACAGAUGACGUGUUGUUUUGAAGCUCUCGAAGAAGAAGGACUAAUUAUGUCAUUGAAAGCCUCCAAUUUUGUGAUUGGUUUCUUUUUAUUUUAUUUGUUGUUUUCUCUAUUUUCAGAUCGCUUAAUUGUUAGUUGUUGUAAUGUAAUGUUUUAGUAUAGAAAAUUAUAUUCGGCCAAGACAGCGAUAGGAAGGCACAUUGUGCAUGCACACUAGUGGAUUUGGCAUGCCAACUCCAAUUAGGAUGGAUAACACUUUAUAAGCAUUAGGCUUCUCUCGUACUUGAGUAAUAUAGAAUAUGUUUAUAAGUUGUGAAUCACCCUUUAUAAGUGUUAGGCUUCUGCUAUACUCAGUGAUGUGAAAUAUAUUUAUAAGCACUAAACUUCUCCCAUACACUUUAUGUUAAAAAUAAUAAUAAUAAUAAUAAUAAUAAUAAAAUAAACCCAUUUUAACAGACUCUUUUUUCUUUUUCUAUAUGAACAAAUGCAUUCUUCAAAGCAAUUGUGGGUAGAAGAAGUGAGUAGAGAAGAACUGGGCCCCUUUCAUUCCCCUAAAACCUCACCAAAACCUCUCUUGUAAGCUUUUCGGAUUUUCUUUCUAUAUUUCUUAGGAACUCAUUUUUUAUUGAAUCACUUCUUUUGCAUGCUGCAUUUUUUGUUUGUCGUAUUUGGGUAUUAUCUUAUCUGGAAUACUGUUAUGAUUGAUGGAACAAGUAAUCGAUUUUUGGUCUAAUGGAAGUUGAUUUAUUUAUUUAUUGUUAUUUUUAUUUGAAAUUAUGUACAAUUGCAUUUCAUUCAUUUCUCUCUCUCUUUUUCUUUUUUUCCCCCCAUAUAUUUGUUAUGUAUAAUUGCGUUUCAUUUAAUAUUGAUCAUACUGUAGGUAACCAUGUGAUUGUAGAUUGGGAUUUCAAGUUUGUUGAAUAUUCAUGUAAGUGAAGUAACCGUCACAAUACUAGUGAAAUUGGGAGCUUUAUUCAUGAGUUUGUGGUUUUGAAAAGAACCACAGUUCAACUGAUGAAGGCUCCUUUUUGGGAUUCUUCUUUUUCUAGGCUGCAAUUAGGAUAUGUACAUGAUAGACAAUCUUUUGUUGGCUUGGCAUAUCUUCGCUGAUUUUUUCUUUUAUUCCCCAAUUUUAUAAUUACACACCAUGAAUGUUGGGUGAUUGUAUAGAAAAUUUGUGUUAUAACAAAAACAUUGUGAAGGAGUUUCCGUGCUAAUAGUUAGUGGCUUCUGUUUUAUUGGCAUUGAUUGGGUAGAUUACGUGUUACAGUGAUUCAAUUUGUGUUCCAAACUUUGCUUUAAUUUUCUGUUUUCCCCAACUAUUUAUGUCAAAUUUAAAUCCAGAAGCAUGUACUGAUUUUUUCUUUUUGUAUUAAUCUGUGAAGUUUAUUUGGAAUGGAAGUAACUGGGUCGGGUCUAAUGGAUUAAAUUAUGACAUUGAGGGGAAGGCACUAAAAGGGUUUGCUUGACACAUUUGGUUCUGUGUUUACUCUGCAAGAAAUAGCUUUUGCUUAUUGCAAUGCAGGGGGAAAUCCCGAUUUGGCUGGUGAAUUUCUCUGCAACAAACAGGCAAACACCUCAACCUCUUCUGUCCAUACUUCUGCUGGGGAGGCAAGGGGUAAAGAGUCUUCAAAAUCAUCAAAUAGUAACAUCUCUGAGAAUUCAUUUUAUGGAAAUGGAAAAUCUAGAGCUUCUAAUACAAAAUGGCAUCUGGUAUCAGGACGUACCGUUUCAAGUUUUCUUGGUAAAGAUUAUGUUAAACCUGCACAGCCAGCUAAUGGCACUUUUCUGGCAUCAAAGCCAUUGAAGUUGGAUCCAAAGGAGUUUCCCAUGUCUGCACUUUGCAGAGAAGAAUCUAAACCGAAACAAUCAAAGGAUGACCAUUUGCAGAAGGACAUGGAAGAUUUUCUGUUUAAAUUUCCAGGAGAAGGGUUCCAGCUGAACAGGGAUGUGAUUCAGGAGGUUCUCGGUAAUGUCUUAAAUAUAUUGAUGCCAAUUUAAUACAUAUUGUCCUUUUCAAUGUUCUUUCUUUCUUUCUUUCUCUUCUUUUAUUCUUCUUCUUCUUCUUUUUUCUUUUCGUGUGCAUGUGAUUGCUAAUUUUGUAUUAUUUUUAACUUGCAGAUAGUUGUGGAUAUGAUAUGCAAAAGGUAAGGACUAUAUCCUCCUGAUAGAGGCCUCUGCUUUUUCCCUUCUAUGUACGUAAUUUAGUAAAUCGCAUAUUCUAUAUAUCAUACCAAAAUCCUGUCUUAAAUGCUGCUGGCAUAUGUUAAGGUUCAACUUGCAUUUUGAUUAACGUCCAUUUGCUACGGCUUCCAAAAUUGAGAAUGAGAUACUUUGGUUAAUUUCAGUAGUUGAACCCAAUAGGGUACUUUAUUUAGAUCUUCAUGGUUCAAAGGCCCGAAAAAACUUGCAGGUAUUUGCAAAAUGACAUUCUGUGCUUUUAUUUAUACUUAUUAUUUAAGUGAUAAAAAUUCCCCAAACCUGCGGUCAAGAAAAUUUCAGACAGUUAAAGACUCCAUUUUGUUUCAGCCAAAAAUGUUUAUUUCAAUUAAAGAUUUGAACCAUUUUCAUUUAACCUGAUUGUGAUGCUUUACAUUGUGCACGUUCCUUUCGAUCAAUAAACGUUGAGGUCAUGAUUUUAUAUUCCUAUAUUGUAACCUAAAAUAAUAGUUGGUUUGCCUGUUUCUGUAGCUUGAUAACAUGAAUUUUCCUUCUGAAGUUACUUUGAUCAAUAAAGUUAUUCUUCGGAGAAGAUAUGCCCAUUCUAUAAUCAUUUUCUUAGCUAAUAUGUUUUUUUCACUCUUCUGAGCAUGUCUAAACUAAUUGAUCGCUCGGCAGAGACUGUGGGUAAGAAAACAAAAUUUCAUGGUAAAUCCUCUUAAAAGGUAUGCAUAAUUGAAAUGACCCGCCCCGAAUUCCCCUCAGGCGAGUCUAUCUAGUCUCAUCAAAACGGACUUGAUAAUAAUUCUAUUAGUAAAGACUCUGCCAAAAAUUCGGCAGAAUUUUUUUUUUUUUAUAUAUAACACUCCCAAUCUACAAAUAUGAAUAUAACACUCCCAAUACAAUUCAGUAUACAACAAACUCCAGUGAUCAACAUCUUCAACCAAAAUGCUGAGCUUUAUAUCUCCAGAGUCUCAAAAGAUAAUAUUAUAACUAAUAUUAAUAUCUUAGUUUAUUCUUAAUCCCAAAAGAAUAAUAUAACAAAAUUAUACAAUCCCAACAGGACGAGAUAACCAAGAUGUCCUAACAAAAAUAUUUAUAUCUUCUAACACCAUCACGUGGCCGAGAUUCAAAAUAUAUUUACAGUCGCUAGGUCGGUCUGGUGUACCUGCAACCUCCUGGUGAGGGGGGAAAAAUAUAAUAAAAACGGGGUGAGUUUAAAACUCAGUGAGAUCAGUGAGUGAAUAGUAGUUUUGAAAAUUAAUUCUUACUUUAAAAAAAAUAAUCGUAUCAUUUCCAAACACAAUUUCAUUAAACCAUAAGCGAGAAACCAAUAAUAAAUCAUUAAACAUUUAAAUCAUAUUACUAACCAUAGAAAUCAUAUCACAAUAUCAUAUAGAAUACACAAAUCUAAAAAUCAUCACCAAACAAGUACCCAGAGAAAUAAUCUCGUCAUAUCCGAACCUCAACAGACGGGCAAUGACGUACUAUCUAGGUAACGUCACACCCCGGAGCUACACGGAUAGACAGGGAAAUACCAUCUCAUAUCUCAUCAUAUAUGUGCAUGCAUAAUCUAGUCCCCAAGGGACAAAAGCGCCCAAGCACACGGCCCAAAGCCUCUGUGUAUACUCAGAGGGACCCCAAAGGCCUAUAUCUCAUAUGUAUCAUAUGUAUCAUUUGUAUCUCAAUUAUCUCAUAUCCGUAUAUCUGUAAUCAUCAUACCGCAUGCAUAUGCCCCCAAAAGGAAAAAGCGUCCAAACACACGGCCCAAAGCCUUUAUAUAUAUUCAGACGGGUCCUAAAAGCCUCUCAUCUCAUCUUAUCUGUAUCACUGUAUCUGAAGGGAAUGGUACUGUCUAAUGAUUUCAAAAACAAUCAUUAUACUCAUAUUCACAUACCUCUUAAUCAUAUUUUAAAUCAUACCACAUUUGAAUCCACUUUUCUUAUCUUUAAAAUACUAUCAUGCUUUAUUCAAAGUCGAUACGCAAAAUCAAUAACCAAACAUUUUAAUAAAAUACCAAUGCGUAAAUAAAAUCCAUUUCGAGAAAUCAUUAAAUCAGAACAUUUAAAAUACUUAUUUCGCAAACAUGCUUUACUAUCAUCGCUAACUAUGAAAAUAAGUUUUGUAUAUUCCACUCACAGUGACGGUGUUCACGGUCGGUUCUCGCUCGCGGAUCCUCCUAAAUCAACGAAACGACAUAAUUAUUUUCCGUAAAUCGGAAUUAUGACUAAAUUUUAUGCAAUAAAUUUAAAACGAACAUAUAUUCAUAAUUGACAACUCCUGUGUCCAUAAAAUUACUAAAAUGCCCUUGAGUCUGUAAAUCAUUAACAUGCUUCGAAAUCGUAAAUUACUGAAUUACUCUCGGAAUCGUAAUUACACUCAAUCCUCAAUUCUAGGAAUUACUAACAUAUCCACGGGCUCAGAAAUUACAAAUUUGCCCUCAUAGUGUGAAAUUACCAAAAACUGGAAUUUGGUCAACACUGGCUAGGAAGCUCAAAUCGUAAAGUUCCAAUCACGCUGAGUUCAAUGGUACCGGCGAUGAUCUCCAACGCGCGGCAACGACGCCGGAAUCUAGCUCGGCAGCCGUGAAUUCCACCAAUCGACCGGCGGCAAAACAGUGACUCUCGGUGCCUAUGGAUGGUCGGAAAUGGAAGAGGGAGUCGUGGGGAACAAAAUUCAACCGGUGGUGUAGCCAAAACCGGCGAAAAUCCCGGCGGAGCAAAGUGAAACAGUCGCGGGUUUCAAGCUUCGAUCGCCGGUGUUCCGAUUGGUUUUUGGCGAGGAGGAUGGCAAGGGAACGACGGCCGGCUUCUAAGCUUCAGAUUGGUACCAAGCUCGGCCGAAACGGUGGCCGGAAAUGGGAGAUAUGGCCGGGUCAAGGUCGCGGGUUCCGGGUCGGGUUUUCGGGUCUGUAGUUGGGUCGGUUUGGCAGCUUCUCUCUCACUCUCUGUUACACGUGCAUAUGUUUCCUCUGUUUCUAGCUUAUUCUUUUGCUUUUACUAACUUCUUAACCGCCUCAUACUUAUUCAUUUUUAAUUCACAUAUGUUACAAUAAUUCCCGAGUAUUAAAUAACCAGUGGUCAUAAUUUUUGUACACGACUCUUUUUUUUUUUGGAGAUCGUUAAAAGUGAUUGACGAUCCAUUUUGUAAUAUCAUAGAGGGAUCAUCAAUUCCUUUUCUUUUCUGUGGCUAGGCAACACUUUUUGGCCAAAGUAAGGAAAUCUAUUUUAGGUAAUGUAAAAACCAGUUGUAGGAUGUAAUAGUUUAUUAUGCACUGACAAUAACUUUUUGUAUAAUUGUCAGUUUAAUGAAUACAAGAGGAACUCUGUUGGCAAAUUCAUCCAAGAUAGAUGCUAAAAUUAUUUAUGCAUGCCAGUUGCCUUAACUAAGUUUUCUCAGCACUGGUUUUGAACAGGAAAAUGAAUAUGCAAUUUGUAGAUUGUGCCAUAGUGGAGAAUUUGUAUAUUCUUAUUUAAGUAACAAGGAGAUUAUUUACCUCAUCUUUAAACAAUGAAUCUUUGAGAGAUGAGGAGUGGGUGAUUGGCUGUGUCUUCAUGUAAUUGUUCAUUUAUUUGUAUUUUGAACUGUUAUGAAAAUCUUUAUAUGCCAAAUUAGUAAUACAAGUAUUCAGAUGAUUUUUCCUAUUGAUCAUGCAUUUGUAUCUGCCCACAACCAUUGUAUAUCACUUUAUUCUGAUGCGCAAGCAUCUGUAAUUUAGAAGAAAAGAAAUAAUAAUCAUAUUUUAUUGCUUGGUUCAUGAUUAUUAACGAUUAUGGCUUUAAAAAUCUACAAAUUUCUUGUGUUCAUGUAUGAAUGUGCCAAGUUUGCUGUAUCUUAGAUUACCUUCUUCCAAGAUAACAAGUUCAUAUAUAUUUUUUUUUAAAAUCCUUUUCCAUUACAGUUGAAUUUCAAGUGUUAGUUUUGUUAUUAGUACCUGGUUUCCUGUUAUUAGGAUCUAAUAAACAGUGUACGGAUAUGUGCUCUACUUUUGGAGGGCCUCCACGUGAAAGAAAAUUGCAACAAUUGAAUUCUUCCGGAGGGUAUGGUAAUUAAUUUAUUUUCUCAACUUGUUGUAAGACUAAUAUAUUUCCUUCAGUAGGCACGGCAUGGUGGGAAGGGUUUUUAUUGAAAGAAUUCUGAUAUUUCUUAGACUUUGUUUUGGAAGGGGGUGGAGGGAUUUCUCAUCCAUAUAUGGUUACUUGAUUAGCUUUUGACUGUAUUGUCUCCGUCGUGCAAAGGAAAAUCUAAAUACUAACGAUGGGGAAUUGCUUAGGCACCCAAAAGGCAGAAAUGAAUUACAGAAGGAAGUUUUUGCUGCUUUAUUUAGUGCUGCUGAGAAAUCUGAUGAAUUUCCUGAAAUUACGGUGAAGACCGAGUGGAGGUCCAAAGCAUUAGGAAAGGUGGUGAGUGAACUGCCGGAGGAAUUAGUACCAGAAUACAAGGCUAAUGUGGUGCACUUGCAGCAAGAUAACCAGACCGGUAUGUGCUCUUAUAUUAACUAUAUUGACUGGAUUUGUUAGUGUGUGCAUUUUUUUGUGUAUACUCACUUUUGUAUUUAUGCAUAUUAACAUGUGUAGGAUUCUUGAUUUCUGCCACUUACUGGAGAACUAGUGGAAAGCUUUAUACUGAUAUAUCUGCAAUAACUAAUGGAAACUAUGAUAUGAAUAUUUUCUCUCACCUGGGGAGCUGUGUAACAGAUAUACUUUGUGGCUCUGGAAUGCUGAAGAUUCUGCAAUAACUAAUGGAAAAUAUGAUAUGAAUAUUUUGUCUCACCUGGAGAACUUUGUUACAGAUACCCUUUGUGGCUCUGGAGUGUCUAAAGAAUGCUUCCGUUAGAUCAAAUAUCUUUUAGUUAGAAAAGAUAAAAUUCUCUGAGUCUGAAAGACUGAAACAUUUUGCAUAUUUUGUGAAAGGGAAAUAUCUGUUGAUACUAGCUCAUGCAUUGAGGUAAUAUCGAUGUUAAAGAAAAACAGCAAUGAUUUAUGAUAUAGAAUUGGGUUCACUUGCUUUAAAUGCUGGUCUGAUCAACCAUAUCAACCUGUAAUGAUUCUGCAGAAAUAUAUAUACAAGGAGAAAGUAGCUAAAUUUUUCUUUCAUUUAUGGGUUCGGUCUUUUUUCCCCUUAUUUUUCAGCUUUCCUUCUCCUGAAGUAUGUUAACAAUUGCAGAUAAUGAUGAAGAGGACAGCUUCCAGGCUCUCCUUGGAGCCAUGAUGGAAUAUAGGGGCACAAUGAAGGAAUAUUGUAAAGCUGUAGGUACUUUUUCUCCUGUCAUUUAUGUUUUCUCACACAUUUUGUAUAUGCCCUGAACAUGCACCUUUGUAUGUAUCAAUUGACUUUUAAAUUUUAAAAGCCAUAAAGUAAGAAUACGGUUCCUUGUCAGGCUACUGAUGACAUUCGCUCAGGGGGAUCAUGUUCGAGCAGGAAAAUUUCUAGAACAGGUAAGGUUUCCAUCUACAGCCAUCCAUUGACAGCAGAUAAAUUUUCAUUCAGCAGACUCUGUUAGCAUUCAAGAUGCUGGCAGAUUCACUUGAUUCUUAUUAGCUUGUUUAGUGGCAAAGCCUAUAACCUGUAUUUCAAAGCCAAGUUGUGCUAUUGAUUAUGUUAACUUUUUUGUUAACAUAAAAUGAUAUGGAGGAAAUAAUCAGUGUUGGAAAAUUAGGUGAAAAGAUGAUGUCAAAUCUUGAACCUCUUGCGAAACUCUAAGUUCUUUACUUGAAGAGGCUACCAAAUUUGAACAGCGUCUACUCGAAGGCCUUGCCAUUCCCUGAUGCAUGCAGAAUUUUUGUAUUUAAAUGCCCAGAGCUUAAGAAGCUGGCACUGGAUCUUGAAGGGGCAGACCAAGGUAAAAUUCUUAUCAAGGGAAAGGAAGAUUGGUGGAAACAACUUAAUGGGAGGAUCAAGUAACUCAGAAUACAUUGCUUCCAUUUUUUAAAUCGACUGACAAGUGAUUGAACGGGGCAUCAUCAAUAUCAUCAACAGGGAUGGAGAGAUGCCGGAGCAGAUCAGCAGGGUUUGAAUAUGACCUUCGGCGGUUGCUUUUUUUUUUUGUGAUUUUUUUUCAUUUUUUCCUUCCUGUCAUUUUAUCAUUUCUUUGGCUCUGUUUCUAUUGCGGGUGUUACUGCAUGCUUACUGUUGCUUGACAAAGUUUGCUAGCUUUUUGUUUGCAGCGCUGCUAUACGCCCCGAGUCAAGCCCCGAAAAUUUAUUAAACGACGCCGUUUCGACAGUAACAAUUCUUUUCUUUUCCCUUUGCCUGUUUCUUUCAUCUGCUGUUUCUCUAUCACUUUUCAUUUUUGAUUUCCGUGCUUCCCAGCUGCCCCUAAAUUGUUAUUCUAGCAAUAUACUUUCUCAUCUUUGAAUUUUCAUCCUUGAGUACUCCCACAGCCGUAAUUUCAUCAUUAUAGACUUCACUUGGAAUGCUAGAUUUUUUCGAUUCUUGAGCUACUUCAAUUACAUCUUAGUAUAGGAUCCUCAUCUUCCUUUAUUUCUUCAUCUUAUGAGGUAACAAAUGGAUUUCACAACUCAUCUACUUUUAAGCAAUUACAUAUUAUACCCUGAAUGAUUCAACUGUUCCGACAGUUAAAGAUUUUAUGCUCAACCUGCAGUGCUACGAACAUUGUCCAUGAAAGAUGAGUUUCAGCAUAUAAAAUGAAAUAUAGAUGUUUAAUCUAAAAUAACCCUUCACUGCCAGAAACCUAGGUCACAAAAUUCACAGAUAAUGAUAAAGAACUAAAAAAUUUGAAAAACUCUACAGAUCACACAUCAAGCAAGAUAUCAUGUUUUUUUCCCUCAUUCGGUGGUGAUUGAUUCGCUUUUUGAUGAUGGAUAUGGUAUAAAAGUUUUGACCCAAUUUCAAGCAAACACAAAUAGAAACACAAACACAAUCAGGACUAGAGUUGUGGGCGAUUAUCUCAGGUGUACAAGUGAAACGGUGGUGGCUGUCGAUGGUGGUAGUGGGGUGGUUGGGUAUGCGUGAUGGCUAGAUUUUAGGACAAUAAUGGUUGGAGUUGACCUCAAUCAACGAAGGAAAGUGACAACAAUUUUGACAUCAAAUGGUGCAUUUUUUAGCUUAGUAAAAUGGAACCGUUUUGAAUUUGGGGUUUAAUCCGGGGUUUGACUCGGUGCAAGUAUCAUUUUCCUUUUGUUUAUUAAAUUUUUUAUGGUCACAAAGUAUUACUCGUUCUAUUUGAGAGUGAUGUGAAUCAAUUUUUCAAUUUUAUAUUUUGUGGUCAAUGUGAAUUCAAUUUCAUUUGUCUCCUGCAAUUAUGAAAAAAUUGCAGUCAUAAUAUGGAAAAGUACACCGGCAAAGACUUUGUAAAACCUUCGGAGUGAUACGGGGAAUUCACUUACAACUAAGGACAAUUGGUGGCAAGUUAUUCCAUUCAUUUUAUGUCCAUGCAUCUAUUUAGUUAUUGAAGAUUAGUGGUCCAUUUGUAAAUUUCAGAUUGUCUCUCUCUCUCUCUCCCACUUGAAAUAACAAUAUUUAAUAUAUCUCUUAAAUUAUUAUAAAUUUUAAUUUACUCUCGAUUUAAAAUGGAGCAUGUCGAUAAAUUUUUUUUCUUCUUAAUAAAAUUGACGUAAUUUGUGUUUACAGUAGUUUGAAGUUUGAAAUAUUUUAAAGAUUAUUAUUCUAUAAGGGAGUAAUAUGAAAUGAAAUUUACUUUUCAUGUGUGAACUGAAAAAGGACGAAGCAAGUGUCCCUGCUUUUAUUUUAUUUCAAGGAGGAGUCAUCUCGCAUACUUUGGCUCUUAACAUUACAUUUUUUCUGGUUACAUUUUUUAUUUUUUUUUACACAUGCGUGUGGGUUGCUUUUCUGUAAGCUCCUUAAUAUAUAUUUAAGACAAAUCAUGGAAGAGAUGGGAUUAUAUCAAGAUGAUCAAAGCAUGUAAAAAAAGAAAAAAGAAAAAAAAAAUUAAGAAGUAAGACACUGAAAAUGGAGAAGAGAUGGAAGCAAAAGAUAUUCCAAAACAAAGCAAUCUAUCCCCCUUCGAGGGCAGACUUAUCAGGUUUAAAAAAGUACAUGCUUUGGAUUGGUAGUUGCAAUCAAGGGAAAAUAAAUAGGAUCCAAUGAAAUUUAAAUCUCGGAGAAAAUAAAUAAUCAUGCAGAUUUUCAAGAUUUUAAUAAGGGAUACUAAUAUCUUAUUUUGAUUAAUAACAUUCUUUUACUGUGUUAACUCAAAAAAAAUAUUAUAAUGCUUUACAAUAAAUACAAAUGUCCUAUUAAAUGAAUAUAUAAAAAAUUUAGAAAAUUAUAUAAAAUAAUUUUAAUAUAAUGCGUGAGAUAUAUUUUAUUAAUUUAAAAUGUCAUUUUACCUAAAAAAUAUGAUAAAUUAAUAAUUACAUAUUUGAAGUUAUUUCAAAUAUUAAAAAAAUUUAAUAUUAUUAAUCUUUUAGAUAGAUUAAAUUAUUUUUUAAAGAGAUAGAUUAAAUUAUUUUAAAAUACCUUAAUUGUUUUUACUUUAAACAUUACCGGCCUUUCUUUUAUUUUAUUACAAAUUAAUGCUAACAAGAAAAAGUUAGAUCAUAUUCCACAAAAGCAAAAGUGACAAACACAACCAGCUGGAAUCUUUUAUAAAACUACAAAUUAAAAUGGAUUUUUUUUUUAAAAAUUGUUAUAAAUUGGUGGCCCCUACAAUCCUCAAUAAUUGCACCGAUAUUCACAAGUUGGUGGCCCCUACAAUUCUGUUCCGAUAAUUUAACUGUGCAAGUGCUUAAUAAUUGUUUUGUUUUUUUCUGCAUUCCCUUUCAUGCUCUUAAUAAUUGAAGAGCAUACUUUUCAAAUGUGGAGCCGCAGCUAAUGUCGCUAAUUUAAUUUUGGAUUAAAUUAGGGGACCAUUAUAUUGUAGUGUGCACUAAUGAAUAUGUGAGAUAUUCAUAUUUUAUUAAUUUAAAAUACCAUUUAACCUAAAGAUUUAUUUAUGAUAAAUUAAUAAUUAUAUUUUUGAAAUUACUUCAAAUAUUAAAAAAUUAAUAUUACUAAUCUGUUAGAUAGAUUAAAUUAUAUAUAUUAUUUUCUAUUUAUUAAAAAAUUAAAAUUAUUUUUAAUUACUAUUCAAAAAAUAUAAUGAUAAAAAAAAUCUUAACAUCUUUAUUAAAAAUUUAAAAAUUUACAUGAUCAAUUCUCUAAAUAUUUAGGGUAUAUGUGAACCACGGUGGAGAAGCUUUAUUUAAUAUUAUUGAUUUAAAUAAUAUGUCAAUUAAAAAUGUACAGAGAAGGAAAUUUCGGUGGGUAUUUUAGUCUUUUCAGCAAUUAUCAUGAUCAGAUCAGCCUUUAGCCUUGAAACGUCGAUCAGAAAAGUUUUAAAAUGCUUAAUUGUUUUUCACUUUUAAAAAUUAAUGCUAACAAGAAAAAGCUAGGUCAUAUUCCACAAAAUCAAAAGUGACAAAACAACCAGCUGGUUUCUUUUACUAAACUACAAAUUAAAAUAGAUUUUUUCGAUAAAUUAUAAAUUAAAGUGGAUUCUUUUGAAUACAAGUGAGACAGACGAUUAGGCUCUUUUUAUUAAAGGCAAGUAAAAACUAGUCAAGAAUCGAAUAGUCUUUUUCAAAUUCUUGUUUUAUUAUUUUUCAAAACUAGUUUUUGGUAAUUACAAUCGGGUCAUUCAUUAAUCAUUAUUCAAAGUUACUGUUAUCUUCGGGGGCAGUGGGUAAAAGAUAAUUACUAACUGUUUUUCCUUCAAAAGUUACCGGCUCAUGUUUGCAAGUGUGAAUGUGCGAUGCUCUUUUCUUAAAGGCAAUUACAGUGGGGCCCGAAUCAGAGGUGCCUAAAUCUUUUUAAAAUUAAUAAUAAUAUGAGUAAUAAUUAAUAAUUACAGUGGGUCAACUUUUGAAAUUAGAGUCUAGUAUCUCUCUCCCUGUCAUUACUAAAUUUUCUCUUCCACAGCCUACAGCAGCUUCAGUUUAUCAAACUCAAUCAAUUUUCUUUCUUAACAAAAUUCCAAAGAUGUGUAGUAUUUUUCAGAUCACAUGCGAUGGUGCUCUUUUCAAUCGUUGCUUGGAUUGCUUUCUUGGAAAAGCAGCAUACAUACGUAACCUCCAAGAUAAUCUUGUAGCCUUGGAGACUGAACUGGGAAGACUAAUCGCAGCAAAGAACGAUGUGAUGAUGAGGGUUGUCCAUGCUGAACGGCAACAAAUGAGAAGGCUGGACGGAGUGCAAGUGUGGGUUUCGAGGGUGGAUUCUGUUAAAACUGGAGCCGACGAACUUAUCACAGACGGCUCUGAAGAAAUUGGCAAAUUAUGUGUUGGAGGCUACUGUUCCAAGAACUGCAGGUCAAGCUACAAAUUCGGAAAACAAGUGGCUAGAAAGCUACGACAUGUGGAGACUUUAAUCGCCGAGGGAGUUUUUGAGGCGGUGGCUACUGAGGUGGUGCCCGAGAGAGCUCCGGAACCUGUAGCAGAUAAAAGACCCAUUGAGCCAACAAUAGUAGGCUUGCAAUCACAACUUGAACAAGUCUGGAGAUGUCUUGCAGAAGAAUCAGCGGGAAUCAUUGGCUUAUAUGGUAUGGGCGGUGUUGGUAAAACCACACUAUUGACCCGUAUCAACAAUAAAUUUCUUGAGAAUCAAAACAACUUUGAUUGUGUGAUUUGGGUCGUAGUUUCAAAAGACCUGCGGCUUGAAAAAAUUCAAGAAGAUAUUGGGAAGAAGAUAGGUCUGUUUGAUGAUUCAUGGAAGAAUAAAAGUUUUGAAGAGAAAGCUGUGGACAUCCUGCGGAGAUUAGGAGAGAAGAGAUUUGUAUUGUUGUUAGAUGAUAUAUGGGAGCGGGUUGAUUUAACAGAAGUGGGCGUUCCACUUCCCAGCCCACAAAAUACUACAUCAAAAGUCGUAUUCACGACCCGUUUCAUUGAUGUUUGUGGUAGCAUGGAAAGUCACAGGAAGUUUAAAGUGGCAUGCUUAUCAGAAGAGGAUGCUUGGGGGCUGUUUCGAGAAAAAGUACGGCAAGAAACUCUUGAGAGUGAUCAUGAGAUCGUUGAGCUAGCCCAAACUGUGGCCAAAGAGUGUGAUGGUUUGCCACUCGCACUUAUUACUAUUGGUCGAGCUAUGGCCUACAGAAAGAAAGCGGAGCAGUGGAGACGCGCAAUUGAAGCGUUAAGAAGAUCAGCUUCAGAGUUUGCAGGUUUGGGAAAAGAGGUGUAUCCUCUUUUAAAAUUCAGCUAUGAUAGUUUGCAGAAUGAUACGGUUAGAUCUUGUUUCUUGUAUUGUUGUUUAUAUCCUGAAGAUUAUGGCAUUCUUAAACGGGACUUGAUUGACUGUUGGAUUGGUGAGGGAUUUUUGGGGGAAUCUGACAGGUUUGGUGCAGAAAACCGAGGAUAUGACAUUUUGGACACUCUUGUUCGUGCAUGUUUAUUAGAAGAGUUAGAAGAUGAUAAAGUAAAAAUGCAUGACGUUAUUCGUGAUAUGGCUAUAUGGAUAACCUGUGAAAUUGAGAAGGAGAAGAGAAAAUUUUUGGUUUGUGCAGGUGCUGGAUUAAAAGAGGCACCGGAUGUUAAAGGAUGGGAAAAUGUGAGAAGAUUGUCAUUGAUGCAAAACCAAAUUGAAACUCUGUCAGAGAUUCCUACAUGCCCUCAUCUCCUCACUUUAUUUCUUGACUUUAAUGAGAAGUUGGAGAUGAUCGCGGAUGGCUUCUUCCAAUUUAUGCCUUCUCUCAAAGUGUUGAGGAUAUCACACUGUGGGCAAUUAGAAGGUUUUCAAUUACCUAUUGGGAUGUCAGAGUUGGGUUCGUCACUAGAACUUCUUGAUAUUUCAUAUACCAGCAUAAGAGAGUUACCAGAAGAGUUAAAGUUGUUGGUAAAUCUGAAAUGUUUGAAUUUGAGUUGGGCACAUAGGUUAUAUAAAAUUCCACGGCAACUAAUAUCAAAUUCUUCAAGGUUACGUGUGUUGAGAAUGUUCGCUACUGGCUAUGUGUGUCUUCAUGAAGCAUCAGAAGACAGCGUUUUAUUUGGUGGGGGUGAAGUUUUAGUACAGGAAUUGCUCGGUUUGAAAUAUUUAGAGGUAUUGGAGUUGACCUUGGGAAGUUAUCAUGCUCUCCAAAUUCUUUUGAGCUCAAAUAAGUUGAAAAGUUGUAUUCGAUCUCUUUUCCUACAGUUGUUCAGAGAUACAACGUCGAUUAUUGAUGCUACGGCUUUCGCAGAUCUAAACCACCUCAAUGAAUUAUGGAUUUAUAGAGGUAGUGAGUUGGAAGAAUUGAAGAUUGAUUAUACGGAGAUAGUACAAAAAAGGAGGGAACCUUUUGUUUUCCGCAGCCUUCACCAUGUUACCAUAUAUAGUUGCACUAAAUUGAAAGAUUCGACAUUCCUCGUUUUUGCUCCAAACCUCAAGUCUCUUCAGCUACUCGAUUGCUAUGCUAUGGAAGAAAUAAUCAGCGUCGGAAAAAUUGCUGAGACUCCUGAGAUGAUGGGACAUAUAAGCCCUUUUGAAAAUCUCCAAAGUCUUUAUUUAAAUGAUUUGCCAAUUUUGAAGAGCAUCUACUGGAAGCCAUUGCCUUUCGCUCAUCUAAAAGAAAUGACGGUGCAUCGGUGCGAUCAGCUUGAAAAGCUUCCACUCGAUUCCAACAGUGCAAAGGAGCGUAAAUUUGUAAUUCGUGGAGAAGAAGACUGGUGGAACCGACUUCAAUGGGAGGAUGAAGCCACUCAAAUUGCUUUUCGUUCCUGUUUCCAACCUCGUUCCUGAGCGGUGGUCGCAAAAUUUGAUUUCUGGUGAGUGCGUUUGUCUUUUAAAAGAAGAAUUUAAAAGAAAUUUAUUCUUGUCGAUUGUUUUCUUCUCUGUUUUUAUUUGAUUUCUGGUGAGUGCGUUUGUCUUUUAAAAGAUGAAUUUAAAAGAAAUUUAUUCUUGUCGAUUGUUUUCUUCUCUGUUUUUAUUUGAUUUCUGGUGAGUGCGUUUGUCUUUUAAAAGAAGAAUUUAAAAGAAAUUUAUUCUUGUCGUUUGUUUUCUUCUCUGUUUUUAUUUGAUUUCUGUUUUUAAUGGAAUUAAUGCUUCAUAAAUUUGCCGGCACUGCCAUUACUUUUUUUUUUAAUACAAAUUGAUACUUUAUUUAUAUCUUCUUAGCGAUUUAAUUUCCUGUCAAUAGACGAACGAGAAGAACAUAUGACUUAAACCAAUGCUCGCAUAAACUUGCUGUAAAAAGAUAUAAUCUCACUGAAAUGCACACGUCUAGAAUGAAUAGAAUUAAAACAGGGAAAAUCAAUCAAUUCCACCUUUUGCAAUUUCUUCUGUUCUAACAAAAACCAAUUUCUUUGUUCAAGUAUUUUCGUUUGGGUAUUAAUAAUUCUCCACCGAAAGAGUGAACUCUUGCUCAAGGGAUCUCUAAUCAAUUGCCGGAAGGGCGCCGAGACCUGAUCGGACCUAGGCCCAAGUUUGGUCUUAAAGCCUGGGCUUGAGCCUGGCAAUUAAAUUAAAACAUUAAUUGAUUUCUUGGUUGAUUUGUCGUGUAAUUGAUUUAUGGGGGAUGACACAUCAACAUACUUGAAAAUACACUAAUCUCAGCAUCAUCGGUUAAUAACUUUUAGAUUUAUGCGUAAUCAAUAGUUAAGAUUAGUUGUCAUUAAUACUAAAUAUUUUUUACUUUUUUUGUCUCUUCUAGAAAAAUGCAUCCACAAUUAAAUUUAAUACUUUACAUAAUAAACAAAGCAUAAAUGUUAAAUUUAAGAAACUGCAUUGUAUUUCAGCUGAAGUUGACUUUAAUAUUUAGGGUAGAAAAAAAUUAAAUCCUUAAUGUGUUUAAUUUGUAUCACUUGUGUCAUUAAAAUUUUCUAGUCACCCUAACCAAUUACAUCUCAACCCACUUUGUUUUUGGAUGAUUUUAUUUUUAGACUAUUAUUUUCAUCAUUUUUUUUCCUUUUAACACCAACAUUAGUGUAUGUUACGUAACAUAAUUCAUAUUUGGAUCAUUUGAAAUUUGCUUGUGUUUUAUCUAAAAAUAGAGCUUCAAUCAAAUUGUACCUCAUAAAUUCACAAUAUCUAUGAGGGCUAAUGAGACCAAACUCUGGCAUAUUGUCAAAUGUGCUUAUCCUUUUGCUUGACAUGUCAUUUUAAAAUUGUCAUUCAAUGCCAAAAAAUCACAUCAACUGAUGGCCGACUACUUUAAUUUGAAAGCAUGCAUGCGAUCGCCAAUAAUUAUAACUUAAUUGUUAUUUUGAAAUUUUUUUCUUUAUAAUUUUUAAGUUUAAUACUACUACAUGUGCAGCACAUAAGUUGGAAAAUAUAACAUAAAAUUUGAAAAAUGUGUAGCUUUCGUUCCUUUUUUUUCUUAAAAAUGGGAAAAAAGAAUGUAGUUUUGUUUAAAUUACUGUUGUGAUUACAAUUAUUAUUUUAUUGAUUAAUUGGCAGAGAAUCGUAAUGGUUUUGCAUGGUUGUUAAAACAUUGGAAAAUCCACUACAUCAUCCGUUAAUAACUUUCAGAUUUAUGAUUAAUCAAUAGUUGAGAUUUGUUAUCAUUAAUGCUAAAUAUUUUUUUAAUAUUUUCUCUCUCUCUUAGAGGAUCAUCCAAAGUAAAAAUUUAAUAUUAUAAAUAGUAAACAAAGUAUCAACGUUAAAUCGAAGAAACUGCAUUGCAUUUCAACUGAAGCUAACUUUAAUAUUUAAUGGAGAAAAGUAAUUAAGUCCUUAAUGUGCUUUAUUUACCCAUAUAUAUGGCUAAUUUUUCAAGAUAAAGGGGAAGGAUGAUGCUCAAAAAUAUAAAUUAUAGAAUUAAUUGAACUCUCAAGUAAGUUUAAAGUUCAUUAUUUUUAAUUACUUGUUUAUAAUUUAUUUUUAUUUCGUAUUAAUCUAUGGAUCUAAAUCCCCUUUGGAUUCAUAUACAUAUAUAGACAUAAUGUGUAUGUUAAUCUAUAGGUCUGAAUUCACUUUAGGUCUAUAUAGGUAUUUUGACAAAUGUACUCCAAUCAUGCAUAUUGGCAAGUUCUAACUACUCUAUUGAUAUAUCAAUAUUAUUUCUAACUGCACUAUAGGUCCAAAAAUAAGUUAGAAAUACAAAUUAACAUAAAAUAAAAAUAAUUGGUAGAAAAUACAAAUUAUAAACAUAUAAUUGAAAACGAUAAACUUUAAAUUUACUUAAGAGAGUAAUUAAUUUCAUAGUUAAAAUCUUUAAAUUUUACCCCUCAUCUUAACUUAAGAAAAUUAAUCACUUAUUUUAUUUAAUAAAGAAGAGAUUUUUUUCCCCUAUAUUUCCCAAUUAUUUCUCUCCCUCUCGCUCCCGUAAGUUAUACAACUUGAAGUGAAAUAUGAGUGGUCUGAUUCUAGCUUAAAUAAUUUAUUGUGACAUGCUAUCUAAGGACAAUACAUUACCUAGCUCUACAUAUUUUAUUUAACCUCCGGCCCACCCUGUGCAAACUUGCCUUUCCCCUGCAAGACAAGAUUAAUCAAUGUAUCAAGUCUCAAAUUCAAUUUCGAAUAUGACCAUCGUACGCUCUUGUUCUUCCCUCUUUACGAGUGCAUUCCCCCCAACCUCAAGCUCCCUCUCUCGUCUUCAAUGUCACUGCUUAUAUCCUUAUGUUGUUCUAGUUUGAAAUAGUGGCUUCCACUAUUUCAGGGCCCCCAAAAAUCCAGAAACAUACUAUUCAUCACGAUGACAAAAUUUUUGGCAGGCAGGUGCUUCCUGACUUUCACACGGUAAUUCUCAAAUUCUGAUUUCACCAUAUUUUAAUUACUGAUUAGCAUAUAUUCAAGUGCUCUCCAUUAUAACGGAAGCCGCCGCCUCACUCGUGAUUCCAAACUUUUAUCUUUUUUUCCUUUUUUAAAUUAAUGCAAGUAGCCGCUGUCCUUUUUAUUAAUUAAUUAGUUCGGCCGCCCACAUUUCUUUUCCUAAUGUCUUCUACUGUCGAUUUUCUUUUAUUUUCUCUUUUUUCUUAAAAUAUACUUAUAAUAAUAAAAUAUAAAAAUAAAAAUUAACAUAUCAAAAUAUAAUUUAAUAGAAAAUUAAGAUAAAAAAUAAAAAAAUUAUGAGCAUAUCAAUCAAUAAAUGAAAAAUAAUAAUUUUUAUUUUUAUUAAAUAUAUAUUUUUUAAAAUUAAUCAAUUAUCUGAAUAAAUCAAAUCAUUUAAAAAUAAAUAAAUAAAUUAUUCUUAAAUAAAAAAAAGAAACUUUUUAUAACACUCACUAUGCUGGUUGUAGGGUAGACGCUUUGGGGACUGAAGCUGGUAACUUCUACAAGUAGUCUUAAGUUGACUGGCAACAACUAUAUUGGCAUUUAGACAUAAUGUACUGCAACCAUAUUGGUAUGUUCAAAUGUUCUUACUAUUGUAUUGGUGUAUCAAUAUUAUCUCUAACUGCCUUAUAGAUUAAAAAAAAUCUAAAUUUACAAUUUAACAUAAAUAAAAUAAUUGGUAAAAAAACAAUUAUGGUUUAUUUACUUAUCAGUAAUCAGAAUAGACUGAAAUCGAAAUGAGCUGUAUUACCGUUAAUGUGUUUAUGUUGUCCUUGAAUCGGAAUGAAUUAUUUUAAGUUACUAAAAUAUCAUUGGUUUGUUAUUCUAAUUAUUAUUAUUUAAUAUUUAUUAUAAUAUUUGUCAUAUCAUUAAAAAGAAAUAAUAAUGAUGAUAAUAUUAUCAUUAUUGUUUGUUACAUUAUUAUUAUUCAAAAAAAUUAUUGUUAAUAACAAUAAUUACUUUAUUUCAAUAAUAAUAAUGAUGAAAUUAAUAAUAACAAACAUGACAACAACAAUAAUUAUUUAUUAUGCCAAAAAUAACAAUAAUAAUAAGAAUAAUAAUCAUCAUCAUUUUUUUCCCAAAGAAGCAUUAUCAUCAUCAUUUAAAAAAAAAAUCAUCAUCAUCAUUUUUGUAGUUACUGUUUCAAUUUAGGAAGAAGCUGUUUCGUUGUGCUAACGAUGGGAGAUGUUGUGGCUGCGAUUCGGGGAGCUACUAGUUUAUUGCACUAAUGACGACAGGUGCGGCUGCUUGAUGCGAGGUCCAUGGCCAGUUGUCAGCAGUUCGACUUUGGUAUGGGCGUUGCUGGUUCGAUUUUAGGUGUUGUCUAAUUUCAUUUUCAGGAUUUUAAUUUUAAUUUUUUUUUAUAUUUUCAUUAAUUAAUCAGUGCAAAGUUUGAUUUUAGAAUUUGGAAUGAAGGUAAUUUUGUUAAUCAUGGAAAUGAGAUUCUGAUUGUCGAGAAUGAACUUACAAAAUUGCUGCAAAUUAAGUGAAAACAAAACGCUUUUUCUCUUUGUGUGAUUAAAACAUGAAAUGUACCAUAAAUAAAUAGGUAAAAAAUAAAUCAACACAAUUCAAAAUAGUAAACCAAUUACAAGAGGCACAAAUUUUUAUGUGAAAUACCGAAAAUGAAAAAAAACUAUAGCAUCCUAGUCUAAUAUAAUCUUCUACUAUAUUAAUGGGAUUACAGCACAAAUUCUUCCCUAUCUAACACUAGAGAUUAACAAUAUCAAAAAUCUCAAUAAUCUUAACUUACAAUACAACCUAAUAUAUGUCUCUCUAAUAAGUAGAUAUCUAAAAUAACAGUCUCUAAUAAGUAGGUAUCUCAAAUAAUAGUUAAUAAGAGGAUAAAACAAAAAUUAAGAUUAGUAGAAUGUGUAUAAGGCGAUGCUAUCAACUUAUCUUCUAAAUUUGAGAAAAAUAGUUAAAUUCACUUUUUCGAUUGUACGACCAAAGAUGGAAACCCUUGCCCCAAAACCAAAGGAAUCACCAUUGUGUUUUUUUUCUCUCUUUCUCUUUCUCGUUCUUCUCUUCUACUUUUCUUAAUGUUAGCCGCCACUUGCUUUUAUUCUUUAUAGCAUUUAAAAAGCUACUUUUAAUGGUAAAUUCAUCUAAGUCCAAAACUUAGUGAUAAUUGCACACCAAACAAUCCUUUUUGGACUAUGGACUUUUGGGCCUCCAAAUGAGAUGAAUACAACAAAUCUCCCCCUUCAGAUUAUGUGGGGGGCACUACAAGCCCGCUCUCUGCAUAUAGCUUUUCAGCUUCUCCUUGAAUAAUGACUUUGUCAUCAUACAUAACCCAUUCUUCGUUGUGUAAAUCUUCUCAAGCUAUAACUGUUCUUUCUCAAGCACGUCUCAUAUCUAAUGAUAUCUCACAUCAAUUUACUUAGAUUUCGAAUGGUAUAUCAAAUUCUUUGAACGGCACUCUGACUGUCGCAGUACAUAACAUAGUUGUCUCAUUUUAUAUCCAGCUCUUGUAGGAAAUUCUUCGUCCACAAUAUUUUUUUGCAACCUUCAAUAAUUGUAAUAUCAUUUGCUUUAGUGGUAGAAAAGGCAACUUAUUACUAAAGUUUAGAUUGCGAUGAGCUCCCCCUGCAAAAGUGAGCAAACAUCCUAGUACGAAUUUUUCGGAAUCAACAUCUCCUGCCAUAUCUAUACACUUGUAACACAGGUUUGUCACCACCAAAAUAUAAACAUGCUCUGGAAAUGCCUUUAAGAUAUCUGAGAAAUUUUCACUGUUGUCCAGUGCUCUUUACCGGGAUUGAAGAGAAACCACUGACUACACUAGCUGUAUAAGCAAUAUCUGGUCUUGUACAAAUUAUGGCGUACAAUAAACUGCCAACUGCUGAAGCAUAAGGAACUCCUCUCAUGGAGAAAUGGGUUUUGCUCUUGAGAAUUUUGGGAACAUAAAGAAUAAAGAUGUAAUUUCUUGGACUGCCAUUGUUUCGAGGUAUAUAAACAGAAGACAAGUCGAUAUAGCUUGACAAUGUUUUGAUCAGAUGCCAGAACGAGAUUAUGUCUUAUGGACUGCCAUGAUUGAUGGGUACCUUCGAGUGAAUAGGUUCAAAGAGGCUUUGACGCUUUUUCAGGAGAUGCAAACUUCAAAUAUAAUGGGAGACAAGUUUACCAUUGUUAGCAUUCUUACAGCUCGUGCCAAUCUGGGGGCACUAGAUCUGGGAGAAUGGAUAAAGACUUAUAUUGACAAAAACAAAGUCAAGAAUGAUAUAUUUGCGGGGAAUGCUUUGAUAGACAUGUACUGUAAAAGAGGAGAUGUUGAGAAAGCUCAAAAGGUAUUCAGGAAGAUGCUUUGAAAGGACAAAUUCUCAUGGACGACCAUGACUGUUGGCCUUGCCAUCAGUGGCAAUGGUGAUAAAGCUCUUGAUAUGUUUUCCCAAAUGCUUAGGGCUUCGAUCAAACCGGAUGAGGUAGCUUAUGUUGGUGUUCUGUCUGCCUGUUCUCACAAUGGUAACGAAACUUUUGUGAUAAAUAGUUGCAACUUAAGGUGAGAAUUGGAGGAAAGGAAAUAGACUGAAGUUGUUCAAUCAUCAGUGGUUGCUAUUUGGUUUUAAGUUGUUCAAUUAUCGGUCGUCUCUAUUUGGUUUUCUCCAAUAUCUCAUCUUCAGUUUUGACUCAGAUUCUAUCUUACCACUAUUGUUCUGUUCAUUCUAUUUGUUUCCUACAAAAUAUUUCUCCUGCCUAAAAUUUUUUGAAUCAGUAAGUUUUUAUCUUAUGCAAGAAUUGUGCUGAGAGUAAUUCCAUUUCUCAGUCUCGUUAUGUUUCAAUGAAGACGUAAAACUUGUGUUCUAGUGCACCAAUGUUUAUGCUUCUUACAAUUUGACUUUAAUUUACUUUGUAAAAUUUUUGUCAAAAAGUACUAAAAAGUAGUGCACCAAACACCAACUUUAUUAUAGAGAGGACUUUAGUUAAAUUUUAAGAAAACACUCAAAAGAAAGAGUUAUAAUUUAUUAUAGAAAUAUUUCACAUAAAUAAAAGCCAUCCCAUGCUGCAAAGAUCUUGCUAUAAUCACCAAAAACUAUCGGGAGCUUUUAGGGUUUCCAUAAAAAUGUCAUUUCGUUCCAAAAGUCAAUGGUGGGUAGAAAGUGGUGCAAAUGAGACUCAUUCUUAAUGGUAUAAGUUUUUGCUUAAUUAUGUCUUCCCCAAGAUGAUGAUUUAAUUUCCAUUCUCAAUUAAUUUUCAAGUUUCAACACUUUUCUAUGUAGCAUGACAUUGGAAAGAUCUUGUACAGUUGUACUACUAAAAGCUAGCAUCACACGUUAGUUAUUGUUAAGUUCUGUUUCAACGUGAAAUAAAGGAAGUAGUCCUUCAUUAAAACCAUUAUAGCCAAAUUUCACCUAAUUGGACACUUACAGACUUUCAUUUCAAGUUGGAUUUUGGUCCAACGUUUCAAAGUUUGGCCCAAUUAUUUUUGUCCGGUCAAGUCCUACGCAGCUAAGCCUCUCAAUGAAUGAGGGUGAGAUUGCUAAAAAUUACGACAGGUGAUAUUUUAUUAUUAUUAUUAUUAUUAUUUUUGGGGGAUAAAUCCUCACCAAAGUGAGGAGAUUUUAUCCAAAUCAAAAUAAAAAUAUAACAAGAACUGAAAGUCGGGCAGCCUAAAAGCUAGAUGAACUAAAAGUCAGGCGCCUAAAAACAACCUUAUGCAAAAGAGAAGCAAUAUGAGACCGAUCAAGUAAAAGAAUCCACCGCAACACCUAAAUUGGCCAAAUUAUCUGUUGGUAUUACAAGUUUCUUGUUAUAAAAGUGUAGAAUGAAGUAGGUGACGUAGUUUUAAGUUACAGCUGCAUGCCCAAUCGCAAUAUCAAAUAAUGCUUAAAUAUCAAAUAAUGCUUAAAGUAGUUGCCUAGGCCCGCCACAACUUAUAUUAACUCUUAAAUUUAUAAAUAAUUAAAUUUUUAAAAGUUUGGAUUUAUAUUAAAAAAUCUUCAUAUAAAUAAAUAAUAUAUGCACUUUUACAACAGUCUUUAAAUUUAAAUUUUUCAAAAAAAAUCUUCUGUAUAUCUUUUCUAUUAAAAAAAUUUCCAUAUAAAUAAAUAAUAUACCUAAUUUAAUUGGACCGAGCACAACGCACAUGCAUAGAACACAUUCCGAAAAGCCAUGCUAUUCAGAAAUUGACGAAUGAAAAGUGAGGAGGCAGCAGUCAAUGCUAUUUCGGCUUGGCCCAAAAUUGAUUUAUCAGUUUGACGUGUGCCAGGAAUGAAGAACUGGAAUAUCACCGUCAAGCAGCACCCUGUGGAGCAAUACCAUAGAAUGCACAAUCUGGCUUUGCCAGGUGACACUGGAGGCUUUUUGAAAAGUGCUUCAAAAAGCCUUUUCUGAUCGAGUCUGAGCACUCAAAUUUUGGUCCUCAGAUGGAGCUACAGCUUUCUCUCCAAUAACCAACAAUUUUCUAAACUCAGCUCCUAGUGUGAUGAGAGUUGUUGAUAUUUGUAAAUGGAGAUCCCCGUAUUUGCAAAUGGAGACAUUUACCAAAUCACCAACAUGCUUCAUCCAGUCUACGAAAUUCUGCAGCUGAUUCAAAUCCGGAACCUGAACCAGAGUCGGAGGUAAAUCUUGAGCCAUAUCUAAAGCAGUCUGAAGUUCAAGUACUUGAGCCCUUGACAAUGGUUUUGAAAUUGGAACAUCUUGGAUUACUGCAGACUUGUACCCCUUGGUUUCAAAGGUAAGGAAAGGCAUUGCUUGAGUACAAUUUGGAGGCAGCUUCUUCACCAAUUUUAUUUGGAGGCAAUUGGCAGCGGAUCCAGCUGCACCAAUUUCAGAGCAAAUACUGACACUACUUCAAACAGCACGCUGAAGAAGAGAUAUGUCUAUGGCAAAGACAAUGCAGUCCUCAUUUUGACUUGAGAUGCGGUAAUCAUCAAAGAGAGUUUCCUUGUGAAACUGGGCAACACAUUGAAUCCCUUCACCACUGAGAAGGUUGUGGAGGAAGCAAGCUUUCUCUCUAGUAAGGAAGAGGUGGCAUACCUUCCCCAUUUUGUCUAGGACAGGUAGGAAUCUUUUUUCUAAGAGAUUUACUCCAUUCUCUGUGAGAAAUGCUUUGAACUUCAUCCCUCUGUCUCUAUCCUCACUUAUCAGUAAAAUAGUUGAAAGCACUACAAGGAGAGAAAAGAAGAGUAUUAAGAUAUAUAUAGACAAGAAAAACAUUAGAUGUCGAUCUUACAAGCUAAUACUUCAAACAGUAUCCUAGAAAGCUAAAAACUGCAAAAUGGCUUGAAAUUUGAAAAGAACACAUGCUUUUCCUCCUUAACUUGAGAAAAUGUUUAAUAUAGUGCACCUUACAGAAACAUUUAAGCAAUUAGAACUUUGCACAAAAACAUUCAAGAAGACUAAACAAAUCAGAUGCAGUGUAUUUCUCCAAGCACAAAUGGCAUUGCAUUUUCUCCUCAACUGUAAUAUUUAUUGAUGAAAAUCAGUACAGGUCCCUCAUUUGUUAUGGAAAGCUUUCUUGUAGUCUGACCGGUUAAUUCACGGGUCUAUAAUCAUCUUGCAAAGUUACAGGCAUUUCUUUCGAUUUAAAGUCUUUGCAUCACCACCUCAUCACACACCAAGCCAAUAUUCCGUCUACCUCUACAACAAAAAGUUUUAAGUAAACGAUCCUAAUGCAUGCAGCCAAAUAAAAUGCAGUAAGAAUAUUCAACUUAAAACUCUGAAAGCCAUCUUGGUGAAUUGCCUCCUUAGGGGAAGUUCCAUGCUUUACUAUACUUGACAGGACUGAGCAAAAGCUUCCAUACGACAGAUUUUGACAAUAAUGAUGCCAACAGAUCCUCAUUAAAUCCAUUAAAACUCCAAAGGUUCAUUGUUCAUGGAUGUUUACAGAGUUUUGGUCAUCAAAUAGCUCAGACCACAAUCCCAAACAAAAAAGGAGUGAAAAUUAGAUCACCAGCAGCUAAUUGUAAAUUCUAACUUAACUCUUCAUCUCCUUUGUAAACAGGAGACAAAAUGGAGACACGCAAAAUGAAUAAGGAGAACAUUUGAACUCAAAUGAAAUGAGGGCACGAAAUCAAACAAAUGGCAUGCGCAAACAAACCAAGCCUCAAUCAAAAACUAAAUAACCAUUAAGAAAAAAAAACUGGUCAGAGAAUGAACUCCAAAUUCGGGAGUGAAGCAAGAAGCUUUCAUUAUUUCAGAAGCUCCUGUACAAAUUAAUAAGUUAUGCUCUUUGGAAACAAACCUAAAUUCCAAGAGAAACAGAACUCAAAAAAUUUGCAAUUAUACGCAAAGGAAGCGAAGCACAGCAUUCUAUCACACGUACAAAUUGUAUAACAAGAGAUCGACACAUCGAAUCAGAAGAAUUCAAUUCAAAUUUGUCUCAAAAAUCAAAAUUAGAAGAUUUCACAUUUCGAGAGGAACAAGCGACAGGUCAGAUGCACAAUUUUCAACCACAACAUGCCACAAUUAACGGUUUAUUUCCAUGGAUUUAGAGAGCUGACUGACCUUUUGGCUUUUGGAAUUGAGAAGAACGCGCGCCAAAAUGGAAGAGGGAAAGCGAAAGUGCGGGUUUCAAUAGGGUAUUGGAUUAGCAAAUUUUAUUAGUUUGCGAGGGUAAAAUAGGAAAGAGAUAUCACUAUUAACUUUUUUUUUUAUAAGAAAAAAGAAUAAUAAAGAAUAUUUUAUUGUCAUUUGCAGCAUUUAAUUUUUUUUAAAUGCUAUUAGAAAAAAACGACAAUAAAGAAAUGCUCUUUUUUUAUUUUUUUCUCGAAGGUAAAAUCAAUUAUUUAGCGUCUUAUAUGUAAUCUAACUCCAUUUCUUACUUUAAGUCAUAUCCAACUGACCAAUAAAGUAAUUGUUUUUUUUUUCAUUCAUUUUUACAGAAAAUUAAUAUUGAAAGCUAUUGUAAAAAUUUUUAUUAUCAACCUCAUAGUUUAAUUUUUUUGGGGAAGAAUUGAAUUUUUUUUUUUAAUUUCCAAGAAUUUCAUUCUCUAGUUUUUCCAUUAAUAUUACUUAUCUUGAUACCCAUCUUAAUUAAAAUCUGUAGUUUUAUUCAGGAGUCAUGCUAUUCAUUCACUCACAGACCAAAGGCUUUCCGCAGCAAUAUUAUUAUUUAAAUUACAACAAAGGGGAAAUCAAAUACGUCAUACAGAAGCUUAAAGCUGAAUCUACAAAAUCUAGAGCUCUCAACUACAAAAAUUACACUUGAUGAUCCUCUACAAGAUGAAACUUGUUCAAUAUCUCAUCCAAAGCUUGUAAAGUAACCUUGUAACGAUCUUGAGAUUGCCUGCCUUCCUCGACGACCUGCACGAUGCGUUUGUACAAAUCAUCAUACCUGUGCACCGGAUUUUUAAUAUCAACGCCACUGCAGCUGUGAUCAAGAACAUAAGAGCGUUUAACAUCUUUUCUCCAUCGAGAAAGAAUGUAGUGAGGUGGGAUCUCCUGCAUGCCACUCUGGUUUAGAACACAAAGAAUGUGUCUGCAUAAAUAUCCUCUGAAAUUGAACAACCCACAAACACAAAGCACCUCCUGCAUAAAUAUCUUUCUCGUUGCUACCAAUCUCAAAUUCUUCCUUCACUAUCUAUGUUAUAGGUCCAUCAGCACUGACAUGUUUUGUGCUAUAGCAAGAGUACAUAGCCUCCACCUCCGUCUGAAACUUCCUUAACAUUUCAUUUGUGUACAGUUUUGAGAGUUGAAAUUCAUAGUAACAUCUUGGUUUCUGGAUACAACUUGAAUUUCUUGAAUCCAUAUCUGCCAAGGCUUCCAGUUGAUAAUUCGCCUGCAGUGCUUGAUCAUACUUGUCUAAGAAUUCUUUCAAAGGAGUACUCUUAUCAAGAUAUCCUUCAAAGUAUGAAGUAGAAACCUCAUUCUGCAGGAAUGAAAACACUCCUGAUAAAAAUGCUUCCUUCAAAUAAACAGGAGCCCACCUUUUACGAUCUUCAUAUAAAGUUUGAAUCCAUCCAUGAUCCUUUAUUCCAUGACGUUGAAUCGUGUCCUCCCAAGCUGUCUCAAAUUCCUCAGGCCUAAGAGAGUGAUAAAUUGCUCUAUGCAAUGCAGCUCUAACAGCUUCAUAUUCAAACAAUCCUUGGAGUUUCUCUGAAAUUUUUUGCAUGACGCAUGACAAUGAAAAGCAAUGAUAAGCUCUUGGGAAAGCAUUGCUGACGGCAGUUUUCAAGAUUCUACAUUGGUCAGUGAUGAUUGUUUGUGGACAGCGUCCUAACAUACAUGUAAGCCACGCCCUAAACAACCAUGUAUAUGAUUCUAUAGUCUCACUGGCGAGUAAACCACAGCCCAACAGCACUGAUUGUCCAUGAUGAUUCACCCCAAUGAACGAAACCAGUGGUACAUCAUAUCUUUCUGUCAAGCAUGUAGUAUCAAUUAAGACUACAUCACCAAAGUACCUAUAUGCAACUCUUGACCUGGUAUCAGUCCAGAAGAGGUUUCUCAGGCAUCCCUUUUCAUUUAGAUCCACCACAUUAAAAAAGUUUGGAUCUGUCAACUGCAAACGACAAAAGAAACUCUGGACAGCUUGUGCAUCUCCUGGUUUAAGCUUCAAUUGAUUUGAGCUAUUAACAUCAUUUCCAAAUACUCCAUUAACAUCUAUAUUACCAUUUCCCUCGGUAUCAAGGAUAAGAGUUCGAAACAGUCUAAUUUUUUGAACUUCUUCAGCACCAUCUAAGAGCAAUGUUCUUUUGGUUCCAAUACCCAUGUGCUUAUGAGACUUGUAAAACUUUCCGCUUCUUGGGCUUAACAAACGGUUAUGCUCAAGCUUGACUUCAAUGAUUCUCCACCUUUUGGUUUCCAUCAACCUAAACUUUAUCAUUGCUGGACAGCCAGUUCUUGUUUCUGGUCUUGGGCGGUUUGCCUCGCUUUUCUUCUUUAAGCCUGCACUACUACAGCUCAGCUUUCCUCUAUACUUUUCUCUACUCUUUCGGUACCAUGUAUUGCUAACUCUAACACCAAAACCCUGUUCCUUGGCAUAGCAAUUAUAAAAGUAAUAUACGUCAUCAUACGUCUCAAACUCCAUCCCAACAGCAGGAGGCAAUGGAUUUUGGAUUAUCCCAGUUUGUCCAACAUAUUCAGUCAUCGCACAAUCUCCUAUUCAAAAUCAUCAGCGUCAUCAUCACCUACGGGUUCAGUAUUCAGAGAAACUUCAUCCAUCUACAAUAGAUGUUUAAUGAAGUGAGCUUUAAGGAGAAAAGGCAAAAUCAGUUCAAGGAAUGAUAAUAAAACCGUACAGUUACUUUCACAAAGCUUCGUAUUUCAUCACUACUUUAACAACAUGCAACUGCCUGAGAACAUACAGACAUGUCAUAGAUGCUUGAAUUAAGUAUUGAUACAAAUUAGCACACAUCAUGUGGGACACAAUUUCAGUCACUAAACCCAAUACCUUUUUUUUACAUCAUACCAAGAAACAGAUUAAACCCAAUACCUUCUUUUACGCCAUACCAAAGAACAGAUUAAAUCAUCAAUGAAAAAUUAAUCACAUAAUAAUUUAACUAGACAAUUGAAGAGCUCAAAACAGCACAAUACUUGAAUCUGAUUAUGAUAAUUGUUGAGUCCUUGUAUCGACAGCUUUCCUUCAAUGAGAAGAUUAUGAACAUAAACUACACACAAAAAAAAAAAUUAUUUAAACUGACAGCCCAUGAUAUAAAUCAAACAAAAUUAACUCCUUUUACAAAUCACAUCUUGUAUUCAUUUACAUCGAAACAUAAAAAGGAAGCAGGAGCCAAAAAAAACAACAGCACAGAAACUUCUUUCCAUAAGGUUUACGAAAUAAGGAAUUUAUUAAGACACAAAAUUUGAGGUCACCUAUAAUAAUUUGGUUCUCAUUCUCUUUUUCUUCAUUUUUCACUUAUUGAUGGAGUUAGCAUACAAUCCUAAAUGAUAAAACCCCAUCUCCAUUUUUGAACUAGAGCUAAAGCAAAGCAUUUUAGGAUUCAUCAUUUUUUUUUCUAAAAGACUCAAUAGUACAAUGUUUUUCAAUAUUAAAUACACAACUCAAUCUUCUCCUAAUUUACUCUAAUAAUCUCUUAACUUAGGAAGAUUAAGCUCCACUUGUAAGCUAAAACAAUUUUCUUAAAUCAAGCCCCAAUGCUCUAUACUAUUCAACAAGGCCUCAUAAAUGAUAAAACUACCUCUACAAAGAUACCCAUUUUAGUUUCGCAAACUAAAAUCAAACUCCUGAAACGUAACGAGCAUUAAAACAAACAAGUCCGAACAAGAACUGAAAAAUCAUACAUAAACUCGUUUACACGCUUCGAAAAACACUUUGAAAUUCAAACGAAACAUACCUUAGGUUGAUAAAUUAGUAGCGCAAAAGAAAUUUUAGUGAGAUAUGGGAUCAGGGUUUUUGCCACGGUGAUGUUAAUUGCGACAUUGGGGUGACUCAGCAGCCUUCGAGGCUGAAACUUUGAUUGACCAAAAGCUUCCCGUUCGUUGAUUAUCUAAUUGCAGAAACGAAACUCGCAGUGUACAGAAGAAGUACGCUGAUUUGAUAAUUCUGUGAAAAUCAUUGUUUUUUUGAGAUUUUUAAUGUGUUCGGUAAAUAUCAAAAUCUCAAAAACUUGUCUUUCAUUUUGGGGGGAAAAACCCAUUGAGAUCCUUAUGUUUUUUCUUAUAUAAUCUGGCUUAAUAAUUUGCAAAGUCUAUUACUUUGCACCCAUGCAUGCUGCGUUUCAAUUUUACAAAAUUGUACGUGAGUGCAUCCAGCUAAAAUUUGUAAAAAGAAAAUAACAAUAACAUGUUAAAAAUGUGAUGAUUAUGAAGAAAUUUUAAUUUAGUUAAAUAGGUGACGAUGGAUAGGUAUAAAAUCUGAGAUCUUUUAUGAGAUUAAUAAGUAUGUUGAGUUUGGAUUAGUUCAAUUUUGACAUAAUACAGAAUAAACACAAUCUGCUAAUCUAAGUUAUCAUCUUUUCUCGUCAUCAGGUACCUGUUUGAAAAAUAAUUAUAUACAAUUUUAUUUGCGUUGUCUCUCCAAAAAUUUUGGACUCGAAUGUUAUUUUUAAUUGCUAAAAGUACGAAAAUGCCCCCUUUCUCUUCAGCUAAAGGAGUGCAAAGUCAUCUGUAUAAUUGAAUCUGCAUCAUCAGUUUCUAUUGCUGGCUGGUGUUACUGCAUGCUUACAGUUGCUUGACAAAGUGAGCCAGUUUUUUGUUUAUUAAUUUUUUUUCUUGUCGAGACAGUCACAAAGUAUUACUUGUUCCAUAUGAGAAUGAUGUGAAUCAAUUUUUCAAUUAUGCAUUCUGUGGUAAUUAUUGUGAAUUUAGUUUCAUUUGUCUUGUCUCCUGCAAAUUUUGAAGAAAAUGCAGACAUACAAACUUACAAUAUGGAAGAGUUCACUGGAAAAAACUUUGUGAAAGCUUCCAAGUGAAACAGGGAAUGGGCUUACUAGUAAAGGACAAAUUGGUGGCCAGCUAAUGCAUUCAUUCUAUGUCCAUUCAUCUUUUCGAAUUAUUGAAGACAAGUGGCUCACCACUUUUAGUAUUGGUAAAAUUCAGAUAAUCUCUAUUCCGAAAUAAUAAUAUUCAAAAUAUCUCUUAAAUCAUUAUAAACCUGAAAUCUAUUUUAAUUUUAUUUAAAAGAUAAAAGAAAAAUAGGUUAUGUUGGUGAUUUUUUAUUAUCUUUUUAAUAAAAAUGAAAUAAAUUGAUGUUUAUAAUUAUUUAAAGUAUUUUAAAGAUUGCUAUUUUAUGAGAGAAUAAUAUUUCACUUUUUUAGUGUGAAAGAUUGAAAAAGGACAAACCAAGUUUCCCUAAUUUUUAUUUUAUUUGAAAUUGGUCAUCUCACAUACUUCACCCUUCAACAUUAUAAUUUUUUUGGUUAUAAUUUUAUUAUUUUUUCUCUUUUACACAUGCAUGUGAAUUACUUUUCUUUAAGCUCCUGAAUAUUUAAGACAAAUCAUGGAAGAGAUGAGAGUAUAACAAGAUGAUCAAAAUAUGUAACAAAAAAAUUUUAGAAGUGAAAAAUAUGUUAGAGUCGAAGUAAAACUCUGAGGUGAUGUUUGAUUUGAAGAAAAUGGAGGAGAGGAAAAGAGUGGAAUGGAGAGGAAAAUAGAGAAAAGGAGAGGAGAGGAGAGUGAAAUUUUUUUCUAAUGUUUGGUUUGUCACAUAAUUAUACAAAGAAAAGAAAUCUCUAAUUUUUUAUUUAGACAAUUUUAACCUUAAUAAGUAUUAAGCUUUCAAUAUUUAUCAUGUGUAUAAUUUAAAAAAAGUAAAUGGUAGAAAGCGGUUUCUGAUUCCGGCCACAUCGCCGGCAAUGGAAGGUACUUAUCAGAACAUCAAGAGCCGACCAUCAUUCCCUAGCCAUCACUGCUGUCAGAACACUGCCAGAAAGCUGCCGAUUGAACCGCAAAAAGUCGUGGAAAUCGCUGCCUCAAAUCGGUGAGUUUCGCCUUUUUCUGGUCACGCCGUCACCUUGGCUUUGUCCAUCAAGGCUGCCACUUCCAUUUUCAACCAUCCAUAGCCACUAUUAACGGCCAAAUCGCCGCCGAUCAGCGGGAUAUGUGGAAGUUAAAAAGUUUCUAAAUUUUUUUGACUGGAUUUGAACAACAUACGACCAUUUUUUGAUCUCGAUAACGACGUAGUAAUGUUGAUCAUUGAUCGGCAAGUCGAAUGGUAGUGGCGGUGAGUAACAUGCGCCAAUGACAUCGGCGGCGGCACUAUCCGGCGACUGUUAAAAUUAAUAUUUUAUAUUUUUAGAUUAAAUAAAUUUAUUUUAUUAAACUUUUUAAAUCAUUAUUUAAAUUUAAUUAAUUUAAAAUUAUCUAUAAUGUUGAAUUGAUAAAAUAAAUUUAUAAAUAAUAAUUAUGUGAUUACAUUAAAUAAGUUAAAAAGUUGAAAGGUUAUUUUUGGAAGAUUUAGUUUCCAACACAAAGGGAAUUUGAAUUCUUCACUUCUUAGUGUGGAAUUCAAAUUCUAUAUUGUAAUGGAUAUUAAAUUCCAAUAGAAAUUAAAUUCUUAUAAAUUAUGUCAAACCAAACAACGGAAAUAAAAAAGGAAUUUAAAUUACUUUCCUUUCCUCCAUUGUCUCCUUCCAACCAAAUACAUCCUGAAAAUAGAGAUAUUGAUUAAUUUAGAAGAGAUGCAAGCAAAAGAUAUUCCAAAAAAAAAAAAAGCAAUAUGUCCCUUUGGAGGGCAAACUUGUCAGUUUUAAAAAAGUACAUGCUUUGGAUUGAUAGUUGUAGGAUAUUUGUUUUGUCACUAUGUAUUAGUUGGAGAAGUCAAGCCUUGUGAAGAAUGUUAUGAAAGAGCAAAAGAUAUUCCUGAUAGCUGAUAGAGCUAUAUUUGAUUAUGUAUCCAACGAAUGGAUGUGUUGUUGGAAGAUAUCUGAGUGCAUUAGUUCAUAUGUGUAUGUCAAUGUGCUUUUAAUGAUUUUUCCACUUGUUUGUUGUAAAAGAUUAUUGUAAAUUGAAAUGAACUUGAUGUUGUAAUAUUUUUUCCUUAGUGGAAUUUCACCUAGUAUGUAUUCAGUUGUGUUCUCUAUAAUUUUGCAUUCGAAUAGUUUCACCUAAAUAUAUUAGCAUGAGUAGUGGCCCUUGAAACUUUGGUCAAAAUUAUUGUUAUUAUUUCCGACUAGAUGUAAAUUUUUUAUUAAAUCUCGUUAACACAAUUCUUAAUUAAAAGUAUAGGUUAGUGUUGGUGCAAGAUUUGCCACACCAAAUUCUGCCUAGCUGUCAAAAGUGCAAAAUAAAUGAAGAGAAAGCACAAAUACACGACUUGAAUAAGGAUACAACGAAACUUAAAUUCAAGAGAAAAUGAUAGCUAUAUCUCAAGAUUUGAAAAAAUGAUCAUGUAGAUUUUUAAGAUUUCAAUAAGCGACUGAGAUUCAAAUAAUAUCCUUUAAUUCUAUUAACAAAAAACAAAGACUCAAAUAUUUUAUGAUAAAUAAAAAUAUAAUAUUAAAAUAUAUGUGAUAAUAUACACAUUUUAAAUACUUUCAAUCCAAAAAAAUAGUUAUGUUUUACAAUCUAUUAGACAUAUUUUAUUAAAUUAAUAUAAAUUUUCUAUAAAAUAAGAAUAUAAUAUUAAAAUAAAUUCACUAAACUUUAAAGAAUUUUGAAUGUAAAAUAAUUUUAAUAUAUUAAUACGUGAGUUUUUUUAUUAAUAUAAAAAUUAUUUAACUUUAAGAUUUUUUAAAAUCUUUACAAUAAGUAUAACUAUAUUAUUUACAUUUAAAAAUAUUUAAAUAUUAUUAACCUACAAUUAUAUUUGCAUUUGUUAGAAAUUUUUUAAGUAAAAUAUUUUGCACUUCUAUAUUAUUAGAAUUAUUGCACACAAAGAAAGAAACAUAUACCUUUAGAAAUUGUUUUCUUUUAAAAUAGAGAUGAUGAUUAGUAUAAGGAUGAAAAAAAGGAUAUUAACGAAAUCUCUAUACAAAUUGAUUUUAGUAGGAAAAGAGUGAGAUGAAUGAUUCUUUUACAAUUAGAAACAUAGAUGAUGAUUAUUAUAACGAAGAAAAAAAGAUAAAGAAUAUUAAUUAUUAAUGGAAUCUCUAUGCAAAUUGAUUUUAGUAGGAAAAAAAUGAGUUAAAUGAUUUAGAGUGCGUUUGGAAUUGAGAUUGGGCAGCCAUAGAUUUUAAGUUACAACACUGAAGUGUUUGGUAAAUACUAGCUGCUGCAGAUUGAAAGUUAUGUUGAUAUGAUUUUUCACAUGUAUCAUAGAAAAUAUAUUACAUCUUUAAUAAUUUUUUUAAAAUUUAUAUUUGCUAUAUAUUAUUAUUAUUUUUUUUAUAGUUAUAACUUUUUUUCCACAGCAGCUGUAGCUUAAAAGCCACAGCACCUCAAUUUCAAACAAGUCCUUAGACAUUCAUAGUGUGUUUAUUUUUUGGAUUGGUGAAUAAAAAUUAUUGACAACGCUAACUUCAUCUUCACCGUUCGCAAUCCAACAGCAGCAAUUGUCACCAAUAAUGAUAUCUCCAAUGAUGAUGACAAUUAUUAUUAUUAUUAUUAUUAUUAUUAUUAUUAUUAUUAUUAUUAUUAUUAUUAUUAUUAUUAAUAAUUAAUUAAUUAAUUAAUAUAUUAAUGUUAAGAUUAUUAUUGUUAAGAUUAACAAUAAUUAUUAGUAAUACAAUUUUUUGAAUAAAAAUAAUCACAAUAAUUAAAAUACAAAUUAAUAAUUAUGACAAUAGUUAAUUAAUGUCUUUUUAGUGAAUCAAAAUUAUUGACAACGCUAACUUCAUCUUCACCGUUCGCAAUCCAACAGCAGCAAUUGUCACCAAUAAUGAUAUCUCCAAUGAUGAUGACAAUUAUUAUUAUUAUUAUUAAUUAAUUAAUUAAUUAAUGUUAAGAUUAUUAUUGUUAAGAUUAACAAUAAUUAUUAGUAAUACAAUUUUUUGAAUAAAAAUAAUCACAAUAAUUAAAAUAAAAAUUAAUAAUUAUGACAAUAGUUAAUUAAUGUCUUUUUAGUCAUUUAUAGUAAACAAAUUAUUAUGAUUCCUAUUCUCCUUUCCCAUUUUAGCUCACUUUGAUUUCAGUCUAUUCCGAUUUCUAUCUAAUAAAUGCACCAUUAGUGCUAAAGUAAUAUUUCAUACAUAGAAAAGUAAAAACUACACCUAAGGUUAAGGGAAAGGACUUCAAAACUCUCUUUUGAUUAUAAUACUAGGAAAUAAAACCGCGCUUCGCGCGGCUUUAGAAAAUAAAUUUAGUAUUAUCAAUUUUCUUUCUUUACACUCGACAAAACUGAUAAAAAAUAUAAAUUAAUUUUUUUUAAAUGAGCCAGCGUUAUAAAACUAAUAUUAUUUAUGAAAGUUAACUAUUUUUUUGUUAACUUUAAAAAUAUAUAUUAACGUGUAUAGUUUAAGUGUACAGACUUUAUACCUUUUGUAGUUGAUAAGUUCCAAAUUAAAUUUUGUAAUUGAGGAUCCUUAGCAUUGAAGUAUAAAAGAAAUAAGUAAAAUACAUGUAAAGACUUUUGUAAUUUAUUUCGCAUCGUUUGUAGCUGCGUAGGUGAGCAGUUGUUUAUAUCAAGCUUGCAGCUAUGGCAAGUUCCAAUGGGGAUCAGCAACACCUAGUGCCAAAAUGUUCUUUAUCUGUAUAUAAACCAUGUCUCCAUGGAUUAGAGAGAAUGAAAGGAGAAACAGUUGAUGUAAAAAAGAAUGCUUCUUCACGUACUAUGUUCUUUGGCGAUUAAAUCCUCCAUAACAGCUUGGAAAACUCAGCCAAAUUACCAUUUUGUUGUCUCGAUAGUUCCUUUGAUUUAUCCAUUUGUCUACUGAAUAAUUAAAACACAUAAUAAAAAUCAUUAUUAUAGGGUGAAGUAAGAGCUUGCAAUGUAUAAAUUAAAUUUUAAAAUAUAAUCUAAAAAUGUGAUACCUUGAUUUUGUGAGCUAAUGUGUGAAUAUUUUGAAAUACUUCUUUGUAGACAAUGUUUUUUAUGAAGGUUCGGUCUUCUACCUCUUGAUCGGCAUUUAGUAUGGUCAAUCCUUCUCUUGAGGUAACUCGAGACACGGCGACAUAUAAUUGACCAUGUGUGAAUACUUGCUUAGGGAGAUACAAGCCAACAUGUUUAAGAGAUUGUCCUUGGCUUUUGUUGAUCGUCAUGGCAAAACAUGGUGCUAAAGGAAGUUGUCGUCUGUUAAGCUUGAAUGGCCAUCUUGAUUCAUUAGGAGACAUAAUAAUUCUUGGAAUUGUGACAUUUUGUCCAAUAUUUGUUCCAGAAAUGAUGUCACCUCUAAUGGACCAUUUACCAAGAUGAGUGACAAUUAAUCUUGUGCCGUUGCAUAGGCCUUCUAUUUGAUUUAGAUUUCUGAGAAGCAUUACGGGAGCACCUUCCUUAAGUCGUAUGUCAUGAUUAGGGAUGCCAUUGAAUUUCAAACUAUUCAAAAAUUCAGUUGGAUAUAGAACAUCUUCAUCAUUUGUGUUUGCGCUUGCUUUGCAUAUACUGUCUGAGCUAAAAUAGGUUCUCCCUUGACCAGGUAUUAUAUUCAUAAUCAUCUCGUUCAAUUCAUGCACCAUUUCAUUUUUUGGGGUUAAUAUUGCUCUUUCUUUCAAAUAUGUUGGAUCACUGUAGUUAUGCUGAAUUGAUGGGUAGAUAGUGUCGACUAUUGAUUUUAUCAGAUUUUCUGAUGGUUUCUUACAGAUAUCAGAAGGUAGUUUAACUAAAUCUCUAUCAAUGUCAUCAUAUAAUGAACCAUCUCCAAUCUGCAAUAACCAUUUGUCAAAAGAAGCUAUUUUAGCAGCCUAAGAGCCACUCACACUUCCAUUAUAGAGCCUCAUAUUUUUUUUGAGGUCAUAAAUUUUGAAAAAUGGCCACAAGUAGGAUGAGUUAAGUGAAGCAUCAACAAUGUCUGCUCUUGUCCUCUUUGGCACAACUGGCAAUAUUUGUCGGAAAUCGCCACCACAUACUAUUGUAAGUCCUCCAAAAGGUUUGAUAGAACUAUUUUCAUACAUUGUUCUUAGAAUAUCUCUCAAGGUCCUAUCCAAAGCUUCAAAGCAGAACUUAUGUGUCAUAGGCGCUUCAUCCCAAAUGAUCAAAGAAGUUUUCAUAAGAAGUCCAGCUAAUAAGGUGCCUUGUCGGAUUUCACAAGUGGACUCUGCUGUCACAUCCAAAGGAAUAUGAAAUCGCGAAUGAGCUGUCCUACCAUUAGGCAAUAACAAAGCUGCUAUACCUGAAGUUGCAACAGGCAAGACUAUUUUAGAAUGUGAUCUGAGCUUUGCAAUAAUUGUAUUCCACAAAAAUGUUUUACCAGUACCACUGUGUCCAUUGAUAAAAAAUAAACGCCCUUCUUCAUUGUCAACAGAAUGCAUUAUUGCUUCAUAGGCUGAUUUUUGGCAAGCAUUUAGAGCAGCAAACGAUUUCUCAUGCAACUUCUUUAAUUGAUCACGAUCAUAAUCAAGCUCUUCAUUGACCAAUCGGUUACCUGAAUCUCUUAUCAAAGAAGAAUUAGGAAGUGGCAUUCCAUCUAUGUCUCUCAAACUUUUUCCCAUUUUCAACAUGAUAGUUUAAAUCUCCAACAAUGUGUAUGCUUCAACUUGUUGCUCGGUUAACUGAAGAUCUUUCAAUCUGAAUUUUUUCCUUUGCAAUGAAGUUAUGUCUUCUGAUAAAGUAGUAUAAUUAGAUUUCCAAAGUUGGGGUGCAUCAGAAACCUGACAAUGAAUGAGUAUCGUGACAAAAAGAUGUCUUAAUUCAUUUCCAGUCGCCCAUAUUGCAGCUUCAGUCAAGCAGUCGAUCCAUUCUUUAUCAUCGUCUAAUAAUCCCAAAGCAUAGCACGCAGCUUUAAAAGUUGGAUAUGUCACUCCAUUUACUGUUCUAAUACUUUCAAAUGAAGUGCUUCCUUUUACAAAAUUGAGCAACAUUCUCAUAUAAAAUCGUUCUCCACUUGAAGGAUGUGCAAAGUAAAUUCUUCCGAUUGCUAAGCCAUUUUUUCUCCUAGUCCAAGUUUUGUCUUUUGAAUUCCAUACCCAACAUGUAGGGAAAUCAGAAUAAGUUAACUCUCGUGCAUCAUCAUAAUUCUUGUUUGCCUCCAACCAUUCUGUGAACUUUGUUUUUUCUAUUCCAGGUAUGGUAAGCACAUUUUCUAAGCACUUAGAUUCUUCGAAUAUUACUGUAUGCUCUCCCGGUAAAUGGAACGGCAAUCUUUCAACUGCUGGCUUUCUGUAAUGUAUGUCAAAUUGGAAGAUUCGCCAGCAAGCUUCGGUUGCUGAUAUAUAUCUGCAGUCCAAAUAUGUUUUGAUCUCGUCCAUUUCUUGGGUAGUGUCAAUAGAUUCCAUUGUUGCAGUUGUUCUAUCAGACCCUUUAUGGACAUACUUGAAAAGAUAUUUAACUGAUCUCGAGUAAUUACAAAUCUCAACAUUAAUAUGUGCAUCAAAUUUGACAAUUAAAUUCCUGUGAUAAGGGACCACAUAUCGAUUAUCCAAGAAGACACCUUUCUUUUCGACAUGAAUACCUGUAUUUCUCCUUUUAUAGAUUGGAAAACCAUUUGUAUCCACUGUUGUCUGAUCAUUAAAUUUUUUUGGAAAAUGUUUUGUGCACUUGUCUUGCAUCAUGCAUGGAGAGUGAGAAUUGUGUUUUCCACACGGUCCAUGAAUCAUAAAUUUGUUAACUGCAUUAUAACCAUCAGGAUCAACAUUUAAGUCAGGGAUUUCUGCACUUAUUAUUUUAUCAAUAUGGUCUGCAGAAGGAUUUUUCAUUGUUGGAUGCAAAAAAAGCAGUAUGUGUGCAUAGGGCAAGCCUCUUUUUUUAAACUCAAUUGUAUAUAGACCUGCCACAAAAUAGAGUAAAAUUUAAAAGUUAGAAAUAUUGAUUUUAAUUGUGAAAUUAUUGUUUUUCCCUACACUUUUCAAUAACAAAUGAGUUGAAUUUGUUAUGGAUACGAAUUUGAAGUGAACUUACAUGCAAUUAUUUUUCCAAACGGUUGAUCUUUUUUCAAAUCUUGCAUUAGUUGGAAUAAUUUUAUCUCGAAAACUCUGCAUAUGAUAUCGACUCGAUUGUCAUCAUUAUUUUGUCCAACUAAUCGGAGCAUGUUAUUUAUUUCUUGCCACUUUGGGUUGCAAGUGAAAGUAAGAAAUAAAUCAGGAUAUCCUGCCCAUUUACAAAUUGCCAUAGCAUCUUGAUAAUUUUGUAUUCUAUAUCGUGGUCCCCCCGUGUGUGAUGAAGGUAGAAUAAUCGAUUUUCCAACUUUCGAACAAUCAGAAUCACCUCGAUGAACAGCAUCCAUCAAACCAGAGAAAAGGUCUGAUCGAAGUUUUUGUUGAUUAUUCCGGAUCCAACGAAAUCUUUCUUCUUCAACUGCCAUGUAACAAUCAACUAUAUAUUGUUGGAAUAGUCUACCAGUUUGAAGUAGAGUGUGUCCCUCAUUCAAUCUUUGUUGCAACCUAAAGCAAUAAUAUUGCCUCAUUGUCAGCUUUUGCCUCUUAAAAGGGCUAUCAGUUAUGUCUCUUAAAGAUAUGUCAGGUCUAUAUCCAUCUUCGCCAUAAGGAUAUAUUAACGGGUAUGUCAUGGGCAUGAAGCUUGGAUGCAAAUCUGUGAUUCUCCGAAGUCCCUUUGUGCGAUGCUCUAUAAUAACAUCGCGUUGAAAGUUUGCUUCACUGAAAUCACCAACUAUUAAGCCUGCAACUUCUGAAACUGUUGGUAUAUUGUAUCGACGACCAUCUCUUGUUCUACUAUUAAGGAGUCGUAAACGGAAUGUAGAUUCUGGUUGUGUUUUGUAUCUAUCCCUCGCCAUUCUAAAAGAUUUGACCAAAUUAUUAUGUUGGUCCAACAUUUUAGAUAGUUCAUGAAGAAUUUCGUGAUCAAUUUCUGUCUUCAUUCCAUGUUUUAAUAGAGUGUUGAUUCUAUUGUCUAUCUCAUUUUCAGUAUCAUAGAUAUAGAGCUGAGCAAACUGUGGUUUUUUCCCAACUUCUGGCAACAAAGAACCAAUGUGAUGAUAAUUCUGACCGCUCAUCCUGAAAACAUAAGGACCUUUUGAUCGAUUGAUUGAUGCAUCAACUCGACCUCCCAUAGAUGUGAAAGCAAACAUGGAGUUAUAAGCCCUGAUAUUUUUUCGAAAUUUGGAACCCUUUUGUCCAGACUCUGCCCCGAGAAGAUAUUUGAGUAAAGGAGGUGUUUCUUUCAUGAAUGGAAUCUGCACACGACCUUCCAUACAACAAAAUGUGAAUUUGGGAUGUGAGACCUUUUUGGUUUUCUUGUUCCGUUCCUCGUACCAUAAAAUGGCACCACAAUAUUGACAUGUGUAUGUAGGGGGUCCAAAAUUCCAAGGCGUUGUGUAAUGAACUGUCAAAUUCAACCAAUAAUAAUAUUGUAACAAAGUAUCUUAUUUCGUCUAAGUGAAUAUGGUAAGAAAAAAUAUUACUAAAUAUAUUAAUAUUUUCAUUGUACAUGUAGUUUCAUGCAAAUAUGUACCAUUAUUUGAUGUUACACCAUCCAAUGGAAAGCUUGUGGACUGAUCUAUAUUCUCAUCAAAAGAGAGACACGCUCUUUUUAGUUGUCCAUGUUCAACUGUAUAUUUUUAAAGUUCCAAAAGCAAUGAAUAAGUUAUUAGUUUCAAGUAUUACAAGCAUGAUGAAUAACUAAUAAAGCUCGAUAAAUUUAAAUAUAUAUACGUACAUGUGUGAAGAAGGCGCUUUCCUCUGUUUGUUUGACUCUUUGGAUUUAUAUGUAAUGAUGUUUUAUUAUUAUCAUAUCCAGCUUUACCAGGAGAUUGAAGGAAAUUCCCAAUUGAAAUAUGUUAGAAAUAUAUAUAUUUGUUAAUAUAUAUUAACAUAAAUAAUUUAAAUUAUAUAGGGAUAAUUUUUGUAAUUUGUAUAGUAGGAAUAAAAAUCAUAUUUUCAAGAAUCACAUACCGUUUGAGUGAAGCAAUUUAUUGUCACUUCUAAUGACUUCCAACUUCAUAAAUUUUGUGUAAAAAUUCACAAUUUGUAGCAUCAAAAUGAUUCUCUUUUUUAAAUCAUGUUUGUAUCUAUUAUGAAUAAUCAUAAUUUUCCGCUUAAAUCUUGCAUGCUUGAAUAUGGCCUUCUGCACGACAACAUAUCCAUUGUUUAUUGUGUCACACUGGAAAUUUGAUGCAUAUUUCCUAAGUUUUAAUUUCAUAAUCCUUUCGUGCCGAGCUAAAGAUGAAAGUUGAUGCCGCAAGAGACAAACUUCUGGCGGAAUAUUCCUUGAGUCACCGAAAUCAUUAAUAGUUGCAGAAAUCAAUUCCAUUUACUCUGGUGAACAAUAAAGUGAAUUCAAUAUCACAAAAUAUUCUAAAAUUAACAAAACGUUUUAUUACAAAUCAUAACAAGAGAAACCGAAAAUAUAAAAUGUUUUUUUUCAAAAGAGAGAAUUUUUUUUUCAAUUAUUGAAAUAAGAAUUGCAAUGAAUUUUUCGAACGAAUAUAUACCAUAUGUUAGAAAGAACAAAAAAAAAAUCACUAAAAACAAAACAAAAUAAAAUGGGAUUUAAUUUAACCAAUUCAAUUUAAUUUUAAACUCAUGCCAGUGUCACACUGGCAUUAAUUUUUGUUGUGCUUAUAGCCACGAACAGAGGCUUUUAGAUUACUUCUUUAUUAGGUUAUUAUUCUUCGAAUUUGGUGGGUAAAUUGUGAGCUUUUUCUGUUGUGAUAUUAUCAAAUCAAUCCAUGCAAAAUAAUCAUUAAUGUAAUGUUUUUGUUAUUUUCAAACUGAUAAAUAAUUAUGAAUUGUUUCCAUAAUUGUGUAUUUAGAAACAACGUUAACACAUUUUUUCGGAACAAACUUCUAAGUUUGAUUGAUUUUACGUCUAAUUACGAUACCCUAAAUUAAUAUAGAAAGUCAACAAAAAUCCACUUUAACAGUUCUAAUGUAAAUUUAAAGGCAAUUAAUUUUGAGUAAAUAUGAACUAAAACAAAACUUGAACAAAAUCUGAAUUUAUAUAUAAUAUUAAGGUAGCCACAUUGCAUUUGAAAAUGUCAAUUAGUGGGAUCUAAAUAAAUAAUCACCUUGGAAUUUUUUAAUGGUUGUAGGAGUUAAUAUUACAUACACGGACUAUCAUCUUUGUUGUACAAAUUUCGAUCAAACAUCUCCCCCAACUUUUUUCAUAAAGUAAUCUUUGAUAUCACCGAGCUAUCCAUAAAAAUUGCCACAAGUGAAUAAUGUAAAGAGAAAAACUCAUUAUAAGGAUAUCAUAUUAUCAUUAAAUUCGAAAGUUUCGAAUUACGUUAUUAUACAAUUGGUUACUUUUUAAUUCUAAAUCACCAAUAUUAUUAUUCCCUAUCUCAAUAUGAAUAUUACCACUUGACUUUUUUAUUUGUGUUUAUGAAGAGGUGGGGUGUGAGGAAAAGGAAAAAAUGUUUUUCUUAAGAAUUAGAACAAAUAAUUAGGCAAUAAUUCAAGGAAUUGAGGUUGUUCAUUCUACAUUCCAUUUGGAUUUACAGUGAUUUUCAUAAAUUUUUUCUUUUAUUAAUUAUGCUAACUGCCAUGUACUGUUGUUUAUUCUACUGCGUUUGGGAGAAGAUGCUUGGGCUGCCUAGAACAUAUUUUCUAAUUAAUUUUUCUUGUGAAUACAUUGAAUAAUCUCUAAGGGCUAUAUCCUUUUUCAUUUUACUUUAACGGUUUUUCUUCAACAAAUAUUGGAUGUAUUUAGUGAAAAAGAAAAUUAAAAAUUAGGAAAGAAUUAAUAAAAUUAGUGAAGUCAAAUUGUCAAUCAAUUCUUAUGAUAAAACAAUAAUUAAAAAAUAUAGUCAUAGUUUUCUUGAUUAUAUUCGACUUAUUAAUCUGUUAAAACUUUUUAUAUCUUUUUUUCCAACUUCCCCAUUUGGUGAACUAUAAAAAUGAUAUGUUUUUUUUCCACUCUUUGUCUCUAUCUUUUUUCACUCACAAAGAGUUAAUAGUUAUUAAUCAAUUAAUUUUUUUUGUUUGCAUAAGAAUUAAUAAUGUUGCACACAUGUAUUGUGAAAUAAUUGUUUGUUCAUAAUUAUUUUUUGCAUUUUUUUAGAAGUCAAUAGUCAAAUUAAUGAUAUUGAAUUAAGACAUUUCGAAGUUUGCUAUUUUGUACUUCUAAUAGAAAUGCUUGCAAAUGGGAGGCAUUAAUUUUUCUGUUUACUUUAUCGAAUUUCAUAAAAUUCAAUUCAAACAAAAAAUUGAAGGUUAGAAAAGCAGUUGGAUAGUUUCAUAAAAUUAUUAUUUUAUCAUUUAAAAGAUAUGUACCACAUCAAUUAGGACUAAAUAUUAGAAUCAUUAGCAUUGUUCCAAUCACACAUGCAAAAUCUAUCACUCAAUAGUCAAGUACAUUGUACAAUGCAGUCGAGAACAACUUCAACAUUUAGUUAAACCUUUUCUAUCUGUUUAUUUCCACAAAACACCAAAUAUCCAGAUUGAUACUGGAUCCUCCGAGUCAAAUAUAGCUAGUUCACGUUCAGAAAAGACCCGCCUCUUUUAAUUGUACCUCCUGCAUGCGAAUUAUAUAACAAUUAAAUAAAACUACACCAGAGAUUAAUUAGUCAAUAAAUAUAAACACGAGCUAAAACAUGUGUUUACUAAUAAUUCUUAAACAGGUCUAAGCUUUCAAAGUUUGCAUUGAAAAAUUAAAGUGAAAAUCUUCAAUACCUCCAUGUGUAAAUCGCAUAAAUUAGACAACCAAAGAUUAUUCAAAGAUUUUUCUUUCUUACCUUAUGCUUUUUCGCAAACAAGUAGAUAACAACAAUUGUAAAGACAAGUGAGCAGUAAUCUGUUAAAACAAAGUAAUCCAGUGUUAAUGAAAAUAAGAACAACAUAUUAUAUUUAAAACUAAGUUUUCAUAAUAAUGAAAUCGAGUAAACUUAUUCGAUAAGGAUAAACAAAUAGAACGCAUUGACAAAUUGACAUCAAAUUAAAUUGAUCCAAAGAAAUUGAGAUGCUCAAAUUUGAUUACGUACACAUUAAUUUUCAAAUAAUUAAUCCACACAUUGUUUUAUUCUUCAAACAUCUUUAAACACAGGAGCCAACACUUUCACUCUUAUAUAUUACUGCCAUAGUAACUUGAACUUGGUGAUCAGCUUUUUAAUUGAUUUGCAGUAGCUCACAAUUAAUUAAGCUUGAUCAUCAGUAGCUAUUAUUGAUCAUAAAAAUAUUUGUUUAAUUUACAAUCUAAAGUUACGCUCCAUACUCUAUAUAUGUGAAUUAUAUAUUUGCAUCAUCAACAUUAACAUUAUAAAAUAAUCUGUGCAAUAGGAUGCUCUUGGAGUAUUUUAUUUUCAUCACAAAAUAUAUUAAAAUUAUAUUAGUCAGAGAAUAUAUCUAACACUUUCUAAACACUAAUAUAUAAUAGUUUCUACAAAAUUAUGAAAUAUUUGUACUAAAAUACCAAAAUAUAAAUAUAUAUAACCUAAUUGGAAUCAAUAAUCAAACUUCAAACAUGUCAUACUCUAAAGAAAUUAAAGCAUGAUAGUCUGUGUGUUUGACAUAUUCAACUAAAUGUUUGAUGAGAAUCUGUGAUUGUUAACAGCCAAUAAUGGUUUCUUUAGCAACUCAACUCAACUCAGCAAAACCGCAACCAAUUACAUUUACCAACUCAACUCUUCGCUUCCCCAAUUUCCAACAUUCUCUUCACAUUUACAAAUGGUAGGUGGUCCUAUAAAUCCCAUUCAAGAAUGAACAAUUUUUUUCAGUUCCUAGUAGGUGAAGUUUCUUCCACAUUUACAGAAAUUUCGACAGCAUCUCCCCAUAGUUCUCCAAGUACACGACCUAGAUUUAUGCAUUCAUCUAGUAUGUACCCAGAGAACAUGAGGAGCAGCUAUCGAAAUUUCCUUUUACGUGAAACAAAACUUCACCUACUUGGAACUAAAAAAAAUUAUGCAUUCCCAAACUGUCCAAGUUGGGACAAUUCAAGAAUUAUUAAUAGACAUAUCAUCCUCUUGUCAUCCUAAGAUGACACUGAUAAAACAUGUGUCUACUAAUAAUUCUUAAACGGGUCUUAGCUUUCAAAGCAUGCAUUGAAAAAAAAAACGUAAAUCAAUAUAUAUAUAUAUAUAUAUAUAUAGUUGAGUUUAUUAACAUUACCUAGGUUUGGCGGAGAAAAUAUGAAGAAGAAGAAGUAGUUUGGGCAAAAAUCAAAGGGUUUUGAUUUUCAUUAUUGAUCAAUUGAAAUAGUAGAGUAGUGGACCUUCUCAGCUAGUUCCAUGGAUGUUAAUAAAUCUAAAAUUUGUUAGCACUUAACAUUUGCUAAAGAAACCGUCUUAAGUUUCAAUUCUUUAAAUUAAUGUUAAUUAGAUUUGACAUUGAAGAUUAAUUAUUCACUAAGGCUUAUCAUAUUUUAAAAAAACGAAUAUAAAAGGUUGCAUAUUAAAUAUGGGAUUAUGCAAUUAAAAUUAAACCCUAGUAAUGGCAUUGGUGAGGGAAGAUGAAAGAAUUCCUUCCUAUAUUAAUUAGUUGAUAUAUUUUAAGCCACUAAAGUUUAAUUGUUGGCUUAAUAAAAUAAAUGAAUGUUUCAAGACUUAUAAUUAAUUAUUAUUAAUGGUUAUAUAUUGUUGAAUUUAAAUAGAAAUAGGAAAAGACAUGUAAUCUUUUGUAAUCUAAUAAUCAUUUUCUAUUUAUUUUCUAUUUUUAAUAUUUUGUAAUGUAAUUAUUUUUUAAUUUAAGCUAAUAUAUUAGAUAUUAGAGAAUAUAAAGAGAUGAGAAAUAAUGAUGUCACAAAUCUUAAAUACUUAAUAUUUAUAGAAUUUGAAGAAGCCAAAAAGCACUAAACAAAAGGUUGAAUAAUUAAAUAUGAAAUUAUGACAUUAAAAUUAGGCCCUAGUGGCAUUGUUGAGGGAAGAUGAAGGAACCUUCCUUUCUAUAUUAAUUAAUUGAUGCUUUUUAAAGCCAUUAAAGUUUAAUUAUUGGCAUAAUAAAAUAAAUGAAUGUUUCAAGACUUGUUGAAUUUAAAUAGGAAGAGGAAAAGACAUGUAAUCUUUUGUAACCUAAUAAUUAUAUUCUAUUUUUACUAUUUUAUAAUGUAAUUAUGUUUUAAUCUCAACUAAUAUACUAGAUAAUAAAGAAUAUAAGAAGAUGUAAAAUAGUGAUGCCACAUCACCUCUUGUAGUCAAGGCUUAUAAUUAAUUAAGAGACAUGGAUAGGGAUGGCAAUUUCCGGGUCCGGGUCCGGGUCCGGGUUUGGCUGUUCCGGAUCCGGACCCGGACAUCAAAUUCUCAUAACCGGACCCGCAUUAAACCCGGAUUUUUUAAAUCCGGAUCCGGUCCGGGUUCAACCCGGAAAAAUCCGGGUUUCCGGAUUCCGGGUUUGGAACCCGGAUUGCUUUAUUAUUAUUUUUUUUAGAGACCAUAUGGCUUACUUUAACAAGGCACAGGGGAUGGUGGUUUAAUGUUUUAAUGUUUUCCCCAACAACACAUUACAGAAUACUUCCUAGAAUUGGUUCAAUAAAAUUUGAUGGAUAUUGUUGUUGAGUUCGAAUUUUCCGUCUCUUUUGGUGGAGGUUUCACAUAUUUUCCUAUUACUUUUUGGCAUCUCUUUCUCUUUUGUCUGGUUUGUUUGUCUUUACUUUGCUGCUUCCUUUUCUCCUUUAGCUUAUUCCGAAGAUGCCUUUCUUUCUCAAAUACACCUUGCCAAACGACCUCACCUGUUGACGGCCAUAACCACCGUCUUCUAGGGUGAUCAGAAUCUGCCUCCUCGGCCAUGUCCUCAUCCAUGCUUUUUAAAGUGCUGUAUGAGAACCAUCUGACCCACAUUUGACCUCUCCGACUCUUAAAGUGCCACGCCGCGAAGGAUCUGAUCUGAUCUGAAGAAGAGAUUACAGGAGAGUUGCAGAGAGAGUGAGAGAUUAAGUGACGACGGAGGACUGAGGUGAGGAAUGAGUCACGGCUCACGGGUGAUUUUCCUUGAGAGAGGAACGGAUUACGGUUUACGAAUGAGACUUGAGAGAUUGAAAGGAGAAAUUAUAGAUUUACAGUAAUUUUUAGGUUGAAGGAGAAAUUUCGAGAGAGGAUCAGACGAACGAGACGAGAGAGAUCUAGAUUCUAGGGUUCACUUUUGUUUUUGUUUUUUUUUUAAUUUUUCUAUUUAUAUUUACGGAUUUACGGAUCAAAAUUAAUAUUAAAAUAAAUAAUAUCCGGGUCCGGGUUCCGGGUUUGCGGGUUCAUCUGAAACCGGAUCCGGACCGGAAAAAUGCGGGUUGUCAAAAACUGAUCCGGAUUCCGGAUAAAAACUAUGCCGGUGCGGGUUGAACCCGGACCGGAUUUUCCGGGUUCAAUCCGGGUCCGAUCCGGGUCCGGGUUUGGUUGCCAUCCCUAGACAUGGAUGAAACUAAUGUUAUUUAAGUAACACAUAGUUGAUUUAUAAGCUUAAUGUGUCAAAAUUGUUUAAACCUUUCCAAGAUUAACUAUUGUUUUCUUAUUAUUUCUUUUAUCUAGGUUUAAAUUUUAGGAGAAAUUUGUCAAUUUUCAAUUAUUGGGUGAUAUUGGUAUGCAAAUGAUGUGUUUUAUAGCAAUUUGAAUCUUUCUCAUCUUCAAGACUAUCAUUAGUCGAUAAUGUUGCUAUUACCUCAGGCUCUCGUGAGUCUAAACAUUUUCUAAUUAAUUGAAAAUGAUAUAAUGAUUAAUUAAUUGUUGAUAAUAAAACCAAUUUAAUACGACGUCUCCCCAUUUCUUUCUUUAUUUCUUUUAAACCUCAAUCAUUGUCAAAACCGUUAAUGGGUUGCAAUUAAACACUUAACAAAUCUUAAACUUGUUGUUAGCAAUUAACAUUUGCUAAAGGAAUCGUCUUAAGUUUCAAUUCUUUAAAUUAAUGUUAAUUAGAUUUAAGACGAAAAUUAAUUAUUCACUAAGACUUAUCUAUAAAUAAAAAGUAGAUACAAAUGUUGUAUAAUUAAAUAUGAGAUUAUGACACUAAAAUUAGGCCUUGGUAGUGGCAUUGUUGAGGGAAGAUAAAAGAACCUUCAUUCCUAUUUUAAUUAAAUUAUAUGUUAUGACGUGAAAAAAUAAACAAUCCAUUUUUGUAUUUUGUAGUUUGUGAAGAUUUGAAACAAUGUGCUUUCUUUUCAGAGUGAUAACAAUUGGAUCCAUUGCUUUUUCCUUUUAAUGUUUUAUAAACAUAUAUUGUCUAUUUGCAUCAAAUAAGUCCCAAUCUCUUUUACAAUCACUAAUAAAACACCUUUCAAUUAUUAAACUAUAAAUAUGUGUCAUUCAAAAUUAUGAUGGAAGAUAGAGAAUUUAGGGUGGGUUUCUUCACUGAAGAGUUAAAAAAAAUUGAAAUUUAAAAUUUUUCAAUAAAUACAAAUAUAAGAUGAAUAGUUUCAUUUGUUCAAUAGACUAAUCAUAUUAAAAUAAUGUUAGUAAGGAAAAUAAUUUAAAAAAUAUUCUUAAUUAAAAUAAUUUAAAAAAUGUAAAUUACCUCUCUCACCUCAUUUUUUAAGCAAAAAUAAAAAUAACUUGAAGUUUUAAAAAAUAAUUGAAGUAAUUUAAAAAUAAUCAAUUUGGAAUAAUUCAAAAUUUACCCAAGAGAUUAUUCACAAUAUCAAUCAAUGAAUUAGAAACAUUAAAUGGUAUAACAUAUAACUAUUAUUUUUAACUUAUUGAUCUCAAUCUUGAGCGUUCGGAUUAGAUCUUUGGGGUUUCAUUUUUUAGAUUUCAGUGAUUGAAAGUAUGAAACUCAAAGUAACAAAAAUUAAAUUUAUAUUUUAUCGCAAGUGAAGUGUAGGGAUUAAUCCAAUUAUUUGCGUCUAGCGUUUCUUUUUGUUGCUAUCACUCUUGUUGAUGAUGAUAAGCCUUUUUUUUUUUGCAUUGUCACUACCAAUUUAUUAUCUACAUUCAUCUAUAGAACGAAGCAAGAUGCCAAGAAAGAAAUAUAACACAAGAAAAAUAAGUUAUCCCAAUCGUUCAAAACAAAUACAUACAUAGCCAGAAAAAUAAGACAUAUCAUAUCACACUUAAAUAUUACCACUCUAAAAAGAAAAAAAGGUCAAAAGACUAACACACAUGUAAAAAGAUGACCAACAACAACACUAAACAUGUUUUGUGUAUUGAUUACUUCCACCAUCACUAACUUCAUCAUCAUCAAUAAUUUGGUUUUUUCUCUUUCUAUUCUUACUGGCAUUAGUAACAUGAAAAUCUCCCACAGAAUCUUCCAAAUUAUUUGAUAAGAUAUCAUGAGGAUCCUGUAAUUUUUUAAUCAAGGAAAUUAAAAUUAUGAGUAAACUGAACAUGCUAAUUUUAAUCAUAAAGGAAAACAACUGGGAAAUAAGAGUAAAUAAAAUUACCAUUUCUUGGGAAUGUUCUUCCUUUCUUUCAUAUAUUUCCACAUUUUCAUGAUCUGUAUUGUUUUUUUUCCUACAAAAAACAACAAUUAAAUAAUUUUUUUAACAUUACAUAUAUUGCCUACAAAUUGAACCUAGCACAGGUAGAUAAUACCUUCUUCAAUUCUUGUUCGAGCUCCAAUUUCUCAUCAGGGGUGAAAAGCUUUGACACAGUAAAAUUCUCAAGUCCCUCUUUCAAAUUGUAAUCAUUCAAUUUCAGUUUGUAAUCAUUCAAUUUCAGUUUGUAAUCAUUCAAUUUCAGUUUGUAAACAAAAUCUUUUCCACAAAGGCUUUGAAUUUCUGCAGGGACAUCCUUACUAUAUAAAGGUAGUCUAUUAAACAACUUGUGGGCUGAUGUAUCAAGUAACUUCUCAGCUACAUGAUUGAAUAAGACAAAAGUUGUCUCUGCCGUUUUAUCCAUGACUUUUAUAUGUAUUUUGUACCUACAUUAGAAUAAUGAAUUAGAAUGAAAAACUAACAACAUAAUGAGCAAUUUUUUUUAAAAAUAAUAUUAUUUUUCUUACAUCACAAGAGGAUAGUCACAUUCCUUUUUGCAAGUGCCACACAUAUAAAUACCAUUUGUAGGUAUGACCUUUUUUAUGCAUGUUUUGCACGAAACAUAGUACCAUCCAAAGGAGUUGUCUAUUUCACUAAUCUUGCCCCGCACAGUAACAAUAUAUUCCUACAAUUAAACAAUAAACAUUUAAAAAAAUAAUAAGGACAUUCCAAUAUUUAGGAACAAAUAACACAAAUGGAUGAGCAGGAAAAAAAUAGAAAAAUCACCUUCACUUGAGAACUCCAAUCAGCCUCCAAUAGUUCUUUAAUGCUCAUCCUGUUAAGGAACAUCUCUUCCUCAAAAGUAAUCUUAUUCACAUUCGAACUUUCAAUAACUUGCACAACGUUGGAGACGGUGGAAAAUCUUUCAAUUAAUGAUGCUACAUAAUCUAUUUGAAGAUUUAUAUAGAUUUUUCUUGCACUUGUGGUAGAGAAAUUAACCUCACCUGUUUAGAGCAAAUGUAACGUAAAACGAAACUUGAACAAAAUCUAAAUUUGUGUAUAAUAUUAAAAUAGCCACAUUGCAUUUGAAAAUGUUAAUUAGUGGGAUCUAAAUAAAAUAAUCACCUUGGAAUUUUUUAAUGGUUGUAGAAGUUACUAUCACAAUACAAGGACCCUCGUCUUUCUUGUACAAAUUUGAAUCAAACAUCUCCCCUAACUUUCCCCAUAAAGUAAUCUUCAUUGUUACUGAACUAUCCAUAAAAAUUAACAAAAAUUAAUAAUGUAAAGAGAACCAAUAACUAAAAAAUAACAUAAAUAACUAAAAAAAUAUAAAGUCAUAGUUUUCUUGAUUAUAUUCAACUUACUAAUCCAUUAGAAUUUUUAUAUCUCUUUUUUUCCAACCAGCUCCAACGAUCUCAAUAUCACCCACACCACAUAAACUUCCAAUAACAUCUGUAAUAUUAUGGAAAAAUAACAUAAACAUGUUAAAACAUAAGGAUUAAUAAUUUCUAAUAUACACUUAAAGAUUAACAAACAUUAAUAAUUAAAAAAAUACCUGAGAGGAUUGUGUUAUCAUUCACACGUAAAUCAAUCAAAUUCGAAGAUACGAAUUGAAAUCCAUUAAUCGGAAUCUUGACAGUUCCUUCUUCUAACCUCUUAAGAGAAGUUAUACCAAGAAAAUAAUCUUAUACUGAUUUGAAAGUGGUCUGUACUCGCCUGUAGUUGAAACAACUUUCAAAUUCUUGACAUUGUACAAAGAACCCUCACUCAACAUGUGCUUAAACCUUGUCACUAAGGUUUUCCUGAUUGUUGCAUGCAUUAGAUUUUCCUACGAAAAAAAAAAAACACAUACUACAUUCAGUGUGAAACAAUUGGGAAAAAAAAUUAGAGAAAACAAUGGGAGAAUAAAUUUUUUAUACAACCUUUUCAUCAAUAAAAAUCAUAUCAACACUAAUCAAUUCUCCAUUUUUUUUAGUAUUAGUAGACUCCCACAUCCUACAAAGCCUAACCCUUAUCAUCCAACUAUCUUUAUCAUUGUUCAACUCAUGAAGAAAAGAGUACUCCAUGAAGCACACAAUAUCAAAAAUUCAAAUAAAUCAAACAAUAAAAAUAUAAGUAUUUUUCUAAAGAGGGCGUUGAUUAAAUAAAUAAAAAAACCCUAAACAUAACAAAUCUUAAAUAUUUAGUGUUUAGAGAGCUUGAAGAAGCCAAAAGGCACUAAACAAAAGGUUGCAUAAUUAAAUAUGAGAUAAUGUCAUUAAAAUUAGGAUCUAGUGGCAUUGUUGAGGGAAGAUGAAAGAACCUCUCUUCCUAUGUUAAUUUAUUGAUUAUUUUAAGCCACUAAAGUUUAAUUGCUAGCAUAAUAAAAUUUGAAGGAGCCAAAAGACACUCAACAAAAGGUUCCAUAAUUAAAUAUAUGAUUAUGACAUUGAAAUUAGGCUCUAGUGGCAUUAUUGAGGGAAGAUGAAAGAACCUCUCUUCCUAUAUUAAUAAAUUCAUGUAUUUUAAGCCACUAAAGUUUAAUUGCUAGCAUAAUAAAAUAAAUGAAUGCUUCAAAAUACUUAUAAUUAAUUAUUAUUAAUGGUUACAUAUUGUUGGAUUUAAAUAGAAAGAGGAAGAAACAUGUACAAAGAAUAUCCACUAAUAUUUUAGAUAUUUUAGAUAAUAGAAAAUAUAAAACGAUGAGGUUGAGAGAAUGUGAAAGAACCUCUCUUCCUAUGUUAAUUAGUUGAUGUAUUUUAAGGCACUAAAGUUUAAUUGCUAGCAUAAUAAAAUUUAAAGAAGCCAAAAGGCACUCAACAAAAGGUUGCAUAAUUAAAUAUGAGAUUAUGGCAUUAAAAUUAGGCCCUAGUGGCAUUGUUGAGGGAAGAUGAAAGAACCUCUCUUCCUAUAUUAAUAAAUUCAUGUAUUUUAAGCCACUAAAGUUUAAUUGCUAGCAUAAUAAAAUAAAUGAAUGCUUCAAAAUACUUAUAAUUAAUUAUUAUUAAUGGUUACAUAUUGUUGGAUUUAAAUAAAAAGAGGAAGAAACAUGUACAAAGAAUAUCCACUAAUAUUUUAGAUAUUUUAGAUAAUAGAAAAUAUAAAACGAUGAGGUUGAGAGAAUGUGAAAGAACCUCUCUUCCUAUGUUAAUUAGUUGAUGUAUUUUAAGGCACUAAAGUUUAAUUGCUAGCAUAAUAAAAUUUAAAGAAGCCAAAAGGCACUCAACAAAAGGUUGCAUAAUUAAAUAUGAGAUUAUGGCAUUAAAAUUAGGCCCUAGUGGCAUUGUUGAGGGAAGAUGAAAGAACCUCUCUUCCUAUGUUAAUAAAUUCAUGUAUUUUAAGCCACUAAAGUUUAAUUGCUAGCAUAAUAAAACAAAUGAAUGUUUCAAAAGACUUAUAAUUAAUUAUUAUUAAUGGUUACAUAUUGUUGGAUUUAAAUAGAAAGAGGAAGAAAUAUGUACAAAGAAUAUUCAUCAAUAUUUUAGAUAUUUUAGAUAAUAGAGAAUAUAAAAAGAUGAGGUUGAGGGAAGAUGAAAUAACCUCUCUUCCUAUGUUAAUUAGGUGAUGUAUUUUAAGGCACUAAAGUUUAAUUGAUAGCAUAAUAAAUUUUGAAGAAGCCAAAAGACACUCAACAAAAUGUUGCAUAAUUAAAUAUGAGAUUAUGGCAUUAAAAUUAGGCUUUAGUGGCAUUGUUGAGGAAAAAUGAAAGAACCUCUCUUCCUAUGUUAAUUAAUUCAUGUAUUUUAUGCCACUAAAGUUUAAUUGCUAGCAUAAUAAAAGAAAUAAAUGUUUCAAAAGACUUAUAAUUAAUUAUUAUUAUUAAUUACAUAUUGUUAAAUUUAAAUAGAAAGAGAAAAAAAGUACAAAGAAUAUCCACAAUAUUUUAGAUAUUUUAGAUAAUAGAAAAUAUAAAAAGAUGAGGAAUGAUAUAUAUUAAUAAAGUUACUAUCUAUUAAAUGAGUUAAAUACAAUCAAAUUAAUUAUGAGAAGAUGAAAAGCCAAAUUUAAAAAAAAAAUAUCUAUUUAUUAGAUAAUAGAGAAUAUACAAAGAAGCAAAAUGGUGAUGCCACAUCAUCUCCUCAAGUCCUAGCUUUAUAUAGAUACUAGGAAAUAGAACCGCACUUUGUGCGGCUUUAAAAAAAGAAUUUAGUAUUAUUUUUUUUAUUACUUUACACUUGAUAAAACUGAUAAAAAAAUAUGAAUUGAUUUUCUUUUAAAGAUGACGCAGCCUUAUAAAACUAAUGUUAUUUAUGAAAGUUAAUUAUUUUUUUGUUAACUUUAAAAAUAUAUAUUAAUGUGUAUAGUUAAAUGUAAACAACCUUUUCAUCAAUAAAAAUUAUGUUCACACUAAUCAACUCUCAAUUCUUCUUGGUAUUAACAGACUCCUACAUUUUACAAAGUCUAACCCUUAUUAUCCAACUAUCUUUAUCAUUGUUUAACUCAUGAAGAAAAGAAUACUCUAUGAAGCACACAAUACAAAAAAAUUAAAUAAGUCAAAAAAUAAAAACACAAGAACAUUUCUAAAGAGGAUGUUGGUUAAAUUAAAAAAAAAUCCAAACAUAACAAAUCUUAAAUACUUAAUAUUUAUAUAGUUUGAAGAAGCCAAAAGACACUAAAUAAAGGUUGCAUAAUUAAAUAUGAAAUUAUGACAUUGAAAUUAGGUCCUAGUGGUAUUGGUGAGGGAAGAUGAAAGAACCUUCCUUCCUAUAUUAAUUAGUUGAUGUAUUUUAAACCACUAAAGUUUAGUUGUUGGCUUAAUAAAAUAAAUGAAUGUUUCAAAACUAUAAUUAAUUUAUUAUUAAUGGUUACAUAUUGUUGAAUUUAAAUAGAAAGAAGAAGAGACAUGUAAUCUUUUAUAAUCUACUAAUUAAUUUCUAUUUUUAAUAUUUUGUAAUAUAAUUAUUUUUUAAUCUCAACCAAUAUAUUAGAUUAUAGAGAAUAUAAAAAGAUGAGAAAUAAUAAUGGCACAAAUCUUAACUACUUAAUAUUUAUAGAGUUUGAAGAAACCAAAAGGCACUAAACAAAAUGUUACAUAUUAAAUAUGAGAUUAUAGCAUUAAAAUUAGACCCUAAUGGUAUUAUUGAGGGAAGAUGAAAGAACAUUCCUUCCUAUAUUAAUUAAUUGAUAUAUUUAAGCCACUAAAGUUUAAUUAUUGGCAUAAUAAAAUAAAUUAAUGUUUGAAAAUUUAUAAUUAAUUAUUAUUAAUGGUUACAUAUUAUUGAAUUUAAAUAGAAAGAGGAAGAGACAUAAUCUUUUAUAAUCUAAUAAUUAUUUUUUUAUUUUUAAUAUUUUGUAAUGUAAUUAUUUUUUUUAUAUCAACUAAUUUAUUAGAUAAUAGAGAAUACAAGAAGAUGAGAAAUAGUGAUGCCACAUCACCUCCUCUAGUCCCAACUUUAUAUAUAUAUAUAUCAACUAUAUAUAUAUAUAUAGAUAUAGAUUUUUAAUAUUUUGUAAUGUAAUUAGUUUUUAAUCUCAACCAAUAUAUUAGAUAAUAGAGAAUAUAAAAAGAUAAGAAAUAAUGAUGCCACAAAUCUUAAAUAUUUAAUGUUUAUGGAGUUUGAAGAAGCCAAAAUACACUAAACAAAAGAUUGAAUAAUUAAAUAUGGGAUUAUGACAUUAAAAUUAGGCUCUAAUAGCAUUGUUGAGGGAAGAUGAAGGAACAUUCCUUCAUAUAUUAAUAUUAAUUAAUUGAUGUAUUUUAAGCCACUAAAGUUUAAUUGUUGGCAUAAUAAAAUAAAUUAAUGUUUGAAGACUUAUAAUUAAUUAUUAUUAAUGGUUACAUAUUGUUGAAUUUAAAUAGAAAGAGGAAAAGACAUGUAAUCAUUUAUAAUCUAAUAAUUAUUUUCUAUUUUAAUAUUUUGUAAUGUAAUUAUUUUUUUAAUUUCAACCAAUUUAUUAGAUAAUAGAGAAUAUGAGAUGAAGAGAAAUGGUGAUGCCACAUCACCUCCUCAAGUCCUACCUUUAUAUAUAUACUAGAAAAUAGAACCGCGUUUCACGCGGCUUUGAAAAAGAAUUUAGCAUUAUCCUUUUUUCUUACUUUACACUUGAUAAAACUGAUAAAAAAUAUGAAUUGAUUUUUUUUUUUAAGAUGAGGCAGUCUUAUAAAAAAAUAAAAAAAGUUAUUAACCAGUAAUACAAAUAAAGAAGCAACGCAAGAUAAAGAAUAAAAUGAGAGAAUAUUGUAUAAUGAUUUUAUUCAUUACAAUUGUGUGUGUACAAAACAAAAAGAUGAGCUCUCCUUUGAUAGUUACAUAAUCACUCCAUGAAAUUAAUGAAAAAUUAUGGAUCAUAAUUCCUUGUGAGAUAGUGGGAGUUAUAGGGAAGCUAAAGGUUGCUAAUGAGAGAUAGUGGGGAGACUAAGAGAUAUAUGUUAUGAACAUCUACAUUUAUUUUAAUAAAUUCAUAACACUCCUCCUUGAAUGUUUAUUACAAAGAAUAUGUCUCAUUAAAAUCUUUACAUAAUUGUUAUUGUGUAAUAACAAUCAAAUUAAUUAUGAGAAGAUGAAAAAUCAAAUAUAAAAGAAAAUUUCUCUAUUUAUUAGAUAAUAGAGAAUAUACAAAGAUGAGAAAUGAUGAUACCACAUCACCUUCUCAAGUCCCAGCUUUAUAUAUAUAUAUAGAUAUAUAGAUAGAUAGAUAGAUAGAUUAAUUCAUGUAUUUUAUGCCACUAAAGUUUAAUUGCUAGCAUAAUAAAAUAAAUAAAUGUUUCAAAAGACUUAUAAUUAAUUAUUAUUAAUGAUUACAUAUUGUUGAAUUUAAAUAGAAAGAGAAAAAAAAGUACAAAGAAUAUCCACCAAUAGUUUAGAUAUUUUAUAUAAUAAAAAAUAUAAAAAGAUGAGGAAUGAUAUAUAUUAAUAAAGUUACUAUUUAUUAAAUGAGUUAAAUACAAUCAAAUUAAUUAUGAGAAGAUGAAAAGGCAAAUCUAAAAAACAAAAAUCUCUAUUUAUUAGAUAAUAGAGAAUAUAUAAAGAAGCAAAAUGGUGAUGCCACAUCACCUCCUCAAGUCCUAGCUUUAUAUAUAUAUAUAGAUAUAGAUAUAGAUAUAGAUAUUUUGUCCUAAUUAACUUAAAGAUUUUGAAUCUAAUAUUUUAUAAUAAAUAAAAAUAUAUUCCUAAAAUAAAUAUAAUAUCAAUAUUUAAAAUAUGUUUUAAUAUUUUACAAUCUAUCAUACACAUUUUAUUAUAGUAAAGUAGAUUUUAUAAUAAAUAUAUAAAAAAUUUAGAAUAUGUAGAAUAUUAUAUAAAAUAAUUUUAAUAUAAUGUGUGAGAUAUAUUUUAUUAAUUUAAAAUGUCAUUUUACCUAAAAAAUAUGAUAAAUUAAUAAUUACAUAUUUGAAGUUACUUCAAAUAUUAAAAAAAAUUAAUAUUAUUAAUCUUUUAGAUAGAUUAAAUUAUUUUUUAUAAGAGAGAUUAAAUUAUUUUAAAAUGCCUUAAUUGUUUUUACUUUUAACGUUACCGGCCUUUCUUUUAUUUUAUUGCAAAUUAAUACUAAUAAGAAAAAGCUAGAUCAUAUUCCACAAAAGCAAAUGUGACAAACACAACCAGCUGGAAUCUUUUAAUUACUAUUCAAUAAUUCGAGACGAUUAGGGUCUUUUAUUAAACUACAAUCCUCAAUAAUUGUUUUAAAUUGGUGGCACCUACAAUCCUCAAUAAUUGUACCGAUAUUCACAAGUUCGUGGCCCCUACAAUUCUGUUCGCAAGUGCUCAUUCACAGUCUUCCAGGCCCCUACAAUUCUGUUCCGAUAAUUUAACUGUGCAAGUGCUUAAUAAUUGUUUUGUUUUUUUCUGCAUUCCCUUUCAUGCUCUUAAUAAUUGAAGAGCAUACUUUUCAAAUGUGGAGCCGCAGCUAAUGUCGUUAAUUUAAUUUGGGAUUAAAUUAGGGGACCAUUAUAUUGCAGUGUGCACUAAUUUUUGUGUUUAUCUAAACUCCUUAAAUUUAAGACAUAUUACGGCAUAAAUAAGAAUAUAACAAUAACAAAAGAGUUAGAAAGUGUAGAGAAGAUCUUGCAGAAAUAUAAAUAAUAUCAAUUUUAAAAUAAUUUUUAAUAUUUUAUGAUCCAUUAAAUAUAUUUUAUUAUAUUAAAAUAAAUUUUAUAAUAAAUAAAAACAUCCUAUUAAAAUGAAUAUAUAGAAAAUUUAGAGUAUUUUAAGUAUUAUAUAAAAUAAAUUUAAUAAAAUAUGUGAGAUAUUCAUAGUUUAUUAAUUUAAAAUACCAUUUUAAAAUUAAAGAUUUAUUUAUGAUAAAUUAAUAAUUAUAUUUUUGAAAUUACUUCAAAUAUUAAAAAAUUAAUAUUACUAAUCUAUUAGAUAGAUUAAAUUAUAUAUAUUAUUUUCUAUUUAUUAAAAAAUUAAAAUUAUUUUUAAUUACUAUUCAAAAAAUAUAAUGAUAAAAAAAAUCUUAACAUCUUUAUUAAAAAUUUAAAAAUUUACGUGAUCAAUUCUCUAAAUAUUUAGGGUAUAUGUGAACCACGGUGGAGAAGCUUUAUUUAAUAUUAUUGAUUUAAAUAAUAUGUCAAUUAAAAAUGUGCGGAGAAGAAAUUUCGGUGGAUAUUUUAGUCUUUUCAGCAAUUAUCAUGAUCAGAUCUAGGGAUGGCAAUGGAGAGGGGAGGGGAGGGGACCGAUCUCCCCGUACCCAUCCCCGAUAUUUUGCGUAUGUCCCCGUCCCCUCCCCGUCCCCAUCAGAAUUACUUGAGAGAAUCACCAUCCCCUCCCCGAAUAAUAACAGGGGAUCCCCGAUGGUCCCCGAUCCCCGAAUAACUAAUACAUUUUUUUUCAAUUUUGAGUUAAUCAUAUUAAAAUAAAAAAUUCAAAUAAAAAUAAAGUUCGAAAUAUAUCUUACAUUAAUAUCUAUUACAAAAGUCACAUACAUUAAAUUAGUAAGUAACGCAACAUGCAAGGAAUACAAACUUCUUUUACAAACUAUCAUGAACAAAUUAAUAGUUUAAUACAAAAUUGUUACAAAUAAAAUCGAAUUUAGAUUCAAAAUUAACUUUUUCAAUGGUGGCGUGGGCACUUUAUAAAUGUGGAUUAUUCCCUUUACAACACAAUAGUUAAAUCGGAGCAAAUCAAAAGUAAAUAUUAGAUUGGAUUAGAUUAGAUUAGAUUAGAUUAGAUUAGAUAUUAAAAUUGUGAUUCGCUGUGGACAAUUAUAACAUCUAAAAAUAAAUAAAAAAUAGAUUUAAGUUUAAAAUAUUUAAAGAAUAUUAAAAUUAAAAAAAAAUGUUUGGCUAAUAGAAUCUACUUGGUCUUUUUAAUGUCGUAAAUAAAAAUUUAAGACUUUAAUUAGUUAAUUAGGCCUAAAAAUUUAAUAAUAUAAAUAUUUUGAUAUUUUUUAUUUUUACCAAUAUUUAUAAGUGGAUUCUUUUACUAAACUAUAAAUUAAAAGUGGAUUCUUUUGAAUACAAGUGGGACAGACGAUUAGGCUCUUUUUAUUAAACGCAAGUAAAAAGUAGUCGAAUAGUCUUUUUCAAAUUAUUGUUUUAUUAUUUUUCCUUCAAAAGUUAGCGUGGCUCAUGUUUGCAGGUGCGAAUGUGCGAUGCUCUUUUUUUAAAGGCAAUUACAGUGGGUCCCGAAUCAUUACUAAAAUUUCUCUUCCUCAGCCCACCGCAGCUUCAGUUAAUCAAACUCAAUCAAUUUUCUUUCUUAACAAAAUUCUAAAGAUGUGUAGCAUUUUUCAGAUCACAUGCGAUGGUGCUUUUUUCAAUCGUUGCUUGGAUUGCUUUCUUGGAAAAGCAGCAUACAUACGUAACCUCCAAGAUAAUCUUGAUGCCUUGGAGACUGAAUUGGGAAAUCUGAUCGCUAGAAAGAACGAUGUGAUGAGGAGGGUUGUCGAUGCUGAACGGCAACAAAUGAGAAGGCUGGACGGAGUGCAAGUGUGGGUUUCGAGGGUGGAUUCUGUUAAAACUGAAGCCGAUGAACUUAUCACAGACGGCUCUCGAGAAAUUGAAAAAUUAUGUGUUGGAGGCUACUGUUCCAAGAACUGCAGGUCAAGCUACAAAUUCGGGAAAAAAGUGGCUAAAAAGCUACGGGAUGCGCGGACUUUAAUCAGUGAAGGAGUUUUUGAGGUGGUGGCUGACAGAGCUCCAGAGUCUGUAGCAGAUGAAAGACCUACUGAGCGAACAGUAGUAGGCUUGCAAUCACAACUUGAACAAGUCUGGAGAUGUCUUGUAGAAGAAUCAGCGGGAAUCAUUGGCCUAUAUGGUAUGGGCGGUGUUGGUAAAACUACACUACUGACCCAUAUCAACAACAAAUUUCUCGAGAGUCCAACCAACUUUGAUUGUGUGAUUUGGGUUGUAGUUUCAAAAGACCUGCGACUCGAAAAAAUUCAAGAAGAUAUUGGGAAAAAGAUAGGUUUGGUUGGUGAUUCAUGGAAGAGUAAAAGUGUAGAGGAGAAAGCUGUCGACAUCUUCCGGAGUUUAAGAGAGAAGAGAUUUGUAUUGUUGUUAGAUGAUAUAUGGGAGCGGGUUGAUUUAACAAACGUGGGCGUUCCACUUCCCGGACCAAAAAAUACUACCUCAAAAGUCGUAUUCACAACCCGUUUCAUCGAUGUUUGUGGUAGCAUGGAAGUUGACAGGAAGUUUCAAGUAGCAUGCUUAUCAGAAAAGGAUGCUUGGGAACUGUUUCGAGAAAAAGUUGGGGAAGAAACUCUUGAGAGUCAUCAUGAUAUCGAUGAGCUAGCCCAAAUUGUGGUCAAAGAGUGUGGUGGUUUGCCACUCGCACUUAUUACUAUUGGUCGAGCUAUGGCCUACAGAAAGAAAGCGGAGCAGUGGAGACGUGCAAUUGAAGAGUUAAGGAGAUCAGCUUCAGAGUUUGCAGGUUUGGGAAAAGAGGUGUAUCCUCUUUUAAAAUUCAGCUACGAUAGUUUGCAGAAUGAUAGUUUGCAGAAUGAUACGGUUAGAUCUUGUUUCUUGUACUGUUGUUUAUAUCCUGAAGAUUAUGUCAUUCCUAAAUGGGACUUGAUUGAUUGUUGGAUUGGUGAGGGAUUUUUUGGGGAAUCUGACAGGUCUGGUGCAGAAAACCAAGGAUAUGACAUUUUGGACACUCUUGUUCGUGCAUGUUUAUUAGAAGAGGUGGAAGAUGAUAAAGUAAAAAUGCAUGACGUUAUUCGUGAUAUGGCUAUAUGGAUAACUUGUGAAAUUGAGAAGGAGAAUAGAAAAUUUUUGGUUUGUGCAGGUGCUGGAUUAAAAGAGGCACCGGGUGUUAAAGGAUGGGAAAAUGUGAGAAGAUUGUCAUUGAUGCAAAACCAAAUUGAAACUCUGUCAGAGGUUCCCACAUGCCCUCAUCUCCUCACUUUAUUUCUUGACUUUAAUUAUAAUUUGAGGAUGAUCGCGGAUGGCUUCUUCCAACUUAUGCCUUCUCUCAAAGUUUUGAAGAUGUCACUCUGCCGGAAUUUAACUUUGAAAUUACCUUUGGGGAUGUCAAAGUUAGGUUCACUGGAACUUCUCGAUAUUUCAUAUACCUACAUACAAGAGUUACCACAAGAGUUAAAGUUGUUGGUAAAUCUGAAAUGUUUGAAUUUGAGGUGUACACACAGGUUAAAUAAAAUUCCACGGCAACUAAUAUCAAAUUAUUCAAGGUUACGUGUGUUGAGAAUGUUCGCUAGUGGCUGGUUCAAUUUUCAUGAAGCAUCAGAAGAAAGCGUUUUAUUUGGUGGGGGUAAAGUUUUGAUACAGGAAUUGCUCGGUUUGAAAUAUUUAGAGGUAUUGGAGUUGACCUUGGGAAGUUAUCAUGCUCUCCAAAUUCUUUUGAGCUCAAAUAAGUUAAAAAGUUGUAUUCGAUCUCUUUACCUCCAUUUGACCGGAGAUACAGCGUCAAUUAUUGAUGCUACGGCUUUCGCAGAUCUAAACCACCUCAAUGAAUUAUGGAUUGAUAAUGGUAUUGAGUUGGAAGAAUUGAAGAUUGAUUAUACGGAGAUAGUACGAAAAAGGCGGGAACCUUUUGUUUUCCGCAGCCUUCACCGUGUUACCAUAUAUAGUUGCAGUAAAUUGAAAGAUGUGACAUUCCUCGUUUUCGCUCCAAACCUCAAGUCUCUUACGCUAUUCAAUUGCGGUGCUAUGGAAGAAAUAAUCAGCGUCGGAAAAAUUGCUGAGACUCCUGAGAUGAUGGGACAUAUAAGCCCUUUUGAAAAUCUCCAAAGGCUUAAUUUAAAAGAUUUGCCAAAUUUGAAGAGCAUCUACUGGAAGCCAUUGCCUUUUACUCGUCUGAAAGAAAUGGCGGUACUUGGGUGCGAUCAGCUUGAAAAGCUUCCGGUCGAUUCCAACAGUGCAAAAGAGCGUAAAUUUGUAAUUCGUGGAGAAGAAGACUGGUGGAACCGACUUCAAUGGGAGGAUGAAGCCACUCAAAUUGCUUUUCGUUCCUGUUUCCAACCUUAUUCCUGAGCGGUGGUCGCAAAAUUUGAUUUCUGGUGAGUGCGUUUUUCUUUGAACUCUUGUACAUAUUCUUGUCGUUUGCUUCACGCAAAACACUAGGUCUUUUCUUCAGUCCGUUACCUACACGCAAAACACUGGUUCUUUUCUCUGUUUUUAUUUCAGUUAGUUUCUCUCUCUCUCUCUCUCUCUGUGUCUUCUGUAAAUCACAAUUAAAUGUUGAAUUAAUGGAAUUAAUGCUUCAUAAAUUUGCCGGCACUGCCGUUACUUUAUUUUAGGGGGGUCGAAUUGGUGCUCUGGUUUUUUACUUUUUGCUGUCAAAUUUUGGCCUUUUUUUUUUUUUUAACAAGUUGAUACUUUAUUUAUAUCUUCUUAGCGAUUUAAUUUCCUGUCAAAAGAGGAACGAGAAGAACAUAUGACUUAAACCAAUGCUCGCAUAAACUUGCUGUAAAAAGAUGUAAUCUCACUGAAAUGCACACGUCUAGAAUGAAUAGAAUUAAAACAGGGAAAAUAUUAAGUAUAUUAGCCCUCUUUACCGAAAAUCAAAUGACAAUAAAUUUUUGGAAGUUUUGAUUUUCUACGGUCAAUUCGACCUUUUGCAAUUUCUUCUGUUCUAACAAAAACCAAAUUCUUUGUUCAAGUAUUUUCGUUUGGGUAUCAAGGAUCUCUAAUCAAUAGCUGGAAGCAAUUCAGAGGGCGCCGAGACCCGAUCCGACCUAGGCCCAAGUUUGGUCUUAAAGCCUGGGCUUGAGCCUGACAAUUAAAUUAAAACAUUAAUUGAUUUAUUGAUUGAAUUGUCGUGCAAUUGAUUUAUGGGGGAUGAAAAUUCAACAUACUUGAAAAUACACUAAUCUUAGCAUCAUCGGUUAAUAACUUUUAGAUUUAUGGGUAAUCAAUAGUUAAGAUCAGUUGUCAUUUAUUUUUUGAAAUGUCCAUAUUCAGUGUACAUUUGAAAAAGACCCAAUAAUUUCUCAUAAAUUUCAAUUAAAAAUAUUCAAUUUGUUAUUUCAGUUCUUUUAUUUUUUAUUUUUUCCAACAUGAAAGCGACUUAAUGUUACUAAAUUGAAGCCGCUGCCCCGCCUGUGGUUCCAAACUUUUAUCUUCCUCCUCCUUUAAAUUAAUGCGAGCAGCCUCCGUCCUUGACUAGUUGACUUCUUUUCUUCUUUUUUAAUUAAUUAAUUAAUUAAUUCAGCCGCCCACCUUUCUUUUCCCAAUGUCUUCUACUUUCGAUUUCCUUUUAUUUUCUCUUUAUUUUUAAAAUAUGCUUAUAGUAAUAAUAAAAAAUAAAAAUAAAAAUAAAAAUAAAAAUGAACAUAUUAAAAUAUAAUUUAUCAGAAAACCAAGAUAAAGAAAUAUUAUAAGCACAUCAAUCAAAAAGUGAAAAAAAAAACAAUUUUAAUUUACAUUAAAUAUAAACUUUCAGUGUUAAUCAACUUUUCUAAAUAACUGAAAUUAUUUAAAAUAAAAAUAAAUUAUUCUUCCCAAAAAAACAAAAAUUACACCCACUCUUGGCUGUAUGUCAAGAUUCGCUUUAAGGACUGAAGUUGGUAACUUUUGCAAGCAGUCUUAAAUUGAAUGGCAGCAACCCACGCUUUCAGAUUUAUGGUUAAUCAAUAGCUGAGAGUUGUUAUCGCUAAUGCCGUGUAUUUUUUUUAAUGUUUUUUCUCUCUCCUACAGCAUCUUCUAGGAAAGUGCAUCCGUUGCUAAAAUUUAGUAUUGUAAAUAAUAAACCAAGAAUAAAUAUUAAAUUUAAGAAACUGUAUUGCAUUUAAUAUUUAAGGGAGAAAAAUAAUUGUAGUGUCUUUAUUAAUCAGUAAAAAGAAAAGAUUAGAAUCAUAAUAAAUUGUAUUGUUAUUGAUGUAUUUAUUUUAUUUUAUACUCAAAAUAAAUUAUUUUAAAUUAUUAAAAUAUUAUUAUUGUUAUUCUAAUAAUAAUUAUUAUUUAAUAUUUAUUAAAAUAUUUGUCAUAUUACUAAAAAAGCAAUAAUAAUAAUGAUAAUAUUGGAAUUGUUGUUUUUUAUCUUAUUAUUAAUCAAAACACUUCUGGUUAGCCCAUUCAUACGUGAAGACCAAAACCAAAUCUCUUCUUCUCCUUCUUUUCUUAAAAUACGGGAUGUGUGUGCUCGGACUGCUCUCUCAUUCUUAAAACAAGACUUUUUGAAUUAUCCAAUUAAGUUAAAUUCUGUGGCAUCUGGUAUUUUCAUUUCUUGUUUAUUUCGCAAGUUAUUAUUGCCUAAUGCUAUGUCAACUCUAACAUUAGCAUAUAUAUUUUUUUUUUGGUCGUCUUUUAACACCAAACAUUAGUGUAGGUUAAGUAACAUAAUCAGUACUGGGACAAUUUGAAAUCCCUUUGUGUUUUAUUCACAGUAUCUAUGAGGGUUUAUCCUUUUGCUAGAACAAACUCUAGCAAAUUGUCAAAUGUACUUAUCCUUUCGCUUGAUGACUCAUUUUAAAAUUGUCUUUCAAUGUACACACACAGAGAUAACCACCGACAUCAAGCACCAAGUUUGGAAUUUAAUUGAUAAGCAUACAUUUGAUAAAUUAAUGAAAAGUUUGGGAGAAUAGUUUUGAUCACCCUCGAUUAGGAUGGUAUCACGAAAAAGAUCAAAAAGAAAACAUCGUCUCUUCUUCAACAAAAAUAAAUAUUUUCCGUUAGAAUUUAAAUAAAAUAAUUAUUUUUUUAUUUUUUGAAUUAAAAUUUAAUUAAAUACACAAAUAAAUUAUAUAUUUUUAAAAAAAAAUUUACACCCAGUCACAAGGCUGGCUAUUAAACUUAAAGGGAAGCUUCGGAGACUAAAGUUGGUAACAUCUCCAAGUGGUCUUAAGUUGACCGGAACUACCCCGACUUUAUGUUUGGUAGCCUAGACCUGAUCGGACCUAGGCCCAAGUUUGGUCUUAAAGUCCACAAUUAAAUUGAUUUGUUAAUUUAAUUGUUGUGUAAUUGAUUUAUGGGGAAUGAAUCAGCAUCCCUAAAAUUACACUAAUCUUGACAUAAUGACAUCAUCGGUUAAAAACGUUCAGAUUUAUGGCUAAUCAAUGGUUUGAGAUUUGUUAUCAUUAAUGCUAAAUAUUUUUUAACAUUUUUUCUAUCUCUCUCUCCUGAAGGAAUUUUCUAAGAAAAUGCAUCCACAACACAAAUUUUAAGGAUCACACUAUGUUACGUUAAACGUAACGUACACACACUCACAGCAACAGUAACAGGUCACGUCUUGUUACUGUUGCUGUGAGUGUGUGUAUAUUACGUUUAACAUAACAUAGCAUAGGCCAAAUUUUAAAUUGUAAACAAUAAACAAAAUAUAAACGUUAAAUUUAAGGAACUGCGUUGCAUUUCAGCUGAAGCUAACUUUAAUAUUUUACGAAAAAAAAUAAUUAAAUCUUUAAUGUGAUUUAUUUAUUAAUAUAUAUGACUAAUUUUUUAAAAUAAGAUGCAGGAUGAAACUUAAAAAUAUAAAUUAUAGAAUUAAUUUCUCUCUUCAAUAAAUCUAAAGUUUAUUUUUUUUAUUACAUGCUUCUAUUUUAUUUUUAUUCCAUGUUAAUGAUUGGAGAUUUAAAUCCAUUUCGGAUUUAUAAAUAUGUUUAGAUAUCUAAAUCCACGUGUGAUUCCAAACUAUAACCUUUUUUUUUUUCUAAUUAAUGCAAACAGCCGCCUCUUUGGACUGCUUUUCUUCUUUGAUUAUUAAUUAAUUAAUUCAGCUGCCCACCUUUCUUUUCCUAAUGUUUUCUACUCUCAAAUUUUUUUAAGGACAAGGCUACGUUGCAGACGCUGUACCUAACAGCUGCACCUUAGCCAGCUUCACAAAGGGUGCAUUUGGUAAGCAAUUUUUCUUUCCUGUGCAUAUGUGUCCUUCCACCAUUGGGUGUACGUAACAGAUAAUGUACCGUAACAAGCUCCUAUUUUUAAAUAUGUUUAUAAUGAUAAAAUAUAAAAAUUAAGAUUAAAAUGUAAUGUAAUAUAAAAUUAAAGGUGGAAGAGUAUUAAAAUAAUGUAUAAGAUAUGAAUAAACAAGUCAAUAAGAAAACAAACAAACGGCAAGAGAAAAGGAAUGGUCAUGCAGAUUUUAAGGUGGCAGUGACAAUGAGAUCUCAUUUUAACCGAUAAAGUCUUUUGAAUUUGUCAACUCAAAAAAAUAGAUUCAAAUGUUUUGUAAUAAAUGAAAAUAUAAUAUUAAAAUAAAUGUGAUAAUAUAUAUUUUAAAUAAUUUCAAUACAAAAAACAUUUGAAUGUUUUAUAAUUUAUUAGACAUAUUUUAUUAUAUUAAUAUAAAUUUUCUAAGAAAUAUGGACAUAAUAUUAAAAUAAAUUUAUGAAAAAUUUAAAUUAUUUUGAAUGUAAAAACAUUUGAAUGUUUUAUAAUUUAUUAGACAUAUUUUAUUAUAUUAAUAUAAAUUUUUCUAAAAAAUAUGGACAUAAUAUUAAAAUAAAUUUAUGAAAAAUUUAAGUUAUUUUGAAUGUAAAAACAUUUUAAUGUUUUAUAAUUUAUUAGAAAUAUUUUAUUAUAUUAAUAUAAAUUUUCUAAGAAAUAUGGACAUAAUAUUAAAAUAAAUUUAUGAAAAAUUAAAUUAUUUUGAAUGUAAAAUAAUUUUAAUAUUAUUAAUCCAUUAAGUAUUAAUUAUAAAAAUUAUUUAACCCAAAGAUUAUUUAUAUCCUUACAAUAAAUAUAAAUAUAUUAUUUGCAUUUAAAAAUUUAAAAAUAUUUAAAUAAUAUUAAUCUACAAUUAUAUUUUCAUUUAUUAUAAAUAUUUAAAGUCAAAUCUUUUGCACUUGUAUUUUAUUACAAUUAUGGCGCACAAAGAAAGAGCCAUAUAUGCUUUAUAGCGUUAGAAAUUGGUUUCUUUUAAAGCUGGAAACAGAGAGGAUGAUUAUUAUAAGGAGAAAAGAAAAAGGGAUAAAGAAUAUUAAUGAUUAACAAAAUCUCUCUGCAAAUUGAUUGCAGUAGAAAAAAAGUGAGCUGAGCAAUCUAAUUUAGUGGUAGAGUGAUAUUUCAUUUGUAGCAAAUUACAUCUCAAGGUUAAAGGAAAGACUUAAGAUCUCAGCUUUUGAUCAUAAUACUUUUUUUAAAGAAAAAAAUUAAUUUUAAUAUUUUAUAAUAAAUAAAAAUAUAAUCUUAAAAUAAAUACAAACACACUAUUAAUAGUACAUAUUUUAAAAUAAUCUCAUUAUUUAAAAUUGUUUUAAUAUUUUGUAAUUUGCCAGACAAAUUUUAUUAUUUUCAAGUAAAUUUUAUAAUAAAUACAAACACACUAUUAAGAUAAAUAUAUGAAAAAUUUAAAGUAAUUUGAAUCUUAUACAAAAUAAUUUUAAUAUUGUUAAUAGUGAGAUAAUUCUAUUAAUUUAAAAUGCUACUUAACCUUAAGAUUUAUUUAAGAUAAAUUAAUAAUUACAUUUUUAAAUUAUUUCAAAUAUUAAAAAUAUUUUAAUAUUAUUUAUCUAUUAGAUAGACUAAAUUAUUUAAAUUAUUUUGUAUAAAUUAAUUCUAUUUAAAGGAUAUUAUGAUAAAAAGAUCUUAGUGUUUUUAUUAAAAAUUUAAAAUUUAUAUGACUAUUUCUUUAAAUAUUUAGGGUAUAUAUGAACCACCGAGGAGAAAAGCUUUAUUUAAUAUUUUUGAAUAGUUUUUGAUCAGUACAAUUGCGUCCUUAUUCAGAAUUAUUGUUCUCUUCCGCAACAGUUUUUGUUUAUCAAAGUCAUCAAUUAAAAUUUUAGAAUUCUUAUCAUCAGAAGUAGUCGUUUUAGAAGUUGGGUCUUGGAUCAAAUUUCUACGAGUGCAUGAAUUAACAAUAAAAAAAAUUUCAUUACACACGGUUUAAGCUACAAAACUACUAUUUGCACAGUUGACUAUAAAACUUACCUCCAAUUACACUAAACCUCUCUAUUUGGUAACGUUGAGACUAAAUUAAUUUUAUUAGCAUGAAAAGAUAAUAGAAAUAUUAUCAUAAAUAUAAUUGUUGUUAAUCAAUUAGUACAUGUGAUAUAAAGGUUAAAUGUGCACUAUAUUUAAUAAAUAAUUAAUGGAACAUGUUAAACAAAAUGUUAAUGUAUAUUUAUAUAGUGUUAGGAAUAUGCAAAGUCAAGUCCUCAAUUUGCAUUAUCCUGUAUAGAAUAUUACUCUAAAAAUGUUUUACUAUAAUUGGCUUAGAACAUUUGUAAAGAAAAUAAUAAUCGUAAUAAUAAAUAACAUACACCGUCACAUAGCAUCUAGACAAUGAUAGAAAAUUAUUAAAGGGAGUGCAAACAAUUAAUUAGAAAUUUUUAUGAUAACUUUUAAUAUUCAUGAUAAUAACAAAUAAAUACAUGUACCACUUUUUAAAAAUAUUAAAUUUGACGUGCUCCAUUAAUAAAUUAUUAUUGUAAUUCAGACUCUAUCUAUAUAUCCUUGCAUUAAGAAUAAUUAAGUCAUAAUAAAAAUUUUCGUAACUACAUCUCAUUUCUUCCUCAUAAUAAUAAUUAGAUUGGUUCGAAUAUUAUAACUAUAUAGAUUUAGGGCGUGUUUGGUGCAUGGGAUUAUGUGGUAUUACACUACUAUUCACAUUAGCUUAUUUCCAAGAAGAUGUUUGGCAAACUUUGACACCUCAUUAUGCUGCAUUAUAAUGCAGCAUAAUGAGGCAUGGGGCCGCAUUACGCAAACCCGAGGGAACCUCGGGUUUGCGUAAUGCAGAAGCUUUUUGCCUCAAUUGAGGCAACAGUUAAUGCCUCAAUUGAGGCAAAUUUAUUUUAUUAAAAUAUUAUAAAAAUAAAUUAUUUUAUUAUUAAAUACUAAUAUAAUGAAUAAAAUAUAAAAAUAAAUUAUAUGAUAAUAUUAUUUUAUUUAUUAAUGAUUCAUAUAAAAAUAAUAUAUUAAUAUUAUAAUAUUAUUUACAUUAAUAUUAAUUUUAAAAUUAAUAUUAUUUAAAUUUAUAAUUAUUUAUGUUAAAUUAUAAAUUUAUUAAUAUAUUAAAAUGUAAAAAUAAUAAUAUAUUGUAAAUUAAAAUAUAAUUGAAUAUUAUUGAAUAAUAAUUUAUUAAUUUAUAUUAACAAUUAUAAUAUUAAUUAUAAUCUAAAUUUAUUAUUUACAUAUAAUAUUAAAUUUUAUAAAUUUAUUUUAUCAUAAUUAUAAUACAAAUUUUAGAAAUUUAAUCAUUAAUUUUUAAUAUUUACUAAAAAAAUUGUUAAAUUUCUACAAUUAAGAUUUCUAUAUUUAUUAUUUUUCUAAGUAUUAAUAAAUAUUAAUUUUUAAUUAUUUAAUUUAAUUAAUUAUAAAAAUUAAUACAAUACAAUGUAACACCAAAUAUAGUUUAAUUAAAAAUUAAUACAGUACAGUGUAGCACCAAACAUUGUACAGCAUUAUUAUAAUACAAUACUAACGCAAUACAGCAUAAUACAAUACACCAGCAUUAAAAUAAUGCAAUACAACAUAAUACAAUACAAUGUACCAAACGCACCCUUAGUGUAUAGCCACAUCCAAUUUAAAUAUUGACCCAAUUGGGAUGGUCCCCAAAAAAAAAAUUCGUUAAAGGAUAAUUCUAAUUAUUUUUACUUCUCAAACGUUAGUGGGACGUUUCUAUUAGCGCACUCGUAAGCCAAGUUGUCAAAUAUUUAUAUUAAACUACAAUUGCUGACAAGAAAAAUCAAGAUCGUGUUGCGCAAGUGGGUCCCGAAUAGGACGUGCCUAAAUCUCUCGUAAGCCAAGUUGUCAAAUGUUUAUAUUAAACUAACAAUUGCUGACUAGAAAAAUCAAGAUCGUAUUACAAGUGGGUCCCGAAUUGGACGUGCCUAAAUCUUUUUAUAAUUUUCCCAGUGUAGCGGACAGAGGUCAUUACUAAAUUUCUCUUCCACACGCCACAGCAGCUUCGGUUAAUCAAACUCAAUCAAUUUUCUUGGCUUCUCCGCUUAUCAAUAUUACAAGGUAUGGGUAGCAUUUUUCAAAUCACAUGCGAUGGUACUAUUUUCAAUCGUUGCUUAGAUUGCUUUCUUGGAAAAGCAGCAUACAUAAGUAACCUCCAAGAUAAUCUCGUUGCCUUGGAGACUGAACUAAGGAAACUAAUCGCAGCAAAGAACGAUGUGAUGACGGCGGUUGUCAAUGCUGAACGGCAACAAAUGAGAAGGCUGGACCAAGUGCAAGUGUGGGUUUCGAGGGCGGAAGCUGUUAAAACUGAAGCUGAUGAACUUAUCAGAGGCGGCUCUCAAGAAAUUGAAAAAUUAUGUCUUAGAGGGUUCUGUUCCAGGAACUGCACGUCAAGCUACAAGUUCGGAAAACAAGUGGCUAAAAAGCUACGAGCUGUGGAGACUUUAAUCGCCGAAGGAGUUUUUGAGGCGGUGGCUGCCGAGGUGGUGCCUGAGAGAGCUCCAGAGCCUGUAGCAGAUGAAAGACCUACCGAGCGAACAGUAGUAGGCUUGCAAUCACAACUUGAACAAGUCUGGAGAUGUCUUGCAGAAGAAUCAGCGGGAAUCAUUGGCCUAUAUGGUAUGGGCGGUGUUGGUAAAACUACACUAUUGACCCAUAUCAACAAUAAAUUUCUCGAGAGUCCAACCAACUUUGAUUGUGUGAUUUGGGUAGUAGUUUCAAAAGACCUGCGACUUGAAAAAGUUCAAGAAAAUAUUGGGAAAAAGAUAGGUUUGGUUGAUGAUUCAUGGAAGAGUAAAAGUGUAGAGGAGAAAGCUCUCGACAUCUUCCGGAGUUUAAGAGAGAAGAGAAUUGUAUUGCUGUUAGAUGAUAUAUGGGAGCGGGUUGAUUUAACAAAAGUGGGCGUUCCACUUCCAGGACCACAAAAUACUACCUCAAAAGUCGUAUUCACAACCCGUUUCAUCGAUGUUUGUGGUAGCAUGGAAGCUGACAGGAAGUUCCAAGUAGCAUGCUUAUCAGAAAAGGAUGCUUGGGAACUGUUUCGAGAAAAAGUUGGGGAAGAAACUCUUCAGAGUCAUCAUGAUAUCGUUGAGCUAGCCCAAAUUGUGGUCAAAGAGUGUGGUGGUUUGCCACUCGCACUUAUUACUAUUGGUCGAGCUAUGGCCUACAGAAAGAAAGCGGAGCAGUGGAGACGUGCAAUUGAAGAGUUAAGGAGAUCAGCCUCAGAGUUUGCAGGUUUGGGAAAAGAGGUGUAUACUCUUUUGAAAUUCAGCUAUGAUAGUUUGCAGAAUGAUACGGUUAGAUCUUGUUUCUUGUAUUGUUGUUUAUAUCCUGAAGAUUAUGGCAUUCUUAAAUGGGACUUGAUUGAUUGUUGGAUUGGCGAGGGAUUUUUUGGGGAAUCUGACAGGUCUGGUGCAGAAAACCAAGGAUAUGACAUUUUGGACACUCUUGUUCGUGCAUGUUUAUUAGAAGAGGUGGAAGAUGAUAAAGUAAAAAUGCAUGACGUUGUUCGUGAUAUGGCUGUAUGGAUAACCAGUGAAAUUGAGAAAGGGAAGAGAAACUUUUUGGUUCGUGCAGGUGCUGGAUUAAAAGAGGCACCGGAUGUUAAAGGAUGGGAAAAUGUGAGAAGAUUGUCAUUGAUGCAAAACCAAAUUGAAACUCUGUCCGAGGUUCCUACAUGCCCUCAUCUCCUCACUUUAUUUCUUGACUUUAAUGAGAAGUUGAAGAUGAUCACGGAUGGCUUCUUCCAAUUUAUGCCUUCUCUCAAAGUUUUGAAGAUUUCACACUGUGGUAGGAAUUGGAAAGAUUUGAAAUUACCUGUUGGGAUGUCAAAGUUGGGUUCACUAGAACUUCUUGAUAUUUCACAUACGCUGAUAACAGAGUUACCAGAAGAGUUAAAGUUGUUGGUAAAUCUGAAAUGUUUGAAUUUGAGGUCGACAGAAUUGUUAAUUAGAAUUCCACGGCAACUGGUAUCAAAUUCUUCAAGGUUACGUGUGUUGAGAAUGUUCGCUACUGGCUGGUUAAAUUUUCAUGAAGCACCAGAAGACAGCGUUUUAUUUGGUGGGGGUGAAGUUUUGAUACAGGAAUUGCUCGGUUUGAAAUAUUUAGAGGUAUUGGAGUUGACCUUGCGAAGUUAUCAUGCUCUCCAAAUUCUUUUGAGCUCAAAUAAGUUAAAAAGUUGUAUUCCAUCUCUUUUCCUCCAGUUGGCCGGAGAUACAACGUCGAUUAUUGAUGCUGCGGCUUUCGCAGAUCUAAACCACCUCAACGAUUUAUUUAUUUAUAAAGGCAUUCAGUUGGAAGAAUUGAAGAUUGAUUAUACAGAGAUAGUACAAAAAAGGCGGGAACCUUUUGUUUUCCGCAGCCUUCACCGUGUUUCUAUUGGGGGGUGCGAUAAAUUGAAAGAUGUGACAUUCCUCGUUUUUGCUCCAAACCUCAAGUCUCUUUGGCUAUUCGAUUGCGGUGCUAUGGAAGAAAUAAUCAGCGUCGGAAAAUUUGCUGAGACUCCUGAGAUGAUGGGACAUAUAAGCCCUUUUGAAAAUCUCCAAAGGCUUGAAUUAUGGGAUUUGCCAGCUUUGAAGAGCUUCUACUGGAAGCCAUUGCCUUUCACUCAUCUGAAAGAAAUGGUGGUACAUGGGUGUCAUCAGCUUAGAAAGCUUCCACUCGAUUCCAACAGAGCAAAAGAGCGUAAAUUUGUUAUUCGUGGAAAAGCAGACUGGUGGAACCGACUUCAAUGGGAGGAUGAAGCCACUCAAAUUGCUUUUCGUUCCUGUUUCCAACCUCGUUCCUGAGCGGUGGUCGCAAAAUUUGAUUUCUGGUGAGUGCAUUCGUCUUUUAAAAGAAGAAUUUAAAAGAAAUUUAUUCUUGUCGUUUUCUUCUCUGUUUUUAUUUCAGUUUCUUUCUCUCUCUCUCUCAAGGAUCUCUAAUCAAUAGCUGGAAGCAAUUGAGAGGCGCCGAGACCCGAUCGGAUCUAGGCCCAAGUUUGGUCUUAAAGCCUGGGCUUGAGCCUGACAAUUAAAUUAAAACAUUAAUUGAUUUAUUGAUUGAAUUGUUGUGUAAUUGAUUUAUGGGGGAUGAAACAUCAACAUACUUGAAAAUACACUAAUCUUAGCAUCAUCGGUUAAUAACUGUUAGAUUUAUGGGUAAUCGUAAUCAAUAGUUAAGAUUAGUUGUCAUUAAUACUAAAUAUUUUUUACUAUUUUUGUCUCUACUAGAGGAUCUUCUAGAAAAAUGCAUCCACAACAAAAUUUAAUAUUUUACAUAAUAAACAAAAUAUAAAUGUUAAAUUUAAGAAACUGCAUUGCAUUUCAGCUGAAGCUGACUUUAAUAUUUAGGGUAGAAAAACAAUUAAAUCCUUAAUGUGUUUAAUUUCUAUCACUUGUGUCAUUAAAAUUUUCUAGCCACCUUAACCAAUUACAUCUCAACCCACUUUUUUUGGAUGAUUUUAUUUUUACACAAUUAUUUUCAACAUAUCAUGAUGUAUUCGUCAAAAGCUGGAAAUGACUGUUGCCCGUCAAAAUUCACAUUUUUUCCUUAACGAUAAAGUUUUAAUAUAAUUUUGAAGUUAUAACGUCAUAAAUAUAUUGCAUAAUAAUAAGAAAAAGGACCUAAAUGGUAAAAGUGAUAAAUAAUAAGAUCGAAGUAUCAUUUUCCAAUGUUAAAUGAGGCAAUGCCAUUCUCCGGUUCUCUUCUUUAAAUGCGUGAUGUGUGUGCUCUGUUUUCUCUAUUAUUCUUUUUCUCUUUUAGAUUUUGAGAACGUAAAGGGUGCAGGAGUCUUUAUCUUGUUAAAACAAGUCUUUUCGAAGUAUUCAACUAAAUUAAAUCAUGGCCUAAUGCUGUGUCAAUUCCAUCAUCAGCAUUUUUUUUUUCCUUUUUAACACCAACAUCAGUGUAUGUUUGGAUAAUUUGAAAUCUGUUUGUGUUUUAUCUCAAAGUAGAGCUUCAAUCAAUUUGUACCUCACAAAUUCACAAUAUCUAUUAAGGAUAAUAAGACCGAACUCUGGCAUAUUGUCAAAUGUGCUUAUCCAAUUCCAAAUUAAAAUGUUGACAGUGUUUCAUCAACCAAGAACUUGUCUUCGAUAGUUAAUCGGAUUAAAGGGAAUAAUUAAUGAGAGCAAUUAAUUAAUAUUAGCCGGCAUCGUCUGUUUCAUAGGUACUCGUGGUUCACUAACAUAAGCGUUGAAUUUGUAUAGUAGCUUGUUCCUUUCCUUCGGUUUUACUUAAUGAAAACCUUGGCUAGAUCGUACACCAAUGUAAAAUCGAAAACCCUUAUGCCACGAAGAGUUCUUAGUGCAAUUGAGAUCAAUGAUAAUCAGCUGAUAGGGAAAACAUUGUCUGAUUGUCAUAAACAAACUUCUUGAAAAUGCCAUCAGUAACAUGGAAGAUUUGGAGGUUAUUCAAAUGCUGACUUCAGGAAUGCAGAUUAAUAUAUUAUGGAGACAGAUUGAGUGCAAUGGCUAAUUGUAACAGGGAAUUUUUAUUGUACAAACAGACCAGCCAGCAAAGAAUAUUCCAAAUCUAGGACUAAACAAGUCAAUAAUAAAAUAAACAAACGGCAAGAGAGAGUGAUUAUAUCUACAACACCAUCGGCUACUACAAAUUCAACUUUUCAACAGUUGUUACUCACCAUGAACAGAAAAAAGAAAAUUACAACAAAAAAUUGGUUGCUAAAAGACGUCUAUUCAUGGUAAUGCCUCUCAAAUGGGUUCAAAACAUGGAAGAAAAGCAUUUAGUGUGGCUUCAUCGUCCCAUUUCAGCUCACUCCACCAGUGUUGCAGGGGCUUAGUCAAAGUGGCUUUCAAGAAGUUUUAUUACCACCUCAGUUCAAAUCCUAAGAGAGGUAGGAGGAUAAAAGAAUUAAUUUGGACUUUACCUAGCCCUCUACCUUUGUUAAAUUUAUGUUAAAAAAAAAAAUAGAUUUGAGAUUGGUAAUAUCCUUAUUUUUUGUUUUCAAAGGAAACUGAUUUAGGACCAAUGAGACUUUGAUCCAAUGGGAGAAGCCUUUCACUUAUAAUGUUAAGUAUAAGGGUUCGAUCCUCCAUAAGAGCUUUAUGAAGGUUAAUUUCAGUACUUCCUUAGUUAUCAGUUAAUUGAGUGGAGACAGUCUCUCCCUUACGAAAUGUGAGUGGAGUAGGCACCCCUCGAAUAUUAGAGAAGGUUUAAAGUAUCUGAGCAAGUGCUUUAGUGGGUUAAUAUAUGGCGGUAGUUCCAGUUGUUUAGUAUGAUUGUAGUACGAUUGUAUAUAUUAAUUGUAAUAUCUAAUGUAAUAUCAAUAACAAUCUGUGCAUAACAGAAUUCAAAAAAAGAAAAGAAAAAAGAAAACUGAUUUAGGUGGUUUCUUGGUUAAGACUUUUUCUUUAGCAUACUUAGUUCCACGUGCUAUUUAGAUAUUUUUCGACAUACUUAUUACUUAGUUCCACAUGCUAUUUAGAUAUAUUUCGACCAAAUGAACAAGCGCAAGCCAUUGACACUUAGCUUAAUUUCAGGGUCAAGCUAUAUUUGAAACUCAAAUAUUAACCUAUUAAUAUUUUCAAUUCAUUCAAUUAUAAAUUAGAGAUGAUAGAAAUUCUCAUAGGAACAGGGGCCCUAGGGGAUUUUAGAGGAUUUUUCCCAUUCGGGAAGGGUAGGAGACAAUUUUAUAUCAAGUUUCUUAUUCCCAGAGACUAUAAUAUUUUUUUACCUAAUUUCUUAUUCAGGGAAGAUAUGGAGAUGAUGUGGACUUUCCAUCCCCUCCCAAUUCUCCAUUUUUAUUUUUAAUUUUUAUAUUAUUUUUCUAGAAUUAUUAGUGAAAAUAAUAAAAUUUAAAUUGUAAAAAUUUUAUUAAUGAAUAAAUAAAAAUAAAAAUUUUAGACACCUUUUUCCCAAACUUGUAGCUUGACUUGCAGUUCUUGGAGCAGUAGCCUCCAAGACAGUUUUUCAAUUUCUCGAGAGCCGUCCCUUGUCAAUUCACCAACUUCAGCUUCCACAGCCGCCACCCUUGAGGUGAUGUUUGGUUGGGAGGAGAGAAUGGGGGAGAGGAAAGUAAUUUAAAUUCUACUUUUAUUUUUAUUGUUUGGUUGCACGAAAUAUAUAAGAAUUUAAUUUCCAUUAGAAUUUAAUAUCCUUUAUAAUCUAGAAUUUGAAUUCCACACCAAAGAGUGAAGAAUUCAAAUUCCUCUUAGGUUGAAAACCCAAGUUUCCAAAUUUGUCCUUCAACAUUUUAACUUGUUUAAUGCUAUUAAUAAUUAUUAUUUAUAAUUUUAUUUUAUCAAUUUAAUAUUAUAAAUAAUUUAAUAUUAAUUAAAUUUAAUGAAUGAUUUAAGACAUUUAAUAAAAUAAAUAAACUUAUUUAUUUAUUUAAUAUGCAAAUAUAUAAAUAUAAAUUAACUAUCGCCGGAACUUCGCUGGACCGUCGCCGGAAGCUGUCGAAAUUUCACCGAAAAGUCACCAACCACUGUUGAUCGGCGUUGGCUUAUGUUGACCGCUACUGUUGACCGGCUUUUAUUUAUAUUAAAUUAUAUUAAAUAGUUUAGUAUAUUAAAUUAUUUUAUAUUUUAUAUUAAAUAUAAAUCAUGAAUUGUUUCAUAACUUUUUGAAAUUAAAAAAAAUUGGUAUUAAUAUUAAAUUAUAUUUUAUUACUAAUAUAGAUAAUUUAGUAUUUAAGGUAAAGGAUAAAUUUGUCCAAAGAAAAAAAUUAUAAUUUCUUUCCUUAUCAAAUUUGAUGUCAAACCAAACAUUGAAAUUUAAUUUUAUUAAUCUCUUCCACUCAUUUCUCCUCCAUUCCACUUUUUUCUUCUCCUCUCCUUUUUUAAAACCAAACACCACCUGAAAGCCAACCUUGCACUUUGUUCAGCCGUCUCAGUUGUUGCUGCUCAGGAUUGGCGACCCUCAUCAUCACAUCGUUCUUUGGUUCAAUUAAUUUCUGCAAUUCGGUCUGGAUGGCAACCAGGUUAUCUUCAAGCUGGCUUAAAUAUCAUGCUUUUCUGCGGGUACAAUUUAUGAAGCCAGUGAAAAUUACGCAUACAAUAGGAGUGCAACACAGUGUGUAUUCGGUUGUGGUGUCUAUGAUUUUGCAGUCGCAGAAGCUUAUUCACCUUAUGAAGACUGAUCAGGUGGGCACCGUCGCUCUCCUUACAUUCUUAUGGAGAGCGAUAGUCCAUGUAGUCAGAUCUCACUGAGAGAACUAGCCGAGUGGGCAAUCGCUCCGCCUGAUCAAAAUUUGUCAUCUUAUAAUAAUAUCUUGAGUAGGUCUUGAAUUUUUUUUCCAAUUUUAAUCUUUAAAAGGUAGAAGAGGUGAAAAAAACCUAAAUAGUAUUUGUGUCCUCCUAAAUAACAUUUCUUGAACAUCAAUGGAUCUUAAAACUUAAUUAAGAAAAUAUUAUAGAUUUAUAAAUUAGUGGCCCUUAAAAUUUAUUUGCAAGUAACAAUUAGAGAAAAGUCGUCAGGCCCAAAAGACUUAGAGCAUCACCAAAAGACUCUUCAAAUAAGAUUUUAUUAAUUAUUUGAAGAGCCAUCUCAAUAUUUAAGACUCCAAAAGACACUCCAAUUAAGAUUCUUCAAAUAAGAAAUAAUUCUCUCUCUUCAAAUUUGGAGAGUUGAUUUCUCCCUCUUCAAUUUAUACUUUAUUACUUUCCAUUGGAGAAAAAGAGAGAAGUGCUUUAAUUGCUAUUGACUUUUUCUUUAAAAAAAUAAUUAUUUGAUUAAAAUAAUAUUAAGUUAUUUCUAUUUGAAGAGUCUUUUGGAGAAUAUUAUUUUUUUUUACUCUUCUAUUUGCCACAUAGAUAAGCAAAUAGAUAUUUGAAGAGUAAAAUUUAUAGAGUCUUUUGGAGAUGCUCUUACUAAAAGUCGGCAACUCGUCAUGACCAAAAUUCUUCCGAGUGUGAAAUACGGCAUGCGCAGAUGCAUUAAAAACAAAAGCCAGCUAAGAUAUUCUUUGUAUACUUGCAUUCCCUAUCAUCUUAUUAAUAAUUUCAGACACGUCGUUCGUUCCCUGUGACUUUUCAUAUGCAACAGCACAGUCAGUGUUACAAUUUACAUUUCGAAUUGGGUGUCAUCUAUAUACUCUACCUAGAUCUAACAUGAUAUUGCAGUAUUGCACUGAUUUUUUUGUCGCAGCGUUUCUCUAUGAAUUCCUUAAACUUUAAACACAUCAUGGAAUAAUUAUUUUCUUAAAGACCAAAUUAACAUAAUUCUUAAAUCAUUUAUAAAACAACAUUUAUCAUAUAACAGAUCGUACACGAAUCAAUUUUCCUUGAACAGUAGCAAACAAACAAGAAUCUCAACCACAUCACGAGAUCGCCCACGUCAAACCAAGUAUUCUUAAUGAGUGGACCAGCUAAUAUAUUCAAAAUUGGAAUUAAUUGAGGAUAAUGAUUAGUGCUAAUACAUUUGCAAAGAAAAAUCAUGCCUAUUGAAAAACUCAUCUUAUUAGCAGCAGCGUUAUAAGUAGCAUCCAAUCAUAGUUUCACGCAAGAUUUUGAGAUUAUUCAAAUGCUGAUCCCGGGAAUGGAGAUUAAUAGAUAAUGGAGACAGGUUGACUGCAAUGGCUAAUUGUAAGAGGGAUUUUUAGCCGUAAAAACAGAUCAACUAGCAAAGCAAAUUCCAAAUCUUGGAAUGCAGUAGCAAAAAAACGAAACAAACAAAUGGCAAGAGGAAGUGACUAUACAACAAUAACAUCGACUUGCAAUUCAACAUUUAUACAGUUUUACACACCAAGAAAAGAAAAAAUUACAAUAGAAAUUUGGCCACUAAAAGAUGCUCGUUCAUGCUUAUGCCUGUCAUAUGGAUUUGAAACAUGGAGUAAAAGCAUUUAGAGUGGCCUCAUCCUUCCACUGCAGCUCAUUCCACCAGUAUUGCUCUCCCCUAAUAACAAGUUUUCGUUCCUUGGCGCUGUUGUAAUCGAGUGGAAGCUUCUUGAGAUUCGGGCAGCCAGAUACAAACAAUUCCAAGAGAUUUGGAAAGGGCAAUGCAUUCAAACAGAUCUUCUUCAGAUUUCUUACAACUUGCAACCGAAGAUAUUGGAGUUUCGAAAAAGUUUUUUGCACUGGAACUUCUGGAACUUCUUCCAAUUUCCAAACACUGAUUAUUUCUUCCAUCUCAUAACAACGUUCUACAUGGACCAUCUUGAGAUUUGGGGCAAAAACAAGCCAUGUCAUCUCCCUCAAUUUACUGCAAUAGUCUAUGGUAACACUUUGAAGGCUGUUGAAACCAUAAAGUUCUCUUGUUGUUUGAAUUUCUGCAUAGUCAACCUUUAGCUCUUCCAAACUUGUACAAUACACAAAAUCUAGUUUGUCAAGAUACUUGAGAUCUGCUAUGGACAAAAUAUUCCAUGACCUUGAAUCCUCACAGCGGCGAAGCUCUAAAGCAUAUUUACAACUCUUGUACUGUUGGCAGCUCAAAAGUCUUCGUAGAGCAUAAAAACUUCUUAACGUGACGCUUAAUACAUUUAAAUGUUCCAAAGUAAUCAACUCCUCUACCAAAAUUUCACUACCACCAAAUAGAACGCUAUCUUCUGGUACUGUAUUAGCAGAGCCACAAUCUAGCAUCCUCAACACCUUUAACCCAGAAAAAUUACAAAGCAGUUGCCGUGGAAUCGUAUGGAGAUAACGCAUGUACUCCAAGUUCAAACACUUUAGAUUUUUCAAGGCUUUUAAUUCAUGUGGCAACUCUUUGAUGAAAGUUUCUGAAAGAUUAAGAUAUUGUAGUGAAACCAAUUUUGAAAUUCCUGAAGGCAAUUGACUCAAGGAGCGAUUCUUUGAUAGGUUUAAAACUUUAAGAGAAGGCAUAAAAUCGAAGAAAUCACUAGGGAUAGUAUCUAACAUAUUAAUGCCGAGGAACAAAGUUAUAAGAUGAGGGCAUAUUGGAGUUAUUGGUAAAAUCACAAUUUUAUUUCUCAUCAACGAUAUCCUUCUCUUAUCUUCCCAUUGUUUAACUUCGGGUGGUUCAGUUAAUUCAAUACCGGCAGAAACCAAAAAGUUUUCAUUCUCCACUUCACAGGCUAUCCACAAGGUCAUAUCACGAAUCACAUCAUGCAGUUUUACAUAAUCUGAUCCUGCUUCUUCCAAUAGGCAUGCAUGAACAAGAACACCAAUAAUGUAGUAUCCUUGGUUAUGUACUCCAUUAAUUCCUUCAUAUUCCUUCAGAAAACCCUCACCAAUCCAACACCCUAUCAAUUCAAUUUUGCUAAUUUGAUAAUCCUCAGGAAAUAAACUACAGUAUAACAGACAAGAUCUAAGGACGUCACUAGACAAACUAUCAUAACUGAAUUUUAAAAGACGAAACACCUCUUUCUCCAUACCUGGAAAUUCAUAAGCUGAUCUCCUUAACAUCUGAAUUGCAUAGCUCCAUUCUUCGGGUGUCUUCUUGCUGCUCAUGGCACGACCGGUGGUAAUAAGUGCAAGUGGCAAACCACUACACUCCUUUGCCACAGUUUGGGCUAACUCCGGAAUAUCGGGAUGACUUUCAAGAGUCUCUUCUCCGACCUUCUUUAGGAACAAUUCCCAAGCAUCUUGAUCUGCCAAACACUCCACCUUGAACUUUUUUUGAGCUUCCAUGAGGCCACAGACGUCCACAAGACGAGUUGUAAAGACUAUCUUUGAUGCAUUUCUUGAACUCGCAGGAAAAGGGACACCCACUUUGGCUAAAUCAAUUCUUUCCCAUAUAUCAUCUAACAAUAGCAGAAAUUUCAUUUUGCUCAAUAAAUUGAAUAUGCCUGAUGCUUUCUCUUCAAAGCUUCUAUUCUGAAGCCAUCCUAUUCUUUCUCCGAUUUUCUGUUGUAUUCUCUCAAGUUGCAUGUCUUUUGACACCACCACCCAAAUCACAAUAUCAAAAUAAUUUGGUGUAUUAAGGAACCUGUUGUUGAUUUGGGUUAAUAGUGUAGUCUUGCCGACUCCCCCCAUGCCAUAAAGUCCGAUGAUUCCAAAUUGUCCUUCUACAAGACAUCUCCAAACUUUAUCAAAUGUUGAUUCUAGGCCGAUUAUUGUUGGCUGAAGAGGCCUUUCAUCCACUGCUGGUUGUGGUACCUUUUCAGCUACCACUGCAAAAGCUCCAUCAUCUAUUAAAGUAGCCACAAGCUGCAGCUUUUUAGACACCUUUUUCCCAAACUUGUAGCUUGACUUGCAGUUCUUGGAGCAGUAGCCUCCAAGACAUAGUUUUUCAAUUUCUUGAGAGCUGUCCCUUGUCAAUUCACCUACUUCAGCUUCCACAGCCUCCACCCUUGAAAGCCAACCUUGCACUCUGUUCAGCCGUCUUAGUUGUUGUUGCUCAGCAUUAGCGACCCUCAUCAUCGCAUCGUUCUUUGUUUCGAUUAGUUUCUGCAAUUCGGUCUGGACGGCAACCAGGUUAUUUUCAAGCUGGCUUAGAUAUGCUGCUUUUCUGCGGGUACAAUUUAUGAAGCCAGCGGAAAGGGCAUCACAUAUAAGUUGGAUUCCCAAAAUAUUACCCAUAGUUUGUAUGAGAUUCAGAGUACAAUAGAAGGAAUGCAACACAGUAUGUAUUCGGUUGUGGUGUUUAUGAUUUUACAGUCGCAGAAGCUUAUUCACCUUGUGAGGGCUGGUCAGGUGGGCACCAUCACUCUCCUUACGCUUUAUAGAGAGCGAUAGUCCAUGUGGUCAGAUCUCAUUCAGAUAACUAGCCAAGUGGGCAAUCGCUCCACCUUAUCAAAAUUCUUCAUCUUAUAAUAAUAUCAUGAGUAGGCCUUGAAUUUUUCUUUUAAUUUUAACAUUUAAAAGGUGGUGGUGAAAAAGUCUAAAUAGUAUUUUUGUCCUCGUACUUUAAUAACAUUUCUUGAAAGUCACUCGAUCUCAAAAUUUAAUUAAGAAGAUAUUAUAGAUUUAUAAGCCCUUAAAAUUUAUUUGCAAGUAAGCCCAUAAGACUUACUAAAAGUCGUCAACUCGUCAUGACCAAAAUUGAAAAUUCUUCCGCGUGUGAAAUACGGCAUGCACAGACGUAUUAAAAGCAAAGGCCAGCUAUGAUAUUCUUCGUAUACUUGCAUUCCCUAUCAUCUUAUUAAUAAUUUCAGACACGUAGUUCGUUGCUUGUGAUUUUUCAUAUGCAAAAGCACAGUCAGUGUUACAAUUUACAAUUACAAUUGGGUGCCAUCUAUAUACUCCUUCCUUGUUUUCAAAAUAUGUUGUAGGAUGGGUAAUUGUAACAAAAGUGAUUUUUAAAAAGAUUUAUUAUAAUAUUAAAAUUAACUUUUAAUUUUUUUAAAUUAUUUUUGAGCUUUCUGAAAAAAAAAUCCUAAACCGGUCUCAGAAGUAUAAUUAGAACCACGAAUUUAUAAAAUGAUCAAAGGAAUCCAUCGCCUAAUAUUAUAGUACGCAAUGGAUUGCUAUAAACUAAAUUGCUAUGAUCUCACUUCAUAAUAAUUUAUUUUCAAUCUCCAUCAUGGUAGAAAAAUUUCAUCAAUCAACAUACCCUACCACCACCCAAUAGUCGACCAUUUAUCAUCUUCUAUCCGUAAAAAAACGAAAAAAAAAAAAGAGAAAAGGAAAAAUUUAGUCCACAAAAGAAAAUAUCGCAAGACCAAACAGAGAGAGAAAAUAGAAAAAGCAAAGAGCUGUACUGAAUACCGGCGGUGAUGGCUCGGUACUUGACCAUUUAGGUUUGAUUCUGCAUUAACAUAAUAUUUUUUCUGCACUGCAUUCACAUCACAACCAUUGAAUAGUCGUGAUCUAUUUUUCUAAAGCGAAUAAUAUUAUCUUCUCGUGUCGGUGGCUUGAUCAUAUAACAAAAUAGACUAAUAAUGUUUCAAUAGACAUUUUGGUAAAUGGAAGAAGUUAUGAUCUGUCCAUUUUUAUGUUACUUUAUUUUAAUUUGUUAAUUACUAUUAAUAUCUUUGAGUGGGGCAGAAUCUUGACCUAAGAUAUAGGGAUGGCAAUGGGGCAUAUAUGGGUUGGAUUUACUCUGCUCCAUAUCCAAAUCCAUAAUAAAAAUUAAGAUCCGUAUCUGCUCCAGAUCCGUCAUGAAUCCAUAUUUUUCGGUCCAUAUUCAGAUCCAAAAAAGAAAUAAAUAUCUAUAUCUACUCCAAAUCUGAAAAAAAUUAAAAUCCAAAUCUGCUCUAAAUCUGUCAUGAAUUCUAAAAUUCAGUAAUAAAAAAUUAAUAAUUUUUUAGAUUGAAAAUUGAAGGCUAAAAUGUAUUGAUAACAAAUAAAUUAUAUAAUUUUUCUCAAAAAUAUAAUAAAUAUUGUAUCUUAUACUUUUUCACCAAAACAACAAAUAAGAAAGAUAAUAAAAUAUCAUUUAGAAGUAAUUGCAGGAGUAAGAUCAAUCUAAUAUUAUAUUGUCUCCUUCAUCAUUCUAAUAUCCACGAUACACCUACCCUCAUUCCUACAACAUUAGAUAAUGACAUAUAAAUUAAAUAUGAUUUAUAUUCAGUCCUUUAUUAUUUUUAUUAUGACCAUAUUUGACUAAAUAUAUGAAUAACUAUAUUUCUUAAAAAUUAUUUGGCCAAUAUAAUAAAAUAAAUUGCCAAGUUAUAUUACUUGGCUUACAAUUUAAAUAUUGCAUGUACAUGCUUUGGGGUUGGCUGGCCUUUAAAUUUACAAAACUAACUUUUAAGUUUUAAGAGUUUAAAUGCAUGGUAAAUACUACUAAUAUGCUAUGAAUAAAAUUUAUUAUCAUUAUAAUUCCACAAUUGUUAAGAAACUUUUAAAAUAAAAUAAAAUUAAAAGAUGAGUGGAUAUGGAUAUGGAUUUAGAUAUUAAGAUAGAUCCAAAUCUGCUCCAGAUCCGUCUUAGAUCCGCACAUCGAUAUCCAAAUCCGAUCCAAAUCUAUUUUAAACCGAUCCAAAUCCGAUCCGAUUGGAUUUGGAUCACGUGGAUCUUGGAUCAGAUCCAAUCCAUUGCCAUCCCUACUAAGAUAUGACUAGGCUCCACAUGUUAUAUAUUAAUUUGAUUAAGCCCAGCUAAUUGUUAAUUAUUAAUUUGAUUGCGGCUUUUUAUUUUACCCACAUUUUUUACGCGUGAAAUCUUUCUUAGUGAAAAACUACACGUAUUUGCAAAUAUUCGGAAUGGACAUUUUCGAAAAAACAAGUAAAAGAAAAUGACUAAAAAGUAAAAGAAAAUAGACACCCAAUUGUAAUUACGAGUACAAUAGAAGGAAUGCAACACAAUACCGAUUUUGCAGUCGCUGAAGCUUAUUCACCCUAUGAGGGCUGAUCAGGUGGGGGCCGUCGCUCUCCUUACACUCUUAUAGAGAGUUAUAGUCCAUGAUCUCAUUGAGAGAACCAGCCAAGUGGGCAAUCGCUCCACCUGAUCAAAAUUCUUCAUCUUAUAAUAAUACCUUGAGUAGGCCUUCAAUUUUUUUUUUCAAUUUUAAUCUUUAAAAGGUAGAAGAGGUGAAAAAGUUAAAUAAUAUUUUUGUCCUCCUAUAUAACAUUUUUUGAAAAUCACUCGUUCUUAAAACUUAAUUAAGAAAAUAUUAUAGAUUUUUAAGUUAGUGGCCCUUAAAAUUUAUUUGCAAGUAACAAUUAGAGAAAAGUCGUCAUGCCCAAAUGACUUACUAAAAGUCUGCAACUCGUCAUGACCAAACAUCUUCCGAGUGUCAAAUACGGCAUGCGCAGAUGCACUAAAAACAAAGGCCAGCUAUGAUAAUCUUUGUAGUAUUAAUAAUUUCAGACGCGUCGUUCGUUGCCUGUGACUUUUCAUAUGCAAAAGCGGAGUCAGUGUUACUUGCAUUCACUGUCACCUUAUUAAUAAUUUCAGACACAUCGUUGGUUGCCUGUGAUUUUCAUAUUCAAAAGCACAGUCAGAAUUACAAUUUACAUUUGGAAUUGAGUGCCAUCUAUUUAUUCCAGCUAAAUCUAAAAUGAUGUUGCAGUAUUGCACUGAUUUUUUAGUCACAGCGUUUCUCUAUGAAUUCCUUAAACUUUAGACCCAUCAUAGAAUAAUUAUUUUCUUAAAGACCAAAUUAACAUAAUUCUUAAAUCAUUUAUAAAACAACAUUUAUCAGAUAACAGAUUGUACAUGAAUAAAUUUACCUUGAACCGUAGCAAACAAACAAGAAUCUCAACAACAUCAAUAUCAUAAUCCCUUCUGACCUUAACAGUAAUUUUAUUCGUCCUUAAUUCAUAGGUAUAAGUAUCCCAAUAUAUACUUGAUGUCAACCUUUACAAUUCUUUACAGAAUUGCAGCAGACCAAAUUUGUAUGCAAAACUGAAAUCAUACAGUAAUUGAAUACAGUGAAAAUAGACAUGAUGGGAAUUAGUAUAUAUAAAUAUCUUAAUAAUUUAAAAGUUUCUUAAACUGAUUUUACAUAUCUGAAAAAUUAUAGAAAUCGGAACUGCUGCAGAAAUCAUAAUUUUCCAGCGAAUGUGUUACAACUUCAGAAACUCAUAAGAAAUUAAAUUCUUGGGAUCACAAAAUAAUUCAUCAAUUUAAGAGAUUCAGCAGUACUUUUAUUACAUCAAUUCUUCAAACAAUCACCAAUCUAACAUUCAUCAAAAUUAAGUCAUAAAAGUCAUGUGGUUUAUAAAAAGAAUUACCUGAAAAAGAUUAGCCUUCCCCUUUCAAAAGCAACGAGAAACUCCAAAAACUCUUCUUCCAUUGCCUAUUCAAACAUGAAAAAAAAAAAUUAGUAUCUCUUCUUUAAACGCGCGAUGAGUGUGCUCUGUUUUCUCUGUUCUUUUUCUUUUUUAGAUUUCGAAAACGUAAAGAGUGUUGGAGUCUUUAUUUUCUAAAAACAAGACUUUUCCAUGUAUUCAGUUAAAUUAAAUUAUGUCCUAAUGCUAUGUCAGUUCCAUCAUUAGCAUUUUUUUUUUCCUUUUAACACCAACAUUAGCGUAUGUUAAGUAUCAUAAUCCAUAGUUGGACAAUUUGAAAUCUCUUCGUGUAGUUGACUGGCAACAACUAUAUUGGCAUUUAGACAUAAUGUACUGCAACCAUAUUGACAUGUUCAAAUGUUCUCACUAUUGUAUUGGUGUGUCGAUAUUAUCUCUAUCAGUCCUAUAGAUCCAAAAAUAAUCUAAAUUUACAAUUUAACUUAAAAUAAAAUAAUUGGUAGAAAACAAUUAUGGUUCAUUUACUUAUCAGUAAUUAAAAUAGACUGAAAUUAGAAUGAGUUGUAUUGACGUUGAUGUGUUUCUGUUGUCCUCGAAUCGGAAUGAAUUAUUUUAACUUACUAAAAUACCCUUUGUUUGUUAUUCUAAUUAUUAUUAUUUAAUAUUUAUUAUAAUAUUUGUCAUAUUAUUAAAAAGAAAUAAUAAUGAUGAUAAUAUUAUCAUUAUUGUUUGUUAUAUUAUUAUUAUUCAAAAAAAUUGUUGUUAAUAACUAUAAUAACUUUAUUUCAAUAAUAAAAAUGAUAAAAUUAAUAAUAACAAACAUGACAACAACAAUAAUUAUUUAUUAUGCCAAAAAAUAACAAUAAUGAUAAGAAUAAUAAUCAUCAUCAUUUUUUUCCCAAAGAAGCAUUAUCAUCAUCAUUUCAAAAAAAAAAAUCAUCAUCAUCAGCAUUUUUGUAGUGGCUGCCUAUCGGCUGCUGCUUUCAUGUGAGAUUGACUUGCGACGCUUCAACUACUAUUAUUUCUGGCAAUGUCAGGUGUUGUUGUUUCAAUCUGGGGAGAAGCUGUUUCGGUGAGCUAACAAUGGGAGGUGUUGCUGCUCGAUGCGAGGUCCAUGGCCAGCUGUCUUGUUUUACACCCAGCUCUUGUAGGAAAUUAUUCAUCCACAAUAUUUCUUUGUAACCUUCAAUAAUUGUAAUAUCAUUUGCUUCCGUGGUAGAAAAGACAACUCAUUACUAAAGUCUAGAUUGCGAUGAGACUGCCUUCCCUACAAAAGUGAGCAAAUAUCCUCAUAGGAAUCUUUCAGAAUCAACAUCUCUUGCCAUAUCUGUUAAGAAUAACAUAUGCUGAGUCAGCUACUGAGUCAUCAAGCCACGCUGGAAGUCAGUUUUGCAGUUAGUUAGAGAGCUUAUCAGCUUCUCUCCAAAAGUUUGUUAUGUGUAUUAGAAUAUGUGCUCACGAGUUUUGUGAGUUUGUAACCUUGAAAAGAUUCUCACACUACUAUAAAUUGUAUUGUGACUCAAUUAAUAAAAGUUGUUGAAGCUUUGCAUUUUCUCUCAGUCAAAAUUUUCUCUCUAUUUUUCUAAGUAACCAAACAAAAUCUACAGAGCAUUUUGUAUUUUAACUUGGUAUCAGAGCUUGAAUCCAAUGGCCUUAAUCGGUUCCAAUCAACAGUCGAGCAACACUUCCAUAACUUCUUUCACCUUCACAAAUCCAAUUAAGCUUGAUCGUGCAAACUAUACGAUCUGGAAACAGCAAGUACUUUCUUCAAUUCGUGGCAAUGGUCUUGAAGGCUAUAUUGAUGGAUCAAGGAUCUGUCCUAGUCAAUUUCUUUCUCCAGAGGCUAGAUCUGAAGGUUCUUCUUCUUCUAACAUCGAAGGUCAAGAGAAUCCAGAGUAUGCAGCCUGGAGACGUCAAGAUCAGCUCCUGCUCAGCUGGAUUCUGUCGUCCAUGAAUGUAGAUAUUCUCAGUCUUGUGGUAAGCUCUAAGACUUCUUUUGAGUUGUGGAAAAAUCUAGAAAAACAAUUUGGAUAUGAAUUUAUGGCUAAGAAGGUUCAUCUGAAAAUGCUUUUGAGUAACCUGCGAAAAGGAUCUCUAACCAUGUCUGAGUAUUUUACAAAGCUUAAGUCAGUUACAGAUGGUCUUGCUUUAGUUGGUAGCCCUGUGCAUGAUUUGGAUUUAAUCACUCAUCUUAUUACUGGUCUAGAUCAGUCAUAUUAUCCUGUAGUAGUCUAUAUUGAGGCAAACAUGUUGAAAAUGGAUCUUAGUGAGGCUUAUGCUAUGCUUCUCACACAUGAGGCUAGACUUGAGAAUAAUAAGCUUCAUGAUAGUAAAGAAACCAAGAACAAUUAUGCAACAAAUGUAGCUCAGGUUGGAAAUUUUUCAAAGAAAGGUAAUAACAAUAAUCAAAACAACUGGAAGGAUGGAGGAAACAAUUGGAAUAAUAACUCUGGUGGAAGAGGUGGUUACCAAGGGUUCAAUCCAGGAAGAGGAAACUGGAAUAAUAAUAAUUUCAGAGGUGUUGCUGGUGGAUUUAACAGUGGAUUUCCUGGUCUCGUGGCUUCAAUAACAAUUAUGGCAGAGGUGGUUUCAACUCAGGCCAAAAUUUGGUGGUUGUUGAAGCCAACAAAAAUAAAUUCCUACUCUAAAUAAAUUGUGUAUAGUGAUUGAGCAGGGUCGUGUCCACAGAGAUCGGUAAUUAUUUAAAUCCUUUUGAAACGUAAAACGCAAAAUGGGGGAAUUGUUGACAAUAAUAAAAAUCAAAUUAAAGUAACAAGAAUGCAAAUUAAAGUUGUAAUUCAAAUUGGAGAAAGCUCUGGUUGAAGGAAUUAACUCAGCUUGAUUCGACUACUGAUCAUUGAUUCAAAUAUAGAUUAUUAUUACUCAUGAAUAGACCGGUUAUAGCUACUGAGACCCUCUAAUAGCCAAUCUCUCCUUAACUAGUCGAUAACCAAGGUACGACCGUUGGUUAUUUCCCUAAUCAAUAGACAACCCUAGAUACGAUCAUAGAAUUUAAUCAAUUGACAGCCUGAAAAACCAGAGAGACCCAAAUCCUAAUCAACACAUAUGAUGAUUCAUUUAAAUUAGAUUGUUUAUUCUCACAACACAACUCUCUGCUAUGUUAUUUGUCACAAGCAUUAAAUUCUUCAUACGAUGAAUCCUUUAAUUGACAAUAGAUUAAGUUGAUAAUUAAAUAGUGGCCAAUUACCUAAUUAACAAACAUAAUCAUGAAACUAAUUCAGAGAAUAAACAAAUACCCAAAAAGCAAUAAAACAAUUAAAGCACAAGAAAGAUCUCAUAGUAGUGAUGAAUCAAAGCUUCAUUAACCUUCAACCAGAAAAAUAAGUUUAGUUCUUCAUAGAGAGAAGAGAAAAAUUAAAUCUAGGGUUUCUUUCUUUUUUUUUUUUCCAAUCCAAAAAAUCCCCCUUUUUCACAAUAGAUUCCUCCCUUAAAUACUCUCUCUCUCUUCUCCUCUAGAAUUUUAUUUAAAAUAAAAUACUAAUAUCUGAAAUAUUAAAUUCGUAAUUACAAAAAUAACCAAAAAUACAAAACACGUUAAACUAAAAACUGCAGGUCCGCAGUUGACAGCACGCGCCCACGCCUUAUCAAUAAAGUUCUUCUGACGCUCAUAAUUUCUCCAAGAGAACAAUCAUCCUUAAACAUCAUCUUAUAGCUCAAUUUUAUCACCAACCAAUAGAAUUGCACCUACAAAAGUAAAUCACUAUUAUUAAGUGCAAAACAUCGAUAUUAAAAGAAGUAAACAAUGCAAAACUAGUGCAUAAAUUGCACUCUAACAGAGGUGCUGGAAAGAAUUUUGCUCAGGGAACUGGUGCUGCUUGUCAGAUAUGCUUCAGGUUUAAUCACACAGCAGCUGAUUGCAGAAACAGGUUCAACAGAAAUUUUAUCCCAAAUUUUCCAGCUCCAGCUCCAAAUUACUUCUCUAAUCAGCACCAAGGACCAAGAGCAGCCUUCAUAACAACAUCUGAAGGAGCUGCUGAUCAGGGAUGGUUUCUGGAUAGUGGUGCAACUCACCACUUAACCAACACAGUUCAGAAUCUGAGUGAUGGUAAGAUCUAUUUUGACUCAAACUUACUUACUGUUGGUAAUGGCCAAGGUUUUAGAAUUACUCACAUAGGUUAUACACAACUUCACACUUCUUUUGGCACCUGCUUACAACUACAGAAUAUUUUGUGUGUUCCUCAAAUUACCAAGAACCUCAUUAGUAUUUCCAAACUCCUCACUGAUAAUGAUAUAAUCAUUGAAUUUUUCUCUGAUGUUUGCUUUCUAAAGGACAAGGUGAAGGGCACUCUGUUGGCUUAGGGGAUUGCUAGAGAUGGCCUAUACAAGCUACUGUCAAAAAAGGAAUCUCUCUCUUCUUCCACUUCUGUUCUGCCAGUGUCUCAUCCUAGUUCUAUGAUGUCAACUCUUUCCUGCAAUAAUGUAAUUACUUCUGUUCAAAGUUCAAAUAAUGACUUCUGUUUUAAGUUUACAUUUCCUGUAAGCUUUCAAACUUCAAUUUCUGUGUCAGCAAAUAUAUUGCACAAUAGACUUGGUCAUCCAAGUAAGCAUGUCAUACAAACUAUUCUCAGAAACAAUUGUUUAAUGUCAGCCAAUGUUAAUAAAUCAAAUUUUCUUUUCUGUGAUGCCUGUCAACUUGGAAAGUUACAUCAAUUACACUUUCCCGCUACUAAAAUCAAAACAAAAUAUCCCUUAGAAUUAAUACACACAUACUUAUGGGGACCAGCUCCAGUUUUAUCACUAGAUGGUUAUAGAUACUAUAUUUCCUUUGUUGAUGACUUCACCCGAUAUUGUUGGAUCUUUCCCUUAGUUUUAAAAUCUGAUGCCCUUACUACUUUCAAAAACUUCAAGAGCUUAGUUGAGAAACAAUUCAAUCUGCCCAUCAGAAUUUUACAGUCUGAUAUGGGAGGUGAAUUCAAAGCUUUUCAGUCAUUUCUUCAACAAUAAGGUAUCCAAGCUAGAUUUAGUUGUCCCUAUACUCACCAUCAAAAUGGUGUUGUUGAGAGAAAACAUAGACACUUAGUAGAAACUGGAUUAACACUCCUUGCUCAAGCAAAAAUGCCUAUUUCUUUCUGGUGGGAGGCUUUCCAUACAACCUCUUAUCUCAUUAAUAGAAUGCCUACCACUACACUGAACAACUUAUCUCCCUAUCAAAAGCUUCAUAAUCAGCCACCAAACUAUCAACUUCUCAGAGUUUUUGGUUGUGCUUGCUAUCCUUUUCCCAGGCCUUAUAAUGACCACAAGCUUGAUUUUCAUUCCCAAAAAUGCUUGUUUUUAGGUUACAGCCCUCUUCACAAAGGAUAUAAGUGUCUAACAAAGUCAAGCAAAGUAUAUGUUGCUGUUCAUAUUAUUUUUAAUGAGUCUGAUUUUCCCUAUUCAGAGUUGUUCGCUUCAUCUGAAUCUUCUUCCAAUUCUCUGUCAUCAUACUCUCCAUCUAUUUGUAUCCUCAAUGACAGUGGCUUGCAUCAGUCAUCAGCUAUAUCUCCUGCUUUAGCAGAGUUACCAACUCACAUUCACCUCAACAUCCUCACCAAGCCCCACACUCUCCUUGUCCCUCUCCAGUCUCAAAUUCCUACGGCUCAUCAUCACCACAUUCUUCAUCACAUAAUGCUUUAGCCAAUCCCUCUGAUGAAUUACAACCAUCAUCUCAACCUGUCAUUUCAACUCAUCAGAUGGUUACUCGAGCCAAAUCUAGUAUUUUUAAACCAAAGACCUACCUUACAGCUACCGAAGACCUUGAACCAGUGAGUGUUAAAGCAGCCCUGAUUGAUACAAAGUGGAAAAUGGCUAUGCAAGAAGAGUAUAAUGCUUUGCAGAAGAAUGACACCUGGACAUUAGUUCCAGCUGAAACCGCUACAAAACUCGUUGGAAAUAAGUGGGUUUUUAGAGUUAAAUAUAACCCAGAUGGUAGCAUUUCCAAGUAUAAGGCUCGGUUGGUUGCAAAAGGUUUUCAUCAAACUUAUGGAGUAGAUUUCUUUGAAACCUUUAGUCUAGUUGUUAAACCCUACACUGUUCGUAUUGUUCUCAGCUUAGCAGUCAUGCAUUGUUGGCCAGUUCGGCAAUUGGAUGUUAACAAUGCCUUUCUUAAUGGCAUGCUUACUGAAAAUGUGUUUAUGCCUCAGCCAGAAGGCUUUAUCAGCUCUCAGUUUCUCAAUCAUGUCUGCAAAUUACAAAAAGCCAUUUAUGGUCUUAAGCAGGCUCCAAGGGCUUUGUAUGAUAGAUUGAAAGGGUCUUUAGUUCGGUGGGGUUUCAGAUCUUCAAAGUCAGAUACUUCACUGUUUUUCAAGCAUAUUGGCAAUAAUGUUCUCAUCAUCCUUGUUUAUGUAGAUGAUAUCCUGAUAACAGGCUCUAGUGCUGUUUAUAUUUCAGAGGUUAUCAGUCUACUUAGCUCAGAAUUUGCACUUAAAGAUUUAGGAGAUUUUAACUACUUUCUUGGGGUAGAAGUGACUCCAUCUGCUGAAGGAUUACAUCUAUCUCAAACUAAGUAUGUUGGUGACAUCUUAAGAAAAGCUCAUAUGCUUGAGAGUAAAGGCUGCAAUACACCUAUCAGUAUUGUUGAUAAGUUGCAGAAGGACAAAGGUUGCUCAUUUACAAAUCCCUCACUUUACAAAAGCAUCAUUGGUUCUCUGCAGUAUCUGACACUGACCAGACCAGAUAUCGCAUUCACUGUAAACAAAUUGAGUCAGUUUUUAGCUGCUCCAACUAUCUUGCAUUGGCAGGCUUGCAAGAGGGUAUUACGAUAUCUACAAAGCACAACACAUUUUGGACUGCAGUUCUUCAAGUCAGGUCCUCCAAGUCUCAUAGCAUAUUCUGAUGCAGAUUGGGGGUCUGAUCCAGAUGAUAGAAGAUCUGUUGGAGGGUAUUGUGUUUAUCUUGGAUCCAAUCUUGUGUCUUGGUCAUCUAAGAAACAGAACAUUGUUUCCAGGUCAUCUGCUGAAUCUGAGUAUAGAGCUUUGGCCUUAGCUACAUCUGAGGUUUUGUGGAUUACAUAUCUGUUGAAAGAGCUCAAAGUAUCACUUCCCAAACCUCUUGUUCUUUACUGUGACAACAACAGUGCAGAAGCUUUGGCUAGCAAUCCUAAGUAUCAUUCCAGAACUAAACAUAUAGAACUGGAUUUACAUUUUGUCAGAGAACACAUUGCCAACAAGGAUCUCUUCAUUGAACAUGUGUCUAGUUCUGAUAAGUUAGCUGAUGUGCUUACCAAACCUCUGAGUUUUGAUAAUUUUGCCUAUAUGCGAACUAAGCUCAAUGUCUGCCCACGACCUUGAGCUUACGGGGGCAUGUUAAGAAUAACAUAUGCUGAGUCAGCUGCUGAGUCAUCAAGCCACGCUGGAAGUCAGUUUUGCAGUUAGUUAGAGAGCUUAUCAGCUUCUCUCCAAAAGUUUGUUAUGUGUAUUAGAAUCUGUGCUCAUGAGUUUUGUGAGUUUGUAACCUUGAAAAGAUUCUCACACUACUAUAAAUUGUAUUGUGACUCAAUUAAUAAAAGUUGUUGAAGCGUUGCAUUUUCUCUCAGUCAAAAUUUUCUCUCUGUUUUUCUAAGUAACCAAACAAAAUCUACAGAGCAUUUUGUAUUUUAACUAUAUCUACACACUUAUAACACAAGUUUGUCACCACUAAAAUAUAAACAUGUUCUGUAAAUGCCUCUAAGAUAUCUGAGAAUUCAUUUCACUACUGUCCAGUGCUCUUUGUCCAGAUUGGAGAGAAACCGACUGACUACACUAACUGCGUAAACAAUACCUGGUCUUGUACAAAUCACGGCGUACACCAAACUGCCAACUGCUGAAGCAUAAGGAACUCCUCUCACGGAGAAAUGGGUUUUGCUCUUGAGAUCUUUGGGAACAUGAAGAAUAAAGAUGUAAUUUCUUGGACUGACAUUGUUUCGGGGUAUAUAAAUAGAGGACAAGUGGAUAUAGCUCGACAGUAUUUUGCUCAGAUACCAGAACGAGAUUAUGUCUUAUAGACUGCCAUGAUUGAUGGGUACCUUCGAGUGAAUAGGUUCAGAGAGGCUUUGACACUUUUCCGGGAGAUGCAAACUUCAAAUAUAAGGCCAGACGAGUUUACCAUUGUUAGGAUUCUUACAGUUUGUGCGAAUCUGGGGGCACUAGAACCGGGAGAAUGGAUAAAGACUUACAUUGACAAAAACAAGGUCAAGAAUGAUAUAUUUGUGGGGAAUGCUUUGAUAGACAUGUACUGUAAAUGCGGAGAUGUUGAGAAAGCUCAAAGGGUACUCAGGAAGAUGCUUCGAAAGGACAAAUUCACAUGGACGGCCAUGAUUGUUGGCCUUGCCAUCAGUGACCCAUUUCCUACGAUCAGACCGGAUAAGGUAACUUAUGUUGGUGUUCUGUCUGCCUGUACUCACAAUGGUAACGAAACUUUUGUGAUAAAUAGUUGCGACUUAAGGUGAGAAUUGGAGGAAACGAAAUAGACUGAAGUUGUUCAAUCAUCGGUGGUUGCUAUUUGAUUUUAAGUUGUUCAAUCAUCGGUCAUCUCUAUUUGGUUUUCUCCAAUAUCUCAUCUCCAGUUUUGACUCAGAUUCUGUCUUACCACUAGUAAUUAAAAGUGAGGAGGCAGCAGUCAAUGCUAUUUCGGCUUGGCCCAAAAUUUCACCAGUUUGUUAGUGUUCUGCAGCUCUUGCUGCUUUCCUAGAGAUUCUGCAUCUUUUGCAAUUUGAUUGAUUAAAAAAAAAAAAAUUAGUGGCCAUUUAGAAUGAAGGAGAGAUUUGUGUGAAUGGUAUAGGUGAAAAAUUGGAUGAAAAUAAACAGGCAACCGUCCGUAUAAAACAACAAUAACAAUAUACAAAAAGAUAAGUAGACACUUCUGUAAUUCACGAAAGGAAAUUUAUGGUUGUUUCUGAAAAACAUACAUAUUAAUUUCACUUAUACUCUAAGGUGGGAUAGAUGUCAACUAGCUAUGCUAAUGAUACCUUGCCAUCAUGACUGGACUUGUGAGGAAUUUGGAAACAUGUAUGAUGAUUGUUACUUACACAAUUGUAGAAAGAAAUGCUGAGGUGGCUUGAACCAGAUGGUGAAAUCGUCUAACACACUUAAUUGUUAGAUGUGUUUUGGAUAUUCACAGUUAGGUUGAAAUUUGUAGUUUUCACUUGAAAGAAUUCAGUUAAAAAUUGAUUGGUAGAAUUGUAAAAUAGUCUAAAUUUUUAGUUCAAACCCAUUGCAUAUUUAAGAACAUCUUAAAUGAAUUGCUUAUUGCUAUCAUCAUCAUUAUUGUCCAUAUAAUAAUAAUAAUAAUAAUAAUAAUAAUAAUAAUAAUAAUAAUAAUCAAUAGAAAUGUUAUCUUAUCCACUAUUUUAUAUAUGUUUCCACUAAAAUCUAUUUAAUUAUUCUUUAUUUUUUUUCAACUGUUGCAUGUUAGAUUUAUUCGAUUUCCUAAGUUAUAUCAAUAGAAAUGUUAUCUUAUCCAUAAAAAGUUAGAUCUAACAAUUAUGAAAAUUACUAUAGUGCUGCUUUGAAUAAUUUUUUAAAAAUACCACAAGUAAAUAAUAAUUAGUUUAAAUAGUGGAGACUAAAAAGCAUUCACCCUUAUUUUUUAUCUGUUAUUAGUUUUUUUUAAUCUGUUAUACAUUUGAAACAUUCCAUUAAUUGCCAAUUAUGUAAGCGAGAUAGUAAUUAAUUUUUUUUAUUUAAAAAAAGUGAAAAUUAAUCCUAUGCAAUGUGAAUAAAUUUCUUUCCUUUUUCCUUCACUCUUUUUAUUUGAUAAUUAAGUUUCAAUCUAUGUACGCAAAAUUUCUGCAACAGCUGCAAAACAUAAAAAUAUAUGAUUGUUAAGGGAAACACGCAGAAGUUCAUCACUUCAAUGUUCAGUAUUUCCAAUUUUGGCAUUAAGCUCUUACGAAUAUAUUCCACUUAGAAAGCAAAAUAUUAGAAUUGUGAUUUUAAUUCAUUCAUCAUAUCUCAUUUCAAUCCCAAAAUAUUCAAGUGGAUCCAAGUUACCAUAAGGCUUCAGAGGCUCGAGCCUUAGCCAGAGAUGGUUAAUUGAUAGACUAGGUAAGAGAAACCAAGGUUGAAGUAUGUAGAAAUGUUAUUUCAUUUAUUUUUAUUUAUGAUUUUUUGUAAAAUGUAAGAAAUAUGUAGAAAUGUUGCCAGCAAUGAUUUUGGAACUUUGCAUAAAAUUUUUAUCAUUAUUGUUUUUGGUAUUAAGAAAUCCGAGGCGGUGAUUAGACGUAUGUUGCAACAAUUAAGAAAUUUCUUAUUGGAGAUAAUUUGGUAGGUUGCAACAAUUAGAGAAUCAUUUUCCUGUCAGUUAAUCAAUCAAUAAUAAAUUUCAAAUUGCAGAAAAUAAAAUAAUACUGUCGCACUUAGAAUCAUCUUUUCUAUCUCUUUCAAUUGUGACAAUCAUUUGUAACAAAUAAAUCAAUUUGAUGCACAUCAUUUCCCCAAUUCAAAGUUCAAGUCACUGCUCAAUUGCAGAGUAGUUAGUAGACAUGCAUGCAUGUUUAAUUAAGUACUGCAUUGUAGUAUCGAAAAUCAUAACAUCUCACCAAGCCCGGAAGCAUAGCUCUUUAUCUUGUAAAUGUUGAAAUCUUAUGCAAACUAUGGGAACCAUGAGCUCACUCUCAGUGUCACUUGAUUCCAUUUUCUGUUCUUGCCUUGAUUUCGAUGUUGGGAAUGUGACGUCUGAGUCUAAGGUUGAAGAUAAUCUCGAUGCCUUGCGGACUGCAAUGGAAAUAAAAUAUUUGUGUGUUGAGAAAUGAUGAAAUGAUGCAAUGGAAAUAAAAUCUCAAUCUCUUGAGAAAUGAUGUGAUAAGAAGAGUUACUGUUGCUGAAGGACAACAUCAAAUGCAACGAAUGGAUCGAGUGCAGGGCUGGCUUUCAAGGGUAAAAUCUGUGGAAAAUAAAGCUGAUGAUUUGAUGAGACACAGCUCUCAAGAGAUUGAGAAGUUAUGCCUUGGAGGCUUCUGUUCCAGGAACUGCAAAUGAAGCUACAGCCGUGGGAUAGAAUUUGCAACAAUGCUACGAUUGUGGAGAGUUUAAUGGGUGAAGGAUCAUUUGAAUAGGUGGCUGAGAGGGUGCCAGAAGAUGCAGCAGAGGAGAUAAAUUGUGAGCCAACAAUAGUGGGCAUGUUGUCGACUUUUGAGAAAGCCUGGAGAUGCCUUGAAGAAGAAUCAGUUGGAAUUAUUGGCCUAUAUGUCAAUGGGGGAGUUGGAAAAUAUUUACUCAAAUCAACAACAAGUUCCUUGAUAGUCCAAAUAAUUUUGAUGUUGCGAUCUGGGUAAUGGUCUGCCAAGAUUUGCAACCCCAGAAGUUUCGGGAAAAGAUUGGGAAAAAGAAAGUCUUGUUCGAUGAGUACCGGAUUGAACUAUAUUAGAUUAUAUUUAAAUAAUAUUAAAUAGUAUUUAAGUUGGUAUUCUAAUAUAAAUAUCAAUUAUCCAUGAAAUUUUAUAAUCAUAAUUAAAAUAAAUUUAAAAAGCAAUUACUAGGAAAAUUAAAUAUAUUGCAAAAAGUUAUUGGGUAGUCAUAAUAUAAUAGGCAAAUAAAAUUAAAUAAAACAAAUUACAUAUUUAAUUAUAUUUAUCAAAUAUUUAAAAAUAUUAUAUAAAAUAUUAUAUAAAAUCAAUUAAUUAAUGAUAUUAUUAAUUUUCAUGAUUAUUUUUAAUAUUAUAUUACUGAUUAUUAAAUUUAAUACAAUCAAAUAAUGCAAUAAAUAAUUAAACAUUCAAUUUUAUUGAUUAAUUAUUAAAUAUACAAGUAAUGAAAAUUUUAUCUCAAGAGUUGGUAGAAGCGAAAGUACUAAUUUAAUUAGAUCAUAGAUAAUAAAUAAAAAUAAAUUUUAAGUAAAUCAUAAUAAAAAAUUAAUUAAUUAAUUCAAUCAAUCAAUAUUAGGUGUAAAUAAAAAAAUGAUAUAAAUAAAAAUCUCAUAAAUGUACAACUUUUAUCUUUAAUCUUAUCCUAAAAGAACAAAAAGCAGAAUAUAUAUUGAAGUGUUUUUCACACCUUUUCAUUAACUGGAAUGCAUGUAUUUAUAUACAUCAUUUGUAACUAAUAAAGAGAAAAUAAAGGAAACUAUACAUGAGAGUAUCAAGGAGAAUAAUGGAAGAGAUUGUUGUCCGUAACUUGUGGAGAGUAUCAUGGAGCUUGAGAUUAUCUGAUAUGCCCCCGCAAGAGGGUGUUGCCAUUGGCGACACCCAUCUUGAACCUUAAUUCAGAAAAUGGUCGCUUAGAGAGGGGCUUGGUUAGGCUAUCAGCAAGUUGAUCUGCUGUAGAUACAUAAGAUACGCGCAAUAGCCCUUUGUUGACCCAAUCACGAACAAAAUGAUAAGCAAGAUCAAUGUGUUUUACCCUUGAAUGAAAGACUGGAUUGCGACACAAAUAGGUAGUUCCAAUAUUAUCACAAUAGAUGGUAGGAGUUUGACUCAAUUGAAGGCCAAGUUCUUGAAGUAGAUUCUGAACCCAUCGAACUUCAGAGGCUGCAUUUGCGACAGCCAAGUACUCAGCUUCUGUUGUGGAACGAGCUAUUGAUUUUUGUUUGUUCGAGCGCCAUGAGAUAGGAUUGCCGCCUAGAUAAAGCAUAUAGGCUGAUGUAGAAGUAAUGAAAAUUUAAUCUCAAGAGUUGGUAGAAGCGAAAGUACUAAUUUAAUUAGAUCAUAGAUAAUAAAUAAAAAUAAAUUUUAAGUAAAUCAUAAUAAAAAAAUUAAUUAAUUGAUUCAUCAAUCAAUAUUAGGUGUAAAUAAAAAAAAUGAUACAAAUAAAAAUCUCAUAAAUGGACAACUUUUAUUUUUAAUCUUAUCCCAACUAAACACAUGUGUAAAUUAGGAUUAUUAAUUCCAUAAUUUUCGGAUUAAAUUCAAAUUUAUUCCCCCUUAAUCCAAUUCAACUAAACUUGUCAAACAUGGGAUAAAAAUUUAAUUAUAAAAUUAGUCCAAUUCCAUACUUAAUCCUAGCAUCCAAAUAUAGCUCAAGUUCUUUGCUUAAAGAAGCUACCAAAUUUGAAGAGCGUUUACGGGAAGGCCUUGCGUUUCCCAGAUGUAUGCAGAAUUUUUGUAUCUAAAUGCCCAGAACUUAAGAAGCUGACGCUGGAUUUUGAAAGGGCGGGCCAAGGUAAAAUUCUUAUCAAAUGAAAGGAAAAUCGAUGGAAACAACUUCAAUGGGAGGAUCAAGCAACUCAGGAUGCAUUGCUUCUGUUUUUCAAAUCAACUGACAAGUGAUUGAAGGGGGCAUCAUCAGCCUGGAUGGGGAGAUCCUGGAGCAGAUCAGCAGGGUUUGAAUCUGCAUCAUCAACAUCAUCAGGAUCUCUAUUUCUAUUGCUGGUCGUAAUGCCUGCCGACUGUUGCUUGAAAAAGUGAUUAAGUGAGCCAGUUUUUUGUUUAUUAAAUUUUGUUUUGUAGAGACAGUCACAAAGUAUUUUUCUUAGUUGUUCUAUAUGAGAGUGAUGUGAACCAAUUUUUCAAUUAUAUAUUCUGUGGGAAAUUGCAAGUAUUUUUAAAAUAUGAUCGUUAUUAAAGGAAACAAAGGAAUCAACACAGCAUACUGAACCUCAGCAGUAUGAAGCUAAUGAUUAAACUCCUCACACAAUUCAUAACAUGCAAAACCAUUCACAAAAUCAUCCACAGCAACCAUAAUUGGCGUCCAAUAGAAAUUUACAAGAAUUACUUUUCUGUUCAUGCAAUCGGCGUCUGAACGCGGCUGAUCGGUCACCGGUGUUGGCGUUUACUGUGAUUAGACAAAUUGUAGCACUUCAAAAAUAACUUCUAUAGGGGUAAUUUCGAUUUCACAUAAUUAAUUUUAUUUACAAUAUUUUAUUCCUGCAAGGUCAACUGAGAUUCUUUCCACCGGGCACACCCUUCAUGUUCUUUUAUUUUCUGUCUUUUAUUAGCCGUUGGAUUUUACUACUCUUAUAUCCAACGGCUUGCCACAACAAGACAAAUGAGGUGGUACCUUUCAACCGCUGAAAGGUAGUUUUGGCCCCAAGUGAAAGAGGGAAAUAGGGAAUUGAUGCUAUAUUUUAUAUUUUCUAUUUUACUACUCUUGUAUCCACCGGCCUUUCUUAUAUUUUAUUGCAAAUUGAUGCUAACAAGAAAAAGCUAGAUCAUAUUCCACAGAAAAGUGAGAAAACAACCAGAUGGAUUCUUUUAUUAAACUACAAAUUAAAAUGGUAUCACAAAUUCUCAUCAAUUUAUUUAAAUAUAUUCUUUUAACCCUCUUUUUAAUUUCACAAAUUCUCAUCAAUUUAUUUAAAUAUAUUCUUUUAACCGGAAACAAUUGAUAUCACUUAUUAAGAAUAACAAAAUUUACUAUUUAAAAAUGAAGAUCAAUAAAUUUUUAUCAAUCAUGAAAGUUAAUGAGUGUCAAGAAAUUAAUUUUUGCUAAACAUACAAGCUAAUAACUAUUAAAAAAAUCUUAUAUUAUAGAGAUCAUAUAUAUUAAGAAAGACCAAAAAAAAAAUUAAAAAAAUAGUUAAAUUCAGUGUAUAGUUUAUAGGAUGUGAGAGUGGUAAAAGAAUAUAUAAUUGUAAAAUAGAGAAAAAGAAAAAGAGAUUAGUAGAGAAUAAUUUUGAGAUUUUUUAAUUUUUAAUUUUUAAUAAUAAAUUUAUUUUAAAAAAUAGGUGUGGAGAAAAAUUUGAUGGGUUCAAGCAAUUCCACCUAAUUUUAUAUUAUCAAUACGCAAAUGAAAGUACAAAAAUACCUCUAAUAGAGUGAAAUAAAGAGUUCUCUAAUCUCUAGGGUUUCUCAUUCCAAUUUUGAAAUUUCCCUACUUUAUUUUGAAUUAACCCUCUUUGUUACCAUUGAAUUGUAACAUUCAAAAUUUGAAUAUGUUUUUACAAAUAGAAGAUUAUUGGGACAAAAACAAUAAGAAAUAGAAAACCUAGUUGAAAAAGGAUAUUACAAAAAAAGAAAUUGCCAUUACCAUUCAAACAUUUACACAGUAAAGGCAUUAACAGCAUAAGGCGGCAAUAAAACUUACUCAUAAUUAGGGGUGGCAAAAAAGUCCGAGCCGGCUUAGGCCCGGCCAAGCCCAGUCUAGAUCCGUGGACUUAAAGUCCGACCCGUAAGGAUGUGGGCUUAGAUAUAGACCUAAAAAUUACAAAACCCACAUAUAUUAGACCUAAACAAGAACUUAGCAAAAAAACCCAAACUUUCUAAAUUUAUGAAUAAAAAAUAAAUUUAAUUUAAAUAAAAAAAAUUAAAAUAUUAAAUUAAUUGAAUUUUUUAUAUUAAUAUUUAUUAUUUUAUUAAAUUAUAUUGUUAAUAUUUAAUGUAUUUGACUAUUAUUCUAUUUAUAUAUUAUAUUAUUAUUUUUAAUUUAAAUAUUUUUCUUAAUUUAAAAAAUUUUUAUAAUUAAUUUAAAAAGUUCAGGCCCAGCCCGAGUUCGGUCCAUCCAAAUUUAACGGAUUUUUGAAGAACCUGAACUUCGUUUGAAUGAUAUGGGUCCGGCCCAAGCCCGCAAAUUGCCAUCCCGUGAUAAUAACAAACAGAUAUGGCCCAGCCCGAGUUCGGUCCAUCCAAAUUUAACGGAUUUUUGAAGAACCUGAACUUCGUUUGAAUGAUAUGGGUCCGGCCCAAGCCCGCAAAUUGCCAUCCCGUGAUAAUAACAAACAGAUAUAGAUAGAUCGAUGGAUGGCAUUUUUUAAAUGUACCUUAAAAACCAAAACAAAAGCAAAAAUAUUAAAAUAUUACACCAACUGCUAACUAAUUAAUCUAAUAAAACGCCUCGCUUAAUCAUUUCCAGUCCACUAAACACGCUGAACGGAUUCCAGCCUCUGAAGUCUCAUCUCAUUGUUAAAUUCAUUGAUGAAAGCUUCAACUCGCCGAUUCAACUCAUCUUGACUCAUCGAUUCCUCCCUCCUCAGCGACGUUCUGUCACUGAACGUCUCAGAUUUCCUCAGCUCACGUUUCGCCCAAGCCGUCGGAUCAUUCUCAUCAUUAUCACUACCACAGGCGAUGGUGAUGAUGUGGAAGGUGGAAGAAGCGGCGAUGGUGAUGAUGAUGAUGAUGAUGAUGAUGAUGAUGAAGUUGACUAUGAUGUAAUUGUACGGCGGCGACAGCCAGAACCUCAAAGAAAUGAAGAGGCUAGGGAUUGUCGAUACCGUGAAACAAAUGUACGGGAUUAUUGCUACCUUAAACAGCAUGAAAGUUGAAACAAACCCGGCUGACAAAAAUAACAACUUUGCUACCCGCGUUACUGUCUCUAAUCUGCUUGAUUUUGGGUCGAAAUUUUGAAAAAGAUCCCCCAUUUUUCAAUUUUCACACACAAUAAAGAAGGAAAAAGAAAGGUAGCUAGAUUUUUUUUUUGUUUUUCAACAAGGGAAGAAAUAAGAAAAGAACAUUAAAAGGAUUUUUCAGGCUUUGAUGGUCAUUAAAAUGAGACCCAGGAAACCAUUGAAGCUAAAAAAAAAACGAGAAGCCAUGUAUUUAUAUAUGCUGCUUUGCUUUACAAAAUCUGACUGGCAUCAGGGUGAAAAAAAAGUGCCAUUUGUUGGUACAGAGAGACAGAGGAGAGUAGAGAGGCAGAUGCAGGGGCAGGGGCGAAGUCAAGGGACCAUUGAAUGGGCAAGCGAGGUUUCAAUUUAUGUAACGAGGGACGAUUAAAGUUCUUGCAACUUUCCUGCCGUCUGAUGAAAUCUUGACCGUUCGAUGGUACAAUAAUGGUUAUAAUGAUCUUGAAAGUGUUGGAGAGAUAAGUUUGUACAGAUUAUGUACGCUAAAUAAAAUCACAUUUAAAAUGGUUUUUGAUUUUAUUCUAUUACAGAUUACUUUUAUUAAAUAAAUGAAGGUACAUUGAGUGAGUGAGUGAGUGACUUCACGAUUUUGCACUAACGCCGCUGUGUUAUCCUCCGCGGCACUUGUCCUCAUCAUUUGUAAUUGAAAAGCUGAUUUAAGAUUUUAGAAUAGUGCCUUUUGGAAAAAAAAUAUAUAUAUAUAUCAACGGCCGAUUGAGAUUUCUUUUUUGAAGAUUUAAAAUUAAUUUUUUAAAAAAUUAAAAAUUAAUUUUAAUAUUUUAUAAGUUUUAAAAAAAUUAUUUUUAAUAAAAUCACUUCAUAGUAGAUUCCGGAAAGUAGAUAUCUAUGCUUUUUAAAUUUUAAUUUUAAGAAUUAAUUUUUUACUUAAUAUAAUCCUUGCAUAUAUUAUAAAAUUUUAAAAUCAUCUUCAUUAAUUACAAAAUAAGAUCAUUAAUUUUAAGGAGAUUAUAAUCAUUAUCAAUUAUAGGGAGAUUAAAUGCUUAAAGUGACAAGUGCAAAACUAUUUAAAAAUAGUCAGUAAAAGUAUAGGUGGGCAAUUAGUUCAAUUCUAUUUGAAUCAACUAAAUUAAAUUAUAUCGUGUUUCAUAAAUUUUUAAAGCAACUGAUUUUUUGUUUGGUUUAGAUAAAAAUUAAACUAAACCGAAAAAUCAAACGGUUCAAAGAAAAAAAAGUUAAAAACAAAUUUUAUAAACUGAUCGGUUUCCGUUAGAUUCAAUUCCAAAUCUAAACAAACCAAUCCAAAGUGAAAAUAAACAUUUUUGUUGAAUGCACUUUUAAUUUGUUUGGAUACGUCUCGACCCUCCAGUCUCUUGAUUAAAGUUCAUUUAUUAGGGUCCGCUUGUAAUACAGCGUCUGUAUCUCAUACAGUCAAAUUUAAUAUUUUAUUAAGAAAAAGGGCAACCGUUAGAUAGAAGUAGAUACAUCCAAUGGUUAAUAUCUGUGAUUACUCAUUUUGGUGACCGGAUAUGCCAAUUAUUAUUUCAUCAAUUAACUUACCUAAAAAAUCAUAGCCGUUGGAUUGAGAUGCCUCUCUCUCCCUCAAAAUAACAGCCUUCGUAUUCUCUCUGCUAUUGUUUUGUCCUACAUCUAGAAUUUUGGAUGAAUGAACUUGGUAUUCAAGAACAUUCACCACCCAUCACAGCAAAGAGCAAAGAUAUAGUCGAAGGAGUGCCAUUUAUUCAGGCUUACUUGAUCUGUCAGUCUCGCUUCAAUUCGUCACUCAUUUUCUUGCGCUCAGCUUCAAUCUAUCACUCUCAGCUUCAGUUCGUCACUCAUAGCUUCAAUUUUUUCACUGUCGUGAAUCAUCUCUCUUGCUGUAUCUCUCUCUUAUGUCUUCCAAUAAUUUCGGUGAGCUCUCUCUCUAAUUUAAUAUAUGAUUAAAAAUCUUAUCAUCUUAUCAUGUCAUUUAAAUAUGCUUGAAGUUUCAAUUUAGUUUAUGAAUAUUACUUGAAAUUUUAGAUUCAAUAAUUUUAGUUUUUUUUUUCUCUAUCAUCAAUCAUAUAUUUUUUCUUGCUCUUUAACUUCUUAUCUUCAACUAAAUGUGACCUUACAUUUAUUUAGUGUAUGAUCAAUUUUUAAAUGCACAAUAAGCAUUGCAAAGUUGGCGUUAUGCAAAGGCUAUCACAAUGUGAGCGUUCAAUUGGACAGAGUGUCAUGAUCAUACAUCCUUGAACCCAAUAUUUAUUCCAAUAACAAAUGUAGAUACGUAAACUACUUUUUUUUUUUAAAUAAAAAUAAAAAACUUCAAUGAAUCAAUCAAUUAUUUUCUGAAAUGUUAUGCGAAUUGUGAUUGUGAGAUUAAAAAAAAAUAUCCAUGCAAAUCAAAUUGUAACCGCCCUCUCAAGAUAAACCAAGUAACACAAAGCAUCAUUAACUCUUUCUUGUUUCAGCCACAGUACUAUUUUUUGCUUGAUGAGAAUAUAUUUAAAUAGUAUUUAAGUUGGUAUUUUAAUAUAAAUAUCAAUUAUCCAUGAAAUUUUAUAAUCAUAAUUAAAAUAAAUUUAAAAAGCAAUUACUAGGAAAAUUAAAUAUAUUGCAAAAAGUCAUUGGGUAGUCAUAAUAUAAUAAGCAAAACAAAUUAAAUAUUUAAUUAUUUUUAUCAAAUAUUUAAAAAUAUUAUAUAAAAUCAAUUAAUUAAUGGUAUUAUUAAUUUUCAUGAUUAUUUUUAAUAUUAUAUUAGUGAUUAUUAAAUUUAAUACAAUCAAAUAAUGGAAUAAAUAAUUAAAUGUUUAAUUUUAUUGAUUAAUUAUUAAAUAUACAAGUAAUGAAAAUUUAAUCUCAAGAGUUGGUAGAAGCGAAAGUACUAAUUUAAUUAGAUUAUAGAUAAUAAAUAUAAAUAAAUUUUAGGUAAAUCAUAAUAAAAAAAUUAAUUAAUUGAUUCAAUCAAUCAAUAUUAGGUGUAAAUAAAAAAAUACAAAUAAAAAUCUCAUAAAUGUACAAUUUUUAUUUUUAAUUUUAUUCAAACUAAAUACAUGUGCAAAUUAAGAUUAUUACAUCCUUGAACCCAAUAUUUAUUCCAAUAACAAAUGUAGAUACGUAAACUACUGGGAAGCAGCACACGUGUCCUGAAGAGAGAAAAAAAUCGAGCAAAUGCAGACAAUGGGAGUUGGCUAAAAGUUGGAUCUGCAAUUUACAAAAUCUGUAACUUAUUAGCCAGCUCCCAAAUUGUGUAGUCUUUUUUCAAAUUGUACAGACAUUUAUAAAUUGGUGGCCCCUUGAAAAUUUAAUGCCAAGCAGAUAAAAGUCAUCAAGCACAGUCCUCAAUAGUUGUUUCGUGUAUAUUUAUAAAUUGGUGGCCCCUACAUCUUUAAUAAUUGGGAUUGAAUUACGGUAUAAUUGUAGAAUCAUGUCUCAAUUACAUUCAAUUGUUAGAUAUAUUUACGUUGGUAAAAUUUACUGAUAUCUAAUAAUUAAACGUAACUAUAACACAAUAUUAUAAUUACACCACAAAUUUUCUCUAAUAAUUAUUCCGAUACUUAUAAAUUGGUGGCCCCUUAGUAAUUUAACAGCAGCCUGCAAGUGUCAACUAAUGAAAAGUCAUCAUUCACAAUCUUCCAAGUGAAACAGGAAAUAUACAAAAAUUAAAACAUGUCAUUCUUUUUUUUUCAUUCCCUGUCAUGUAACUUACACCCAAAUACAUAAAUAAUAUAAAAUGAAUGGAGAGAUGCCAGGAGCAGAUCAGCAGGGUUUGAAUAUGACCUUUGGCGCUUGCUUUUUUUUUUUUUUGUGAUUUUUUUUUCAUUUUUUCCUUCCUGUCAUUUUAUCAUUUCUUUGGCUUUGUCUCUAUUGCGGGUGUUACUGCAUGCUUACUGUUUCUUGACAAAGUUUGCUAGCUUUUCCUUUUGUUUAUUAAAUAUUUUUAUCGUCACAAAGUAUUACUCGUUCUAUUUGACAGUGAUGUAAAUUAAUUUUUCAAUUUUAUAUUUUAUCGUCGAUGUGAAUUCAAUUUCAUUUGUCAUCAUGCACAAUCCUCAAUAAUUGUUUCGAUAUUUAUAAAUUGGUGGCCCCUACGUCCUCAAUAAUUGUUCCGAUACUUAUAAAUUGGUGGCCCCUUAAUAAUUGGUGUUUGAGGAAUUAAAUAGAGCGAUCAUGAUCUUUUCCAAAUGAAAGUGAGCAAAUGGUUGAGCAGGUCACCUUGAUCAGGUGGUAUGAGUUUGAUCAAAUCACCUCGACCAGGUACAAUGAGGUUGAGCAGAUCAUCUUGAUCAGGUGGUGUGAGCUUGAGCAGAUGACCAUGUGGUAUGAGCUUGAGCAAAUCACAUCGACUAGGUGCUAUGAGGUGGAGCAGAUCACCUCGACUAGGUACUAUGAGGUGGAGCAGAUCACCUCGACCAGGUGCUAUGAGCUCGAGCAGAUCACUUCGACCAUGUGCUAUGAGCUUGACCAGAUCACCUCGACCAGGUGGUCUAAACUUGAGCAGAUCACCUCGGCCAAGUGAUGACUAGGAAUAAAGACUCAGUUAAAAUAAACCACCACAAAGCUCCUCCGAAAAAUCAGGGCACGAAUCUGAUUAAUCAAUGGUUAUUGUCACGAUCUAAGGUCGUGGGUGUGGGGUGUUUUAUAAAAAUCCCGAGAAAAUCACACCAAGGGAAGGCUCUUUUUCUCUGGAUCUGACGGAGAAAUCCUUUCUGGAUACUCUAUUUUACUUUUCUGCAAAUUAUUCAAAAAGCUUUUGGUUUUAAAAUAAUGUUUAUUUAGCCAUAUGAAAAAUGACAUAUUUGGUUUUUCCUGUAAACCCCAUAACUGACUUGAGCGUUGGAGGGUUUACGCCAGAAAAACUUCCGGCACCUCUGACCAUUCUCUGUAAUUUCAGGUACUUAUUGAUCGUCAGCUUGAAGAUUAUAUGCUCAUGAAUGUUCUGCUCAUAGUCAGAGAAUAUUCUGACUAUAUUAGCCAUGACAUUUUAGUAAUUUCAGGUACUAAAAAAAAAUUAAAAUUGUUGGCGUGAAAAGCACAAAUCCUAUUUUUUGACAAUUUUAUCUUUGUCAAUUUCAAAGAUUUACAAUAUCAUAGGUAAAGAUUAUAACUAUUUCAUCUUCAAGUUUUUAAUUUUAUAUUUUUUGUAGGAACUUUAAGAAAAUAUCAAUAAUUUAAAGAGAAUUUUUGAAAUUUUUAAUUUUAUCUUUCUUGUAGGAAUUUUAAGAAAAUAUCAAUAAUUUAAAGAAGGUAAAAUAACCAAUAAUUUUAUUUUUUUUUUAGUUAUUUCCGUUUAAAAACUGUUCUUUUAUUAGCCGUUGGAUUUUACUACUCUUAUAUCCAACGGCUUGCCACAACAAGACAAAUGAGGUGGCACCUUCCAACAGCUGAAAGGUCGUUUUGGCCCCAAGUGAAACAGGGGAUGCACUUACUAUUAAGGACAGUUGGUGGCCAGCUAAUGCACUCAUUUUAUGUCCUUUUAUCUUUUUGAAUUCCUGAAGACAAGUGCAUUCAUUUUGUGUCCUUUCAUCUUUUUGAAUUACUGAAGACAAGUGGCCAGCUAAUGCAUUCAUUUUUUGUCCUUUCGUCUUUUUGAAUUAUUGAAGACAAGUGGCUCAUCGCUUUUACUGUAGGUAAGAUCUUGAUAAUCUCGAUUAUCAAAAUAAUAAUAUUCAAAAUAUUUCUUAAUUUUAUUUAAAAGAUAAAAGAAAAAUAAGUUAUGCUGGUAAAUUUUUUUAUUUUUUUAAUAAAAAUAAAAUAAAUUGAUGUUUAUAAUUGUUUCAAAUACUUUAAAGAUUGUAAUUUUAUGAGAGAGUAAUAUUUCACAUUUUUAAUGUGAAAAGUUGAAAAGGGACAAAGCAAGUUUCUCUGUUUUUCUUUUUCUUUUUUUAAAUUUGGUCAUCUCAAAUACUUCACCCUUCAACACUACAAUAUUUUGGUUAUAUAUAUAUAUAUAUAUAUAUAUAUAUAUAUUUUACACAUGCAUAUGAAUUACUUUUCUUUUAAGCUCCUGAAUAUUUAAGACAAAUCAUGAAAGAGAUGAGAAUAUAAUAAGAUGAUCAAAAUAUGUAACAAAAUUUUUUUAGAAGUGAAACAUCGUUAGAGUUGAAGUAAAACUCUGAAAAUAGAGAUACUGAUUAAUUUAGAAGAGAUGCAAGCAAAAGAUAUGCCAAAAAAAAAAAAAAGCAAUAUGUCACUUUGGAGGGCAAACUUGUCAGUUUCACAAAAAUACAUGCUUUGUAUUGAUAGUUGUCACUAUGUAUUAGGGUGCGUUUGAAAUUAUAGUGCUGUACCUUUUAAACUACAGUUGUUGUAGAAAAAAAUAAAAAAUAAAAACUACACCUAAGAUUAAGGAAAAGUACUUCAAAACUCUCUUUUGAUCAUAAAACCUUUUGUCUUAAUUAACUUAAAGAUUUUGAAUCUAAUAUUUUAUAACAAAUAAAAAUAUAUUACCAAAAUAAAUAUAAUAAUAUCUAUUUUAAAAUAAUAUCAAUAUUUAAAAUAUGUUUUAAUAUUUGACGAUCUAUUAGACACAUUUUAUUAUGUUAAAGUAAAUUUUAUAAUAAAUACAAACAUACUAAUAAAAUGAAUAUAUACAACAUUUAGAGUAUUUUGAAUAUUAUAUAAAAUAAAUUUAAUACAAUGCAUGAGAUAUAUUUUAUUAAUUUAAAAUGCUAUUUAACCUAAAGAUUUAUUUAUGAAAAAUUAAUGAUUAUAUUUUUGAAAUUAUUUAAAAUAUUAAAAAAAUUAAUAUUAUUAAUCUAUCAGGUAGAUUAAAUUAUUUAUAUUAUUUUGCAUUUAUUAAAAAAUUUUAAAAUCAAUCUUUUUAAUUACUAUUCUAAGGAUAUAAUAAUAGAGGCAACUCCGUUGCGUCAUGGUUUUGGUACCCCGUCGUUUGUCUUUUAGCACAGUCAUCGUUGGAUUUUAUCUCACGGCUGCAGAAGAGACACAGAGACGCUAGGGAGCAACCUGACAAAAAGGUCAUGGGCCGGUAAGCUGCAGGGAAAAUAUUUAAAAUACAAAAUCUUCCCUUAAAUUUUUUUUAAUAUUUAACAUGUUAUAGUUUCUAAUCUCAUGAAUAGUAGAGGAUAAAGUUUUAUCUUAAAAAAAGUAAUCCCAAGGGUCUCCUUGGGAUGAAAUUUUGCCUCUAUUAGAAUUAAGUGGUGGGCUCAUUAUUGUUACUUUUAUUUUUUUUAUACCAAACAUGAUAUAGGAUUAUUUUAUACUAAAAUUAUCCAAUCCUAUGAUAUAUAACUAAAACUAAACAGGCACUUAGGGUAUAUAUGAGCCACGGUGGAGAAGCUUUAUUUAAUAUUAUUGAUUUAAAUAAUAUCUCAUUAAAAAUGUACUGAGAAGAAAUUUCGGUGGGUAUUUUAGUCAAUCACAUGAUCAGCCUUUGGACUUGAAACGUCGGUCAGAAUGAUUUAUUCUAACAAGAAAAAACUAGGUAAUAUUCCACAAAAGUAAAAGUGACAAAACAACCAGCUGGAUUCUUUUAGGAAAUUACAAAGAGUAAUGAUACAGUCAUAAAUUUUUAUAUAAAUUUAUUUUAUAUAAAUUGAUGUGGUAUUAAUUCAUUAGUUGAAUGAAAAUAUAAAUUAAUAAAAAUAAAUUAUAUGGACCAAGUAAUAUUUAAUUCAAUCAAUCUUAUUAUGUCACAUCAAUUUAUAUAAAAUAAAUUUAUAUUUGUAUUAUUACUCAACUAUAAAUUAAAAUAAAUUUUUUCGAUAAACUACAAAUUAAAGUGGAUUCUUUUGAAUGCAAGUGGGACAGACGAUAAGGCUAAAAAUUAGUCAAGAAUCGAAUAGUCUUUUUCAAAUUCUUGUUUUAUUAUUUUUCAAAACCAGUUUUUGGUAAUUACAAUCGGGUCAUUAAUCAUUAUUCAGAGUUAUUGUUUCCUUCAGAAGUUAGUGGCUCAUGUUUGCAAGUGUGAAUAUGCGAUGCUCUUUUUCGAAAGCGCAAUGACAGUGGGUCCCGAAUCGGACGUCCCUAAAUCUUUUUAAAAUUUUUGCCGUAUAACGAACAGAGGUCAUUACUAAAAUUUCUCUUCCACAGCCUACAGCAGCUUCAGUUUAUCAAACUCAAUCAAUUUUCUUUCUUAACAAAAUUCCAAAGAUGUGUAGCAUUUUUCAGAUCACAUGCGAUGGUGCUCUUUUCAAUCGUUGCUUGGAUUGCUUUCUUGGAAAAGCAGCAUACAUACGUAACCUCCAAGAUAAUCUUGUAGCCUUGGAGACUGAACUGGGAAGACUAAUCGCAGCAAAGAACGAUGUGAUGAUGAGGGUUGUCAAUGCUGAACGGCAACAAAUGAGAAGGCUGGACGGAGUGCAAGUGUGGGUUUCGAGGGUGGACGCUGUUAAAACUGGAGCCGAUGAACUUAUCACAGACGGCUCUGAAGAAAUUGGCAAAUUAUGUGUUGGAGGCUACUGUUCCAAGAACUGCAGGUCAAGCUACAAAUUCGGAAAACAAGUGGGUAAAAAGCUACAAGAUGUGAAGACUUUAAUCGCCGAGGGAGUUUUUGAGGCGGUGGCCACUGAGGUGGUGCCCGAGAGAGCUCCGGAACCUGUAGCAGAUAAAAGACCCACUGAGCCAACAAUAGUAGGCCUGCAAUCACAGCUUGAACCAGUUUGGAGAUGUCUUGUAGAAGAAUCAGUGGGAAUCAUUGGCCUAUAUGGUAUGGGCGGUUUUGGUAAAACCACACUAUUGACCCAUAUCAACAAUAAAUUUCUUGAGAGUCCCACAAACUUUGAUUGUGUGAUUUGGGUCGUAGUUUCAAAAGACCUGCGACUUGAAAAAAUUCAAGAAGAUAUUGGGAAGAAGAUAGGUCUAUCUGAUGAUUCAUGGAAGAAUAAAAGUUUUGAAGAGAAAGCUGUGGACAUCCUGCUGAGAUUAGGAGAGAAGAGAUUUGUAUUGUUGUUAGAUGAUUUAUGGGAGCGGGUUGAUUUAACAAAAGUGGGCGUUCCACUUCCCAGCGCACAAAAUACUACCUCAAAAGUCGUAUUCACAACCCGUUCCAUUGGUGUUUGUGGCAGCAUGAGAGCUAGGCCGGUUAAAGUGGCAUGCCUAUCAGAAAAGCAAGCUUGGGAACUGUUCCGCGAAAAUGUUGGGGAAGAAACUCUUGAGAGUGAUCAUGAGAUCGUUGAGCUAGCCCAAACUGUGGCCAAAGAGUGUGGUGGUUUGCCACUCGCACUUAUUACUAUUGGUCGAGCUAUGGCCUACAGAAAGAAAGCGGAGCAGUGGAGACGUGCAAUUGAAGAGUUAAGAAGAUCAGCUUCAGAGUUUGCAGGUUUGGGAAAAGAGGUGUAUCCUCUUUUAAAGUUUAGCUAUGAUAGUUUGCAGAAUGAGACAAUUAGAUCUUGUUUCUUGUAUUGUUGUUUAUAUCCUGAAGAUUAUGGCAUUCUUAAAUGGGACUUGAUUGAUUGUUGGAUUGGUGAGGGAUUUUUUGGGGAAUCUGACAGGUUUGGUGCAGAAAACCAAGGAUAUGACAUUUUGGACACUCUUGUUCGUGCAUGUUUAUUAGAAGAGGUGGAAGAUGAUGAAGUAAAAAUGCAUGACGUUGUUCGUGAUAUGGCUAUAUGGAUAACUUGUGAAAUUGAGAAGGAGAAGAGAAACUUUUUGGUUUGUGCAGGUGCGGGACUAAAGGAGGCACCGGAGGUUAAAAGAUGGGAAAAUGUGAGAAGAUUGUCACUGAUGCAAAACCAAAUUAAAACUCUGUCAGAGGUUCCCACAUGCCCUCAUCUCCAUACUUUAUUUCUUGACUUCAAUGACAAUUUGAAUAUGAUCGCGGAUGGCUUCUUCCAACUUAUGCCUUCUCUCAAAGUUUUGAAGAUGUCAAACUGCGUGAAUUUAACUUUGAAAUUACCUUUGGGGAUGUCAAAGUUAGGUUCACUAGAACUUCUUGAUGUUUCGAAUACCGGCAUAAGAGAGUUACCAGAAGAGUUAAAGUUGUUGGUAAAUCUGAAAUGUUUGACUUUGAGGUGGACAUUUGAGUUAAAUAAAAUUCCACGGCAACUAAUAUCAAAUUCUUCAAGGUUACGUGUGUUGAGAAUGUUGGGUACUGGCCUUUUGAAUUUUCAUGAAGCGUCAGAAGAAAGCGUUUUAUUUGGUGGGGGUGAAGUUUUGAUACAGGAAUUGCUCGGUUUGAAAUAUUUAGAGGUAUUGGAGUUGACCUUGCGAAGUUAUCAUGCUCUCCAAAUUCUUUUGAGCUCAAAUAAGUUAAAAAGUUGUAUUCGAUCUCUUUUCCUCCAGUUGGCCGGAGAUGCAACGUCGAUUGUUGAUGCUACGGCUUUCGCAGAUCUAAACCACCUCAAUGAAUUAUAUAUUAAUAAAGGUUUUGAGUUGGAAGAAUUGAAGAUUGAUUAUACGGAGAUAGUACGAAAAAGGCGGGAACCUUUUGUUUUCCGCAGCCUUCACCAUGUUACUAUAUGGCGGUGCGCUAAAUUGAAAGAUUCGACAUUCCUCGUUUUUGCUCCAAACCUCAAGUCUCUUGUGCUAGGUAAUUGCCAUGCUAUGGAAGAAAUAAUCAGCGUUGGAAAAUUUUCCGAGGUUCCUGAGAUCAUGGGACAUAUGAGCCCUUUUGAAAAUCUCCAAAGGCUUCAUGUAGAAGAUUUGCCAGAUUUGAAGAGCAUCCACUGGAAGCCAUUGCCUUUCACUCAUCUGAAAGAAAUGGGGGUAAGAGCAUGUGAUCAGCUUGAAAAGCUUCCACUCGAUUCCAGCAGUGCAAAAGAGCGUAAAUUUGUUAUUCGUGGAGAAGAAGACUGGUGGAACCGACUUCAAUGGGAGGAUGAAGCCACUCAAAUUGCUUUUCGUUCCUGUUUCCAACCUUAUUCCUGAGCCGUGGUCGCAAAAUUUGAUUUCUGGUGAGUGCGUUUUUGUUAACGCUUAUGUUUUAUUCCAGUGUAUUUUUCUUCUGUCUUCUGCAAAUCACAAUUAAAUGUGUGAUACAUGUUACGGGUAAUAUACAUGCAGUAUUUUUGGUACACUGCAAAUCACAAUUAAAUGUGUGAUACAUGUUUACGGGAAAUUUAUAGACAUGCAGUAUUUUUGGUGGGGUCGAAUUGAUGCUCUGGUUUUUUUUUGUUGUCAAAAUUUUCUCUGUUUUUUCAAAUUGAUGCUUUAUUUAUAUCUUCUUCGUGAAAAGUGAUUUAAUUUCCUGCCAAAAGACGAACGAGAAGAACAUUAGAGUCAAACUAAUGCUCACAUAAAUUUCCCGUAAGAAUAUAUAUAUAAUUAGACUGGAAUAGUAGCCCUCUUUACAGAAAAUGACGCGAAAGUUAAUUUAGAAAGAUAUAUUCUUGAUUAAUCCAUUUUCUGAAGCUUUUAUUUUGUAUGGUCAAUUAUACCUUCAUACUAAAAAUUUCUGAAUUUAUAAAUUAGUGCAACUUGACAAUUUUUACUGAUGAUAUCUUCUAUUUUUCCUUUCUUUCUUUUUUUUUUUUACUCUCAUUGAAUGUUACUGUCAUUUUACUUACAAAUAGGUUUGAAUUUUAUUUAGUUUUCUCAUAGUAUUUGUGCAAGUACUAGAAGGUCAAACCCCGCAUACUUUGAUUGCCAAACCACCGUCCAAUUUAAAAAAAGAAAAAAAGAAAAAAAAUGUGUAAUCCAUGAAUCUGGUUAAUUUUGUUUGUUUGUUUUUUUUUUUUUAAAUAUCAUUCUUUUUCGGCCACCCAAAAUAUCAUUGAUGACUUUUCUGGUCUAAUGCUAUGUAAAUAGUAUGUUAAGUAAAACAUAAUCAAUUAUUUGUGUUUUAUCUCUAAUUAGAACAUCAAUCAGUUCAGUACCUCACAAAUAAUUCGCAAUAUCUACAAAAUACUAUAAUGGCUACAAAACAAAUCCUGCUUGCAAAUUGUCAAGGAUACCUAUCCGUUCGCUUGACAAGUCAUUUGAAUAAAUAUUGUUCACAUUCCUUACUCUGUCAAUUAUCCAAAGCACCAUCAACUUUAGUUUGAAUAGUAUACAUGCCAUCACCAUUACCAAGAAUCAAGCAUGAAAGAGUCAUUCUAUAGAGUGCAGAACAUGACUCUAUGCGGUAGUCAAUUUGACACACGACGAACAACAUAUGCUGCAUAACAUACAAAUUAAUUUCCCAUAUGUGAUGCAAUUUUCUCCUCAACAUAUGCGCAAUUCUUUCCAUUCCGGCCGUUGAUUGAACCCUUUGGCAACAAGACGAGCUUUAAGCCUGUCAGCAGAACCGUUGGAAUGUCUUUUAAUACAAAAAUCCAUUUGCAGCCAACAAUAUUGGAAGGGAUGGGAGGUGGAACAAGCUUCCAUGUCCCGUUACGAACAAGAGCAUCAUACUCUUCUGACAUAGCUUGACGCCAGUGAGGAUUUUUGAUAGCUUGCGUCACAGUUGUAGGUUCACAAUCAGAAGAAGGGCUAAAAUGAGCACGGAGGUUAAGUUUUUGUAACGGCUUGUGAAUCUUAUUUUUAGCUCGGGUAGUCAUAUCAUGAUGAUUUGUGGGGCAAUGAUGUAGUGGAGUUUGGGAAGAUGAUUGAAGAGGAAGUGAAGAAGUGCUUUGUGUAGAGGUAGAAGUAGGUUGGGAGGAUUGCUGCGGAGAUGUUACCGGUAGAGAAGAAGGAGCAGUACACGGUGGCAACUCCAGAGGGCCCAUAGUGAAACACUUGCGUAAUUAGGAGUGGUAGAAGAGCUUGUAAUGAUUUGUAUGGAAAAACAAACUCUACAAAUUUAACGAGACGUGAAAUGAAAAUUUGAAAGGUGGAUGGGUCAAAACAUAAAUAAGCACUUUGAGAUAAAGGAAUAUCCUAUAAAAACACAAGGCUUAGAGGGUGGUUCGAGUUUAUAUGAUGAAACACAAACAUUCAAAAAUUUUAAGUUUAUAUUAAUUAGGAGUGGUACCAAAAAUUAAUUAGGAGUGGUCCGCGGGACAUGUAGCUAUGGGGUUGUUGGAUGUGUUUUGGAUAUUUACAGACAUGCUGAGUUUGAGUUUAUAUCUCAACUUAAAAUUUGUAGUUUUCACUUGAAAAAAUUCAGUUAAAAAUUGAUUGGUAGAAUUGUGAAAAAAGUUUAAAUUUUUAGUUCAACCCGAUUGCAUAUUUAAGAACAUCUCAAAUGAAUUGCUUACUGCUAUCAUCAUCAUUAUUGUCCAUAUAAUAAUGGAUCUUUAUUAUAUAUAUAUGUUUCCACUAAAAUAUAUUUAAUUAUUCUUUAUUUUUCCAUUGUUGCGUGUAAGAUUUAUUUGAGUUCUAAGUUAUAUCAAUACAAAUGUUAUCUUAUCCAUUAAAAGUUAGAUCCAACAAUUAUGAAAAUUACCAUAGAGUUGCUUUCAACUAUUUUUUAAAAAUACCAGGAGUAAAAAAUAAUUAGUUCAAAUGGUGGAGACUAAAAAGCGUUCACCUUUAUUUUUUAUCUGUUAUUUAUUUUUUUCAUUAAUGCACAUGCUAUACAUUUGAGACAUUCCAUUAAUUGCCAAUUAUGUAUGUGAGAUAGUAAUUUAAAUUAAAAAAAUAAAAGUGAAAGUUAAUCCUAUGCAAUGUGAAUAAAUUUCUUUCCUUUUUCCUUUACUCUUUUUAUUUGACAAUAAAGUUUCCAUCUAUCAUCUAUCAUCUAUGUACGCAAAAUUUCUGCAACAGGUACAAAACAUAAAAAUAUAUGAUUGUUAAGGGAAACGCGCAGGAGUUCAUCAUUUCAAUGUUCAGCAUUACCAAUUUUGGCAUUAAGCUGAAUAUAUUCCACUUAGAAAGCAAAAUAUUAGACUCGUGAUUUUAAUUCAUUCAUUAUCUCUCAUUUUAAUCCCAAAAUAUUCAAGAGCAUCCAAGUUACCAUAAGACUUCAGAGGCUCAAGCCUUAGCCAGAGAUGGUUAAUUGAUAGACUAUGUGCCUGGGUCGAGCACUGGAAGCCUGCAAUGCAGACUGAUUGAUUUAUCAGUUUAACGUGUGCCAGGAAUGAAGAACUGGAAUAUCACCGUCAAGCAAGCACCCUGUGGAGCAAUACCGAAGAAUGCACAAUCCAGCUUUGCUAGGUGACACUGGAGGCUUUUUGAAAAGUGCUUCACGCUCACUUGCACAGAUUGAGCAUCCCCUCUGGAUAUUGCCCUCUCUGAUCGAGUCUGAGCACUCAAAUUUUGGUCCUCAGAGGGAGCUACAGUUUCUCUCCACUAACCAACAAUUUUCUAAACUCAGCACCUAGUGUGAUCAGAGUUGUUGAUAUUUGCAAAUGGAGAUCCCCAUAUUUGCAAAUGGAGACAUUUAACAAAUCACCAACAUGCUUCAUCCGGUCCACGAAAUUCUGCAACUGAUUCAAAUCUGGAACCUGAACCAGAGUCGGAGGUAUAUCUUGAGCCAUAUCUAAAGCAGUUUGAAGUUCAAGACCUUGAGCCCUUGACAAUGGUUUUGAAAUUGGAACAUCUUGGAUUACUGCAGACUUGUACCCCUUGGUUUCAAAGGUAAGGAAAGGCAUUGCUUGAGUACAAUUUGGAGGCAGCUUCUUCACCAAUUUUAUUUGGAGGCGAUUGGUAGCGGAUCCAGCUGCACCAAUUUCAGAGCAACUACUGACACUACUUCGAACAGCACACUGAAGAAGUGAUAUGUCUACGGCGAAGGCAAUGCAGUCCUCAUUUUGGCUUGAGACACAGUAAUCAUCGUAGAGAGUUUCCUUGUGAAACUGGGCAACACAUUGAAUCCCUUCGCCACUGAGAAGGUUGUGGAGGAAGUAAGCUUUCUCUCUAGUGAGGAAGAGGUGGCAUACCUUCCCCAUUUUGUCUAGGGCAGGUAGGAAUCUUUUUUCUAAGAGAUUUACUUCAUUCUCUGUGAGAAAUGCUUUGAACUUCAUCCCUCUGUCUCUAUCCUCACUUAUCAGGAAAUAAGUUGAAAGCACUACGAAGAGAGAGAGAGAGAGAGAGAGAGAGAGAAUUAAGAUAUAUAGACAAGAAAAAUAUUAGAUGUUGAUCUUACAAACUAAUACUUCAAGCAGUAUCCUAGAAAGCUAAAAACUGCAAGAUGGCUUGAAAUUUGAGAAGAGCACGUGCUUUUCCUCCUUAACUUGAGAAAAUGUUUUAUAUAGUGCACCUUACAGAAGCAUUUAAGCAAUUAGAACUUUGCACAAAAACAUCAAGAAGACUAAACAAAUCAGAUGCAGUGCAUUUGUCCAAGCACAAAUUGCAUUUUGUCCUCAACUUUAAUAUUUAUUGAUGAGAAUCAAUACAGGUCCCUCAUUUGUUAUAGAAAGCUUUCUUGUAGUCUCACCAGUUAAUAUGGAUAUUAGAUAAGGAAACUUUAUUAGGUUGCGAGGGUAAAAAAGGAAAGAGAUAUCAUUAUUUUAUUAUCGAUAAUUAUUAAAUUUUUUUCCAAAAAAAAGAACAAGCAAUGAUAUUUUAUUGUCAAUUGCAACCUUUAAUUUUUUUAAAUGCUAUUAGAAACACAAGAUAACAAAGAAAUACUUAUUUUUUCCUAAAACUAAAAUCAAUUGUUUAACUUCUUAUUUCAUAAUCCAACUCCAUUACUAAGUUAAAAAAAAUUGUUUCAAAAUUACUUGAGUCAUAUUCAAUGGACCAACAAAGUAACCGUUUUUAUUUUUAUUGAUUUUUGCAGGAAAUUAAUAAGUUAAAAAUAAUGAAAGCUAUUGUAAAAAAAUUUAUUAUCAACCUCAUAAUUUUUUUUUUUUUGGGGAAGAGAAUUCAAACAUUUUUUUUUUUUAAUUUCCAAGAAUUCUUGACACCCAUCUUAAUUAAAAGCUAUAUUUUUAUUCAAGAGUCAUGCUAUUCAUUCACUCACAGACCAAAGGCUUUCCGCAGCAAUAUUAUUAUUUAAAUUACAACAAAGGGGAAAUCAAACACGUCAUACAGAAGCUUAAAGGUGAAUCUACAAAAUCUAGAGCUCUCAACUACAAAAAUUACACUUGAUGAUCCUCUACAAGAUGAAGGUUGUUCAAUAUCUUGAGAUUGCCUGCCUUCCUCGACGACCUGCACGAUGUGUUUGUACAAAUCAUCAUACCUGUGCACCGGAUUUUUAAUAUCAACGCCACUGCAGCUGUGAUCAAGAACAUAAGAGCAUUUAACAUCUUUUCUCCAUCGAGAAAGAAUGUAGUGAGAUGGGAUCUCCUGCAUGCCACUCUGGUUUAGAACACAAAGAAUGUGUCUGCAUAAAUAUCCUCUGAAAUUGAACAACCCACAAACACAAAGCACCUCCAAGUCGGAGGCAUUGUACAAAACAUCGAAAGCCCUUGAAUCUUUCUCGUUGCUACCAACCUUAAAUUCUUCCUUCACUAUGUAUGUUACAGGUCCAUCAGCACUGACAUGUUUUGUGCUAUAGCAAUACAUAGCCUCCACCUCCGUCUGAAACUUCCUUAACAUUUCAUUUGUGUACAGUUUUGAGAGUUGAAAUUCAUAGUAUCAUCUUGGUUUCUGGAUACAACUUGAAUUUCUUGAAUCCAUAUCUGCCAAGGCUACCAGUUGAUAAUUCGCCUGCAGUGCUUGAUCAUACUUGUCUAAGAAUUCUUUCAAAGGAGUAUUCUUAUCAAGAUAUCCUUCAAAGUAUGAAGUAGAAACCUCAUUCUGCAGGAACGAAAACACUCCUGAUAAAAAAGCUUCCUUCAAAUAAAUAGGAGCCCACCUUUUAUGAUCUUCAUAUAAAGUUUGAAUCUAUCCGUGAUCCUUUAUUCCAUGACAUUGAAUCAUGUCUUCCCAAGCUGCUUCAAAUUUCUCAGGCCUGAGAGAGUGAUAAAUUGCUCUAUGUAAUGCAGCUUUAAUAGCUUCAUAUUCAAACAAUCCUUGGAGUUUCUCUGGAAUUUUUUUGCAUGAUGCAUGACAAUGAAAAGCAAUGAUAAGCUCUUGGGAAAACAUCACCAACAGCAAUUUGCAAGAUUCUACAUUGGUCAGUGAUGAUUGUUUGUGGAGAGCUCCCUAACAUACAUGUAAGCCACGCCGUAAACAACCAUGUAUAUGAUUCUAUGGUCUCACUGGCAAGUAAAUCACAAGUCCACAACCCAACAACACUGAUUGUCCAUGAUGAUUCACCCCAAUGAAUGAAACCAGUGGUACAUCAUAUCUUUCAGUCAGGCACGUAGUAUCAAUUAAGACCACAUCACCAAAGUACCUAUAUGCAACUCUUGACCUGGUAUCAGUCCAGAAUAGGUUUCUCAAGCAUCCCUUUUCAUUUAGAUCCACUACAUUAAAAAAGUUUGGAUCUGUCAACUGCAAAUGACAAAAGAAACUCUGGACAGCUUGUGCAUCUCCUGGUUUAAGCUUCAAUUGAUUUGAGCUAUUAACAUUAUUUCCAAAUACUCCAUUAACAUCUACCAUUUCCCUUGGUAUCAAUGAUAAGAGUUCGAAACAGUUUAAUUUUUUGAACUUCUUCAGCACUAUCUAAAUGCAAUGUUCUUUUGGUUCCAAUACCUAUGUGCUUAUGUGACUUGUAAAACUUUCCGCUUCUUGGGCUUAACAAGUGGUUAUGCUCAAGCUCGACUUCAAUGAUUCUCCACCUUUUGGUUUCCAUCAACCUAAACUUUAUCAUUGCUGGACAGCCAGUUCUUGUUUCUGGUCUUGGGCGGUUUGCCUCGCUUUUCUUCUUGAAGCCUGCACUACUACAGCUCAGCUUUCCUCUAUACUUUUCUCUACUCUUUCGGUACCAUGGAUUGCUAACUCUAACACCAAAACCCUGUUCCUUGGCAUAGCAAUUGUAAAAGUAAUAUACAUCAUCAUACAUCUCAAACUCCAUUCCAACAGUAGGAGGCAAGGGAUUUUGGAUUAUCCCAGUUUGUCCAACAUAUUCAGUCAUCGCACAAUCUCCUACGACCUCAAAAUCAUCAGUGUCAUCAUCACCUACUGGUUCGGUGUUGAGAGAAACUUCAUCCAUCUACAAUGGAUGUUCAAUGAAGUGAGCUUUAAGGAGAAAAAGCAAAAUCAGUUCAAGGAAUGAUAAUAUAAUCAUACAGUUACUUUCACAAAGCUUCAUAUUUCAUCACUGCUUUACCAACAUGCAACUGCCAGAGAACAAACAGACAUGUCAUAGACGCUUGAAUUAAGUAUUGGUACAAAUGAGCACACAUCAUGUGGGACAAAAUUUCAGUCACUAAACCCAAUACCACUUUUUACAUCAUACCAAGGAACAGAUUAAACCCGACACCUUCUUUUAAACCAUACCAAGGAGCAGAUUAAAUCAUCAAUGAAAAAUUAAUCACAUAAUAACUUAACCAGACAAAUGAAGAGCCUGAAACAGCACAAAACUUGAAUCUGAUUAUGAUAAUUGUUGAGUCCUUGUAUCUACAGCUUUCCUUCAAUGAUAAGACAAUGAACAUAAACGAGACACAAAAAAAUUAUUUUAAACUGACAGCCCAUGAUAUAAAUCAAACAAAAUCAACUCCUUUUUUUACACAUUACAUCUCAUAUUCAUUUACAUUGAAACACAAAAAGGAAGCAGGAGUGGGAAAAAAACAACAGCAGAGGAACUUAUUUCCAUAAGGUUUACGAAAUAAGGAAUCUAUUAAAACCCAAAACUUGAGGUCACCACUAAGAAUUUGGUUCUCAUUAUUUUUUUCUUCAUUUUUCACCAAUUGAUGAACUUAAAAUACAAUCAUAAAUGAUAAAACCCCAUCUCCAUCUUUUUGAACUAGAGCUAAAGCAAAGCAUUUUAAGAUGUUUCAUCAUUUUUUAAAAAAAAAAAAAACUCAAUAGUACAAUGUUUUUCAAUGUUAAAUGCACAAUUCAAUCUUCUCCUAAUUUACUCUAAUAAUCUCUUAAUUAAGGAAGAUUAAGCUUCAGUUGUAAGCUAAAACAAAUUUCUUAAAUCAAGCCCCAAUGCUUUAUGCUAUUCAACAAGGGCUCAUAAAUGAUAAAACUACUUCUAUAAAGAUACCCAUUUUCUAAAUUAAUUUCACAAACUGAAAUCAAACUCCUGAAACGUAACGAGCAUUAAUAUAAUCAAGCCCGAACAAGAAUUGAUAAAUGAUACAUAAACUCGUUUACACAUUUCGACAGACACUUUGCAAUCAAUGAGCAAAAAAUUAAUGGAGAAGAUAAAAUUCAAACGAAACAUGCCUUACAUUGAUAAAUUAGAAGGGCAAAAGAAAUUUUAGUACGAUAUGGGAUCAGGGUCUUGCCACGGUGAUGUUAUUUGUGAAGUUCGAGCGACUCAGCAGCCUUCGAGGUUGAAAAUUUGAUUGACCAAAAGCUUCCCGUUCGUUGAUUCUCUAAUAGUAGAAACGAGACUGGCAGUAUACACAACAAGUUCGCCGAUUUUAAAUUCCGUUGUUUGAGAUGGAAAAUUUUUUGAAAAAAUUAAUGUGUUCGAUGAAAAUCAAAAUCUCAAAAACCUUUUGUUUUUCAUUUUUUUGGAAAAAACCAUUGAGAUCCUUACUAUUUUUUCUUAUAUCAUCUUGCUUAAUAAUUUGCAAAGUCUAUCGCAUAGCACCCAUGCAUGAUGUAUGCUGCGUUGUAAUUUACAAUAUUGUACAUGAAUAAAUCCAGCUAAUAUUUGUUAAAAGAAAAUAAUAAUAACAUGUUAAAACUUUAAAAUUUGAUUAUUAGAAGAAAUUUUAAUUUAGCUAAGUAGGUGACAUGAUAAUAAAUAGAUACGUAUAAUGUCCGAGAUUUUUUAUAAGAUUAAUAAAUAUGAUAAAUUUGGAUUAGUUCAAUUUUGACAUAAUUGCAAACAAUUUAAUUUGUGUUGUUUCUCUAAAAGUUUGAGACACAAAUGUUAUUUCAAAUUGAUAAAAGUACAAUUUAAUCCCACUUGCUCUUCAACUAAAAAUUAAACAUGCAAAUACACACACUAAUUUAAAGUCAUCUGUAUAAUUGAAACGCCAUGCACUAGUAGUAGGUCAGAGAAACCAAGGUUGAAAUGUGUAGAAAUGUUGAAACGCCAAUAAUAAUUGAAACGCCAUGCACUGUUCGUUUAUUUUUAUUCAUGAUUUUUUGUAAAACGUAAGAAAUGUGUAGAAAUGUUGCCAGCAAUGAUUUUGGAACUUUGCAUAAAAUUUUUAUCGUUAUUGUUUUUGGUAUUAAGAAAUCCGAGGCGGUGAUUAGACGUAUGUUGCAACAAUUAAGAAAUUUCUUAUUGGAGAUAAUUCGGUAGGUUGCAACAAUUAGAGAAUCAUUUUCCUGUCAGUUAAACGGUUCAUUUUCAGCCAUAACAUGCUAAAAAUGCUACACUUAACGGUUCAUUUUCAUGGAUUUUCUCGGGAAACAAACAGAAAAUUACGGUUUAGAGAGUUGACUGACGUUUUGGCUUUUGAAAUUGAGAAGAUCGCGCGCCAAAUUGGAAGAGGGAAAGUGAAAGUGCGAGUUUUAAUAUGGGCAUUAGAUAAGGAAAUUUUAUUAGGUUGCGAGGGUAAAAAAGGAAAGAGAUAUCAUUAUUUUAUUAUCGAUAAUUAUUAAAUUUUUUUCCAAAAAAAGAACAAGCAUGGAUAUUUUAUUGUCAUUUGCAACCUUUAAUUUUUUAAAUGCUAUUAGAAACACAAGACAACAAAGAAAUACUUAUUUUUUUCCUAAAACUAAAAUCAAUUGUUUAACUUCUUAUUUCAUAAUCCAACUCCAUUACUUCGUGCUGGUUUUUUCAGGUGAAUAACAGCUAAAAAUAAUUUUAAAAGCUGUUACCAAUUCUCAUGAACUGUUACAAUUAAAAAAAUCAAGCAUGCAUGGAUGGUUAAGUGUGUAGAGAGAACCUCCAUCCUUAUAAUUCUUACUUAUGCAUGGUUAAGUGUUUAUAUUUAAACACUAAUUUCUAGGCUUCUUUUUCCCAUGUGGGAUAAGCCUCAUUUCCUUUCAAAUUUCCAACUUCAAGGGUGAACUUUGAGAGACAAUUUCUCAUUCACCCAAGCACCAUUUUGAGAAAAUAAAAUUAUACUUUUGAAGUAUGAACGGAAUAGAAUCCGAAUCUCACAAUAUUUCCCACUUUAGUUAAAUAGGACCCACUCAAAAUGUGCUCUCAAAAUAACAUGUUAUGCUAUUUUUUCAACAAAAUUGUGGGCCAACAAUAGUGGGCAUGGUGUCGACUUUUGAGAAAGCCUGGAGAUGCGUUGAAGAAGAAUCAAUUGGAAUUAUUGGCCUAUAUGUCAAUGGGGGAGUUAGAAAAUAUUUACUCAAAUCAACAACAAGUUCCUUGAUAGUCCAAAUAAUUUUGAUGUUGCGAUCUGGGUAGUGGUCUGCCAAGAUUUGCAACCCCAGAAGUUUCGGGAAAAGAUUGGGAAAAAGAAAGGCUUCUUCGAUGAGUCAUGGAAGAUAUGAAGUUUUGAAGAGAAAGCACUCGACAUAUUCAAGAAUUUAAGCAAGAUGAAGUUUGUAUUACUGUUGGAUGAUAGAUGGGAGCAUGUUGAUUUAAUUAAAAUUGGUGUCCCUCUUCCAAGCAGAAAAAUUACAUUCAAGAUAGUCUUCACAACUCGUUCUAUUGACAUUUGUGGCCUCAUGGAAGCUCACAACAAGAUUAAAGUGGAGUGUUUAAAUGACAAAGAAGCAUGGGAAUUAUUCUGCAAGAAGGUUGGAGAAGAUGUGGCGACUCUGUCCAAGUGCUAAGGAGAUCAGCCUCUAGGUAUGUAAAAACAAGUAUAUCCUCUUUUGAAAUUCAGUUAUGAUAAUUUACCAAGCGAUAAAAUUAGAUCGAGUCUGUUAUACUGUAGUUUGUUUCCAGAAGACUUUCCAAUUAGCAAAAUGGAAUUGAUACUGAGAUACGAAAUCAAGGAUACUACAUUAUUGGUGUUCUUGUUCCUUUAUGUUUAUUGGAAGAAGAGGCUCCACUGUUUGUAAAAGUGCAUGAGGUGAUACGCGAUAUGCUUCUGUGGAUAGCUGUGAAGGUUUUUUUUUUUUUUUUUUUUUUUUUUUAUAGGGAUAGCAUGUGAAGUUGAGAAGGAGAGAGAGAAUUUUGCAAGGAUUAACUGAAGUACCAGACAUUUGGAAAUGGGAAGGGUUGAGAAGGGUGUCUUUGAUGAUCAACAAAACUGAGAAGGUAUCAGAAAUUCCUUCAUCUCACGAUCCACUAACUUUGUUGCUUCAACAUAAUUAUUUAGAGGUGAUCAAUAAUGACUUCUUCCAAUCUAUGCAUUCCCUUAGAGUUUUGAACUUAUCAUGUAAUCAUUCUCUAACUGAUAAUUUCAAAGUUAGUUUCCCUACAUACGAGAGUUGCCGAAUGAGUUAACGUUCGUAGUGAAUCUUAAGUUUUUGAAUGUGGAGUAUGCACGGUUUCUUCAUUCAAUUCCAGGGCAAGUGAUAUCCAGUUUUACGAUGUUACAAGUUUUGAAGAUGUUUGGUUGUGGCAGGUCAUCUUCUGAUCGUGAGCCACACCAGAAGAUAGCGUUUUAUUUGGAGGCAGUAAAUUUUUGAUUGCGGAGUUGUUUGGUUUGAGAGACAUUUAGAUGUGUUGACCAUCAUCCUAAGAAGCUCCCAUGCUCUGAAAAGAUUUUUGAGCUCCAACAAACUUCAAAGUUGUUGAUGCCGAAAUCCGGAUGAGUUGAUCGAAUCUCAGAUCCCUGCAUCAGCAUUGAAUUUGUUUGGUGGGAAGCUGAUGAUUAGUUAGCACCAUGAGCAGAUUUUCUAUGAGCAGAUGUUCUGUGAGCAGAUCAGAUGUUCUCCUCGUUCUACGACCAGGGUCUCUGCUCGAUCAACUUCACCACGACCAGGAUCUCUCCUCGUAAAGCUUCUUCUCCAGAGGUUCCUGCGCACACAGACAAGUCAGAGUACGCCGGUUGUUUUCCCGGCGCAAACCCUCCGACGCUCAAGUCAGAUAUGAAGGUUCGGGGAACGCUUGCCACAGAUCUUAUGGCUUUUGUGUAGUUUUCUUUAGAAUUGCUUUUAUCUCUCUUCUAAUCUCAAAAUUGCUAACCCUUUUACCUUCGUUGGCUACCUUUUUAUAGGCUUCCUCUCAAUCCCAGUUUUCCGCAGUCUAUGCCGUUAUCCCACGUUCUCCUUCAAUUUUCAUCCCUCCUUUUUCGGGUAGUGGCCUUUAAAUGCUUUUAAAUGCUACAUCAUGGGAAACGUGGGGUAUCGCAUCUCUCGUAACGGUUCUGGGAAGAAUGUAAACGCCAUAAUUCUGUGGGAUCGUGUUCCUGCUUUUCCAGGAGAUGGGUAUCAGCUCGGGAUACACCUUUUGUCAGUAUCCGUCUCUGAUCGGUUCAUGUUGCCCUCUGCUCUGCUCGUACAGUUACACUUGGCUGAGGUGAUUCAUGCCGGGGGUGAUUCAUGCCGAGGUGAAAACAGUACUAUGGCCGACCUGGUAUCAUUAUUGGCUCAACACCAGUCCCCCAGUUUCUGGUCUUGUGAGUGAAAUGAGUCAAGAGUAGAAACUGAUAUUCAAAUCUUACCAAUCCGGGGGCUUCUCCUCUGGUCUUUCAUCUAUCGGGAUGGUCCUGAGGUAUCAUUUUUCUUCAAGGGAGAUUUUGACCUGAGUAUGGAAUAGGAAGUCAUCUGCUCAAGUUUAGACCACGUGGUCGAGGUGAUCUGGUCAAGCUCAUAGCACAUGGUCGAGGUGAUCUGCUCCACCUCAUAGCACCUGGUCGAGGUGAUCUGCUCCACCUCAUAGCACAUGGUCGAGAUGAUCUGAUCCACCUCAUAGCACCUGGUCGAGGCGAUCUGCUGAAGCUCAUACCAUCUGGCCAAGGUGACCUGCUCAACCAUUUGCUCACUUUCACUUGGAGGAGAUCAUGGUCGCUCUAUUUAAUUCCUCAAACACCAGUCCCCCAGUUUCUAGUGUUGAGAGUGAAACAAAUCAAGACUGGAAACUUUAGUGGUCUGCUCGUCUUCGCUUGGUUGAGCAGAUCCUGGCACGCUUGGCUUCUGUCUCGCCAUAAAACAGGCUUUGAGACUUUGUCGAGCCUUUGCAUGCCUUCGAUUCUUCAAGGAUUGGGAUUCUGCUCGCCUUCUCGUGGCCGAGCAGAUCCUAGCACGCUUGGCUUCUGUCUCGCCAUAAAACAGGCUUUGAGACUUUGGUGAGCCUUUGCGUGCCUUUGAUUCUUCAAGGAUUGGGAUUCUACUCGCCUUCUCGUGGCCGAGCAGAUCCUGGCACGCUUGGCUUCUGUCUCGCCAUAAAACAGGCUUUGAGACUUUGGUGAGCCUUUGCGUGCCUUUGAUUCUUCAAGGAUUGGGAUUCUGCUCGCCUUCUCGUGGCCGGUGGCCGAGCAGAUCCUGGCACGCUUGGCUUCUGUCUCGCCAUAAAACAGGCUUUAAGACUUUGGUGAGCCUUUGCGUGCCUUUGAUUCUUCAAGGAUUGGGAUUCUGCUCGCCUUCUCGUGGCCGAGCAGAUCCUGGCACGCUUGGCUUCUGUCUCGCCAUAAAACAGGCUUUGAGACUUUGGUGAGCCUUUGCGUGCCUUUGAUUCUUCAAGGAUUGGGAUUCUGCUCGCCUUCUCGUGGCCGAGCAGAUCCUGGCACGCUUGGCUUCUGUCUCGCCAUAAAACAGGCUUUGAGACUUUGGUGAGCCUUUGCGUGCCUUUGAUUACUUCAAAGAUUGGGAUUCUGCUCGCCUUCUCGUGGUCGAGCAGAUCCUGGCACGCUUGGCUUCUGUCUCGCCAUAAAACAGGCUUUGAGACUUUGGUGAGCCUUUGCGUGCCUUUGAUUCUUCAAGAUUGGGAUUCUGCUCGCCUUCUCGUGGCCGAGCAGAUCCUGGCACGCUUGGCUUCUGUCUCGCCAUAAAACAGGCUUUGAGACUUUGGUGAGCCUUUGCGUGCCUUUGAUUCUUCAAGGAUUGGGAUUCUGCUCGCCUUCUCGUGGCGAGCAGAUCCUGGCACGCUUGGCUUCUGUCUCGCCAUAAAACAGGCUUUGAGACUUUGGUGAGCCUUUGCGUGCCUUUGAUUCUUCAAGGAUUGGGAUUCUGCUCGCCUUCUCGUGGCCGAGCAGAUCCUGGCACGCUUGGCUUCUGUCUCGCCAUAAAACAGGCUUUGAGACUUUGGUGAGCCUUUGCGUGCCUUUGAUUCUUCAAGGAUUGGGAUUCUGCUCGCCUUCUCGUGGCCGAGCAGAUCCUGGCACGCUUGGCUUCUGUCUCGCCAUAAAACAGGCUUUGAGACUUUGGUGAGCCUUUGCGUGCCUUUGAUUCUUCAAGGAUUGGGAUUCUGCUCGCCUUCUCGUGGCCGAGCAGAUCCUGGCACGCUUGGCUUCUGUCUCGCCAUAAAACAGGCUUUGAGACUUUGGUGAGCCUUUGCGUGCCUUUGAUUCUUCAAGGAUUGGGAUUCUGCUCGCCUUCUCGUGGCCGAGCAGAUCCUGGCACGCUUGGCUUCUGUCUCGCCAUAAAACAGGCUUUGAGACUUUGGUGAGCCUUUGCGUGCCUUUGAUUCUUCAAGGAUUGGGAUUCUGCUCGCCUUCUCGUGGCCGAGCAGAUCCUGGCACGCUUGGCUUCUGUCUCGCCAUAAAACAGGCUUUGAGACUUUGGUGAGCCUUUGCAUGCCUUUGGUAAUUUCUUCGAAACUUGGGAUUCUGCUCGCCUUCUCGUGGUCGAGCAGAUCCUGGCACGCGUGGCUUCUGUCUCGCCAUAAAACAGGCUUUGAGACUUUGGUGAGCCUUUGCGUGCCUUUGAUUCUUCAAGGAUUGGGAUUCUGCUCGCCUUCUCGUGGCCGAGCAGAUCCUGGCACGCUUGGCUUCUGUCUCGCCAUAAAACAGGCUUUGAGACUUUGGUGAGCCUUUGCAUGCCUUUGAUUCUUCAAGGAUUGGGAUUCUGCUCGCCUUCUCGUGGCCGAGCAGAUCCUGGCACGCUUGGCUUCUGUCUCGCCAUAAAACAGGCUUUGAGACUUUGGGGAGCCUUUGCGUGCCUUUGAUUCUUCAAGAAUUGGGAUUCUGCUCGCCUUCUCGUGGCCGAGCAGAUCCUGGCACGCUUGGCUUCUGUCUCGCCAUAAAACAGGCUUUGAGACUUUGGUGAGCCUUUGCGUGCCUUUGAUUCUUCAAGGAUUGGGAUUCUGCUCGCUUUCUCGUGGCCGAGCAGAUCCUGGCACGCUUGGCUUCUGUCUCGCCAUAAAACAGGCUUUGAGACUUUGGUGAGCCUUUGCGUGCCUUUGAUUCUUCAAGGAUUGGGAUUCUGCUCGCCUUCUCGUGGCCGAGCAGAUCCUGGCACGCUUGGCUUCUGUCUCGCCAUAAAACAGGCUUUGAGACUUUGGUGAGCCUUUGCGUGCCUUUGAUUCUUCAAGGAUUGGGAUUCUGCUCGCCUUCUCGUGGCCGAGCAGAUCCUGGCACGCUUGGCUUCUGUCUCGACAUAAAACAGGCUUUGAGACUUUGGUGAAUCUUUGCGUGCCUUUGAUUCUUCAAGGAUUGGGAUUCUGCUCGCCUUCUCGUGGCCGAGCAGAUCCUGGCACGCUUGGCUUCUGUCUCGCCAUAAAACAGGCUUUGAGACUUUGGUGAGCCUUUGCAUGCCUUUGGUAAUUUCUUCAAAACUUGGGAUUCUGCUCGCCUUCUCGUGGUCGAGCAGAUCCUGGCACGCGUGGCUUCUGUCUCGCCAUAAAACAGGCUUUGAGACUUUGGUGAGCCUUUGCGUGCCUUUGAUUCUUCAAGGAUUGGGAUUCUGCUCGCCUUCUCGUGGCCGAGCAGAUCCUGGCACGCUUGGCUUCUGUCUCGCCAUAAAACAGGCUUUGAGACUUUGGUGAGCCUUUGCAUGCCUUUGAUUCUUCAAGGAUUGGGAUUCUGCUCGCCUUCUCGUGGCCGAGCAGAUCCUGGCACGCUUGGCUUCUGUCUCGCCAUAAAACAGGCUUUGAGACUUUGAUGAGCCUUUGCGUGCCUUUGUAGUAAACUUUGACUGGUUUCUUAACUCUAGCCUAGCUCUCUUUUCUUAAAUCAUUCUCAUAUUGAGUAACUUUCAAGAAAUCAAGUUAACUAAGUUAAACAGUCAGCCCUAAUAUAAGCACAAUUAGUUGAAUGAAUAUAAGGCAUCCUCAUAUCACAUAGUAGGAUUUAGAGAAAUAAUUAAAUUUUCAUGAGAAAAUUGUUUGUAAAUAAAAAUUUAACUUCUGACCUGUUCUGAUUUCUGCAAACGUCUGCCUUCAUUGUGCUCUCAUUUAAGGGUUUUGCUACCUUGUUUAAGCACGCUCAUCCAUUUAUGUACUGUAACAUUCUGAUUUGCUUCGACUAGAUGAAAAUUGAUAGAAACAAAAAUUUGGCUUCUCGUACCGGUCCCCACAGACGGCGCCAAAUGUUGAUGCCGAAAUUCGGAUGAGUUGAUCGAAUCUCAGAUCCCUGCAUCAGCAUUGAAUUUGUUUGGUGGGAAGCUGAUGAUUAGUUAGCACCAUGAGCAGAUUUUCUAUGAGCAGAUGUUCUGUGAGCAGAUCAGAUGUUCACCUCGUUCUACGACCAGGGUCUCUGCUCGAUCAACUUCACCACGACCAGGAUCUCUCCUCGUAAAGCUUCUUCUCCAGAGGUUCCUGCGCACACAGACAAGUCAGAGUACGCCGGUUGUUUUCCCGGCGCAAACCCUCCGACGCUCAAGUCAGAUAUGAAGGUUCGGGGAACGCUUGCCACAGAUCUUAUGGCUUUUGUGUAGUUUUCUUUAGAAUUGCUUUUAUCUCUCUUCUAAUCUCAAAAUUGCUAACCCUUUUACCUUCGUUGGCUACCUUUUUAUAGGCUUCCUCUCAAUCCCAGUUUUCCGCAGUCUAUGCCGUUAUCCCACGUUCUCCUUCAAUUUUCAUCCCUCCUUUUUCGGGUAGUGGCCUUUAAAUGCUUUUAAAUGCUACAUCAUGGGAAACGUGGGGUAUCGCAUCUCUCGUAACGGUUCUGGGAAGAAUGUAAACGCCAUAAUUCUGUGGGAUCGUGUUCCCGCUUUUCCAGGAGAUGGGUAUCAGCUCGGGAUACACCUUUUGUCAGUAUCCGUCUCUGAUCGGUUCAUGUUGCCCUCUGCUCUGCUCGUACAGUUACACUUGGCUGAGGUGAUUCAUGCCGGGGGUGAUUCAUGCCGAGGUGAAAACAGUACUAUGGCCGACCUGGUAUCAUUAUUGGCUCAACAAAAGUUGUACCUGAUCUCUCUAUCCUAAAUGCUUUGAUUCGAAGUCAGUUGAUGUUUUUGGCUAGGCUGAUCUGAAGCAUCUCAAUAGGCUAUAGAUAUUGCGAGUUGUAAGCUUUUGGAAGAAGUGAAGAUUGACUUUGUUGGGAAAGCACAAUGAACCCAUGGUUUUCACAGCCUUAUGUCACGGAAGUUGUCUAAAUACUGCACGGGUUGCUGCGCAAAGUAACCAUCCUAUGACAUUGAGCCAUGUUGAAAUAUCAUUUUGCUGUAAACUGAGGGAUUUGACAUAGCUUGCUUUUGCUCCAGACCUUCUUGUUGUUUCCAGAAAAUGUUGCCAUGAUAUAGAGGAAAUACUCGGUGUUGGAAAAUUAGGUGAAGAGAUGACGUCAAAUCUGGAACCCCCUGCAAAACUCCAAGGUUACGUUUGGCAUAUAGGAUUGGAUUAAAUUGGGUUCUAUUUAUAUUUUUAUGUUUGGUACAGUUCCGGAUUGAACCAUAUUAGAUUAUAUUUAAAUAAUAUUGAAUAGUAUUUAAGUUGGUAUUUUAAUAUAAAUAUCAAUUAUCCAUGAAAUUUUAUAAUCAUAAUUAAAAUAAAUUUAAAAAGCAAUUACUAGGAAAAUUAAAUAUAUUGCAAAAAGUUAUUGGGUAGUCAUAAUAUAAUAAGCAAAUAAAAUUAAAUAAAACAAAUUAAAUAUUUAAUUAUUUUUAUCAAAUAUUUAAAAAUAUUAUAUAAAAUCAAUUCAUUAAUGGUAUUAUUAAUUUUCAUGAUUAUUUUUAAUAUUAUAUUAGUGAUUAUUAAAUUUAAUACAAUCAAAUAAUGUAAUAAAUAAUUACACGUUUAAUUUUAUCGAUUAAUUAUUAAAUAUACAAGUAAUGAAAAUUUAAUCUCAGGAGUUGGUAGACGCAAAAGUACUAAUUUAAUUAGAUCAUAGAUAAUAAAUAAAAUAAAUUUUAAGUAAAUCAUAAUAAAAAAAUUAAUUAAUUGAUUCAAUCAAUCAAUAUUAGGUGUAAAUAAAAAAAGAGUAACGAUAUAUCCACAAACUCUUACACAAACUCAUGUGUCAUGAUAAGAUUGAUUGAAUUAAAUAUCACUUGGCCCACAUAAUUUAUUUUUAUUAUUUUAUAUUUUCAUUCAACCAAUGAAUUAACGCCACAUCAGUUUGUACAAGAUAUGUUUGUACAGGAAUUUGUGGCUGUAUCAUCACUCAUAAAAAAAAGAUACAAAUAAACCUCUCAUAAAUGGACAACUUUUAUCUUUAAUCUUAUCCCAACUAAACACAUGUGUAAAUUAGGAUUAUUAAUCCCAUGAUUUUAGGAUUAAAUUCAAAUUUAUUCCCCCUUAAUCCAAUCCAACUAAACUUGUCAAACAUGGGAUAAAAGUUUAAUUCUAAAAGCAUCACUAAAAGGCUCUUCAAAUAAGAUUUUAUUACUUAUUUGAAGAGCCAUAUCAAUAUUUAACGCUCCAAAAGACACUUCAGUUAAGAUUCUUCAAACAAUAGAUGAUUCUCUCUUUUCAAAUUUCGAGAGUUGAUUUCUCCCUCUUCAAUUUGUAUUUUAUUAUUUUUCAUUGGAGAAAGAGAGAGAAGUGCUUUAAUUGCUAUUGACUUUUUCCUUAAAAAAAUAAUUAUUUGAUUAAAAUAAUAUUAAUUUAUUUCUAUUUAAAGAGUCUUUUAAAGAAUAAUAUAUUUUUUUAUUUUUUUUAUUUAUCACAUAGGUAAAUAAAUAAAUAUUUAAAAAAUAAAAUUAAUAGAGACUUUUGGAGAUACUCUAAAAUUAGUCCAAUCCCAUACUUAAUCCUAGCAUCCAAAUAUAGCCCAAGUUGUUUGCUUAAAGAAGCUACCAAAUUUGAAGAGCGUUUACGGGAAGGCCCUGCGUUUCCCAGAUGUAUGCAGAAUUUUUGUAUCUAAAUGGCCAGAACUUAAGAAGCUGACGCUGGAUUUUGAAAGGGCGGGCCAAGGUAAAAUUCUUAUCAAGGGAAAGGAAAAUCGGUGGAAACAACUUCAAUGGGAGGAUCAAGCAACUCAGGAUGCAUUGCUUCUGUUUUUCAAAUCAACUGACAAGUGAUUGAAGGGGGCAUCAUCAGCCUGGAUGGGGAGAUCCUGGAGCAGAUCAGCAGGGUUUGAAUCUGCAUCAUCAACAUCAUCAGGAUCUCUAUUUCUAUUGCUGGUCGUAAUGCCUGCCGACUGUUGCUUGAAAAAGUGAUUAAGUGAGCCAGUUUUUUGUUUAUUAAAUUUUGUCUUAAUUGGCGUCCAAUAGAAAUUUACAAGAAUUACUUUUCUGUUCAUGCAAUCGGCGUCUGAACGCGGCUGAUCGGUCACCGGUGUUGGCGUUUACUGUGAUUAGACAAAUUGUAGGACUUCAAAAAUAACUUCUAUAGGGGUAAUUUCGAUUUCACAUAAUUAAUUUUAUUUACAAUAUUUUAUUCCUGCAAGGUCAACUGAGAUUCUUUCCACCGGGCACACCCUUCAUGUUCUUUUAUUUUCUGUCUUUUAUUAGCCGUUGGGUUUUACUACUCUUAUAUCCAACGGCUUGCCACAACAAGACAAAUGAGGUGGUACCUUCCAACUGCUGAAAGGUGGUUUUGGCCCCGAGUGAAACAGGGGAUGCACUUACUAUUAAGGACAGUUGGUGGCCAGCUAAUGCAUUCAUUUUAUGUCCUUUCGUCUUUUUGAAUUAUUGAAGACAAGGGGCUCCUCGCUUUUACUGUAGGUAAGAUCCAGAUAAUCUCGAUUAUCAAAAUAAUUAUUUUAAAAUACCUUAAUUAUUUUUUUUUUUAUGUUGCGUUUAUUAAACUAGAAUAAAAAUGAGUUGAAAUCGGAAUGAGUAGGAACAAGAAUGAAAAUGAAAAUAAUGAAUGGGAAUCAAAAUAAGUUGUUUACUUGAACUAUAGAAAUCAAAAUCGUAAUGAGUUGAGUUACCAUUAAUGUGUUUAUUUUGUCUUGGAAUCAGAAUCGAAACAAAUUAGAUUGUAACAAAUUACUAAAAAGUACUUAAUGGAUUAUUGUUAUAAUUAUUAUUAUUAUUAAUUAAUUAAUUGUACAAAAUUUUAAUUAAUUAUAAUAACUAUAAUAAAAUUAUUAUAAAAAUAUAUUAACUAAUAAUAUUAAUAUAAAUUACUUAAUUAAAAUAAUAUAUUAAUUGUGAUUAUUUAUUCAAAAAAUAUAAUUAUUAAUAAUUAUUUUUAAUAAUAUAUUAAUUCAUAGUAAUAAUUAUAUAUAUAUAUAUAUAUUUAUUUAAUUGUAUUAAUUUUAUUUAUUUAUUAUUAAUAAUAAAUGAAUUAAUUAUUAUAAUUAUUGUUAAUAAUUAUUAUAAUAGUAUAUUAAUUAAUUAAUUACAAUAAUAAUAUAUUAAUUAAUGUGAUAUUUAUUUAGGAACAAUAAUUAUUAAUAUAUUAUUGUUAAUAAUAUAUUAAUUAUUGUGAUUAUUUAUUCAAGAACUAUAAUUUUUAAUAAUUAUAGUUAAUAAUUUAUUUAUUUAUUUAUUUAUUUAUUAAUCAUAAUAUAUUAAUUAAUUAAUUAUAAUAUUAUAUUAAUUAAUUAUAAAAGAGGAUAAAGUGGAUAUUUUUAAUUUUGGGAAGGGCAAAAUAGUUAAUCCUAGGAAUGAGAGACUCUUUCUCACCUCUGCAUGGGAAUCAAUCUCUCAUUCUCUAUUCUCAAAUAGUAGUAGACCCCAUCAUUUCGAUUCUAAUUCUUACUCCAUAUUUGUGAAGUAAACAUCAUCAAUCAUUCUGAUUCUGAAUUUUUGUGAAUGGAGAGAUGCCGGAGCAGAUCAGCAGGGUUUGAAUAUGACCUUUGGCGCUUGCUUUUUUUUGUGAUUUUUUUUUUUCAUUUUUUCCUUCUUGUCAUUUUAUCAUUUCUUUGGCUUUGUCUCUAUUGCGGGUGUUAUUGCAUGCUUACUGUUGCUUGACAAAGUUUGCUAGCUUUUCCUUUUGUUUAUUAAAUUUUUUAUGGUCACAAAGAAUUACUUGUUCUAUUUGAGAGUGAUAUGAAUCAAUUUUUCAAUUAUAUAUUUUGUGGUCAAUGUGAAUUCAAUUUCAUUUGUCUCCCGCAAUUAUGAAAAAAUUACAGUCAUAAUAUGGAAAAGUACACCGGCAAAAACUUUGUAAAAGCUUCGGAGUGAUACGGGGAAUUCACUUACUACUAAGGACAAUUGGUGGCAAGCUAUUCCAUUCAUUUUAUGUCCAUCCAUCUAUUUAGUUAUUGAAGAUAAGUGGUCCAUUUGUAAAUUUCAGAUUGUCUCUCUCUCCCUCUUGAAAUAACAAUAUUUAAUAUAUCUCUUAAAUUAUUAUAAAUUUUAAUUUACUCUCGAUUUAAAAUGGAGCAUGUCGAUAAAUUUUUUUUCUUCUUAAUAAAAUUGACGUAAGUUGUGUUUACAGUAGUUUGAAGUUUGAAAUAUUUUAAAGAUUAUUAUUCUAUAAGGGAGUAAUAUGAAAUGAAAUUUACUUUUCAUGUGUGAACUGAAAAAGGACGAAGCAAGUGUCCCUACUUUUAUUUUAUUUCAAGGAGGAGUCAUCUCACAUACUUAAGCUCUUAACAUUACAUUUUUUUUUGUUACAUUUUUUUUUUAAUUUUUUUUUUUACACAUGCGUGUGGGUUGCUUAUCUGUAAGCUCCUUAAUAUAUAUUUAACACAAAUCAUGAAAAAGAUGGGAUUAUAUCAAGAUGAUCAAAGCAUGUAAAAAAAGAAAAAAGAAAAAAAAAUUAAGAAGUAAGACACUGAAAAUGGAGAAGAGACGGAAGCAAAAGAUAUUCCAAAACAAAGCAAUAACAAAGCAAUCUAUCCCCUUUCGAGGGCAGACUCAACAGGUUUAAAAAAGUACAUGCUUUGGAUUGGUAGUUGCAAUCAAGGGAAAAUAAAUAGGAUCCAAUGAAAUUUAAAUCUUGGAGAAAAUAAAUAAUCAUGCAGAUUUUCAAGAUUUUAAUAAGGGAUACUAAUAUCUUAUUUUGAUUAAUAACAUUCUUUCACUGUGUUAACUCAAAAAAAAUAUUAUAAUGCUUUACAAUAAAUACAAAUGUCCUAUUAAAUGAAUAUAUAAAAAAUUUAGAAUAUUUAGAAUAUUAUAUAAAAUAAUUUUAAUAUAAUGCGUGAGAUAUAUUUUAUUAAUUUAAAAUGUCAUUUUACCUAAAAAAUAUGAUAAAUUAAUAAUUACAUGUUUGAAGUUAUUUCAAAUAUUAAAAAAAUUUAAUAUUAUUAGUCUUUUAGAUAGAUUAAAUUAUUUUUUAAAGAGAUAGAUUAAAUUAUUUUAAAAUACCUUAAUUGUUUUUACUUUAAACAUUACCGGCCUUUCUUUUAUUUUAUUGCAAAUUAAUGCUAACAAGAAAAAGCUAGAUCAUAUUCCGCAAAAGCAAAAGUGACAAACACAACCAGCUGGAAUCUUUUAUAAAACUACAAAUUAAAAUGGAUUUUUUUUUUGAUAAAUUACACAUGAAAGUGGAUUCUUUUGAAUAUAAGUGGGGUAGGCUCUUUUAUUUUAUUUUUGAAUAUUGUAUAACGGGACUGUAGACUCUUUUAUUAAACUACAAAUUGUAUAGUCUUUUUAAAAUUGUUAUGAAUUAGUGGCCCCUACAAUCCUCAACAAUUGUACCAAUAUUCACAAGUUGGUGGCCCCUACAAUUCUGUUCCGAUAAUUUAACUGUGCAAGUCCUCAUUCACAAUCUUCCAGGUCAUGCUCUCAAUAAUUGUUUUUUUUUUUUUUUUUUUUUUUUUUUUUCUGCAUUCCCUUUCAUGCUCUUAAUAAUUGAAGAGCAUACUUUUCAUUUUCAAAUGUGGAGCCGCAUCUAAUGUCGCUAAUUUAAUUUGGGAUUAAAUUAGGGGACCAUUAUAUUGCAGUGUGCACUAAUUUUUGUGUUUAUCUAAACUCUUUAAGUUUAAGACAUAUUAUGGCAUAAAUAAGAAUAUAACAAUAACAAAAGAGUUAGAAAGUGUAGAGAAGAUCUUGCAGAAAUAUAAAUAAUAUCUAUUUUAAAAUAAUUUUUAAUAUUUUAUGAUCCAUUAGAUAUAUUUUAUUAUAUUAAAAUAAAUUUUAUAAUAAAUAAAAACAUCCUAUUAAAAUGAAUAUAUAGAAAAUUUAGAGUAUUUUAAGUAUUAUAUAAAAUAAUUUUAAUAAAAUAUGUGAGAUAUUCAUAGUUUAUUAAUUUAAAAUACCAUUUUAAAAUUAAAGAUUUAUUUAUGAUAAAUUAAUAAUUAUAUUUUUGAAAUUACUUCAAAUAUUAAAAAAUUAAUAUUACUAAUCUAUUAGAUAGAUUAAAUUAUAUAUAUUAUUUUCUAUUUAUUAAAAAAUUAAAAUUAUUUUUAAUUACUAUUCAAAAAAUAUAAUGAUAAAAAAAAAUCUUAACAUCUUUAUUAAAAAUUUAAAAAUUUACAUGAUCAAUUCUCUAAAUAUUUAGGGUAUAUGUGAACAUCGGUGGAGAAGCUUUAUUUAAUAUUAUUGAUUUAAAUAAUAUGUCAAUUAAAAAUGCGCGGAGAAGAAAUUUCGGUGGGUAUUUUAGUCUUUUCAGCAAUUAUCAUGAUCAGAUCAGCCUUUAGCUUGAAACGUCGGUCAGAAAAGUUUUAAAAUUAAUGCUAACAAGAAAAAGCUAGGUCAUAUUCCACAAAAGCAAAAGUGACAAAACAACCAGCUGGUUUUUUUUACUAAACUACAAAUUAAAAGUGGAUUCUUUUGAAUACAAGUGGGACAGACGAUUAGGCUCUUUUUAUUAAACGCAAGUAAAAAGUAGUCGAAUAGUCUUUUUUCAAAUUAUUGUUUUAUUAUUUUUCCUUCAAAAGUUAGUGUGGCUCAUGUUUGCAGGUGCGAAUGUCAGAUCACAUGCGAUGGUGCUUUUUUCAAUCGUUGCUUGGAUUGCUUUCUUGGAAAAGCAGCAUACAUACGUAACCUCCAAGAUAAUCUUGAUGCCUUGGAGACUGAAUUGGGAAAUCUGAUCGCUAGAAAGAACGAUGUGAUGAGGAGGGUUGUCGAUGCUGAACGGCAACAAAUGAGAAGGCUGGACGGAGUGCAAGUGUGGGUUUCGAGGGUGGAUUCUGUUAAAACUGAAGCUGAUCAAUUUAUAAGAGACGGCUCUCGAGAAAUUGAAAAAUUAUGUGUUGGAGGCUACUGUUCCAAGAAUUGCAUGUCAAGCUACAAGUUCGGGAAAAAAGUGGCUAAAAAGCUACGGGAUGUGCGGACUUUAAUCAGUGAAGGAGUUUUUGAGGUGGUGGCUGACAGAGCUCCAGAGUCUGUAGCAGAUGAAAGACCUACUGAGCGAACAGUAGUAGGCUUGCAAUCACAACUUGAACAAGUCUGGAGAUGUCUUGUAGAAGAAUCAGCGGGAAUCAUUGGCCUAUAUGGCAUGGGCGGUGUUGGUAAAACUACACUACUGACCCAUAUCAACAAUAAAUUUCUCGAGAGUCCAACCAACUUUGAUUGUGUGAUUUGGGUUGUAGUUUCAAAAGACCUGCGACUCGAAAAAAUUCAAGAAGAUAUUGGGAAAAAGAUAGGUUUGGUUGGUGAUUCAUGGAAGAGUAAAAGUGUAGAGGAGAAAGCUGUCGACAUCUUCCGGAGUUUAAGAGAGAAGAGAUUUGUAUUGUUGUUAGAUGAUAUAUGGGAGCGGGUUGAUUUAACAAAGGUGGGCGUUCCACUUCCCGGACCAAAAAAUACUACCUCAAAAGUCGUAUUCACAACCCGUUUCAUCAAUGUUUGUGGUACCAUGGAAGUUGACAGGAAGUUUCAAUUAGCAUGCUUAUCAAAAAAGGAUGCUUGGGAACUGUUUCGAGAAAAAGUUGGGGAAGAAACUCUUCAGAGUCAUCAUGAUAUCGAUGAGCUAGCCCAAAUUGUGGUCAAAGAGUGUGGUGGUUUGCCGCUCGCACUUAUUACUAUUGGUCGAGCUAUGGCCUACAGAAAGAAAGCGGAGCAGUGGAGUCGUCCAAUUGAAGAGUUAAGGAGAUCAGCUUCAGAGUUUGCAGGUUUGGGAAAAAAAGUGUAUCCUCUUUUAAAAUUCAGCUAUGAUAGUUUACAGAAUGAUAGGGUUAGAUCUUGUUUCUUGUACUGUUGUUUAUAUCCUGAAGAUUAUGGCAUUCUUAAAUGGGACUUGAUUGAUUGUUGGUUUGGCGAGGGAUUUUUUGGGGAAUCUGACAGGUUUGGUGCAGAAAACCAAGGAUAUGACAUUUUGGACACUCUUGUUCGUGCAUGUUUAUUAGAAGAGGUGGAAGAUGAUGAAGUUAAAAUGCAUGACGUUAUUCGUGAUAUGGCUCUAUGGAUAACUUGUGAAAUUGAGAAGGAGAAGAGAAACUUUUUGGUUCGUGCAGGUGCUGGAUUAAAAGAGGUACCGGGUGUUAAAGGAUGGGAAAAUGUGAGAAGAUUGUCAUUGAUGCAAAACCAAAUUGAAACUCUGUCAGAGGUUCCCACAUGCCCUCAUCUCCUCACUUUAUUUCUUGACUUUAAUCAGGAGUUGGAGAUGAUCGCGGAUGGCUUCUUCCAACUUAUGCCUUCUCUCAAAGUUUUGAAGAUGUCAAACUGUUCGAAUUUGAAAUUACCUGUUGGGAUGUCAGAGUUGGGUUCAUCACUAGAACUUCUCGAUAUUUCAGAAAACAGCAUAACAGAGUUACCGGAAGAGUUAAAGAAGUUGGCAAAUCUGAAAUGUUUGAAUUUGGGGUGGACAAGGGAGUUAAAUAAAAUUCCACGGCAACUAAUAUCAAAUUCUUCAAGGUUACGUGUGUUGAGAAUGUUCGCUACUGGCCGGUUCAAUUUUCAUGAAGCACCAGAAAACAGCGUUUUAUUUGGUGGGGGUGAAGUUUUGAUACAGGAAUUGCUCGGUUUGAAAUAUUUAGAGGUAUUGGAGUUGACCUUGGGAAGUUAUCAUGCUCUCCAAAUUCUUUUGAGCUCAAAUAAGUUAAAAAGUUGUAUUCGAUCUCUUUUCCUCGAGUUGACCGGAGAUACAGCGUCAAUUAUUGACGCUACGGCUUUCGCAGAUCUAAACCACCUCAAUGAAUUAUGGAUUGAUAAUGGUAUUGAGUUGGAAGAGUUGAAGAUUGAUUAUACGGAGAUAGUACGAAAAAGGCGGGAACCUUUUGUUUUCCGCAGCCUUCACUGUGUUACUAUGAUUUCGUGCCGUAAAUUGAAAGAUUUGACAUUCCUCGUUUUUGCUUCAAACCUCAAGUCUCUUCGGCUACGCAAUUGCUAUGCUAUGGAAGAAAUAAUCAGCGUCGGAAAAUUUGCUGAGACUCCUGAGAUGAUGGGACGUAUAAGCCCUUUUGAAAAUCUCCAAAUGCUUGAUUUACAAGGUUUGCCACAUUUGAAGAGCAUCUUCUGGAAGCCAUUGCCUUUCACUCAUCUGAAAGAAAUGGAGGUACUUAGGUGCGAUCGGCUUGAAAAGCUUCCACUCGAUUCCAACAGUGCAAAGGAGCGCAAAUUUGUUAUUCGUGGAGAAGAAGACUGGUGGAACCGACUUCAAUGGGAGGAUGAAGCCACUCAAAUUGCUUUUCGUUCCUGUUUUAAAAGUGAUGCUUUAUUUAUAUCUUAUUCGUGAAAAGUGAUUUAAUUUCCUGCCAAAAGACGAACGAGAAGAACAUUAGAGUCAAACUAAUGCUCACAUAAAUUUCCCAUAAGAAUAUAUAAUUAGACUGGAAUGCACACCUCUAGAUUGAACAGAAUUAAAGCUGAGAAGAUAUUGAGUAUAGUAGCCCUCUUUACAGAAAAUGACACGAAAGUUAAUUUAGAAAGAUAUAUUCUUGAUUAAUCCAUUUUCUGAAGUUUUUAUUUUGUAUGGUCAAUUAUACCUUCAUACUAAAAAUUUCUGAAGUUAUAAAUUAGUGCAACUUGACAAUUUUUACUGAUGAUAUCUUCUAUUUUUCCUUUUUUUUUUUUUUUUCACUUUCAUAGACUGGCAGCGGAUCCUGCGGCACCAAUUUGAGAGAAUAUACUGACACUACUUCGAACAGCAAGCAGAAUAUGUCUACGGCAAAGGCAAUGCAGUCCUCAUUUUGGCUUGAGAUGCAGUAAUCAUCGAAGAGAGUUUCCUUGUGAAACUGGGCAACACAUUGAAUCCCUUCGCCACUGAGAAGGUUGUGGAGGAAGUAAGCUUUCUCUCCAGUGAGGAAGAGGUGGCAUAUACCUUCCCCAUUUUGUCGAGGGCAGGUAGGAAUCUUUUUUCUAAGAGAUUUACUUCGUUCUCUGUAAGAAAUGCUUUGAACUUCAUCCCUCUGUCUCUAUCCUCACUUAUCAGGAAAUAAGUUGAAAGCACUAUGAAGAGAGAGAGAGAGAGAGAGAGAGAGAGAGAGAGAGAGAAUUAAGAUAUAGAGACAAGAAAAAUAUUAGACGUUGAUCUUACAAACUAAUACUUCAAGCAGUAUCCUAGAAAGCUAAAAACUGCAAGAUGGCUUGAAAUUUGAAAAGAGCACGUGCUUUUCCUCCUUAACUUGAGAAAAUGUUUAAUAUAGUGCACCUUACAGAAGCAUUUAAGCAAUUAGAACUUUGCACAAAAACAUCAAGAAGACUAAACAAGUCAGAUGCAGUGCAUUUGUCCAAGCACAAAUUGCAUUUUGUCCUCAACUUUAAUAUUUAUUGAUGAGAAUCAAUACAGGUCCCUCAUUUGUUAUAGAAAGCUUUCUUUCUUGUAGUCUCACCAGUUAAUUCACAGGUCUAUAAUCAUCUUGCAAAGUUAAGGGCAUUUCUUUCGAUCUAAAGUCUUUGCAUCACCACCUCAUCACACGCCAAGCCAAUAUUCCAUUUACCUCUACAACAAAAAGUUUUAAUUAAACAAUCCUAAUGCACGCAGCCAAAUAAAAUGCAGUAAGAAUAUUCAACUUAAAAAUCUGAAAGCCAACUUGGUGAAUUGCCUCCUUAGGUGAAGUUCCAUGCUUUACUAUAGUUGACAGAACUCAGCAAAAGCUUCCAUACAACAGAUUUUGAAAAUGAUGAUGCCAACAGAUACUUAUUCAAUCCAUUGAAACUCCAAAGGUUCAUUGUUCAUAGAAGUUUACAGAGUUUUGGUCAUCAAAUAGCUCAGACCUAAUCCCAAACAAAAAACGAGUGAAAAUUAGAUCACGAGCAGCUAAUUGUAAAUUCUAACUUAACUCUUCAUCUCCUUUGUAAACAAGAAACAAAAUGGAGACACGCAAAAUGAAUAUGGAGAAAAUUUGAACUCAAAUGAAAUGAGGGCACAAAAGCAAACAAAUGGCAUGCACCAAAAAACCAAGCCUCAAUCAAAAACUAAUUAACCAUUAAGAAAAAAAUUGCCCAGAGAAUGAACUCCAAAUUCAGGAGUCAAGCAAGAACCUUUCAUUAUUUCAGAAGCUCCUGUACAAAUUAAUAAGUUAUGCUCUUUGGAAGCAAACCUAAAUUCCAAGAGAAACAGAACCCAAAAAAAUUUGCAAUUAUACGCAAAGGAAGUGAAGCACAGGAUUCUAUCACACAUAGGAAUUGUAUAACAAGAGAUCGAUAUAUCGAAUUAGAAAACUCAAUUCGAAUUUGUGUCAAAAAUCAAAAUUAGAAGAUUUCACAUUUCGAGAGGAACAAGCAACAGAUGAAGUUCAAAAUUUCAGCCAUAACAUGCUAAAAAUGCUGCACUUAACGGUUCAUUUUCAUGGAUUUUCUCGGGAAACAAACAGAAAAUUACGGUUUAGAGAGUUGACUGACCUUUUGGCUUUUGAAAUUGAGAAGAUCGCACGCCAAAUUGGAAGAGGGAAAGUGAAAGUGCGAGUUUUAAUAUGGGUAUUAGAUAAGGAAAUUUUAUUAGGUUGCGAGGGUAAAAAAGGAAAGAGAUAUCAUUGUUUUAUUAUCGAUAAUUAUUAAAUUUUUUUCCAAAAAAAAAACAGGCAAGGAUAUUUUAUUGUCAUUUGCAACCUUUAAUUUUUUUAAAUGCUAUUAGAAACACAAGACAACAAAGAAAUACUUAUUUUUUUCUAAAACUAAAAUCAACUGUUUAGGGCCCGUUUGGUAUUGUUUCUAAAUUUAUAUUUUCUGACAAUAAAAAUGAAAAUGAAAAUGAUGUUUUGCAGUUGCUGUAUUUUAAAUUUAAGUAUACGUUUGGUAUCAUUUUCUAUAUCCUAUAUUUUAAAAUUAAAAAUAAUAAUAUGUGUUUGGUAAACACAUUUGAAAAUAAUAAAAACAGAGAAUAUGCGUUUGGUAAUACUUUUUUUAAAAAGAGUUUUUACUAGUAUUUACGUCAUAUUUAUAGUUAUAAAAUAAUUAUUUAGCUAAUACAUACACAAAUACAACAUAAUAAUUUAAACAAAAUUAUUAUAAAAAAAUUACAUGAUAAUAAAGUUUUAGAAUUAGCAUUAAUUAAAAAAAAGUUUUACAUUGUCAUUAUUUUUACACCAUAAUUAAGAUAUAUAUUACAACACAUGAUUUAAACAAAAUAAUUAUAAAAAAAUUACAUGAUAGGCAUUAUGCAUUACGCAUGUAAUCAUGCCACAUAAAAGCUGCAAUUCUAUCUCUUAUAGCAUUCAUCUUUGCGACACUUGAAGGAGAUAAAUCAAUAUUAGUAAGUGACCUACUAGUGUCUCCUUCUUCGUUGGUAACCAAAUCUUGCACAUCAAAGUCUCCAAAUAACCUAUCACAGGCAAUAAAUUCAAAUUGUGAAUCCCAUCUAAAGCAAUAAAUUGAAAUUACAGAUUGUUUGAUUGGAUUGAAUCCUAUCCUGGGCAAAGCUUGAAAAAACUUUAUUUCUCUCUAGUAACAAAAGUCCUAUUUGCCUAAUGCAUUUUCUCUGUAAAAAAAAAAAAAAUUGGAGUGACAUGCAAUAAAUUCAACUUGUGCAUCAUCAACAAAAUGGAAUUUGGAGUAAAAUCAACAUCAUGGCAAUGACAAUCGUGAACAAUAUCAUCUUUACAUGCUAUUAAAAACAAUUAAAAUCACUCAAAUAAUUUCUGAAAUUUUUAUUAAAUUCUCAGGUUUUUUUUUUUCAUUCUAAAUGUCAUAUAUACAAAUUCAUUACUGUCCAAAAACAUCCUACUUUAAGAAAUAUUUAAAAGUUAAUUAAGUAAAAAAUCUUGUAAAUUAUAAUGUCUUUUUUUUUUUUCGUUUUAAAUUGGUUUCCAAAGAAUGAUGUCUAUGCUUACAGAAGCAAAACAUGCCAAACAGCAGCAGCGACAUUUUGUGAAUUGUUUUUAACUUAAACAAAACAAAUACCGGCAAGUGACAGAUCCGAGAGAGCAACAGCAGCUGGCGUGAAGACGAGCAGCAACGGCUGAGCAGAGCAACAGCGGAAACAGAGCAGCAGCGAAGACGAGCAGCAGCGGAGCAGAGCAGCAGCAGAAACAGAGUAGCGGCGGCUAUGGCGGAAACACAGCAACGACAGUGGUUGAGAGUGCAGAUUUGCUGAGGAAAGGGAGAGAGUGCAGAUUUAUUGCAACUGAAUCAAGAAGGCUGCGGGGGAAAGGGGAAGAGAGAGAGGCAAUGAAGAGAUAAGGAGGAGAGAGUGGAUCGGGAGAAAUAAAGAGAGAGAAAGAUGUUGGAUGAAGAUAAGGGGAGGGAGAGAGUGCAGAUUUGCUGCAACUGGAUGAAGAAAGUUGGGGGGAAGAGAGAGCGGCAGUGAAGAGAUAAGGAGGAGGUCACGAUUUUUCUUUUGUUUUUUAAUUCAUUUUUAGGUUUAGGUGGCGUUUGUUUUUUUGUCUGAAAUCUGAAUAGACUUGAAUUAGUCUGAAUUCUGAAUAGGUCUGAAUGUCUGAAUCUGAAUAAUAUGUUUGUUUUUUCGUCUGAAUCUUGAAAAAUAAGUAUUAAGUUGUUUGUUUUUUUCAACUUAAAAAGCUGAAAAUAUAUACUUUUACAUUUGUAUCCUUAUUAAAUUUGAAUGUCAAAUAAAUAAUAUAUUAAAUACCACAAUAUUUUAACAUUUAUAAGUAAAACUAUAUUCAAGUGAAUACAUAAUUAUUUUAGAAUUUUAAUAUAUAAAAUACCAUAAAUUUCAAAUUUUAUCGUAUAUAAUAUAAGAAAGAAAAAACAGGGAUAUUUUUAUGUGGGGUAGAUAUCUAUGGGUGAGUUUUGGGAUAGACAUGAAAAAUAAAUUAUAAAACAUGGAUAUUUUUGACAUUAGCAAGUAAUUGACUUAAUUUAGAUUUCUCCAUUAAGUAAAAAGCCAAAAAAAUUAGCUUAUUUUAUUAAGUCAAAAUUAUUUAAAAAUUCUCAUUAAGUUAUAAAAACAAACAACUCUAAUUAACUUAAUUAAUUAAGUUAAGUCACUUUAAGUCAUUAAGUUAAAAAACAAACGCAACCUUAGUCUGUAAAAUUUGGAGAACAUGUUUAACUUGUUUUCAGUUGUAUAGUUAUAAUAAUGAAUCCGAAUUUUGUGUUUUGUAAUUUGUUUUGUGAAAAAAAUCCACCAAACAUGUUUUAUGUGUGUAUUAUAAAAAUGAAAACGCAAAUAUGGCUUGAAAAACGGUACCAAACGGGCCCUUAACUUCUUAUUUCAUAAUCCAACUCCAUUACUAAGUUAAAAAAAAUUGUUUUAAAAUUACUUGAGUCAUAUCCAAUAGACCAACAAAGUAAUCGUUUUUAUUUUUAUUGAUUUUUGCAGGAAAUUAGUGGCUUAAAAAUACUGAAAGCUAUUGUAAAAAUCUUUAUUAUCAACCUCAUUGUUUUUUUUUUUUUUUGGGGAAGAGAAUUCAAUUUUUUUUUUUAAUGAAUAUCGCUGUUUCGUUUGAGUUGGAUGUGAAUUCAAAUUCAUUUGAGUUGGAUGUGAAUUCAAAUUCAAAUAUUCUUUGUUUUUCAAUUCUGAACUCGAUUUCUUUUUCUCAAGAAUGUUAUGUAGAAAUGAUUUUUACUAAAUCAUUUUUGAUGAAUUGUUUAAAUUAAACAAUUGGAAUAAGAAUUGUAACGAUUUAUCAUAAGCGCGCUAAUAUGAUAACUUGUUUUACGAAAGAUUAAUUAAUCAAUUAAUAUUAAAUUAUAUAUUAGUCAAUUAUAUAUGUGUUACAUUUGUCAUGGUUUGUGCGUGAUACUACAUAAUUUCUAAAAGAAUAUAGUAAAAACACGUUAAAAUGUUAUUUUAAUGAAUAAAAUUUUAUAAUUUUAUUAAUUAGGUGACACAAUAAUAAAUGGAUUUCUGUAAGAAUUGAGUUUCUUGAGAUAAUUAUUACAUAAGGAGAAGUUUAGUUGGUUCAAUUUUGACAUGUUAAGAAGAGCAUCACAGCACAGAAAACACAAAUUGCCACUUCCACUAAUAAAAGAUACCUGUUUGAAAAGUAAUUAUAAACUAUCUUCUUUGUGUUAUUUCUCAAAACUUUUGUGGCACAAAUGUUAUUUCCAUUGACAACAGUACGAAAUACCACCCCUUUCACUUGAGCAGGAGCAAAGCAAAGGUAUGAUGAGCUAUCUCUGUAUAAUUGAAACGCCAUUACUAAACGAUUCUUGAUGAUGGGAGCCACCGUGCCAGCUUUGUCGCUGAUUUGGUAUUAUUCUUAACUUGCAGAUAGUUGUGGAUAUGAUAUGCAAAAGGUAAGGACUAUAUCUUCUUGAUGGAGGCCUCUGAUUUUUUCCCUUCUAUGUAAUUUAGUAAAUCGCAUUUUCCUUUGUGAUUGAUAUAUCAUACCAAAGUCAAGUCUUAAAUACUGCUGUCAUAUGUUAAGGUUCAACUUCCAUUUUGAUUAACGUCCAUCUGCUGCUGCUUCCAAAAGUGAGAAUGAGAUACUUUGGUUAAUUUCAGUAGUUGAACCCAAUAGAGUACUUUAUUUAGAUCUUCAUGGUUCAAAGGCCUGAAAAAACUUGCCGGUAUUUGGAAAAUGACAUUCUGUGCUUUUAUUUAGACUUAUUAUUUAAGUGAUAAAAACUCCCGUAACCUGCUGUCAAGAAAAUUUCAGAUUGUUAAAAGACAACAUUUUGUUUCGGCCAAAAAUGUUUGUUUCGAUUAAAGACUUGAACCAUUUUCAUUUAACCUUGAUUGUGAUGCUUUACAUUAUGCAUGUUCCUCUCAAUCAAUAAAAGUUGAGGUCAUGAUUUUAUAUUUCUAUUUUGUAACUUGAAAUAAUUGGUCUGCCUGUUUCUGUAGCUUGAUAACAUGAAUUUUUCCUUCUGAAGUUAAUUUGAUCAAUAAAGUAAUUCUUCGGAGAUGAUAUGCCCAUUCUAUAGUCAUUUUCUUAGCUAACAUGUUUUUUCUUCACUCUUCAGAGCAUGUCUAAACUAAUUGAUCGCUCAGCGGAGACUUUGGGUGAGAAGACAAAAUUUCUUAGUAAAUCCUCUGAAAAGGUAUGCAUAAUUCUCGAGUAUUAAAUAACCAUUGGUCAUAAUUUUUGUUCUUUUUUUGGAGAUCGUUAAAAGUGGUUGAUGACCUAUUUUUUACUAUCAUAGAGGGAUCAUGAAUUCCUUUUCUUUUCUGUGGCUCGGCAACACUUUCGGGCCAAACUAAGGAAAUCUAUUUUAGGUAAUGUAAAAACCAGUUGUAGGAUGUAAUAGUUUAUUAUGCCCUGACAAUAACUUUUUGUAUAAUUGUCAGUUUAAUGAAUACAAGAGGAACUCUGUUGGCAAAUUCAUCCAUGAUAGAAUAUAGAUGCUAAAAUUAUUUAUGCAUACCAGUUGCCUUAACUAAUUUUUCUCAACACUGGUAUUGAACAGGAAAAUGAAUAUGCAAUUUGUAUAUUGUGCCAUUGUGGAGAAUUUGGAUAUUCUUAUUUAAGUAUCAAGGAGAGUAUUUGCCUCAUCUUUAAACAAUGAAUCUUUGAGAAAUGAGGAGUGGGUGAUUGGCAGUGUCUUCAUGUAAAUGUUCAUUUAUUUGUAUUUUGAACUAUUACGAGAAUCUUUGUGUGCCAAAUUAGUAAUACAAAUGUUCAGAUGAUUUUUCCUGUUGAUCAUGCGCGUGUAUCUGCACACAACCAUUGUGUACCACUUUAUUCUGAUGCGCAAAUAUCUGUAGUUUAGAAGAAAAGAAAUAAUAAUCAUAUAUUAUUGCUUGGUUCAUGAUUAUUAAACGAUUAUGGCUUUAGAAAAUCCACAAAUCCUUUGUGUUCAUAUAUGAAUGUGCAAAGUUUGCUAUAUCUUAGAUUACCUUCUUCCAAGAUAACAAGUUCAUAUAUUUUUUUUAAUCCUUUUUCAUCACAGUUGAAUUUCAAGUGUAAGUUUUGUUAUUAAUAGCUGGUGUCCUGUUAUUAUGAUUUCAUAAACAGUGAGCGGAUAUGUGCUCUACUUUUGGAGGGCCUCCACAUGAAAGAAAAUUGCAACAAUUGAAUUCUUCUGGAGGUUAUGGUAUUUAAUUUAUUUUCUCAGCUUGUUGAAAGACUAAUAUAUUUCCUUCAGUACGCACGGCGUGGUGGGAAGGGUUUUUAUUGAAAGAAUUAUGAUAUUUCUUAGACUUUGUUUUGGAAGGGGGUGGAGGGAUUUCUCAUCCAUAUAUGGUUACUUGAUUAGCUUUUGACUGUAUUGUCUCCGUCGUGCAAAGGAAAAUCCAAAUACUAACGAAGGGGAAUUGCUUAGGCACCCAAAAGACAGAAAUGAAUUACAGAAGGAAGUUUUUGCUGCUUUAUUUAGUGCUGCUGAGAAAUCUGAUGGAUUUCCUGAAAUUACGGUGAAGACGGAGUGGAGGUCCAACGCAUUAGGAAAGGUGGUGAGUGAACCGCCGGAGGAAUUAGUACCAGAAUACAAGGCUAAUGUGGUGCACUUGCAGCAAGAUGACCAGACCUGUAUGUGCUCUUAUAUUAACUAUAUUGUUGGAUUUGUGAGUGUGUACAUUUUUGUGUGUAUACUCACUUUUGUAUUUAUGCAUAUUAACGUGUGUAGGAUUCUUGAUUUCUGCCACUUACUGGAGAACUAGUGGAAAGCUUUAUACUGAUAUAUGUGCUAUAACUAAUGGAAACUACGAUAUGAAUAUUUUCUCUCACCUGGAGAACUGUAUAACAGAUAUAAUUUGUGGCUCUGGAAUACUGAAGAUUCUGCAAUAACUAAUGGAAAAUAUGAUAUGAAUAUUUUUUCUCACCUGGAGAACUUUGUAACAGAUACAUUUUGUGGCUCUGGAAUGUCUAAAGAAUGCUUCAGUUUAGAUCAAAUAUCUUUUAGUUAGAAAAGAUAAAAUUCUCUGAAUCUGAAAGACUGAAACAUUUUGCAUAUUUUGUGAAAGGGUAGUAUCUGUAGAUACUAGCUCAUGCAUUGAGGUAAUAUCAGUGUUAAAGAAAAACAACAAUAAUUUAUUAUACAAAAUUAGGUUCACUUGCUUUAAAUGCUGGUCUGAUCAACCAUAUCAACCUGUAAUGGUUCUGCAGAAAUAUAUAUACGGGGAGAAACUAGCUAAAUUUUCCUUUCACUUAUGGGUUUGGUCUUUUUUUCCCCUAUUUUUCAGCUUUCCUUCUCCUGAAGUAUGUUAACAAUUGCAGAUAAUGACGAAGAGGACCGCUUCCAGGCUCUUUGUAGAGCUGUGAUGGAAUAUAGGGGCACAAUGAAGGAAUAUUGUAAGGCUGUAGGUACUUUCUCUCUUGUCAUUUAUGUUUUCUCACACAUUUUGUAUAUGCCCUGAACAUGCAGCUUUGUAUGUGUCAAUUGCCUUUUACAUUUUAAAAGCCAUAAAGUAAGAAUACAGUUCCUUGUCAGGCUAUUGAUGCGUUCGCUCAGAAGGGUCAUGUUCAAGCAGGAAAACUUCUAGAACAUGUAAGGUUUCCAUCUACAGCCAUCCAUUGACAGUGUCAAAGUAUUUGGCUGCAGCUUCUAGAAGCUACAUCUAGAAGCUUUGAUGCAGCAAAUGUUGAAGGCACCGCCAAGGAGAAAAAGAAGGAAGAAUGAAGAAGAUGUUGCAGAAGUUGAUCUUGACAAAUGAUGGUUGGAACGCCAAAAUGGAAGAAAGAAAAAAGGUUGGAACACGGCUUUGAAGAAGCCACGAGAAGAAUAAAGAAAAUAUUAAAAUAAUAGCUAAUUUUGGCUAUAUAAAGGAAGCUCCCCUUUUUUUGGUUUGUGUAUCCAAUCCUCAGUUUCUCUUCUUCAUUCAGAGAGUGUUUCUUUGGGGUGUAUUUGGGGAUUAGGUGAGAGAAAAUUAUUUCUGAAAGAGUGGUUGUAAUAAUUUUCCACAUAGUGAAUAUUUUUUCUCUGGUUGUCUUUUUGACAACGGCCGUGGUUUUUCUCCAUAUUUGGAGUUUUCCACGUAAAUCUUGUGUUGUGGGAUUGAUAUUAUUUUUCAUUUAAUUUUUCUUGUUAAUUUGUUAAUUGAAAAAUUGCUUGGAGAGAUCCUGGGAGGAAGCUCAAUUUCCUAACAGUGGUAUCAGAGCCAUUGAUUGAAGUUUUUUGGUGUCGGGGCACUGCUCACGUAUACGGUACUGUUUACGUAUACGGUACUAUUCACGUGAAGCAGUGGGAGCCAAUCCAAACAGUUCGUGGUGAAGAGUAAAAGCUUAUCUGCAAAGCAAAUAUGUCAGGAUUGAAAUUUUCAAGUCCGGUGAAAUUUGAAAUAGAAAAAUUCGAUGGGAGAAUUAACUUUGGCUCGUGGCAAGUUCAAGUCAAAGAUGUGUUGAUUCAAUCUGGGUUACACAAGGCAUUGAAAGGGAAGCCAUCCCCUGCUUCCAGUAGUGGCUCUGGAAAAGCUAGUAUAAGUGAUGAAGAUUGGGAAGAAUUAGAUGAUCGAGCUGCAAGUGCCAUACGACUAUGUCUAGCAAAGAAUGUUCUUGCAAAUGUAGGAAAAAUUCCUACAGCGAAAGAACUUUGGGAGAAGCUAGAAAAGUUGUAUCAGACAAAGAGCAUCUCAAAUCGAUUGUACCUGAAGGAGCGAUUUCACACACUGCGAAUGGCUGAAGGUACAAAAAUUUCUGAUCACCUCAGUGUUCUCAAUGGUAUUGUGUCAGAACUAGAAGCCAUUGGAGUUAAAAUUGAAGAUGAGGACAAGGCGCUUAGGUUACUAUGGUCACUUCCAACUUCCUACAAACACUUGUUACCUACUUUGAUGUACGGGAAGGAGACAGUAGAUCUUGAAGAAGUUACUAGUACUUUACUCUCAGAAGAAAGAAGACUGAAUGGUGAAAGUACUAAAACUACAGAUGUCUCGGCUUUGGCAGUUGUAGGGAAUUGGCAGAAAGAUAAAUCUAAGAAGAAAGGAGUCUGCUGGGGGUGUGGACAAUCGGGGCACUUAAAAAGAGAUUGUCAUAGUAGAAAUAGAGUAGGAUCGGCAAGUGGCUCCAGAUUAGAUAUUGAUAGUAUUGCUAGUGGUAAGUCUCUCAUCAUCGUGGGAGACGAUGAUCCCUUAUAAAAUGGAUGAUGAUGACAUCCUCAUGGUAUACCGCUAGUACCAUGAAAGGGGAUAUGUUACUACUAGCGGGUCCACAAGAUUUACACACAAGGCAUGGUUGGCAUUGAUGCAGGGUGUGUGGUGGAAUUUAUGUCGAUGGCUGACAAACUUCCAGGAAGACCAACAUGGAAGUUGCACCAUAAAUUUCAGCAAGAUAUUUCGACAUGUGCCGAUGUAAAAUUCUUAGAAUUGUUAAUUAAUUCUAAGUGGUAUACUCUUUAUGGUGGAGUAUGAUAAUUCUCUAUGGUGAGGAUUAUGACUAAGGUGAAAAUAGUAAGGUUAGUGUGGAGAUUGAUUGAUUCUCAAUCAAAACUCCAAGUGGGAGAAUGUCAAAGUAUUUGGCUGCAGCUUCUAGAAGCUACAUCUAGAAGCUUUGAUGCAGCAAAUGUUGAAGGCACCGCCAAGGAGAAAAAGAAGGAAGAAUGAAGAAGAUGUUGCAGAAGUUGAUCUUGACAAAUGAUGGUUGGAACGCCAAAAUGGAAGAAAGAAAAAGGUUGGAACACGGCUUUGAAGAAGCCACGAGAAGAAUAAAGAAAAUAUUAAAAUAAUAGCCAAUUUUGGCUAUAUAAAGGAAGCUCCCCUUUUUUUGGUUUGUGUAUCCAAUCCUCAGUUUCUCUUCUUCAUUCAGAGAGUGUUUCUUUGGGGUGUAUUUGAGGAUUAGGUGAGAGAAAAUUAUUUCUGAAAGAGUGGUUAUAAUAAUUUUCCACAUAGUGAAUAUUUUUUCUCUGGUUGUCUUUUUGACAACGGCCGUGGUUUUUCUCCAGAUUUAGAGUUUUCCACGUAAAUUUUGUGUUGUGGGAUUGAUAUUAUUUUUCAUUUAAUUUUUCUUGUUAAUUUGUUAAUUGACAAAUUGCUUGGAGAGAUCCUGGGAGGAAGCUCAAUUUCCUAACAGACAGCAGAUACAUUUUCAUUGAGCAGACACUGUUAGCAUUCAAGAUGCUGGCAGAUUCACUUGAUUCUUAUUAGUUUGUUUAGUGGCAAAGCAUAUAACCUGUAUUUCAAAGCCAAGUUGUGCUAUUGAUUAUGUUAACUUUAUUGUUAACCUAAAGUGAUAUGGAGGACAUAAUCAAUGUAGGAAAAUUAGGUGAAGAGACGAUGUCAACUCUUGAACCUCUUACAAAGCUCCAAGUUCUUUACUUGAAGAAGCUGCCAAAUUUGAAGAGCGUCUACUGGAAGGCAUUUCCAUUCCCAGAUGUAUGCAGAAUUUUUGUAUUAAUGCCCAGUUCUUAAGAACCUGCCACUGGAUUUUCAAGGGACGGGCCAAGGUAAAAUUCUUAUCAAGGGAAAGGAAGAUUGGUGGAAAGAACUUCAAUGGGAGGAUCAAGCAACUCAGAAUGCAUUGCUUCCAUUUUUCAAAUCAACUGACAAGUGAUUGAAGGGGGCAUCAUCAACAUCAUCAACAGAGAUGGAGAGAUUCUGGAGCAGAUCAGCAGGGUUUGUAUAUGAUCUUUGGUGGUUGCUUUCUUUUGUGAUUUUUUUUUUCUUCCUGUCAUUUUAUCAUUUCUUUGUCUCUUUUUCUAUUGCUGAUGUUAGUGUAUGCUUACUGUUGCUUGACAAAGUUUGCUUGCUUCUUGUUUAUUAAAUUUUUUAUGGUCACAAAAUAUUACUUGUUCUAUUUGAGAGUGAUGUGAAUCAAUUUUCAAUUAUAUAUUUUGUGGUCAAUGUGAAUUCAAUUUCAUUUGUCUCCUGCAAUUAUGAGAAAAUUGCAGAGUCAUAAUAUGGAAAAGAACACCAGCAAAAACUUUGUAAAAGCUUCGGAGUGAAACAGGGAAUUCACUUACUACUAAGAACAAUUGAUGGCGAGCUAUUCCAUUCAUUUUAUGUCCAUCCAUCUAUUUAAUUAUUAAAGAUAAGUGGUCCAUUUAUAAAUUUUAGAUUUUCUCUCUUUGAAAAUAACAAUAUGUAAAAUAUCUCUUAAAUUAUUAUAAAUUUUAAUUUACUCUCGAUUUAAAACGGAACAUGCUGAUGAAAUUUUUUUCUUCUUACUAAAAUUGAAAUAAAUUGUGUUUGCAGUAGUUUGAAAUAUUUUAAAGAUUAUUAUUUUAUAAGGGAGUAAUAUGAAAUGAAAUUUACUUUUCAUGCGUGAAAUGUUGAAAAAGGACAAAGGAAGUGUCCCUGCUUUUAUUUUAUUUCAAAGUGGAGUCAUCUCACAUACUUUAGCUCUAACAUUACAAUUUUUCAGGUUACAUUUUUAUUUAUUUAUUUUCUUUUUUACACAUGCAUGUGGGUUACUUUUCCGUAAGCUCCUUUAUAUAUAUUGAACCCUACGAAGAAUGUUAUGGAAGAGCAAAUGAUAUUUCUGAUAGACUCUAUUUGAUUAUGUAGCCUGAAUGGAUGUCUUGUUGAAAGAUAUUUCAGUGCAUUAGUUCAUCCUUGUCUCUCAAUGUGUUUUUAAUGGUUUUUCCAAUUGUUUAUUAUUAUAGAUUGAUUGUAAAUUGAUAUGAAUUUAAUGUUGAAAUGUUUUCUCUUUAGUGGAAUGAAUUUAAAAGUGCAAAAGAUUAUUGCACACGGAGAAAUAAACAUAUAUGCUUUAUAACUUUAGCAAUCGAUUCUUUUACAGCUGGAAACAGAGAUGAUGAUUAUCAUAAGGAUGAAGAAAAGGACAAAAAUUGUCAAUGAUUAACGAAAUCUCUAUGCAAAUUGAUUUUAGCAGGAAAAAAGUGAGCUAAAUGAUGGAGACGAUUAGUGGUAAUAUUUCAUAGAGUUCCUUCCAAUCUUCUCAUGAAUCCCCUUUUUGAGUUAUAUUUAUUUUAUUUUUAAAAUAUCUUUUUUCUCUUUUACUACACUUCUAAUUUUUCAUUUUUUUUUAUUGUUAAACUCAAAGUAGUAUUGUGAUAUUUUUUAUUUAUUUUGCAAUCUUAUUAUUACUCUACACUUAAGUUAAAAAGUUUUAUAGGUGAUGAAUUUUUGAAUGUUAAUCAUUAGCUUAAAUUUCACAUAUUUUACAUUAUAAUUUGAAAUUUAGUACCAAAAUAUUUAAUCAAUAAGAAUUAUGAAAAGAUUAAUAGAUUAUUCUAAAUUUAUACAACUUAUUUUAGUUAGAUCAGAAGUAGCAGGUUAAAAAAAGAAAAGAUUGGUUAUGAAAUUUGUUGGAAAAAAAUCUAUGUGUGUUUAAUUUUUAUUCGUUGUUAACUCUAAUUAAAUAGGUUAAAUAAUUUUGUUAUUUUUUACUUAUCAAAAAAUUUAAGAUCAAUAUUUUUAGUUACCAUUUGAAGGAUAUUAUGACAAAAACAAAAUUUUCAUGUCUUUGUUAAAAAUUUGGGGGUUUGUAUAACUAUUUUUUCAAAUGUUAGGGGCAUAACUGUCUUUUUACUCUUAUAUAUAUGAACCAUGGUGGUGAAAAAGCGUGAUUUAAUGUUAUUUAUUUAAAUAAUAUCUCAAUUAAAAAUGUAAGCAGAAGAAAUUUUGGUGGGUAUUUUAGUCUUCUAACGAUUAUCAUGAUUAGGCCCUGGUCUUGAAACGUUGGUCAGAAAAAUUUUAAAAUGCGUUCAUUGUCUUUACUUUAAAAACGUUAUUUUAUUUUAUUUUAUUACAAAUUAAUGCCAACAAGAAAAAGCAAGAUCUAAUAUUCCACAAAAGGAAAUCGUAAUAUUCCAUAAAAGCAAAUAACCAGCUGGAUUCUUUUAUUGAACUACAAAUUAAAGUGGAAUCUUUUAUUAAACAACAAAUUAAAGUUCAAAUAUUUAAAUAGUAGUGCGUUAGACGAUUAGGCUCUCUUAUUAAAGGCAAGUAUAAAGUAGUCAAGAAUCGAACAUCUCUAUUGUCUAGUCUUUUUUUUUUAAUUCUUCUUUUAUUAUUUUUCAGAAUAGGUUUUGGUGAUUACUAUUGGGUUAUUAUUCAGAGUUAUUGUUAUCUUCCGGGGCAGUUUCUGUUAAUCGAAAUCGUUAAUUAAAAUUUUAGAACUCUUAUGGGAAGAAUGUUUUUCUGUUAUCUUUUUUAUAUUCUAAUUUCAACUGUAAGGAGUCGUUUUAGAAUUUGGGUCUGGAAUCGAAUUUCAAUGCAUGAAUUAAUAUUUUUAAAAAAAAUUACUACACGCAGUUUAGGUUACAAACUAUUUUUUGCAAAGUUGACUAUGAAAUUGGAGAAAUUAAGUAAUUUAUAAUGUUUGCAAAGGAAGAGACUAACAUACUUCCAAUUACACUAUCUCUCUAUUAUCAUAAUAUUAAGACUAAAGUAACUUUAAAUAAAUUUUAUUUGAAAAGUUAUAUCAAAUGCAGUCUAAUUUUAUUAACUUGAAGAGUUAAUAAUUAUAGAAAUUAUUGUUCUAACUUAAUUAGUACAAGUGGUAUAAAGGUUAAGUGUGCACUAAAUCUGUUUAAAUUUUUUCCAGAAUAACUAACAGAGGUCAUUACUAGAAUUAUAAUUACUAGUCUAUUAGAUAGAAAAAAUUAUUUAUAUUGUUUUAUAUUUAUUAAAAAAUUUUAAAGUCAAUCUUUUUAAUUACUAUUUAAAAAAUAUUAUAAUUAAAAAAAUUUAAUGUCUUUAUUAAAAAUUUAAAAAUUUACAUGACCGUUCUAUAAAUAUUUAAAGUGUAACUGUCAUUUUCUCAUAUAUAUAUAUAUAAAUCACGGUGGUGAAGCUUUAUUUAAUAUUAAUGAUUUAAAUAAUAAUAUCUCAAUUAAAAAUGUACAGAGAAUAAAUUUCGGUGGGUAUAUUAGUCUUUUACAAUUAUCAUGAUUAGCCCUUCCUCUUGUAACGUAGGUCAGAAAAGUUUUAAAAUGCCUUGAUUUCAAUUUCUGCUUUAUAUUUUUCCCCGUAUAAUGGGGAGAGGUCAUUACUAAAAUUUCUCUUCCACAGCAAUUACAGCAGCUUCAGUUAAUCAAACUCAAAUCAAUUUUCUUUCUUAACAAAAUUCCAAAGAUGUGUAGCAUUUUUCAGAUCACAUGCGAUGGUGCUCUUUUCAAUCGUUGCUUGGAUUGCUUUCUCGGAAAAGCAGCAUACAUAAGCAACCUCCAAGAUAAUCUUGAUGCCUUGGACACUGAACUGGGAAGACUAAUCGCAGCAAAGAACGAUGUGAUGAUGAGGGUUGUCAAUGCUGAACGGCAACAAAUGAGAAGGCUGGACGGAGUGCAAGUGUGGGUUUCGAGGGUGGAUGCUGUUAAAACUGGAGCCGAUGAAUUGAUGAGGCACAGCUCUCAAGAAAUUGACAAAUUAUGUGUUGGAGGCUACUGUUCCAAGAACUGCAGGUCAAGCUACAAGUUCGGAAAACAAGUGGCUAAAAAGCUACAAGAUGUGAAGACUUUAAUCGCCGAGGGAGUUUUUGAGGCGGUGGCCACUGAGGUGGUGCCCGAGAGAGCUCCGGAACCUGUAGCAGAUAAAAGACCCAUUGAGCCAACAAUAGUAGGCUUGCAAUCACAGCUUGAAGAAGUUUGGAGAUGUCUUGUAGAAGAAUCAGUGGGAAUCAUUGGCCUAUAUGGUAUGGGCGGUGUUGGUAAAACCACACUAUUGACCCAUAUCAACAAUAAAUUUCUUGAGAGUCCCACAAACUUUGAUUGUGUGAUUUGGGUCGUAGUUUCAAAAGACCUGCGACUUGAAAAAAUUCAAGAAGAUAUUGGGAAGAAGAUAGGUCUAUCUGAUGAUUCAUGGAAGAAUAAAAGUUUUGAAGAGAAAGCUGUGGACAUCCUGCUGAGAUUAGGAGAGAAGAGAUUUGUAUUGUUGUUAGAUGAUUUAUGGGAGCGGGUUGAUUUAACAAAAGUGGGCGUUCCACUUCCCAGCGCACAAAAUACUACCUCAAAAGUCGUAUUCACAACCCGUUCCAUUGGUGUUUGUGGCAGCAUGAGAGCUAGGCCGGUUAAAGUGGCAUGCCUAUCAGAAAAGCAAGCUUGGGAACUGUUCCGCGAAAAUGUUGGGGAAGAAACUCUUGAGAGUGAUCAUGAGAUCGUUGAGCUAGCCCAAACUGUGGCCAAAGAGUGUGGUGGUUUGCCACUCGCACUUAUUACUAUUGGUCGAGCUAUGGCCUACAGAAAGAAAGCGGAGCAGUGGAGACGUGCAAUUGAAGAGUUAAGAAGAUCAGCUUCAGAGUUUGCAGGUUUGGGAAAAGAGGUGUAUCCUCUUUUAAAGUUUAGCUAUGAUAGUUUGCAGAAUGAUACAAUUAGAUCUUGUUUCUUGUAUUGUUGUUUAUAUCCUGAAGAUUAUGGCAUUCUUAAAUGGGACUUAAUUGAUUGUUGGAUUGGUGAGGGAUUUUUGGGGGAAUCUGACAGGUUUGGUGCAGAAAACCAAGGAUAUGACAUUUUGGACACUCUUGUUCGUGCAUGUUUAUUAGAAGAGGUGGAAGAUGAUAAAGUAAAAAUGCAUGAUGUUAUUCGUGAUAUGGCUCUAUGGAUAGCUUGUGAAAUUGAGAAGGAGAAGAGAAACUUUUUGGUUUGUGCAGGUGCUGGAUUAAAAGAGGCACCGGAUGUUAAAGGAUGGGAAAAUGUGAGAAGAUUGUCAUUGAUGCAAAACCAAAUUAAAACUCUGUCAGAGGUUCCUACAUGCCCUCAUCUCCAUACUCUAUUUCUUGACUUUAAUAAGGAGUUGGAGAUGAUCGCGGAUGGCUUCUUCCAAUUUAUGCCUUCUCUCAAAGUUUUGAAGAUGUCAAACUGCUGGAAUUUUCAAUUACCUGUUGGGAUGUCAGAGUUGGGUUCAUCACUAGAACUUCUUGAUAUUUCACAUACCCGAAUACAAGAGUUACCAGAAGAGUUAAAGUUGUUGGUAAAUCUGAAAUGUUUGAAUUUGAGGGGUACAGGCCAGUUAAAUAAAAUUCCACGGCAACUAAUAUCAAAAUUUUCAAGGUUACUUGUGUUGAGAAUGUUGGGUACUGGCCAGUUCAAUUUUCAUGAAGCACCAGAAGACAGCAUUUUAUUUGGUGGGGGCGAAGUUUUGAUACAGGAAUUGCUCGGUUUGAAAUAUUUAGAGGUAUUGGAGUUGACCUUGGGAAGUUAUCAUGCUCUCCAAAUUCUUUUGAACUCAAAUAAGUUAAAAAGUUGUAUUCGAUCCCUUUACCUCGAGUUGUUCACAGAUACAACGUCGAUUAUUGAUGCUACGGCUUUCGCAGAUCUAAACCACCUCAAU